rnacentral:lncRNA from 1 species
GAGAGAAGAAAAUCGGGUGGGAGGAGAAGAAAAAUCGGGAGGGAGGGAGAGAGAAAAGAAAAAGGGUUUGGGCCUCACACCCCAAACCGGUCCACACCAUUUAUAACCCAAACUUCCAAAAUAAAAACACCCCGAAAAAUAAUACCCGAAUAAAAAUUACCUUUUUCUAGCUAAAAUUUACUAUUUUUACCGUCGUCGUAUUUUCUUCAUACUAAUAAUCCUCCGCACAUAAUCGUCCCCGAAACCCCUCUAGGGACCAAUUAAACUAUUUACUCAAUGAUCGAGACGGUAAAAUUCUUAUUAUAAUCACGCUAGUAAAUAAGGUAAAAAUAUAAGGGUCGGGAUGUGACAGAUUAGAUACUUCUGCAUAUACACUUUCAGUUUGGUUCUGUUUUUUUUAUAGUGUUUUUUUUUUGGUAGGAUACAGGUGCUAUCAAAUGUAGGGACCUGAAGAUGAGGCUUUUGUUAAGGGUAGCAGGGUUUCAUCAAACUACCUAUUAGACUCUACAAGCAUAUUCACAACUAAUGAGGUCAUCUAAAUUUGUAAUGUUGUACGUUAUAUUGUCGUAAUCAUAAUAAUAAUGGUAUCAUAUACAUAGGUAUUUGAGAGCAAAUACGCAUUGAUUGAAUGGAUUCACGCACAAGCAAUGCAAAAUAAUCUGGUGGUGGUUACUAUGAGGUCUGAUUCUGGGGGUGUUGGAAAAAGACGGAAGAGACCUAGGAUAACAUUUUGGUGAGUAUAGGCCAAGGAAAUCUAAUCAUUCUGAUGAUUUAAAUUUUGGUUCUCAAAGUAAAACAGGGAAGCGUCCACGCCCGAGGAACACUGGUACCAAAAAGUAUGGAUGCCCAUUCUUAUUGAGGGGAUUGAAUGUUGGAGAUGGAAAUGAAUGGAAAUUGGAAGUUGUACGUGGGGUGCAUAAUCAUGACGCUUCAAACUAUCUCCAGGGACAUAGUUAUGCAGGAAGGUUGACUGAAGAAGAAAAUCAGCUCUUGGUGGAAAUGUCUAAGAAUUUUGUGCGACCUAAGCAAAUUUUGACUACCAUAAAGAAAAGAGAUGGGCUAAACGUGUCAACGUUGAAGAUGCUAGACAAAGGUACAGGACGAAAGAUUUGGCCAGAAGAACACAAAUGCAGCAAUUGUUAAGUAAAUUAUCUCUUCAUGACUAUAUUGAGCAUCACAGAAGUAUUGAACAAGAUGAGGUUUUGUCAGACUUGUUUUGGACUCAUCCCACGAAUGUUGAUAUUCUACGUUCAUUCCCACAUGUAAUUAUAAUGGACUGCACCUACAAGACUAAUAGCUAGGUAUCGUUUUCCACUUUUGGAGUUUGUUGGGGUGACAUCAACUAACAUCACAUUCACUGUUGCAUUUGCAUACCUUAAUUCGAUUCAGAGAAGGAAGAUAAUUACUCAUGAGCUUUGUCUCGGUUGAAGGAGCUAUUUAUUGAUGAUCUUCCUCAUGUUUUAGUUACAGAUAGAGACUUGACGCUUAUGAAUGUCAUACAUAAAAUAUUUCCUUCUAGCCACCAUAUGUUGUGUACAUGGCAUAUUAGUAAUGGGGUGUUUGCAAAAUGCAGUAGCAUGUUUGAAACCAUAAAAAUGUUUGAGAUGUUUAAUGAUACUUGGCAAUUUGUGAUUACUUCCAAAACUAAGGAGGAGUAUCUGGAGAGGCUGAAGUCAUUUGAAGUUAGGUACAAAUCAUAUCCAAAUGCUAUUUCCUAUUUGAAGGACACUUGGUUAGUGCACAAGGAAAAGUUUGUAUGAGCAUGAACAAACAAGUUUAUUCAUUUUGGUACUACUACUUCCAAUAGGGAAUUUGAAUGUGUUUUAGUAUGUUUAUAUUUCUUACAUGCUUUAUAGACUAAUUAACUUCUUUUUUUUCCCCCUUUCUUUACAGAGCUGAAAGUGCAUAUGCAAAGCUAAAACGACAACUUAGGUUUAGCCAACUUAACUUUAAUAGAGUUGCAACAUACUGAUAUUAAAGCAUCAUUUGAAAAGAGUUGUUGCACUAUUUAGCAUUCUGCUAAGCAUGAGGAGUCGAGAGAGUUAACAGGCUUUGUAUCUAUCACAGCAUUAAAUAACAUAACCUGCGAGUUGAAAAUGUAAUGUUUUGUUCUUAUUAGUUGAUCAUUAGUCCUCAUUUAUUUAUUGUUAUGCUAAUGUGAUUUAAUAUAUAGGAUUGACAAGUGUGAAGAAAAUGUCGAUUCAUGUCAAUGUACUCUUCGUUAUACACAUCAGCUGCCAUGUGUUCACAAGAUUGUCUCAUACAAAAGUAGUAACAAUCCCAUUCCACUUGAGUGUAUUCAUCCUCGCUCAUUGGAAGAAGUUAGAUUUCAGUAUUCUCUUUCCAAAGAGCAGCAGCAGGAGAUCAAAUGUUAUUCAUCUUAAACCAUAUAUGAUAAGAUUAGAGGAGUGGUUUGAGGAACAAAAUGAGGAGAGGAAGAAACAAUUUUUAUUGAAGUUAGAGGAGUACAUGAAUCCGAGUUCUACAUCUCUUAAAAAGCCACAAGUGAAGACCAAUAAUCGAGGCCGUCCACAUAAAGAAGAUAUCUCCACUCGUCGUUUGCCUUCUGCCUUUGAGUAUGUGAGUGCAUUAUCAGGCCAUGAUAGUCAGUCAUCCAAUCCCACCAUGGGUCUCAAAGAAAAAAAUCGAAGAAGGUUUCAAAGAAUAAACAACAAUCAGAGCCCAAAGAGUCGCAAGUAUCCAUAAAAAGGAAAAAUAAGGUGCUCAAUAAUUCAAACCAGAAGGUAAGCACUUACUAAUAUAAUAUAUAAAAAAAUGUAGGGUGAACAAAGCAAAUUUGAAAUUACAAAAAUAUAUGUGAGGUGAUGUAACACCCUGACCCAGGUGUUAAAAAAAAAACGAAUAAAAUAAAUAAGAAAAUCCUAAAAUCAAAAAUGAGAUAGGAUCUCAUUCUCAAACAAAACAACAACGCAGUUUUACUGCGUUUGGAACCUAAAUUUAUUUUGUUAAUUUGCGGCUACACCCAAAACUUGAUCGGGCUGCCUACGUACCCUUUUAAAGGGAUCAAGCCACUCGUAGUUCAUCAUUUUAUACUAAUUCUUCACCUUCAAUAACAACUGUAUCGAAUCUGGAAUUUGUGUGGGUGUAAGUCCUCAAAUUGAUAAGGACACCCAAGUUCUCAAUCCCACACUUCCUCUCAUUUUCUCCGAAAGUUUUCUAAUUACACACCAUGCUCGCUCAUAUUAAAUUCAUUGUCACUCUUCUUGUCUCCCUUACACCAUCCCAUCGUUGUUGGCACCGUUCAGUCCUAAUCUGCCAUCUCAACUUAAAUUGCAAAGCACAUAGCCAAUACAUCAUUUCCAACUCAAAAUCAUGCUCUGCAGUUCUAAUAUGAUCAUAAAUUAACCAAACAUUGUCCAACAACCAACACCAUCGUCAUGCACAGUAGAGCAGUAGAACCUCAAGUACCAAAUCCUGCAACUCUCAACCAAUUUNNNNNNNNNNNNNNNNNNNNNNNNNNNNNNNNNNNNNNNNNNNNNNNNNNNNNNNNNNNNNNNNNNNNNNNNNNNNNNNNNNNNNNNNNNNNNNNNNNNNNNNNNNNNNNNNNNNNNNNNNNNNNNNNNNNNNNNNNNNNNNNNNNNNNNNNNNNNNNNNNNNNNNNNNNNNNNNNNNNNNNNNNNNNNNNNNNNNNNNNNNNNNNNNNNNNNNNNNNNNNNNNNNNNNNNNNNNNNNNNNNNNNNNNNNNNNNNNNNNNNNNNNNNNNNNNNNNNNNNNNNNNNNNNNNNNNNNNNNNNNNNNNNNNNNNNNNNNNNNNNNNNNNNNNNNNNNNNNNNNNNNNNNNNNNNNNNNNNNNNNNNNNNNNNNNNNNNNNNNNNNNNNNNNNNNNNNNNNNNNNNNNNNNNNNNNNNNNNNNNNNNNNNNNNNNNNNNNNNNNNNNNNNNNNNNNNNNNNNNNNNNNNNNNNNNNNNNNNNNNNNNNNNNNNNNNNNNNNNNNNNNNNNNNNNNNNNNNNNNNNNNNNNNNNNNNNNNNNNNNNNNNNNNNNNNNNNNNNNNNNNNNNNNNNNNNNNNNNNNNNNNNNNNNNUUAUUAUAUAUAUAUAUAUAUAUAUAUAUAUAUAUCAUUUACCGAGAUAGUAACUUCCCGUUUAUAGACCAUAACUUUCUCAUACAAACUCCGAUUUAAGCGUGCCACGUGUCCACGAUCUCGUAUUAACGUCCUCUACGACUUCCAUGCAGGAAGUUUUCCCAAAUUAUCGACUUAACGAAAAGUCAACUUUUUGGGUCUUUUACGGUAAAACGGUUACAAGAAACAAUAAUUGAAAAUUUCCUGGAAACUUUAUAAUUCAAAGAACCUAGCUCGUCGCUCCGGAAAAUAAUCCGGGCAUACCGGUGAGCUCGUAUAAACAUGUACCACGACUUCGGAGUUUUAAAUCUACUAUUUACCGUUUUCAGAAAAACUCAAAAACAAACUCAAGUAAUCGUUAUUUAAAUCUCUGAACGCGAAUAAAGAAAAGUCUGCGGUAACUCAUAACCUCGAAUAGUAACCUUUUAGGUACGGGUUAUUACAGGUGAGAAUAUGUGAGGUGAGAAGAGAACGUUGAGUGAACAAAGUAGAAUUGAGAAAAAAAGUAUUUUAGGUAUUGAAAGUGGGUGAACAAAGUAGACUUACAAUAAAAAGUAUCCAAGUGGGGUGUGAAAAGAAUGUGAGGUGAACAAAGGGGUUUGUAGGAUGGUAAUAGGCGCACCAUAAAGUAAAUUUAAAAUUAAAAGAUAUAUAGGCGGCGUGAGAAGAGAUCGAAUGUAGGGUGAACAAAGCAAAUCUAAAAUUGAAAUUGAAAAAAAAUAUAUGUAGGGUGAAAAAAAAAAUUAGGAAGAAAAAAUGGAAAAAUGAUAUUUUAGGUAUUGUAAAUAGGUGAACAAAAUAGACUUACAAUUAAAAAUAUAUAAGUGAGGUGUGAAGAGAACGUAGGGUGAACAAAAUGAUUUGUGGGAUGAUAAUAGACGUACUAAAACAUAUUUAGAUUUGGAGAAAAAGAAACAGAUGUAGGUAGUGGUGGUGGUGGUCGGCGGAGAUAAUGGAGUAUGGAGCAACGGGGUGGGUUUUGGGUUUGGAGAACGGUUAAGGCCGAUGAGAUUGGGUUUUAUGGAUAAUGGGAUUAAAGAAUUUUUGUUUACGUGAUUAUUGCAAUUAAUAUGUUUAAUUUUUUUUUUCCAUUUAAAAAAUGUCAAGUAAUUUGAAAAAAAAUUCCGGAAUAAAUUGUGUACAUUUUAAAAAUGAAAUGUUGAACCCUAAACAUUAUUAAGGUGGACAAAUGUGCGGCCGACGACACACCACAUGGGUUAUAUCUUACAUAAAAAUAGCUUUUUAAAUCUUUAAAUCUUUAUAAAAUCAUAGUAAAUAGCUCGGUUACUUGAAUAAUUUCACGAAAAUUAAUGAGCCCUUGUGGUGAUGCGUUCUUUCUACCUUAGUAAAGAUUUUGAGAAAAUUAUAUUCGCGUAACACGACUGCCCUUAGGGCUUGGGGAGAUAGAAAGGUAUACAUAGAGUUGACAAUUUUGAUUAAUGUCCAAAUGUUAUCAUAAAUAUGUGACUUUUCUACCUAUCAGUAUUUUACUAUACCGAUCACAUCUUAUUGCACAAAAUUAUCAAAAAAAUUGUUUCCUCUAUAUAGUUGGUUCACAAUGAUGUACACUUUAUUGUCGGUGAGCCGUGGUAAGGUUGGUUAAAGUGGUUAACUAACAGCUUUAAGGUCAUCGGUUUAAACAUCAUUGACAUAUAGGCCUAUAGGGUGUGUGAGUUAUUUAAUAAGAGAAAUUUUUUUUUUUAAAGUUAUUAAACAAUUUAUACCACAUUAGUAUGCACGUUGUGAUUCCAAUGCCUGAAAUUCAAAAAAUCAAAAUUCAACCGUUUGAUGUGAUCAUUAUAGUUAAAUAUGACUAUGGUAGAAAAUUCAACUCUAUUCAGUAACGUUCGGGGUUUGAUCGAGGCGGUCAACCCUAUUUUUAAGUGACUUGUCACACGAAAAUGCUCUUAUCUACCCCUAUGUGACCUAUUUUGGUUGAUUCUUCCACACACACUCUCACAUAUUUGAGAUGUAGCCGCCCAAGUAAAAAUUUGGGGACAUUUACCUCCUGAGGAUAGGAUUCCCCAUAGGGAAACAUAAGCGUAAUUAGGGUUGAUCGCUUUGAUCGAGACCCAAACAUUGUCGUUAGAGUGAUUUUUUUACCAUAGCCGUAUUUCACUAUAUCGCUCACAUCUUAUUUCACAAGAUUUUCAAAAAUUUUGUUUUCUCUGUAUAGUUGGUUUACGAUGAUUUACACUUGCAUAUAAGCUAUUAAACAAGUUACAUCAUAUUAGUAGACACAUUAUGAUUCCAAUGCUCAAAAUUCACGAAAUCAAAAUUCAACAGUUUGAUGUGAUCAUUAUAGAUAAAUAUAACUAUGGUAGAAAAUUCAACUCUAUUCGGUAACGCUUAGGGCUUGAUCGAAGUGGUCAACCCUAUUUUCAAGUCAUUUAUCACACGAAAAUGCUCUUGCCUACCCCUUUGUGACAUAUUUUGGUUGAUUCUUCCACACACACACUCUCACAUAUUUGAGAUGUAGACCCCCAUAUGAGACGUUUAUCUCCCAAGGAUAGGGCUCCCCUUAGAGAAGUAUAAACGUAAUUAUGGUUGACCGCUUUAAUCGGGACCCAAACGCUGUCGAAUUAGAGUGAUUUUUCUACCUUAGUCGUAUUUUACUAUUCUGAUCAUAUCUUAUUUCACAAGAUUUUCGAAAAUUUUGUUUCCUAUGUAUAGUUGGUUUACAAAGUUGUACACUUACAUAUAAUCUACUAAACAAGUUAAACCAUAUUAGUAGGUAUGUGGUGAUUUAAUGACUAAAAUUCAUAAAAUCAAAAUUCGACCAUCCGAUGUGAUCAGUAUAGUGAAAUAUGGCUAUAGUAAAAAAUUCACAUAUUUUCGUUAAUGUCUGGAUAUUGAUCCACGUGGUCAACUAUAUGCAUGUAUCAGUUUACUUGCUUAAGGACAGCCAUAUUCGGAGAUAAAUAUUUAAACUUUUUAAUAUAAAUGGAUAGAACACAUCCCCAUGAGAGCACAACAAUUUUUGAAAUUUUUUUUGAGCAACUGAGUUAUGUGUGUUGAUGUUUGAAGAUUCGAAACUUUUAAAAAUCAAUUUGAAGUAAAACAUGACCCCGUUGCGCCAUUUAAAUCGUUUUUUGUUUGUUGAAUAUUUAUUUUCUAGGGAGCUUUACUUAAAUAAUUUGAGUAUAACAAAAUUUCGUAAAAUUAAAGUUGGGAAUAUAUUAAGAAAUUAAAAAACUUUCUUACAAAAAUAUUAAGAAUUCAUUUUUUUUUAAUAUUUAUUAGCCGCCAUCCCCGCCAACGGCCAAGUACAAUCCUUACAACGACAAGACGCCGCCAUCCUCCGUUCUCUGAGAGAACUUCUCUCCACCACCACCACCACCACCACCACGACCAGGGCCUAAACCCGAAUUUCAUCCCAGCCAAAAAACAAACCCCAAAUCUCAUCUCUGCUUCCCUUUUGCCAAACACUCCCCAACACCGCCCUCCUAUCCCCUUCGUGAUCUCCACCAUCAAACCCAGACCCUCGCCGCCCAUCCCCUCCGCUCUCGUGUUAUGUGUAAUCUCUCAAAUUGAAAAGUGUCGUGCUUGUUCAACGAUACUGUACCUUUCAAUCGCAACCAACAAAAUUGCAAUAGUAUAUAAAACAAGGCCCCCUCCCUUCUUAUUUGUGGUCCGUCGGAGGAAGAACACCAACCAGAAAAAUCCCCAUAAAAGAAUCUUCUUCUUGUGAGCAAAUGAGAAAAGAAUCUUCUUCUUCUUUGGUCCCUUUUGUCAGUCUUUCUCAUGUAUGAAUAACCUAAGCCACAUAUUUAAGACUAGAGAAAUGAGACGGCUGUGAGAAUCAAAAAUUGAUAUAUUUAACGAUAAUUUUGAAAUUUAGGUACUCUAUCAAUAAUUAUUAUUUUUUAUGUUUUAACAAAUUAUAAACCGACACGUGGGCAAGAGAGAAGAGAGAAAAGAUUUAGCAAUUGCUUUAGUUAUACAUGGAUCAUUGACAAAUUUGUCAAUUUUAUUUACCAAUAAUCAAAUUUAACAAUAAUUUAUGUAUUUUGUUGAAGCAUCAAUUCACUUAAAAAAUUGAUAAAUUUCCAGUUUAGCAAUACUACUAGUGAAGACCAUUGAUUCAUGGUUCUUGCUGAUCUCUUGAUUCAUGGUUCUUGCUGAUCUUGCGGUUGGUAUUAUAUUUCGUCUUUACUUUCCCAAUCACGUGCAACCCACGAGCAGUUUGUAUCCCAUACAAAUCAAUAUAGCAGAAUUUUCCAUUUCCACCAGCCUAUAUCGCAAAUCAAAGAUGUGUAAGUUUUAACACUUGGAGUAAUACCUCGGCUGAUCAUUUCUGUGAGGAGCUUUGAUGCUUCAUCAAUGAGUGUGGCCUUGCAUAGACCGUCAAUGACAGUGUUAUAGAAGACUAUGUCAGGUGUACAACCGUUUUCUUCCAUCUUACUAAGUAAUUGCAUGGCCGCACCGUUGUUUCCCAUCUUGCAGGAGCCAUUUAUAAGUGUUGAAAGUAACCACAUUGGGCUUACAGUGAUCUCCCUUGAGCAUUUUGUUGAAAAUUCAUCCCAUCUCAGGCACUUGAUUGUUGAGAACGAAGUCGUUGAUUAGAGUGUUAAAGGUAAUAACAUGUGGUUGAAGAGCCAAUUUGAAGAAGUUUUCCAAGACAGAUAAGCCAAAACCCAUUCGAUUCAAAUGGCUAUAACAAUUAAUCAUAAUAGAGAGAGUAUAUUCAUUAGGAACAAUUCAAUAGAGAAGCAUUUGUUUAAAGAGAGGGAUGACUGUAGAAUAUUGUUUGAAUUUGACCAGUUGAUUCAAGAUUUGAUUGAAGUGGACAAUAGAAGGCAGAGGACGCAAGUGAAGUAUUUCAUCGAACACCUUAAAGGCAUCCUCGAUAUCACUCACUCUGGGUUUAUUUCCCAAUUGGAUUUCUCUAAAUUUACUCACUUUGGGGUUUGGGCAUUGAGGGUGGUUGAGGGUAGGCCUCAUCAUUUAGCCAUUCGGCCCUAACCCGCCCUAUCCUCUAGGGCCGAAGCCCUACCCGAACCUAGGGGUGGGCAUAAAAAACCUAAAUCCCGGUCCCGUCCCAGUCCCAUCCCGAAAUUUGACGGGAUGGGACAGGAUCUAUGUCUAAAAACAUUAGGCCCGUCCCGUAGAGAAACAACAGGACGGGACGCGGGACUGAAAAGUUGAGGCCCGUCAGGCCCGUCCCGUCCCGUGUAAAAUAUAGAGUAAUCUUAGCCAUUGAUUUUUUUAGAUGUUUUGAUCUCAACCUUUCAUUUUUUGAACCCUAAUACCAACUCUCUUUCACUCUUUCACUCUCUCAGUCUCUCACCUCUUUCACUCUCUUCAGUCUUGCAGUCACUCUUUCGAACCCAACUCUCUUUCAAGUUUCAAUCUGCUUCCUCCUCACUCUCUCAGUCUCUCUUUCGAACUCCUCCACCGCCCACUUCCUCCUCCUCCUUUUCCUCCGCCUCCGCAUCUCACCGCCCGAUUCCUCCUCCUCCGCUUCCUCCUCCACUUCCUCCUCACAAACUACAACCGGCGACAAGGCAACCCCAAUCUUCCCGGGACCAGCGCGACUUCUCGGAGCAUGACAAGCACCAGGUCUUCCAAACGAAGCAGCAGCAACAAGCACCAGGCCUCCUCUUCCUCCGCUUCCUCCUCCUCCUCCUCUGUCGCUUCCUCCGUCAGGCAAGAUUAUUUUCACUCUCACUCUCUCUUUCUCUCUUUGUAAUACCCCAUACCUAAAAGGUUACUGUUCCGAGUUAUGAGUUACCGCAGAUUUUUCUUUAUUCGCGCUCGGAGAUUUAAAUAGUGAUUGCUCGAGUUUAUUUUCGAGUUUUUUUGAAAAUAGUAAAUAGUGGAUUUAAAACUCCGAAGUUGUGAUACACAUUUAUACGAGCUCACCGGUAUGUCUGGAUUAUUUUCCGGAGCGACGAGCUAUGUUCUGUGAAUUAUUGUUUUUUGUAACCGUUUUACCGUAAAGGACCCAAAAAGUUGACUUUUCGUUAAGUCGAUAAUUUGGGAAAACUUUCUUCAUGGAAGCCGUAGAGGAUGUUAAUACGAGUUCGUGGACACGUGGCACGCUCAAAUCGGAGUUCGUAUGAGAAAGUUAUGGUCUAAAAACGGAAAGUUACUAUUUCGGUAAAGGGUAUAAAAAAAGAGAGAGAGGGAGGUUCUAGAGGGGUCGGUUAAACCAACCUAAGCAACAAAUUAAAAGAAAAAGAAGGUUCGAGAGAGAGGGGACGGAGGAGACAAUCAGUUCAGACCCAGACCGGGUCAUUCUCGACCCGAAUAGAGUCAGCAGGUCAACCCGACUGGUUCUCUGUUUUUUGGCGACGACAAGGAGAAAGAAUGGUAGUGGCAGCUUCCUCUCGUUCUCGUGGUCAUGUUCAUGCCCUUGAUUUUCAGAUAAGAAGUCUGGAGUGAGAGAUUCGAAGUAGAGAAGGAAAGGCUGGGUUCACCGGCGAGUCUCCGAUUCCGGCACCGUUGACGCCUCUCACUGGUAUGGAUAGCUUCAUCUCGAUCUCAGGAACCUUUCCAUGUUCCUGGUUUUUGAAGAGAAGCUCAGAGGAGGGAGAAUCGAAUAGAAGAAGUUAUGGGAUUUUUCCGGCGAGGGUUCGAUGUUUUCCGGCGACCUCCGAGUUCAACUCAGGUAUCAAAGUUGGUCUAUUCUUCGAGCUCUACCUGUUUAUAUAAUUGAAAUUGAGGUUGGUUGAGAUUUGGCAGUGGAGGACAGCCGUGUGUGUGCUACUGUGCACGGUGGCGUUGAUGAUGUUUUGAGUUUUGGAUUAGCUAUCUUUGAUAUUGAUAGAAGCUUUGGAAUAUAAUUUCCUGGUUGGUUGUAAUCGAAUUUGAGGCUGUGAUUAUUGAGAUUGAUGUGUGGGUUGUUAUUUUGGUGAAAUGAUGAAGGAAUGGCAGUAAGGGGGAGAUCAGACUAGUUGCUGCAUUCUCGGUCAAGGAAUUGAAAUUGAGGAUUCAGCUGUGUUAUGAUCAAUUUGAUAUUAAGGAAGGACAAGGAGAAAUCGUGGUAUUAGAAGAAAGGAUGUUAACUCGCACUUUGGAUGCUACUGUGUUCUUCAUUUGGGUGCAGAGCAAAAUGGGAUCUCUACCUAUAUCUUUGAAGAUUUUGACGAAGUGGUGAAGAUGGAUCAGACUAGCUACCUUGUUGUUCUGCUAUGGAUACAAAGAGUAAAUAAAGGAGCCAACUAUGAAUGAUUAAAUAGAAAGGUGAGUUGAACUUUGUAUAAGUUGCUGGGAUUUGGACUUGUACAUUAAAGUUUCUGGUUUGGGUGCCUUGUUAAUUAACUGGUGUUAUCAAGUUUGGUGUAGUCAAUUGAAUUAUGGAUUUUGUGAGUUAUAUGAUCGUGAUGAUUUGCAUGGUAGUCAUUGUGUUGAAAAGCUGAUAUUAAUAUUGAAUCUAUAAAAGGAAGAUGCUAAUUAAACCAUUGAUGUAUAUAUCACAAUCAGAGCCUGAAGUUGCUUGUAUAUUACUGUUAGACAGUUGUUGGAUUUAGUAUAAUGCUAGGAAAGUUGAUGAUUAGUGGUUUUGGUUGUCCAUAGUAAAAUCAGAGAUAGGUUAGUAAUUGAAGUGUUGAUAUGAGCAAGCCUAAAGGUGAAUUGGAAUGUGACGAUGAAUUUAAUAUGAACGAGCAUGGUAUGUAAUUAGGAAACUUUCAGAGAAAGUGAGAGGAAGUGUGGGAUUGAGAACUUGGGUGUCCUUAUCAAUUUGAGGACUUACACCCACACAAAUUCCAGAUUCGAUACAGUUGUUAUUGAAGGUGGAGAAUUAAUAUAAAAAGAUGAACUAUGAGUGGCUUGAUCCCUUUAAAAGGGUACGUAGGCAGCCCGAUCAAGUUUUGGGUGCAGCCACAAAUUAACAAAAUAAAUUUAGGUUCCAAACACAACAAACAUUUUGUUUGUUUUGAGAUCCUACCUCCGUUUUGAUUUAGGUUUUCCUUAGUUAUUUUAUUCGUUUAUUCUUUUAACACCUGGGUUAGGGUGUUACACACUCUCUCUCUCUCNNNNNNNNNNNNNNNNNNNNACUACUCUCUCUCUCUCUCUCUCUCUCUCUCUCUCUCUCUAUCUCUCUCUCUCUCUCUCAUGCUUUCACAGUGUACCAAUUCUGCAGCUCUACCCCUAAUUUCACUGAAACUCAUGAAUCAAGUCCAUUAUUUUUCUCACUGUGUUUGCUUCUGUCUAGCUCGCUGCUUGUUUUGAUUGUUUUUUGAUUAGGAUGGUUGCGAUCAAAUUUAGGCUUUAAGAGAUGUAGUGGAAGUGAGAUUUGGAUACUUGAUAUUAAGUGUUAUGGCAAUGGUUAGAGAGAAAUCUAUCAUUGGUUAGAGAAAUCAUCAGGCAAGGUCAUUAGUUUAGACGUAAAUAGUUUAUAUGAAUUAGUUAUACUGUUGAUUAUGCUAUGUCUAUUCUCCUCAUGAAUGUCAUAUUGUGGAUUGAUACUUGAAAGCAUGAUUGUGAUUUGUGAUACUCCUAAUAUUGGGGCGGGAUGGCGGGAUUAGGCCCGUCCCGUUUGGGACGGGACCUGCGUGGGAUCAAGUCUUAAGAACGUAAGGCCCGUCCCGAUCCCGUCCCGUGUGCAAUGUCCGGGACGGGCCGUGUGAUGACCCUAAUCCCGUCCCGUCUCGUCCCAUGCCCAGCCCUACCCGAACCUCCAUUAGGGCGGGCUGACCCUAGCUUUUCUCAAAUAGGGUAGGGUAAGGGUCGAGCAAAUUUAGGCCCUAAUAAUUCUAUAAUUUUUCUGUUGUUUUUAAUGUCUCUUAUUUUUUAGAUCAAUACAACUAAUCUUGUAAUUGGUUUUGUAAGCUUUAUUUCUUUGAUUUCCUUUUGCUUUGUUAAACAAUGAUUGGAUUUUAAUGAUUUAGAGAGAUAGUUCAUAAGAUAUAUGAAUAUAACCACUUAGAUUAAUAUUUAUUGAUACAUGUUUUAAGUUAAGUAUAAUGUGUAUGCAUGUAUUUUAAAUAUGACUAAAAAAUAGAGUGAUAUAAUCAUUUAAAAAAAUUUUGAGGAAAAAAAAUAAAAACUAGCCAAUUUUGGCCCUAUUUAAAAGGCCGACCCUAUCCAACCCUAUCCGGCCCUUUUAGCCCUAACGAAAUAGGCCUUUAGGACAAAUAAAUGUUUACAUUAACCUUAAGUUUUGUUGACUAAAUCAAAGCUCAGCCCAUGAUGAGGCCUAACUGAGGGUCUCUCCACAGACUUUGGGUAUUGGGGAUCUAUAGAUUUGGUUGGGUUUAAGGAUUGAGAGUAUAGGGUUUUGAGCGGGCUAGCCCGAUAUGAGGCAGUCCUAGGGGGUCUGGGCCGUCGUGGGCCUACGCACGCGGGCGGGUACACCAUUUAAAAAAUAUAAAUCGUGGAAAACAAAGGCCAAGAUCCCCAAAUUCGAAACAACACCGAGUACUGGACGCUCUGCUUCUCUAUUUUCUCUCUACAAGACUGAGUUUGUCAACUCGGGCGAGGAUUGAGUCAUGGGCGGCGAGUUACGCUACGAGAUCGCACAGAACGCGUACAUAAAGCUCGUACUCCACGCCCUCAAGCACAAGACCUCCGCCGUCAACGGCAUCCUACUCGGCCGCGUUUCCCCUCAAAACGACGUCGUCGAGAUCACCGACUCCGUCCCUCUCUUCCACUCCCAGCUCGGCCUCCUCCCCCAGCUCGAGAUCUCCCUCAUCCUCGUCAGUCCCGCUUUCCUCAAAUCUCAAUAGUUUCGAAUUCAAUUGAAUUGAUUUUUCGAUUAUAUAGUUGAUUUGGAUUUUACAGAUUGAGGAGCAUUUCGCUGCGAAAGGAGUGAGCAUUGUCGGGUACUUCCACGCGAACGAGAGGUUUGAUGAUCAGGAGCUUGGGAGCCUGGCCAAGAAUGUUGGCGAUCACAUUUAUCGCUACCUUCCUCAAGCUGCGGUGCUCUUGGUAAUGUGAUUUUGUUUAUUUAUAUGAGUGUUUUUUCGGGUUUUUCGAUUCGAGAGAUUGGAGUUUUAUUUUGCGUCUGUGUUAUCUGUUUGCAGUUAGAUAACAAGAAGCUUGCAGCUUUGUCAAAAACUAAGGACCGGAGCCCCGUGGUUCAGGUUGGUAUCUUUGAUUGCUUUUUGUGUUAGUGCAUUAUAGGCUGGGUUUUUUUAUUAUUUUCUGUUAUCUUGGAUGAACUUGUUAUUGUAUAAUUUAGUUUGAAAAAGGUAGAGAAUUUAUGUGUGGUAAGAGUAUUUCUAGGCUUUCUAGAUCAUGGAACAAAUAGGGUGGGUAGGAGGAUGGUUGAAGUGGAUUGCUGGGAUAAAGAAGAUAAUUUAAUCAUGUGUUAGCAUACUAUAGUAUCCAUACGAAGCGUUUUAGAUAUCAUUACUAGCAUUUCUUGUGGAUGGAGUCGUAGCUCUCUGGACAGUGAGUUACUGAGUUGUAAUGAUAAAGAGGAACUCAGAGAGCUUAAGUUUUUCUAUGACGUAGAUGCAUAGAAUUUCAGGUUAAUCCAAGUCCAAAGACAAGGGUAGAUGAGGUUACCUUUUAGCCCUUCCCUAUAAGACCACCUAGAACAUGAAAGCAUACCGAGCUUUGUGGUUUCUAUGUUCUUUAUGUGAGUUAAUGAUGUCUCAGCAAUAAUAAAAAGUCCUUUUUAAGGCAGAAUACUAGAAUCUGCUAGAAACUGAGUGCUAGUUAAUCACCUUUAGAAAUUAGGAGUUUAAAAUCAUAUCAAGACGAACGUAGUCAGAUACCAGUACACUUCAACUGUACCAACUGAAAGUUUGUCGGCAAAAGGGAACAGUAAAUCAGCAAAGAAUGUCAUGAGUGUUUCAUUCCCCACUUACAGCAGAUGAUCACAGAUCACAAGCUGUGAUCUUUUUAUUAGCCUGAUAACUCAAUUUUUGGGUUGAAGUUUUCGCGAUUGCAAUUCACGUCUAACAGACUCCUUUAGCGUUUUUGUAAUUCAGAUCUUCCAUUUAUUUUGUUAAUCUCUGCUCUUUGUAUGUUGAAGGUGUUAGCUUAUAUAAUUGUUGGUAAAUUCCUAGAUAUUUUGAGAUUUUUACAGACCAGGGUAUCUAACAAUCAUUUGAUGGAAUUUAUACCGGAUUUUGGAGAGGGGAGUAAGAUACUGCUGAAUUCAUCUUGCAGGUUACUUGGAUGAAGAAACCUUAGUGUCGUUACUUUGAACAAUUUAACACUAAAAUCUUGGUGGCAAACUAGGACACAACUUGAAAUUGAUUGUAACUAUAGCAAGAAUAUGAUCCAAAUCAUGAGUCAGAUCAUUCCUUUUUAUACGAUUUCCUUUAGCUCUUCAGAUUACCAAGGUUUUUAUUUCUUUUUAUUUCUUUUGUUAUGAAAAAUGAACACUGCUGAUGAUGGAUCUCAGUGAUGAUAUUAUUGUAUCAACAAAGUAUCAUGUGUCAUUCACUUGCCAAAUAUUAAAAUCAUUCAUGUUCGGCCAUUUAGUUCUAACCUCUGAUCCUAAACCCUCUGAGCCGCUUUGUUCUUUGUGAUGACUAGUUUGCCAUGCCCAUGAUGAUCUUAGAAAAUCAAACAAACAGUACUAACAAUCCAUUUUAUUGAAGUUAGGAAAAUCAAAAGAUGACACAUGUCACUUGAGUGAAGUGCCAUAACCCGCCAUUGGUACAUGACAUGACAUGAUUGGUAUUGUAGAUAAUCUUUCUUCUCUGGUGUGAUUCUCAACUUCGGUUAUUGUUUUCCUUCAAACAGUUAUUUGUCUUGAUUAUGGAUGUUUGAAGCCAUCUUUACUGACUCUCAUCCUUGUUCUCCUAUAUAAGCUCAUAUACUGUUCCUUUGUUUUACAUGGUUUCGUUGAUUUCAGUAAUUAUUUGUUAUGGGGAUUUGUCCCUUGUAUUUACUUUCAGCUUAUAUGUUUCUGAUCUUUUCUAUAUAUAUAUAUAUAUAUUUUUUUUUUUGAAAAAAAUCAGCUUUACACGAAAGAUGCUUCUAGGAUUUGGAAAUUAGUUGGAUCAGAUGGAAAUCAGUUGACAAUGAAGGAGCCCUCAGCCAAUGUUGUUCUAUUGGAUCACAUUUCAACUGAAAAAUGGCAGGAUGUUGUAGAUUUUGAUGAUCACCUUGAUGACAUUAGCAAGUGAGUGCAAUACAACACCACAUCUGUUUCUUCUCAAAAAUUAAUUUCGUGUUUAGAGGUCAAAACUAAUGCUGAUUGGAAAUUUGAUGUAACAGGGAUUGGCUGAACCCAGAGCUCUUCAAGUAAACUAGGCAUUAAUAGCUUCAUCCUAUGCAUCAGAGCAAGAUAGACCGACCUGAAGCUCCUCGAUUCCUUGUUUUAUGAGAAUUUUUCGAGAUGUAAAAAACUGGAUAAACAGCCAUCUCAUACUUUAAAAAGUCUCCAAACUCGAAUAGUAUCUUUGCGCCUCUGAGAGCAUUUCAGUUGUAGCUUAUGGUCGUAGCACUGAACAAAAUUUCGAAAAUGUGACAGACUUUGUAAUCGGUGUGCAAGGUUUUUGAGUCCUGGCUGUUAUGUUACCAGACUACAUGUUAAAGCUGAUUGUUUUCCCAAGUCACCGUGGAAGUAAUGAAAGCAGUGGUUCAUAUCAAAUGUGCUCUGACGACGUCGUUUUGAACAAUGUCACAAUUUAAGGACCAACCUCUACAAUUCAAAUAACAUAUUUGAAAUGCUUUCAACUCUCACUUCCCUCCAUCUUCCUCCUCUAAACCACACUCACUCCCCAACCUCACAAACCCUCACACCCCAUCAUCAUCAUCUUCUCCACACUUUCACCACCCCAUUUGAGCUCAAACAACUCCAUGCCCACCUCAUCAAAACCAACUCUCCCCUCUCCUCCCUCCCCCUCACCCGAAUCGCCUUCGCCUGCUCUCUCACUCCCUCCUUCUCCUACGCCCAUAAACUCUUCCAACUCCUCGAAAACCCCGAAACCACCCCCUGGAAUUCCUGCCUCAAAGCCUUCGCCGAAGGCGAAAACCCUGUAAAUGCAAUACUCCUCUUCCAUCAGCUGCAUUGCUUCAAUGUAGUUCCUGAUAGCUUUACCCUCUCUUUCGUUCUAAAAGCCUGUACCCGCUUAUCGGAUUUUCGCACUGGUAGAGUGCUACAUUGCUAUGUAGAGAAGCUAGGGUUUCGAUCCAAUCUGUUCUUGAUGAACAUGAUUCUGAAUUUGUAUGCGUUAUGUGGGGAAGUUAGGGAUGCACGGAAGAUGUUCGAUAAAAUGCCGCAGAGAGAUGUUGUGACGUGGAAUACAAUGAUGACUGUGUUGGUGAAGAGAGGUGAUGUAGAGGAAGCUUAUGAUUUGUUUUUGAGGAUGCCGGAGAGGAAUGUGAGGUCAUGGACGUUGAUGAUUUCGGGGUUUGUGCAGCGCGGUAAGCCCAAGGAGGCGGUUCGUGUGUUUUUGGAGAUGGAGGAGGCUGGUGUGAGGGCGAAUGAGGUGACUGUGGUGGCGGUUCUCGCGGCGUGUGCUGAUUUGGGGGACUUGGAUUUGGGUAGGAGAGUUCAUGAGUACUCGAGCCGGAGUGGGUUUGGAAGAAAUGUUUGGAUUUGCAAUACUCUGAUUGAGAUGUAUGUGAAAUGUGGAUGCUUGGAGGAUGCACGUAGGGUGUUUGAUGCGAUGAAAGAUCGAACGGUUGUGUCGUGGUCGGCUAUGAUUUCGGGGCUGGCCAUGCAUGGACAGGCUGAGGAAGCUUUGAGGCUUUUCUCUAACAUGGUUGAGAUAGGGAUGGAUCCAAAUCAUGUAACUUUUGUUGGACUCUUGCAUGCUUGUAGCCACAUGGGGUUUGUAGACAAGGGCCGUGAGUUCUUCGAAAGAAUGACUGCAGAUUAUGGAAUAGUUCCGAGAAUUGAGCAUUAUGGUUGUAUGGUUGAUCUUUUAAGUCGGGCAGGGCUCCUUCAAGAGGCUUACGAGUUCAUAAUGAACAUGCCUAUAAAACCGAAUGGUGUUGUGUGGGGAGCUCUCCUUGGUGGAUGCAAAGUUCACAGAAACAUUGAACUGGCUGAAGUGGCAACUAAGCACCUUGCUGAACUUGAUCCACUGAAUGAUGGAUACUACAUUGUUUUGUCGAACAUUUAUGCAGAGGCACAACGGUGGGAAGAAGUGGCGAGUGUGAGAAAGCUAAUGAGGGAUCGAGGGGUGAAGAAGACACCUGGGUGGAGUUCAAUCACAGUAGAUGGGGUGGUUCAUGAGUUUGUUGCUGGGGAUGAAGCCCAUCCUCACGCUGAGGAGAUCAACCAAAUGUGGGAGAAACUACUUGAAAGAAUGAGGAUGAAGGGUUAUGUGCCCAAUACUUCAGUUGUUCUACUAGACAUGGAAGAGGAACAGAAGGAGAAAUUUCUCAGUCGCCAUAGCGAGAAAUUAGCCCUGGUUUUUGGGCUGAUCAAAACAAAGCCUGGAACACCAAUUCGAAUUAUGAAGAAUCUUCGUGUUUGUGAGGACUGUCAUGCUGCUUUGAAACUUGUAUCAGAAAUUGCGGAGAGAGAGAUAGUUGUGCGUGACCGAAACAGGUUCCAUUGUUUCAAAAAUGGUUAUUGUUCCUGCAGGGAUUACUGGUAGUAGGUCGUGGAAAAGUAACACUACAUUUUAGCUAACAUUCUUGUUGUCAUUUGUCAAAGAAACUUGAAAUGUAGAUUUGUAUGCUACUCUUUUCAGUAACAAAACACUAGCUUCAAAUGUAAUGUAAAAUCAAAUAAUUUAUUACUCAAAGUAAAUCAAACUACAUCUUUAUGUGUACCAAUCUGCUGUUGCUGCACGACGAUAACCAUCAUCAACAAACACUAGAUUCUAGUUGAACUGCGCUACGAUUUGAAGAACUAGAUGAGCUGAUCAACUAUCCCAGCAGCUCUGGAGUUUGUCAUAAAACUGGACACCCUGGGACCUUUACUCCUGGACCAGUAGGGCACUUAGCCAAUGGACAAUGAUCAGUACUGUCCUGUCCCCACCAUUCUGGACCGGAGAUACCCUUACUCUGAAGGGUGAAAUACACAAGAACUGCCAUGAAGGCCACACCGGCAUCCAAAGCAGCUGAUAGGAUAUAGUUAUGCCUUCCCCACCAAGCCCUGUGUUGUCGAUAAACAUAGACAUUAAAGAAAAUUCCAACUGCGAACCACAUCAAGUAGUGGACAGGUUUGGCUGGUGGCAUCAGUGCCGUGGCUCCAAGGAUGACAGGCAUGUUUAUGAGCUUUAACCACUCAACCUUGGGGAAUUUGCGCGAAAGGAGCCAACCUGGUAUAGGUGCAAGUAAACCAACAAGGAAAAACCAGUUCAUCUCUGGGUACACUCCGUGCUUAGUGAACAUUCUGAGAGGGCCUAUGACUCCCCAAAUGAUUGAGGCAUUGUAGAAGACCUCAUCACCAGGACAUGUCCAUGGACUUCCCUUUGGCAGUUUUGAUGGAUCGCAUAUGUUCUUAACAGUUGUGAGAAGCCACCAGGAUGUGCCGAAAUAACAACUUGAAGCGGCCAGUGUUCCAGCUAACUGGAAGAAUGUAAAUGCAUACCAGUGAUUUAUUAGACAUACAAACAACACGAACAAUUAAACAAGUGUUUAACUUAAUAAUACCAUUACCUGUACAAUAAACAUGGACUUGGGAGGGAUCUUCAUAUAGUGACCUAACUUGAAGUCACUGAGAAACAUGAGUGCUUGUGACAUGCUGAUGUAGCCAUAGAUUUUGAAAGCCACAUUGGCAAGAGGCCUCCCGGAUAAAUAUACCCAAUAACCAACUCUGUGAUCACAUUGAGUCCCGGUUGCUGUACAGUACAAAGUUUAAAACAGAAAUCACAACGUUAUUAGUUGCAAUUUUCUACCAAGAAAUUGAACUUAAUUGCAGCAUAGCAUGGGGAACAUUUAUCGUAUAUUUACAUGAACAUACUAUGUUUGUUGUGGCUUGAAUGAUGCCGAUGGGUAAGGUGAAAACUACUGCAAUGGCACAAGCCAGUAAGACUCCCCACCAUGGAAGUUGGAGUUGUUUCCCGAAACCUUCACAAACAAAGAUGGAAAGGCAAAUCAUUGUAACAAGGAUGAUGUGAAACCACCAUUGAGGAACUGCCUCAUAGUUCUUCCUCAUCAGCCGUGUGUGAAUGUCUCCAAGCUGUUUUGCUGCGGAAGAAGUCUUUUUCCACAUUUGCCAGAUUGCUCUGUUCAUGAAUAUAUUUCCCACAUUUGCAGAUCAGUUGAAGUCUGUCCGAACUAGGAGAAAGAAAAGAAAAUAAAAACUUACUUACUUUCCAUGGAAGAGUGCAACAUGUGAAAUAGUUGCUGUCAGAUUAGCAAAGCUCCAUCCAUACAUCGUGGCGAAGUACAUAGGGAGAUAAAGUUUACUGUAACUGCUAUACUCCUUGAGAUCAAUAUUGAAAGUUUUCUCGUCCAGAACUCGGGAAACAUUAUAGGGUUUACCAGUGAAGUCGAAAGGACGAGACGAAAAGAUGGGAAACUUCCUAGCAUCUUUUACAUUGAACCAAUAAUUAAUCGGGGUGACAAUGUAGAAAAUGAACAAAAAACCAGCCAACAUGUUCAUGAACACAAAACCGGGUGUUGCUAAUGGGCUCUUCAAGAAGCUAGCAAUAGUUGACCAAUCAAGGCCAAACGAGCCAAUGCCAAGGCCACUGAGGCCGGAACCAAUUAGUUGAGCGGUAACAGAGUCCUUCCAUAUCCAACAAACAAAGGAGAGAGCACCUAUGGAGGGCAUUAGAAAACUUGGAACAAUGUAGUAAGCGAAGCUGCAUACGAAAACUAAGCUGAAGUACUGCAGCCUAGUAGGGCCUCCCUUUGGUCUUAUUUCCCAUUCAUGAAGUGCCCUGUCAUUGCAAAUAAGAAUUUGUUUACAACUAGCAGAAAUAUCCAACAUCUCAAAUAUAUUCACUUGAAGAAAAUAUGUAUCCCAACUUUUAUGUAGCUAAAACUGAUCUGCUCAUAUCAGAUAUAUACUUGAAAUUGAGCUCUCUCCACCCAAUGCCAGUUAGUCCUUCUAUAUAUAUGCUACAUUUUGGUCAAUCAUGAAAAGAAAAGCGUCAAUUAUGCUAUCAAAGUACUAUAACUAUACUCUAUCAGUCAUGUCAUAUCUAAAAUCCCAAGUGCUCAUCACUACCAUAUGUAAAAUGUCGAUCUUCUUUUCUUCCCCAUGCUAGUCAGUUUUGGACUUUCGGAUUCUAAGAGAGGUCAAUGCUACGAUCUAACUGCAACAAUUUCAGUAUGAUGAUGGGAAUUAGAUUGGAAAAAAAAAAACCUGAAAAGAGAGACCUGAACCAGGUUUUCAGGCCACCACAUGAAAGGGGAAUCAACAAGGUACUUUCUGAACAACCCAGCCCAUCCAUAUCCAAGCAACUGAAAAUAACAAACAUACACAGUCAAAACAUGAACUUCACAACACUAGAAUGAACCAAGUCAACCAACACAAACAUGGAUCACUUUGAGAAAAAGAAAAAAAAAAAAAACAAAUAAAGUAAAAAGUUUACUUGAGUGGUUUGGGCUAACAAGAAGGCUGCAAAAGGAUGCAUUUCCCUUUUGUAGAAAGCCUUCACAAUAGUGAUAAUGUUAACUGCAAAAACACUUUGUGAUCCAGAAUUGGCAAAGAUGGUGAUCAACACAUGCUCCUUCAAGUUGAAAGGUCCAGGGUUGAACGAAAAUGUCCAUCCGAAAACUCGGAACUGUUUUGUUGGGAGAGUUGAAGCCAUGAGUUUUCCGAGAGGGAGGACGAUGAUCUGGGCUGAGACUGAAGAAAUGAUGAGACUGUUUUGGCGGUAACCAAAGAACUGGUUCGCAAAGGCAAGAGUGCAGCAUGAUAAAAGACCUAGAACCCACGUACGAAAUGUUAAGGCCGGAACUGAAGGGUCGUCGGUGAUCGGAACUGUUAGCCUGACUUGCUCGAUCGGACUGUCGUUGAACUCAUCAUCUGCAACAAGUUUACAGAAUUGGUGAUCAGUAUGUAGGCCAGGACUGCAAUACAAGCCAGGGUUUUAGCCACGAGGAGCUCAGUAAAAGUAAAACUAAUACUUUACAGUAAUCAGGGUAAAUAUAUGGAGAAUAACCAUGUUAACACGUACAUCAUCAAUUUCUUCUCACAUAUGCAAAAGAAAGAACAUAUAAGUAUUUUUAUGGGAUCCAAUCCAAUUAAGUUACCAUGCAUAUGCAUAGAUUGCAUGCACAAUCAAGGUCAUUUCUCUGCAGCACAAUGUUGAGAAUAUAGUAGUACUAGCAAGUAUAAAUAGCUAGAGAGAGACUUACCAAGGAUAUCGAUCUUCGUCCCACCAGGAAUGGUUGCUUUAGAUUCUGCACCUUCGUCAAGGACUGUCAUCCUUCACCUCUACCUACAGUCCUACACAAGCUCCCUCCUCGAUCAGAGAAUUAUUCCAAAAUUUAGUUCCUUAAUUCUCAAUAUAUGCCUGUACAAGAACUCGGCACCAUGCAUUUAUAUGCUCUUGCUAGUUGUUUUUUUGCCUAGCUUCUUACUUUGUUUCCCUGCAUAAGCUUAAUUACAACGAUACAGUAGUAGUCGAUCUGUAUUGCUUAUCAAAUGAAGCGCAUCUGCAUCAAAUUUCCAAAGGUUUUCAGAUCACGUAGACUGUCAACACCUUGCAGACCACUUCAUCUAUAUACCGGUGAGACCUGACUACACGUAAGUCGGUUUCUGGUCUACCGGAGAUCUGGUCAGCGAGGAAGAGAGAAUGAAAAUGUGGUCCAAAUGGCAACGCUCUUUCAAAGACCUGAUUUUGUGGCCUAGGAUUUGGUUUGCAGCCUAAACUCCUUACUGUAAUAACGGUCAAAGUCACAAACCAUCUAAAUUUGGUUACAUUUGGGACAUGGAGUACACUUAUAUUUGGUGAUUCUUUACUGAUAAACUUUGCAUUGUCGUCCACAUAUAUGUAAUGAGAUAGUUUACAAAUCACAGUUUAAUUUGGGGUGUUGUCUAGUACUAUUUAGUACACAAAGGCUUCACGAAUCACAAGUUCAAUAAACUCGAUUAUUGUAAAAAUAAAAAAAAUUAAAAAAAAUCUCAAAUCUACGUACGAACGAGUGUGCAUCACCGAAUUAACAAUUAAUACAUACAUUAAAAAGUGAGAUAUCAAAAUGUAAUUUACACGUUCAUUUGAUAUGUACAUAAACCACUUGUGGUCAAAAGCAGGUUUGUAUAUCUGAUACUUGAGAGUUUUUAUCUUAUCCUAUGAUUUUCGAGGUCAUGAGUUCUCUCCUUUGCAAUCGGUAAUAAUCAAACGUUACUUUCGAUUCUCAAAAACUUCGAAUAAUGUAAACUAAGUUAAGUUCAUCUACACAAGCAAAUAUAUACUGCAAAGAAAAUCAAAAUGUUCAACAUGUACAAGAGCUUGUAUACACAACGACCCGAAAGACUAAUUUCUAAUGACUACAAAUGAAUGGGUUUAUAUAUGUGCACCCACAAUGUAAUAAGUAGACAUACCAAAUAUAUGGUUCUCAUAGAACUGGACACCCUUUUGCGAUUAUACCUGGUGCAGUAGGGCAACUGGCCAAUGGGCAGUGGUCAUCAUUGUCCAAACCCCACCAAUUUGGCCCUAUAAUAUCCCUACUUUGAAGGGUGAAAAAUAACAGAAUUCCUGAGCAGCUGAUAGGAUGUAGUUAUGCUAGCCCACCAGCUCUUGCACUUUCUGUACACAUAGAAGUUGAAGAAGAUUCCAACUGCAAACCAUGUAAUGUAGUUGGUAGCUCUAGCUGGUGGCAUAUUCCCAGUUGCUCCAAGAAUGACAGGCAUGUUUAUGAGCUUAAUCCACUUUUGAUUAGGGAAUUUCUUGGCAUGGAUAACAACCAGACUGGAACAGGUGCAAGUAAACCGAUGAGGAAGAACCAUAAUGUGAUAAAACUGUCGCUCAUGUGAGCAAACCUAUGAUUUGGUUGAUGUGUGUAGAUUGAAACGCAUUUUUCUAUACCUAGAAUGCAAAGCCGAGGUAAGAUAAAUCGAAUUAUUAAAAACUAAGAAAAGUACUUCUUAAAUUAUCUACACAAACAAAUUUAUUCUGCAAGAAAAAUCGAACUACUUAACAUAUACAAGAGCUUGUACUUGACCAAUCUGCAUAACUAUUCUAGUGAUCACUAAAGAUAAAUGUGUGCACCCUUUUGAGUUUUGUUCUCAUUGAACUGGGCACCCUUUGGCCACUACUCCUGGUGCAGUAGGGCAAGCAGCCAAUGGACAAUGGUCAUCAGCUAACAAACCCCACCAAUCUGGCCCAAAGAUAUCCUUACUCUGAAGUGUGAAAUAUAAGAGAACUCCUGUGAAGGCCACACCAGCAUCCAAAGCAGCUGAUAGGAUGUAGUUAUGCCUAGCCCACCAGCCCUUGAACUUUCUGUACACAUAGAAGUUGAAGAAGAUUCCAACUGCUAACCAUGUAAUGUAGUUGACAGAUCUUGCAGGAGGCAUAUAACCUGUUGCUCCAAGAAUGAUAGGCAUGUUUAUGAGCCUAAUCCACUUUUGGUUUGGGAAUUUCUUGGCGAAGAACCAGAUUGGAACAGGUGCAAUUAAACCGAUGAGGAAGAACCAGUUCAACUCCGGGUAGAUGCCUUUCUUUGUGAACAUUCUGAGUGGACCGACAACUCCCCAUAUGAUCGAAGCAUUGUAGAAGACAUCAUCCCCGGGACAUGUCCAUGGACUUCCUUCCGGCAACAAUGAGACAUCACAGAUGUUUUCGAUGGAGUGGAGAAGCCACCAAGAUGUAGCAAAGUAGACACUAGAAGCAACUACUGUUCCAGCUAACUGAAGAUAUAUAAAUUUCAUAAGAAAUUAAUGAGUAUAAUAUGUAUGAUCAAAAUCUGUAAACAUAUCAGAAAGUCUAUAUGCUACAUUGUCAAAGUGUUACUAUGAACCAUAUAACCAAUUCACAGAAAUAUUGCUACGAUAUAAUAGUAUAACUAACCUGAACAAUAAACAUGGACUUUGGAGGGAUCUUCAUAUAGUGACCCAAUUUGAAGUCACCAAGAAACAUGAGUGCUUGUGACAUGCUGAUAUAGCCAUAGGUCUUGAAAGCAACAUUUGCAAGAGGCCUGCCUGGAUAAAUAUACCCAAUAACCAACUCAGUGAUCACAUUAAGCCCAGGUUGCUGCAGGAUUUGAACAAUUCGUCACAACUCUCACUCAGAAGAAAUUCAGAAUAAAUUAUGAAUGACAAACAUGGUUGCAGAAACGUACCUGAUUUGUUGUUGCUUGAAUGAUGCCAAUGGGUAAGGUGAAGAACAAUGCAAUGCCACAAGCCAUUAGAACUCCCCACCAUGGAAGUUGGAGCUGUUUGCCAAAACCUUCACAAGCGAAAAUUGCAAGACCAACCAUUGAGACAAGGAUGAUGUGAAACCACCAUUGAGGGACUGCUUGGUAGUUCUUCUUCAUGAGCCUUGUGUGGAUGUCACCAACUUGAUCUUUAACUGCACUAGCUGUCUUUCUCCACAUUUGCCAGAUUGUUCUGUUCAUGUAUGUCACAUAAAGAAAUCCAGUAAGCAAUCAAAAAGGAUAAAUUUUAAGCUAUUAAAUAACUUUUGUUGGAGAACGCUGCUUACUUUCCAUGGAAAAGUGCAACAUGUGAAAUUGUAGCAGUGAGAGUGGCAAAGCUCAGUCCAUAACUGAAGGCAAAGAAAGUACUGAGAUGGAGUUUGCUGUAGCUGUUAUAUUCGUCCAUAUCGAUGUUGAAAGUUUUCUGAUUUAUAAUCCUGGAGAUGUUGUAGGUUGUUCCCGUCGAAUCAAAAGUAUGAGAGGAAAUAAUUGGGAACUUAUGAGCACCAUAUGCAUUGUUCCAAUAUGCAAUGGGGGUAACAAUGUAGACAAUCAAAACAAAACCAAGUAAGAUGUUAAUGGUAGCAAAUCCGGGUGUAGCCAAUGGACUGCCUAAGAAACCAGCAACAGUAGACCAAUCAAUUCCAAACGAGCCAAUGCCAAGUCCAUGGGCUCCAGAACCAAUCUGUUGAGCAGUUAUGGAGUUCUUCCAUAUCAAGCAAACAAUGGAGAUAGUAGAUAGGGAGGGGAAAAGGUAACCCGGAACAAUGUAGUAAGCAAAGCUGCAUAUGAACACCAAGAAGAAGACUGCAGCCUUGUACGGCCUCCCUUUGGUCUCUUUUCCUUUUCAUGCAAUGCCCUGUAUUUCAAAGUAUGAAUUAGUAGUGCUCCUAUGACUGUCAAAAAGUUUUCUUUUUAUGAGCUUCCCAGGAAAAGCCAAAAGUACUUUUAAGUAUUACAGAAGCCAUAGUUGUGAAUUUGUAAUAACUUCCACUUGAAUAUCCAAGAAGCACAUAAAAAUUUAUGCUUCUCAAAAAGUACUACUUCUGAACUCAAUAAAAUACCUGAAUAGAGAGACUUGAACCAGAUUUGCAGGCCACCACAUGUAAGGAGAGUCAACAAGGUAUCUUCUGAAUAGGCCAGCCCAUCCAUACCCAAGCAUCUGUUAAUUUCAGAAUGUAAAACAUGGAUUAAUCAACACGACUUUUACAGACGUACCGUGGAGCUAGUCAAGUUUACUAAAGAAAUACAGGUAACUAUAAAUUACCUGAGUGGUUUGUGCUAACAAGAAGGCUGAUGCAGGAUGCAGUUUCCUUUUGUAAAAAGCCAGAACAAUUGUGAUGAUGUUCACAGCAUAGACACUGUUUGAUCCAGAGUUAGCAAAUAUGGUGAUCAGCACAUGCUCUUUCAGAUUGAAAGGCCCUGGAUUCAUCGAAAAUGUCCAAUUUGUGAAGGGGAACCGGUACUUAUUAGUUGGGAGGGUAGCAGCCAUCAACUUCCCUAGAGGGAGAACAAGAAUUUGUGCUGAGACUGAGGACACAUAGAGCUGGUUGGUGCGGUACCCGAAAAACUGGUUGACAAAGGCAAGAAUGGAGCAUGAGAGAAGGCCAAGAACCCAUGUCCGAAAUGUCAAGGUUGGUUGAGAAGGGUCAUCGGUGGUCGAAACAGUUAGCCUGACUUGCUCAAUAGGAUUGUCAUUCACUUCAUCAUCUGUCACAUAAACACAUUCACAAAUUGCAGAUUAGAAACACACAAAAUUGCUUCAUCUUAGGUAGAAGUGUCCUAAAAUUGACCAUCUUUUCAUGUCAGCUGCAUAUACACUUUUACAUAUGCAUAUACAUAUCCCCAUAUAAUCAAGCUUGCUGAAUUUCCAGUUUCUCAGAACUAAAAAGUUACCAUCUUUAAUCUCAUGAAUAUAUUUAGAAACUGCAUAUAGACAUGUUCAUAUGCAUAUAAACAUGUACAGUCCUCACUAUCACUAAAACCCCAUAUCAAGCAAGCAAUUCCAACAGAAAAGUAACCACAUGCAAACACAGAGAAACAGAAUCCACCAAAGACCCAAAAUUUGGAACUUGUAAGAAACUAAAACAAAAUCGUCACCCCAUGAAAGUAUGGUUAAAACUUAAAAGAAACAGACUUUUCUGCAUAACAUCUUGGAAUGAGUGUUCAUAUAGAAACCCAGAAACAUAUUCAUACAUAUACGCAUAUAAUACUCACCAAUUACAUCAAUGUCAAAGUGAUGUCUCCCAGAAAGGUUUCCUGGAGGAACUCCAUCCUCAACCAAGCCUGUCAUCUCUGCCUCUCUCUCUCUCUCUCUCUCUCUCUCUCUCUCUCUCUCUCUCUCUCUCUCUCUCUCUCGUACUCGUACGUCGUACGUACGUACGUACGUACUACGUCGUACGUCUCGUCUACUACGUCGUACGUCUACUCGUACUCUACGUACGUACGUACGUACGUACUACUCUACUACGUACGUACUACGUACUACGUACUCGUACGUACGUACGUCGUCUACGUACUACGUACGUACGUACGUACGUACGUACGUACGUACUACGUACGUACGUACGUACGUCGUACGUACGUACGUACGUACGUUACGUACGUACGUACGUACGUACGUACGUACGUACGUACGUACGUACGUACGUACGUACGUACGUACUACCUACCUACCUACCUACUACUCUCUCUCUCUCUCUCUCUCUCUCUCUCUCUCUCUCUCUCUCUCUCUCUCUCUCUCUCUCUCUCUCUCUCUCUAGCUCUUUGUGUUUGGUAUUAGAGAAAGAAUGCCACUAUAUAAAAGAGCACAUGAAUCUGAAUCUGCUAGUGGUUUCUUUGUUUAGUGGUUUAUCAAGUUUACACAAGCUUGCUAUGAUAUACAGACUGUCCCUUGUACCGAUUUAGCAAAUUGUUAUCUCGUCUCUCUCUUUGUCUUUAUUUCGAAGAAACCGGUCUUUAUAUUGUGCAUAUGUGCUCGAUCACUUUCUAACCGACUAGUAAUUUGACUCUUUUACGUUAUGAAUCAACCUCUGAUUCUAAUGCAUGUUCUUGUUUGAAACCAAAAUAAGAAGUUAAUAAUUAGCAAUAAAACUAAAAUCGGGUAGAAAAAAAUUAGGAGAAUGAACCUAGAGUCUUUUUGGUUCCAAAGACAAAAACAAAAUUAACUACUAGAUUUACUGAUUAAGCCAAACUUGUAAAACAAAUUAGUGGCUUAAUUAAAAAGAAAAUUACUGCUUUAUGGACUCCCAAAUUUUGGGGGUGACAGCUCUGUGUGAUUAAAAUCGAAAUUAGUGGUAGUUGACAUGUGAGAUCAAGUAUAUGUGGGGCUAAUGGUAGCUGUCAUAGCUUCCAAAUCAAGUCAAUUCUUAGUCAUUCUAGUUUUCAUAGUUUGGCAAUAUAAUAGAGCUGUGAUUUUGACUAUUCAAACUGAGAGGACCUGGAAAAUAUAAUUAGGACAACUACGGAUUAGUUAAUGACAUGGUAAUGGAUAAAACCUUGAUUAAGAACUUAAUCAUUAGAAUAAAUUGAGUAUCAUGUACAGUGUACUGGUACCAUUUGAAUCAAUUGGUUGACUAAAGAUUCAGAUUCUCUCGAUAGAACGACGUUUUUAAGAUUUAGAUUUUCUCUUUGAAAUAUAAUUUACAUACUUUUUUAACGAAUCUUUUUCUAAAUAACUAUAUUCACGACCAAAUCAUAUCUCAUAUUAACCUCAUUGUCUUCAUUGGCUUACGAAUCAUCAUGAAUGCUAAAUUAGAAAUUUCCCUUUGUUAUUUUCUCAUUGGAAGUUUGGAACAGCCCAAAAAAUGGGCAGGAUGAGCCUAACUCUAAGUUUGAAGUUACCAGUCCAUAAAGGGUUUUCUUUAUAUUUCAGCUGUCCACUUGCACGUUACAUAGGGGACUUUGCCAGUUUGCCAUACCAGAAUUCCACUAUUUCAGAAAUUUGAAGUCAAGUAUCUGUAUCUCCAUCCAUAUAGACAGUUAGACACCACCCAAUCUAGGGCCAUCAUUUUCAGUUCACAUCUUUAACAUUUUGCAAUAUUUAUAUGCAUGCUGAGGAAAUUUGGAAGCAUAUACACACACAGCUCAUCAUGCUUAUUAUAUACAACGAGAUUUGGCUUGCAGCAUUUGUGGUGAUUCUGUGUAUUUUACUAUAUGAAAAUUUUAGCAUAUGAUGGAAUUAAUGUUCAACUGGCCAAGGCUUAUAAUUGAUUAAUAGGCAGAGCAUCUUAUCUUCCAGUUUCUUGGUUCAGUUUCUAUGUUUAAUAAGUGCAAGAGAUAAUUCUUUUAGAAAGUUGUUUGGGGUAAACCCGGUUCUAAUGGUGUGUUUCAGGUUUUGAAACGUGCAUCUUUUCGGUGCUUUUAGUUCUAUUCUUGAUAUUCGAAGUUUAGUUAUAGCUAAAAUGAUAACAAUCAUGAAGAUAGUUGACCAAGCUAGCUACUUGACAUAUGUUUAUCUGAUCUUUAUAAGAUUGAAUUUGAAAUGUGGGUAAGAGGAUCAAGUAAUCGGAUAGAUCUUGCAAAUUCCACUUAGCAAUCAAUUGGCAUUGCUAUCUUUCUAGUGUCAAAGGUGCAUGCCCGACCCUAUGCUAGCAUGACAUCUCCCUCUAGGGUUUGUUUUUAUUUUAGUGGGAACUGGGCACUUGGAUUGAGUGCUCUAGAGGCAAUUGAGCAUUUGUAUCAGUCAAAAGAAAAGUUCUGGAAUGUACUCCGUUUGUCUGUGUAGACGUGUCAAGCAGUCAUUGAUUUGUUGUUGAUUUCUCCGUCAAGGCCUGUUAGCGCGUGGAGCACACAUCCUCGGUUAAAUUUUCGUAGGCAAAGGCAGAUGAACUGGGGUAGCUCGAUUUAGUCGGGGAAUAGUUGGUUUGGUGUGUUGAAGAAGCUUCAGUUUGGUAGGAUUUGUCAAAACAGAUUUGAAGUUAGGAGAGACAGGUGGGUGGUGAUCCAUUGUCGUUUCUUGAGUUAGGAAUUGAUUUUCGUUUCUUGAAGUUUGGUGAUCGAAUUCAAUUUGCCUGAUUGGGUUCUUCGAGUUCAGUCGCCGUCGUUUUGGUGUUGAGGCCUGGGAAUGCGACUGAGGAACACACCAUCAUCUGCUGAAUUGAAGAUCUCAGGUACACUUUCAUCUCUUCUCUCUGUUUGGGUCUACUUUCAUCUCUUCAACAAGUUGAAUCCUUUUAUUGGGUUUGUUUCUGUUUGAUAUCUGGUGGGGAAUUGGAUCAGUUCAACAGGCUGAAUCGGCUUCUUCGAGCACACUAGAUGCUUAGGGGUUGUAAUGUUACUGAUUAAAACACACAAAAUACUUUAAACUUUACUAAUGCUCAUCUUGUUUGUGGUUUUCGUACAAUUUUGCAAUAUUUAGAGUGUGAGUUUUUAACUAGUGUGGUGAAUUCGGUAUAUUCAAGUAAUGGGUGAGAAUGCUGGGUUGAUCUAAUGUUGUUGCCAACUCUGUAUGAACUAUGAAGGACUAAAGUAAUUUAAUCUUAGCUCUCUGCACUUGGCCAAAUUAGCUGACAACAUUUACACCUACCUUUACACUCAUUUUUCUGUCAUAUAUGAUCAUUCUCUCGCAACGUGAUCCGGGUGUGAACUUAAAAAACUAUAGUAAAACGUAAUGGUGACUUGUUAUGCAAAAUCCAACCUUCCCAUUCUUGCAAGAAAGGGAUCUGUAAGCAUCAUUCAUUUCCAUCCUUAAAAAAUAAUCUGUUUCUUGAUGAUGUCAUAUCAAGGUAGCCCACAUCAACACGACGUGCAUAAUUUUAAGCCGUAAAUCGUUUUCCUAUUAAAUUCCAUCAGUUGUCAAAUUCUGCUUGCUGCUAUUCCCAUCCAAGCCAUAAUGGCAAGGUUUUGGAGGCCACUGUGUUUAUUAGAGACAUCUGAGAGCUACAGCUACUGCUCUAUUUGAUCCCAUUAAGUAAAGGGUUUUGCACAUAAUUAAUAUCAUCUUACCCCUUUUAAUAUGCUAAAUUAUGGGUAUGAAAACAAUAGAACACAACCACUUCUUAUGUAUAUUGGAUUCCUUUUGGAUUUUGAGCAAAUUUAUGAGUAUGAAAACAAUAGAAAACAACGCACUACUUUCUUUAUAUGUGAAAAACUACAUAUCUUUGCUGAAUUUUCUGAUGCACAAAUAGAUAGACCAAGUCUAUGCAGACUAGACUAUAUCAUCUGCUGAAUUGAAGAUCUCAGGUACAUUUUCAUCUUUUCUCUCUGUUUGGGUUUACUUUCAUCUCUCAUCUUCAACAAGUUGAAUCCUUUUAUUGGGUUUGUUUCUGUUUGAUAUCUGGUGGGGAAUUGGAUCAGUUCAACAGGGUUGAAUCGGCUUCUUCGAGCACACUAGAUGCUUAGGGGUUGUAAUGUUACUGAUCAAAACACACAAAAUACUUUAAACUUUACUAAUGCUCAUCUUGUUUGUGGUUUUCGUACAAUUUUGCAAUAUUUAGAGUGUGAGUUUUUAACUAGUGUGGUGAAUUCGGUAUAGUCAAGUAAUGGGUGAGAAUGCUGGGUUGAUCUAAUGUUGUUGCCAACUCUGUAUGAACUAUGAAGGACUAAAGUAAGUUAAUCUUAGCGCUCUGCACUUGGCCAAAUUAGCUGACAUUAUUCACACCUACCUUUACACUCAUUUUUCUGUCAUAUAUGAUCAUUCUCUCGCAACGUGAUCUGGGUGUGACCUUAGAAACUAUAGUAAAACGUAAUGGUGACUUGUAUUGCAAAAUCCAACCUUCCCAUUCUUGCAAGAAAGGGAUCUGUAAGCAUCAUUCAUUUCCAUCCUUAAAAAAUAAUCUGUUUCUUGAUGAUGUCAUAUCAAGGUAGCCCACAUCAACACGACGUGCAUAAUUUUAAGCCGUAAAUCGUUUUCCUAUUAAAUUCCAUCAGUUGUCAAAUUCUGCUUGCUGCGAUUCCCAUCCAAGCCAUAAUGGCAAGGUUUUGGAGGCCACUGUGUUUAUUAGAGACAUCUGAGAGCUACAGCUACUGCUCUAUUUGAUCCCAUUAAGUAAAGGGUUUUGCACAUAAUUAAUAUCAUCUUACCCCUUUUAAUAUGCUAAAUUAUGGGUAUGAAAACAAUAGAACACAACCACUUCUUUUGUAUAUUAGAUUCCUUUUUGGAUUUUGAGCAAAUUUAUGAGUAUGAAAACAAUAGAAAACAACGCACUACUUUCUUUAUAUGUGAAAAACUACAUAUCUUUGCUGAAUUUUCUGAUGCACAAAUAGAUAGACCAAGUCUAUGCAGACUAGACUAUAUCAUUGCCUCAGCACGAUUUAUGGUUGUUCUAUUGUUGCUGUUCUAUUACAAAAGCUAGCUGUUGCUUCUGUUUUUGUUUUGGUCAUGUGUAUACAUCACGUGCCCUGAAAGGCACAUAGAAACAUGGACCUCUUGUUCCCUUUUCAUUCUGGAAGUAUAUGCAAGACCAGAUAAUGGUUGUGAUCAAUUUGCCAAAAAAAAUUUUCAUGCUUGCCUAUUUGGGAAUCAGAGUCAUGAUUUGCCCCUUUUAAAAGAGUGUACUCAACAAGCUGCGAUGCUCUAUUUGUUUAAUUAGUUAUUGUAAAGCCAUAGUGAAUUAUGCUCACAUGUACAUAGGUAGUUGGUUUCUUAAAUUCCCCUACGUUGGCCUGGCCUAUUGUUGCAGUUGCAUUAUGAGUUUCUACCUGUUUUUUUACCUGUUACAUUACUAGAUGCAGUGACAGCAUCUUAUAGAUUUAGUUCAAUUUCAGCAAGAGUCAUGAUUUAAGUCCUAUCAGGUCAAUACUUAUAGCCUACAAGAUAUUUAUAUAACACUACGUCUGCCUGUGUUUUUGAAAAUGCAGGACUAGUAGCCUGUGUUUUGGUGUUGAGGCCUGGGAAUGCGACUGAGGAACACACCAUCAUCUACUGAAUUGAAGAUCUCAGGUAACAUGGAGUUUUUAGUGUCUGAUUUGCUUGUUAAGGAUUGUGUUAAAGGUUUAAAGCCUUAUUAUGAGAUUACACUUUUACAAUCUGGUCUGGUUUAAAUUCUCUCUUUCUCAGUCAUCCCUUGAUUCAUUGAAAACCCUCCUUUAGUUAGACAAUGACUGAGGAACACGCUAUGUACCAUUCCAUAUAUUAGACAAUGACUGACUCAAGUUCUAUAUGCUUUGUACUUUUGUUAUAAUUUGUUUUGUUCUAAAUUGAUAACAUGCUUUGUACUUUUGAUAUAAUUUGCUCCUGUGAAACUCUUAACGUGCUUGAAAUGGAUAGUUCCUUAAGUCAGUCAUUGUCUCUAAGUUAUGCGUAGCAUCUCUCUGUAUCAUGUUUUGGAUUAUAAUGAUUGCUGUUUGUUAAGAACCUAAUAUAUUGAUGUCUUGGACUUAUAAUGAUUGCUGUUUUGCUGCUCCAACUUAGAUUCCUCAUGAGGAAAGUUAUCCCAUUUUGUAGAAUAGAGUUUGUUGUGUUUUUUGGGUUUACUUGAGGUAGCUCUGAACUAGGGUUGUUCAUAUGCUUCCAAUUGUGUUAACUGUUCUGUUUACAAGUUCUAUAUGUUUCCCCAGCUUAUUGACUUGCCCUUGUUUCCUAUUUUGUUUCCAGGAAACUUCAAUCCUUAUAGUCUAUUUUGAUUCCAAAUCAAUUUGUAUAUGUCUGUACUUGAGUUCAAUUCGUACCCUGUUUGAAAAUGCAAUGAAUGUUCAUGCUUUGCUUUUGUAUCAGGUAGUGGUAAUGAAUGGAUUUGGAUCAAUAGAGGCUUGAGAAGAGAUGGAGAUCAAUUUUCUUUCUAUGAUCCAUUUUUGUUGCUUGUGUUCAGAAUUCUGGAGUGUUUGAAACCGAUUUGGUUUGAAGAAACAGUCGGGGACUGCUCAAAGGUCAGUGUUUGAAAAUUCUGAAAACAUUAUUGAAAUUGAAAUUAUGUAUUCGUAGUUGAAUUAAUCAGUGUCAGAUUAACGGUUAUUGUAUAUUUUGUCGGUGUGGUUAAUCAUGUGUAGCUAAUUAUGAGAGACAUGAUGUAGAUUUUGUGAUGGUCUGAUGUACUACAAAAUUACUUAAUUACUUAAAGUUACUAAAAUAGAUCUCUCUGUUCUAGAUUUCCGUUACUGGACGUUGUCAGCCUCCCUCCUCUCUCUCUCUCUCUCUAGUGAAUGACAUAGAGCUUAUUGUUUUGGUAAGAUGUCAAAUUGUUUGCUUGACACUCUGAAUACUGAAAAUACUAUCUUUUAUUUUUUACUCAAAAUUUAAUAGACUUAAGCUUACUUGAAGCUUAAAUUUCAUGCGAGGAUUUUGCUUCACAUGCUUACUUUAGCUUAAGGAAACUGAAGCUUUCAUAACUUUCAUCAGGCAUAGUGAAUUUUGCUUCAAUUAAUUGUAUUGGUAUGCAGAUUGUGAACCAACUGAGCAGCAACAGCUGCAGAGCAAGACACCAUAUCACCAAGCUCCACCAAACUGAAGUUUACAGCAACCUAAAGAGAGUACCUUGAAGGAGCUUUACAAAGAAGCCUGUGCAAAGAGACUAAAGAGGUAAUAAAUAUUAUAAAUUCUGUAGUUCCACUUUGCUCAUGCUGCCUGAUUUUAGAUCUGUCAUUUAUAGUUCCGUUACCUUUUUAGAUGCCAUAUUUGUUCACUGUGAUGGCCAUUUCCAAACUUGAUGAUAAGACACUUGGAAGACUUAUAAAAAUGUCAAAUGAUAUUCAGUUGUGGUUUUAGAAUAGUAGCUAGCUUGUUCUUAUUAUGAUUCAUUUGCUCUAGGAGGAAUCACCUGAAAUUGGUUAACUAAAGAGCUGAUGGCUUAUUCAAACAAAUGGUUGCUGAAUGAAUAUUGGACAACGUGUUGUUAUGCUUCUCUUGUUUGGUGAGAUAAAAUGCUAAAACUUACCACUUAGUGAUAUGCAAUUGAUGCCACUGAGCUUGAUUCUUUCAAAUUGAAUAAUUCUAUUUCAGUUUCUGUGUUGAAUAUUAUCAUCAAUCCUGUUCAAAAUUGAGCAUUCUUUAAUGUCAUUGUUAUCAUUAGUUUGAAGUACCUGUUAUUUUUUUUUGUCAUAAUAAUUGACCUAUAAGGUUUUUGAACUGAUUAAGUGUGUUUAUAUCCAGCAACUUACAUUGCAAAACCUGCAUUAGGAAUUAUAAUUAGACAAGAUGGACACAAUUUUAGAACCUUGACUGAAUAUCGUAACCAUGAACAUUGUCUUGUAUGUUACUAGUAAUUUUCUUUUCGUUUUAUUUUUUAAACUCACAGAAAACAAAAAAAACUUGACAGCAAAACCCUUAAACAGUAUUGAACUUCUGUCUCUGGUUGCAGAACCUGGGAGCUUCAGCACCAUGGACAGGGUACAAAUCAAAGUACGAGGCAAGUUCCUUGUGGUGGAUCUAGACAUCGCCUAUCGUAUUUGGGGUAUCAAGGAAUAUAUUCAUAAUGGUGACUUCAAGAGCCAGGUGCCAUAUUUGCAAGAUUUUAUAGUCGAAGGAGCAGCUCAAUUUGUAACCAAUAGAAGGCAGACAAAUGCGCAUUCCUCAUACAUAUGACUUCAUCAUAGAGUUCCGAUUUUCUUAUGCAAACUAGAUUCCAUUAUAAAGGUGCACUUGGUGUCUUGAUCAUGUUUGAGAAUCCUAUAAAUAUAGCUGGUUUACAAGUUGUUUUCAGCGUGUAAUAAAUCUUGUAGCUUAUUCAAUCACAAGGAGAUAUAACCGGGAGGUUCUCUUAUCUUUUCAUUUGACUUCAUAGUUUGGAUAUUUCCAAACCGAAUGGAUUUUGUUUCAGCACAAGGCAAAACACAACUAUCUGAAAGAGAAACAAUAAUUAAACUUAGAUAUACAUAGCAACUGAUCCCAAGUGGAACAAUGGAUAUCAAUUUUCCAAACCUUGGACCGAAUGAUUAGAGGGAAAUCCCAAGUGGUGGGCGAUGGGAAUCAAGUGAAAUGAUUCUAAUAUUUGAAGAAUGGAAUCGGAGGGAAGUUGGGGAAAUUUGGGUUUACCAUUGGUGGGAAUUGAAAUGUAGUGAAAUAGUUUUAAUAUUUGAAGAAUGGAAUCAGAGGGAAGUUGGAAAUUUGAGUUUACCAUUGGUGGGAAUUGAAAUGUAGUGAAAUGGUUCUAAUAUUUGAAGAAUGAAAUCGGAGGGAAGUUGGAAAUUUGGGUUUACCAUGGGAAUUGAAAUGUUGAAUUCAAUUCGGAUAAGUGACGUUUAAUUAAGAUUGACUGUUUUGAUCGAGAUCCAAACGUUAUCGAAAAUAUAUGAAUUUUAUACAGUAGCUACAUUUAAUUAUACUGAUCAUUGCCAUCCUUAGGUGAAAUCCAAAGAGGUUCUGCGGGGCCCACUUUAGAAACAACUCUAUUGAAAAUUUCGACAGUCACCCCUAAAUAGUGGUUUACAUCUCAUCAAUAUGGGAGUUUUUUGUGUGGAAGAAUCAAUCAAACUAGGUCAUAUAGGGGUAAAUAAGAGAGUUUUCAUGUAAUAAGUGGCAUUGGUUUAAUGUUGACCGUGUGGAUUUUGACCUAAACGUUAUCGAAAAAAUGUGAAUUUUUUUAAAUAGCCGUAUUUAAGUACACUGAUCAUAUCAGACGGUUGAAUUUUCAUUUUAUGAAAUUUAGCCAUUAGAACCACAACGUGUCUACUAAUGUGGAAUAACUUGUUUAAUAGGUUAUAUGUAAGUGUAGAUCUUUGUGAACCAACUACAGGGAGGAAGCAAUAUUCUCAAAAAUCUUGUGAAAUAGGAUGUGACCGGAACAGUGAAAUACGGUGAGGGUUGAAAAAUCACAAACUUCCAAUAACAUUUGGUUUCCAGUAAAAACGGUCAAUCCUGAUUACGAUUAGGCGCUCUUAAGGGGAGCCUAACCAACAGAGGGUCGAUUGAACAAGAUUUUUUCAUGAGUUUCUAAAUCUCAUAUAUACGAGUUAUAGUCUUGAAACCUGGGGAAAAUAGAGCUUCGCACGAUGCCGGUCAACCACGUUUCGUGUUAAAAAUAAAGUCAAAUUAAGGUUGACCGAUUUGAUGGGGGGCCUAACAAGUCUGAAACGGGGUGCAUUUUGUUCAGUAUAUCUAUUUAAAUACAAUGACUACAUUUGACGGUGAAAUUUUUAUUUUCACAUAUUUAUGACCUCAUAACGUCACGUGUCUAUUAAUGUAGUAUAACUUGUUUAGUAGGUUAUAUGCAAGUGUACAACUUUGUGAACCAACUAUAGGGAGGAAGCAAUAUUUUUAAAAAUCUUAUGAAAUAGGAUAUGACCGGAACAGUGAAAUACAGCUAGGGUUGAAGAAUUACAAACUUCUUGUAACGUUUGGUUUCCGGUAAAAGCGGUCAACCCUAAUUACGCUUAGGCGCUCCUAAAGGGAGCCUAACUAACGGAGGGUCCAUUUUACAAGAUAUUUUCACAGGUUUCUAAAUCUCAUAUAUACGAGUUAUAGAUUCGAAACCUGGGAAAAAUAGAGUUUCGCACAAUGCCGGUCAACCACGUUUCGUGUUAAAAAUGAGGUUAAAUUAAGGUUGACCGAUUUGAUGGGGGGCCUAACGAGUCCGAAACGGGGUGGAUUUUGUUCAGUAGACCUAUUUAAUUACCAUGACUACAUCUGACGGUGGAAUUUCAAUUUCAUAUAUUUAUGACCUCAUAACGUCACGUGCCUACUAAAGCUAUAUAAUUUGUUUAGUAGGUUAUAUACAAGUAUACAUAGUUGUGAACCAACUAUACAGAGAAAGCAAAAUUUUUAAAAAUCUUAUUAAAUAGGAUGUGACUGAAAUAGUGAAAUACGUCUAGGGUUGAAAAAUCACAAACUUCUGGUAACAUUUGGUUUCCAGUAAAAGUAGUCGACUUUAAUUACGCUUAAGCGCUCCUAAAGGGGGCCUAACCAAUGGAGGGUCCAUUUAACAAUAUUUUUUCAUGGGUUUCUAAAUCUCAUAUAUACGAGUUAUAGGUUCGAAACCUGGGAAAAGUAGAGUUUCGCACGAUACCGGUCAACCACGUUUCGUGUAAAAAAUGAGGUUGAAUUAAGGUUGACCGAUUCGAUGGGGGGCCUAACGAGUCCGAAACGGGGUGCAUUUUGUUCAGUAUACCUAUUUAAUUACAAUGACUACAUCUAACGGUGAAAUUUUUAUUUUCACAUAUUUAUAACCUCAUAACGUCAUGUGCAUAUUAAUGUGAUGUAACUUGUUUAGUAAGUUAUAUGUUUGUAUGUCUUAUUAAACUAAGGGAAGAAUAUAAAGUUUGAGAAAAUUCAUCAUAAGAUGGGAGUAAUGGUGUGAAAUAUGACAACGUUAGAAAUUCCAAAUUUUUUCAAUAAAGAUUCAGUCUCCAUCACAAGAGUAAACCCCGGAGGGUCAUUUUUUUUUUCAUCGUCUAUUUGAUAUAUUUAUUCCCGCUUGACGCAGCUAGCUUUAUAGAUGUUAGAAAAAUACGAUGUACCGUGUGAAUUGAGAUCUGAAUGAUAACAAAAAUGGGUAAAUUAUGUAAUAUUAGCCUUUAUUCACUAUAUUGGUCACUUCACACAAACAAUUUUCCCAACUUUUAUUUUCUCGAUAUAGUUGAUUUAUAAAGAUAUACAUUAAUUUAGAAAACGUGUAUCAUUUCCUUUUAUAGAAACCAUGUAUAGAUUACUUCCUUAUAUAGAGAUAAGGUAUAAAUUGAGCCCUUGUAUAGAAUUUGUUAGUUUCAUCAUAGUUGAGAUCGCACUAGUGGAUAUUACAAAGAAAGGGCAACAUGCAAUUACAGUAAACUAGCACUAUGAAAUAUUUCCAGGCCGUGUUUCCAACAAAGGUAUUCUGAUACAUUACACAAAAAGAGUCAUUAGGCAUAUUGAGCUGUCAACUGAUCCAUGAGCACUAGCUGUACUCCAGCCUCCACCACUCACUACUAGAGAUGUACCCUUUAAUGACACUUAUUUUAUAACGUUUCAUGAUAAAUGUCAUUGUAGGGGGCUUCCAUGACGUUUAGGGCAGCAAACGUCAUGGAUGUAAAACACGGAGCAAUUAUAUGACGUUUUAUAAACGUCAUGGUAAAACACAUACCAUGACGUUUAUUUUCUGUCAUCAAUAAGUUUCAAUGACGGUUUUGGUCUGUCAUACAUAUUGUUUGGGCCAUGACAGUUUAUUACUGUCAUCAAAAGUUUUGAGCUAAAUUUUGGACAUUGUGCCCAAAAUUUGGCUUCGCGCCUGACCCAAAAUUUGGCCCUAAAAUUUUCAGUUUGAGUUUGAGUUUGAGUCCCUUUAGUUUUAGGGUUCCCUUUAGUUUUAACUCACUUGCCUAAAAUUUCUCUCACCCAAACUCGAUCUCAAACUUCACUUUCCAAUUUCUCUCUUGCAAAUCAGUCACCCAAACUCAAUCUCAAACUCGAUCCGAAUCUCAUCCCAAACUCGGUCUCUCACCCAAAUCAGUCACCCCUCUCCCAAAUCUCAUCCCCAAAUCUAACACCCCUCUCCCAAAAUCUCAUCGCUAAAUCUCAUCCAAAUCUGUCUCACUGCUCUUCGCCCUAAUCCCAAUUGUUUGGGUCUGCUCUUUGAGUUGUCACAGGUUAGAACCCUAACUCUCACCCGACACGCAUCCAUUUCCUCUUCAGAUCAAAAACCAACCCAAAACCCCCAAUUCUAUAAUUCUGGCCAAAUCCUCUCUUCUCCGACGAGUUCAUGUUUCCCAAUGGUUAACCCAUCUCUCCCUUCCUUCGAUUUCAGUCCCUCAUGAACCUUAAAUUCCUAAUCUCGAUCUCUAGUACUUAAUCCAUUUCCUCUCUGUUUUUCAGCUUUCAUCUAGUUGUCAUCUUCGCGGCAUCUCCGCCUUGAAAGCAUGAAGUCGCCGCCGCAGCUAGGAGGAGGAUGGAGCCGCUCGGUCUCAGCAGCACCAGUGCGGGUCCUGAAGCCGCGGACUGAGCUUCGGGCUGAGGAAGAAGAGUUGGAUUUGGAGCCUUGAUAAAUCAAGGUGAGGUGGUUUCGCUGUUUCUAGAUAUCAGAUUUGUUUUGGGCAUUAUUGUGGGUGUUUGAUUGAGUUACCGAUUUGAUCUGAGGAGGAGAAAGCGUUGGUGGAGCUCUGUCAAGGCAGUGGCUUGGUGUUGGCAGCAGCAAAUGAUAGGAGCCCUGCUACUCAGCAGAGUUGGUAGGGAGGAGACCCUCGGCUCAGUUAUGCCUUAGCUAAAGGUAGUCACCCUAUAGUUUAUGUGUAUGAAUAUGUGUUGGUGUUGUUUGAUUAAACUAUAGGUUGUUAGAUGAUUGUGUAGUUAAUUGUGUUUUGGUGUUUAUGAUUGAAGUGUUAAGAUUAUAGUCUCGGUGGAGAAGUGAGGCUUGUUGUGAUUUUGGAGAAGAUUGGUUAUAGCGUGCAUGUUGUUUUGCUUUGGAUGAUUGGUUGUUUGGAACUUUGGAUUGAUAUUCUGGUAGUGUCGGAACAGUUUCCAUUCAUUUUUAUGUGAAUUGUGAUAGACUUUAUUUCAAUUGUUUCAUCAAGUUCCCAAGUCCCAGCUUUUGCUUUUUUCAAAUUUGACAUCCUAGAUCUGAGUUUUUGUGUUUGUUUACUUCUGUUUAGUGGGUUGCUGAAUUUCAAGCUUGCCACCGCUCAGGUAAGAGACCGAGUAUUAUAUGGUCAUAUCUUUCAUUUUUACUAAGAUGACCUUUAAUACUGCAAAGUAGUAAAAUAUGCAUCUUGGGAUUCCUUGUUUAAGUUCAUUUGAUUUGGUUCUCCAUAUGAUGGCUUUGACAGGAAGGAAGGUUGCUAGUUCAGACAAUGAAAUCUGGGAGCUAUAGUGUAAGUUUUUCUUCUAUUACUCAUUUACCUUGCUCUGCACUAGCUGUUAAUGUAUAUGAUGUCUGUUAGUUUCUUAAUUGAACAUGAUCUUGAUAAGAUUUUAAGGGACAAUUUGUUUCCUUGAACUCCUAGGACAGAUAACAGAUUAUUGGUUUAAUAAAGUAAUAGGUUUUGGGAGAUGUUUUUCUGAAGCAGCUACAAGGUAGAAAAAUUAGUCAUGAGUUCUUUAUAGCUGUAUUAUUUGUUUUGUUUCAGAUGCUUUUGAAUGUAAGAGAUAAUGUGAAAAAGGGUGCAAUAUACAUGUUCAGGUAUGGUCUUGUCUUCUUAUAUGCGUAGUCGAAUUUUAGAAAAGUAGCAAAGUUCUACUUUUGCAGGUUGUCGUUUACAUUGAUCCUCUACCCCAAUCAUCUGAACAAGUUUUAUUUACAUUGAUUAAUGCAUUGAGAAAAGUAAUUGUGUUGUCUACAUUGAUCACAUAGAGCCUAUAUCAAAUAUAGUCUGAUUUUUAUAUGGUUUGAGUUAUAGGGUUAUUGAGAAGGCAAGGAUUGAAGCUGAAUACGAGUUGCAGAAGCUGCUGCACAAAGGCUAGGCUGAACUUUAAUUGGAGGAGGUUUUGAACAAGACUAGAAAAUUACACUUGUAUAUAUAUUUUUUGAUAUAGUGGAAACUAGAGGACUUGGUCUUAAUGAAACAAUUAGUACUGUGUCUAUGGUGACUGUGUGAAUACAAACAUAUUUGAUUUCUGAAUUUAAUCAGAAAUCAAAUAUUUUUUUUAUAAUAUGAAAAACAAUUAAUGACGUUGGGAAAACGUCGUGUAAGCCUUUUCUAUAGCAAUUGAAAAACGUCAUUGAAAACCUUAUUAUAACAGUUUAUAAACGCCAUUAAAAGGUUUCUAUGACGAGAACGAAGUAUCAUCAAAAGAUUUUCAAUGACGUUUGAAAAACGUCAUUGAAGGGUACCCUUUCCAUGACACAGGCUAAGACGACGUUCCUAACGACACAGAAAACGUCAUGGAAGGUCUUCAAUGACGUUUUUUGUGUGUCAUUGAAGGGGUCCUGUGUAGUAGUGACUAGAACCGAUGCACCAUUCCAUUUCAUAACAAAAACAAUAAACAAAAAAUUCCAGUCAAUCUUUAGCUUUAAAACACAUUAAGCCAGGGAAGUGAAAUGUGGAACGAAUAAGCUGUAUAACUCAAAAUUGAGUUACAACACAAUCAAGGAACUAACACAAACAAACCAUUUGUACAAUACAGUUAUCUCAUAUUGAUAAGUACCAAAACCCAACAGACUUCCUCAAACCUCAAAAUAUAUCCGAAACAAAUUAAUCUCUAUCAAAACUCCAACUCUGGAAAUCCCACAAAAUUAAAAUUACCCUGCACCAAAAUCCCCAAACACCUUCCUUCCAAACACAAAUUGUAUUAUGUAUCUCACUGCACACGAAACACAACAGACCCCAACCAAACUUUAGCGAAUCUAACAAGACAACAAAAAUGUUAUGAAAGAGGAUAUGAUCUUCCUAUGCCAAAUAAUGAAGCCACCAAAUAAAGUAAUACAAACUAGAAAUUUGGUUUUCAAAACUAAACGAUAUAAUCAACUCCAAAACCUUAAGAACCAAAGGGAGAUAUUAACAGGCAACCCAAACUCUCAAUAAUAAGUGACAGAAUAAAACCAAAACAUUUGAUUAUUCAUUUGAUAGCAGUACAAAUGGUUACCUAAACUCUCAAUAAUAAGUGACAGUUUACCUACUCAUUUGAUUAUUCACAAGAAACAUGUUGAUAUAUUAGAUUCACAUGUCCACAAAUGUAGGAAGUAAAGCAAUAAAUCAUAAACCAUAAGAAGAGCACUUAUAGCAUUACUUUGUAGUUCAACGUGAAAAUAGCAGUACAAAUCGGGCAAUAAAAGGGGCACAUGAAGGGAACCCUCAGAUAGUUAAGUGAACUGUAUUAUCGAUGUAUCAGAGAUGCACAUGAGCGAAGGAAGAAAGAUGCAAUAACAUUACAAAGACAAUAAAAGAGAAACUGAGAAAAUAAAACUUACUUCGUAGUUCAUGACUAGAUACAUCUGUCUAGAAAGUUAAAACAUUUCAAGCGGAGUUAUGUUGAGUGAAUUUCAUGCUAAUUCAAAACUGUAAAAAUGGAAAAAAAAAAAAAAGAAAAAAAAAGUAAAAAAAAAAAGAAGGCUUACCCAUCAUGUUUAGGAAAGUCAUAGCCAGUUAAAAAUUCAUCCAAGGCCCAGAACUGUCAAAUCCAAGCUAAAGGGAUUUAGUAUAACCAACAAGAAACAAACACAUGAAUCUCUUAAUCUCGAAAAUCAAGAAAUCUAAUAAAUUCAGGAUACAUGGUCAGUUCUUCCACACCUACUUAAAACAUUAAUAAUCCCGUUUAACCAAGCUUACCAAUUACCAAUCAAGUAACAGCAAUCCCCGAAAUUCUUGAACCCUCAGCUUAGGGGUAUUAGACCCUAGCCUAACCAUAUCAUCCAGUGAUCAAAAUUCCCUUCUUACUGUUGGACUGCAGUCUUACAAGGCUUAGUUCCUUAUUACUGGUUGUUUCAUAUUCCAAACAGCCUGACCUCAAUAGGAAAUAUAUGUCGGAGCUUAUAAAGGCAAUUGCAAGACAAGAUUACAAAAAUCUACUUCAAUCAAAUACCUAGAGGAACAUACAUCAGAAAGAAAGGUGUAAAGACAUAUUGUCAUAAACUAUAACCCAAUUUAGGGGUAUGUGAAGACUAAAAUGGCUGCAUCUUCAGUGAUGCAGCAUGUGUUAACUUGAAAUGAAUCUUUGCAGGGCCAGAAAUAAGAUAUCCAGUGAAUACUUAGCAGACAUGAGGAAAGUUUGUCACGGGUUCAACCAUACUGACCAUCAAUGGCCAGUAAAGAGCUUCAAAGUUAGAGAGUAAGCUACAGCCUGCUUGAAAUAAAUAUAAAAAAAAAAGAAAAAGAAAAAAGAUUCAGUUUGUAGUAAAGAGGACUCGUUCCCAGAUUUCAAGAUUAAGAAGUCAAAACGCUUGCAGAGUACAAAAUAUUUUUAAAUUAUAUAAAGGAUAAACUACAUUUUCCGCCCAUGUCUUUUGACUCAAAACUAGAUUUGUUCCCCUCACACUUAAACUUAGCAAUGGGAUCCCUUUGUGUUGCGACUGUUAGAGAUAUGAGGAACAUGUUUUGAUUCAGUCAUUCAACCUCACUAUAUUGACCACUGGCCGUGAGAAUCAUGUGCAUUCAAACUUACAAAAACUACAAGGUGUACUUGAGUUGUUAAAGAAGUAAAUGCAAUUGCCUAUAUUUGCGAUUUUUAAACCCCAUAGACCAAUUAUGUUUUGUGUCAGAACAGAGAACCAAAAUAUAUGUUUUGCAAACAACUGAGAUGCUAGAUCAAAUGGUUAAUCAACUGGACAAAAACAAACUUUAGAAUUCAGUUAUCCAAGGUGGUAGAGGUUAUGGAGAGAUCCUAGAGGAUAAAGAAAGAGUGAGAGACCUGUAUAUCCAAACAGCUCUAGACUAGGAGAAGUUUAACAUAUGGCCUUAGGUAACAUAAAAAUAAAACAGCUUCAAAAGCAGCAAUGCACAAUCACUGAUCUUCAACUGGGAGAGUGCCAAAAAGUAUCUCUGAGGAUGCAGCAACAUGAACACGAGUAUUGAAAUCAUAGUAUUCCAGCAUUAAACAGAUUUAAGAAAUGAUUACCAGGACUCAGACCCAACAUCAUAUAAACUACAAAAAGAAAGAAAAAACAAGAACAGCAACGAGAUUCAAUCACUAUGUUUAUCAGCAUCUAAGUAAAACUUACAAGUUUGUCCGAAGAAAAAGAAAAGAUACAAGAAUCUCAACUAGAAAUAAAAGAAAUGGAAUGCUGAUGUUCAUGCUGCCACCAUUGAAACAAAAUCAAAAAUGAAAAAUAAAAGCUGAUUAAUUUUGAAAAUUGCCAGAUACAAACGUGUGUAGAUUCAUACAUCAAAUUUCUAUACACCAAAUAACAUAUUCUUUUGCUUAAAUUGCCACAACUCUCUUUGAUUAACUAGCUACAAGGAAUUCAUUCUACAAAAAAAAAAAAAAUAGUUACAAGGAAUUCCGUUUGGUGCCCAGCCAGAUGGUUUAUUCAUAGUUUUAUACUGAAUCUCAGAUUAGAAUUCUUGCAAGUAUUGAACUCAAUAAGAAAAACAGAAAAAACUAAUACUGUUAAUUGGAAACAUUCUAAGAUUCCAAAUGUUUGAUGAAGGAUAACCAUAUCAGAGCCGUUUGUAACCAAAAUACCAUCUAUAGACUCUGACCCAUUGAUUAAAUUCUCCAAGUAUUUCCUACUGCUCAUACACAGCUCACAAAUUAAAUAACAAUAACAUAGACUGAAUCAAAUCGAAGAGAAAGAUGGAAUCUUGGUACUUACUAGAAUACGGUGAGGAGUCAGGGCUGUGUGGGGAAUAAUGAACUGAGGUUAUGGCCGAGGUCGAGAGAUUCUUUUUUUUUUCGAUUGACAGAUGAGAGAGACUUUGAUGAAGAAGAAUAAUAAGAUAACAAGUCUACCCACUACUAAAACCCACGCGACGCGCUCGCCAACCGCGUGCGUCCAACCCAAAGAGUAAAAACCGAGUUACUCCGUCAACAGACAGACAGAGUACAUGCCCAACUUCUCUUACUCUUAUUAGCACAGGACAAUGGGGUCGUAUGGGCAAAGAUAUGAGGGCUCCUUUUCUUCCAUGAUGAUGUCAAAACUGCUCAGAAUUUGGCAAUUUUCAGGUGAAGAAUAUCAGUAUGAGGAUAAGAUUCUUUGAUGUCAAUGAUUGCCUCACUUGUUUUGUUUGUUGGUGGUGAUUCCUUUUUUUUUUUUUUUUUUUUUUUUGAAAAUUUGUUGGUGGUGAUCCUAGUCCUUCUUGAUAUUUUUUGGUGACUAUGAUGCUUAACUCCCUCAAUGUCUGCCUAUAAUAAUUUCCAUUAAUGGCUCAGUGUAACAAUAAAGUAAUAAAGGACAGAUUUAUUUCUUAAAACUUUAAGAAGACAAUAUCACAUAAAAUAUAACACAAUGAUGACCCUGAUUUUAAGAUUGAGAUAUUGCAUGAUAAUUGGUGGUUGGAAGGUUGUUUUUAUUUACCCAAAAUAACUUUGCGACUCUCUCCCAAUUUAUUUAAAUAGAACGCUGAGAAAACAAAAAUGAUAAACAAUGAAACUAGAUUGUAACAUACUUAUUGCCAUAGACCUAAACUAAUAGUGGUUAGAACUUGAAAGCUAGCUUUGAUUUUGGUGAUUUUGAUUUUAGCCUUCAUAGGACAUUUUCAAGUGUCCUAGAUAUGUCUCAUACAACAUGUUUCUAACAAGUGUUAGGCAAUCAUAAAUAUUGUUUAAGUUAAUGUUGUCAACGAGACUUUAUGACUCAGUUGUAACGUAUAUUGUCAUGUCUUCAAUCUUAAUAACAUAUGCUCUCCACCAUCUUAUGAAGGCCAGCACUGGCUACGGUGGAGAGUUAGACAGCAUCUUUCCCUCUCCAUAUCUUUUUUUAACUAUGAAUUUCUCUACCAAAGACUUAACCUAUGUUAAUAAGAAAACUUCUCAGUAGAAAAAGUGUAACUGUAAGUUUCUAACUAACUAUAAUUACAGUAGAAAACUAGGCUCAGAGUGUCUGACACGCCGACAUGACGUCUGACACUCCCAUGGCGUGUCAGAAAAUGUUGAUUUUUCUGAAACGGCUCGACACGUUGAUCGACACGACAUGCCAUUUUCUCGACACGUUAUGUUAGCAAAUUGUAAACUAGACUGGAUCAAAAUAAGCUCAGUAUCAUUUGGUAUAGUAGCAUCAGUCUUCUUUUUGUAAGUGGGAGGUCGUGAGUUCGACUCACAAUAGACUCGUUGUAGCAUUCCAGUUAUUUGUUGGAUCAAAAAAAAAAAAAUUAAACCCAAAAACCUAAGAUCUGACAAUUGCUUUGUUUGAUGUUAUUUCUUUAUGCAAUGGAUUGAACUUAGAGCUUUAAUUUGGUAAUGUAAUGAAUUUAUUUCAUGUUUUUAGUAUGUCUUUUAUGUACAAGAGAUAUUUACCGUAUCGGGUCUUAAGUUUUUGGGACUUUCUGUGUCGCCAUGUCGGUGUCGGUGUUGGUGUCAGUGUUGGUGCCGGUGUCGGUGCAAUGUAGUAAGUAGGGUUUCAAAGCAUUUCAAAUUCAAAGAACUAGGCACCCUUUAGCCACGAUUCCUGGUGCUGUAGGACAACUAGCCAAAGAAAAAUGUAAUGAAUUUAUUUUAUGUUUUUAGUAUGUCUUUUAUGUACAAGAGAUAUUAACCGUACCGGGUCUUAAGUUUUUGGGACUUUCUGUGUGGCCAUGUCAGUGUCGGUGUCAGUGUUGGUACCAGUGUCGAUAUCGGUGCAAUGUAGUAAGUAGGGUUUCAAAGCAUUUCAAAUUCAAAGAACUGGGCACCCUUUAGCCACGACUCCUGGUGCUGUAGGACAACUAGCCAAAGGAAAAUGAUCUUAUAUUGGUCAAACCCCACCAUUCCGGGCCGAUUAUGUUCUUGGACUGAAGAGUACGUGAAGUAUAGAAGAACAGCCAUGGAGGCCACUCAAGCAUCCAAACCAGCCGAUAGGAUAUAGUUAUACCUAGCCCACCAUGCCUUACAGUUUCUGUACACAUAGAAGUUGAAGAAAACUCCAAUUGCAUGCCAACCAUGAUGAGUAGUUGACAGCUCUAGCAGGUGGCAUGUCACUUCCUGCUUCUAGGAUUAGAGGCAUGUUUAUGAGCUUAAUCCACCUCUUGUUGGGAAAUUUACGUGACAACAACCAAACUGGAACAGCUGCAAGUAAGCCGAUGAGGAAGAACCAGUUCAUCUCAGGGUAGAUGCCUUUGUUAGUGAACAUUCUGAGUGGACCUAUAACCCCCCAUAUGAUUGAGGCAUGUGCAAAUACGUAUAUCAAACUUACGAGGAUGUCUAAAAUUAAAAUACGAGCUGUUCACAAGCUAGACAAGCCGAAUAUAUUCUAGUUCAAGCUCGGCUCGAUUUUUUUGUCGAGCUAAAUAUUAAGCUCAAACUCGGCUGAUUUAUCUUACCAGCACGAUACGAACGAGCUAAAAAAACGAGUCGAACACGUGCAGUUUGAGCUUACUGACUUACAGUGUCCAAAUUGUCGGCCCAAAUUGAUUCCCAGACAGAAAUUGGGCCACACUGUUAGUUCAGCCCGACAGGCCCACUUUCCUCUUCUUUUCUCUCCUCUAUCCCUAAAACCCUGAACCCCAAUUUUGCAAUUGCCUCCCUCUCUGCAAAACCCUAACUUCAAAACCAGUACUAGAGCCUCUCUCCUUCUUCAGAAGACAAAUUGGCAGCGGAGAGAACCCAAAACGAUGUCGUCUGGUAACGAAGACACGACUUCAAGCUCAGAGUCUGAGCAAUCAGAUUCCGCAAACGACACACUGGAUUUCAUAGAGAAGCUCUCAGAUGUGCCCAUGGGGAAGCUACCUCCACACAUCGAUUUCCAGAGGACACGUGUCGAUUGCAAGGCUGACGCUCCCAUUCACGUAAAGUUACCUCCUUUUGUUUCUCAUUUUUACAGUUUUGCAGUAAUAUUUACUACCCCAUUGAUUUGUUUGAGUUCAAAUUUGUGUUGUGAUAGCUUGUUUUGAUAAGAAAGUUGAUUCCUUUAUUGGGUUUGGUUUGAUUUUUUGGUUUUUGUGUUUUUCGGAUUUUGGGUUUUUGCAGACUGAUACAUUUCAGUACUCCGGUGCUUAUGCAUCGAUGGGAGUCGAUAAUAGCUUGUUGGAUAGCUUCUCGAGCAAGUUUAGAGUUGAGGUUAUUCGUCUCGAAAAGGAUGAAAUGGAGUUUGAUAUGAUUGGGAUUGAUCCGGCUAUUGCCAAUGCGUUCAGGAGGAUCCUCAUAGCUGAGGUUUGUGUUGUAAUUUUUCCAUAGAUAGUCGAAAUUUGCGAGUUGUGGGUGUGCUUGAUGAGAAUUCGUAAUAGGUUAAUAUUGUCUGUUGAGUGUAUUCUGUAGCUUGUUGAAGAAAAAAAAAAUAAGUAUACCAAUCAUUUUGAUUACUAUUUUUCUCUUGAGUAAAUUAUUUGAUGGUUGCAAGUAAAAGCAGAAACAGAACGUAAGCUGUUUGACUAUGUGAGUUUUUUGUAGUGUAAUUGAUCUAUCAAGGGUUAAUGUCAGUGUUGCCUAUUAAAGAAAAUUAUGUCCUCACAGCUUCAUUGUUUUUGUUUGUUUUUAUUAGUUAUGUAGUUUAAGGGAGGGGAAAGAUACUUACAUUUUUUCCAUCUAGACCAUUCUGACCUCUGUUAAAAAUAUGUAUCUGCUACUCUUAGUUUGCAAGUAACUCUAGGAUGACUUUUAUGUGUGUUCUCAAGUGCUAUGGAGUUGGACGAAUAGAUAUGUCAAUGAUAAUCCUAAAUUUUCUUAGUUGAUGCAACUGUAGGUUCCCACGAUGGCUAUUGAAAGAGUUCUUAUUGCAAACAAUACAUCAGUAAUCCAAGAUGAAGUCCUUUCCCACAGAUUGGGUCUCAUUCCAAUCAAGGCUGACCCAAGAUUGUUUGAAUUUACAGGUUUGUUUGAUCAUUCUGUUGUUUCUUUUUCUUUUCUUUUUUUUUCUUUUUAAAAAAAAAAUUCUGUUUUGUUGAUCCACUUUAUAUUAUUAAGGUGUUGAGUUUUCCCCUUCAUUUUUUCUUGUUAGAAAAUAAUACGGCAAAUGAAAAGAACACCAUUGUUUUUGGGCUCAAAGUGAGGUGUGAAAAGCAAGGCAAACGAAAGGGACCAAAACGGGAGGGGCAAGAACAAGAUGGACAAACACGUAUCACAGGUAUACUUCUUGUUCUUUAUAGGUGACAUAAAACUACUUUUGAUUUCCUGGCAUGUUUAUAUAUCUUUUGUGGAUGAUUUUCUUCAUGUUGUAAAUAUUUUGUAAUUUGUGAAACAGUCAAGUCAAAAGAUUUGGUUUGGUUGCCAAAUGGGAGUAACUUUACCUUGGAAUCAGACGGUUCAACCUACACAUCAUUUAGUUGCAGCCAGGAUUCCAUGCCAGAAUUUGCCACCAAUCCAGUUGGUCCAACGGAUGGAGAUAUUACAAUUGCUCGACUGGGCCCAGGCCAGGUAACUCUUUUUUACCUCUUUUAUAGGUCUAGUUAUUCUUCAAAAAGCACAUAUAUUGCUUUUGUCAUGUAAUGCGGGGUAUUGAAAACAGCAGUUAACUCCAAAUAUUGUUCGACGGAAUGUGAUUGCAAGUACUUCAAAAGAGCCAAGAGUAGUUUGAUGAAUGUAAAUUCUCAAGCUAUAUGCUAAGUAUUGAACAUGGAGCCAUUUGUUUUUUGACUAAUGUAACUGCAAGUGAGAUGAGAACAGUUCAAUUUAAAUAACAAAUAAUAUUAAUUCAUGACAGACUAGCUAUUGCUAAUUGGCUCAAUUUUUUUUUUUCAACUAAAAUAUAGAUGUAGAAGUUAAUCAUCAGUUGUGGAGAUUAGGGUGGUCACUCAAGAGGGUAGACGAAAAGACUGGUUCAGGUGUUUUUUAUCAUUCUAAAUACUAGUUUCAUUAUGUUUAGCAAGAAAUGUCAGGUCCAUGGUCUGCUUCCAUGUGGUCUCGGGUUCAAACCCCUUCAUUGUAGCUAGGUAUAUUCUAGAGUUUCCUGCCUCCUAGGCAUUGUAGGCAGGAGCCCCCAAUUUUGAGCCCAGGUCUAUAAAGCCAGUCUGGGAUGCCCGGGCAUAUUCUUUUCUAGUAGUCAGGAAAUUUAUUGUAUUGUUCUUUCUUCAUGAACUGACACUGCCUACCUCUUCUUAGGAAAUUGAACUGGAAGCACUUGCUGUUAAGGGAAUUGGCAAAACACAUGCAAAAUGGUCCCCGGUUGCCCCUGCUUGGUACAGAAUGCUUCCUGAGGUAAGGGGAUGUGAUAUUGUGUGAUUGCGUAAAGAAGUAAAGAUCACACAUAAUAAUGAACUUUUGACUGUGUUUAGGUUAUAGUUCUGAAAGAUAUUGAGGAUGAGAUGGCUGAGAAACUUGUGGCAACAUGCCCAGUCAAGGUGUUUGAUAUCGAAGACAUUGGCAAUGGUAACAUGAAUUUCCUACUAUGCAGUAUCGUUACCUGUUUGUACUUGCUCAAAAUACGUUUUCUCUUUUCCAUUUAUUCAUUGGCUUGAUCAAUUAUUUGACCGCUUAUCAGGUAAAAAAAAGGCUACUGUAGCUAGAGCACGAAAAUGCACACUGUGUAGGGAGUGCAUCAGAGAAGGGAAGGGAUGGGAUGAUUCUUUGUCAUUACGACGUGUCAAAGAUCAUUUCAUUUGUAAGUGAUAUGUUGAUUUUUUUACUAGACUAUAAUUUAUAUGGUCCCCUUGAUUUCUGGUUAUUGAUGGGUGUUCUGGAACAGGCUUUAAUCCUAAAAACAUUCAAUUUUGGUGUUUUGAUUUGCAUAUGAUUACUUAAAAAUGUAUAAAAUCUGACUUCAGUACGCGGAUUCUAAUUUCAAUAAACUUCUUUGUGUCGCCCUAGUCUUUUCCAAAUCUUUGACUUGCGUAUUUGAUGAUUGAUUCCAAGCAUUUUUAAAUAUAAUUAUUUGGCUAACAGAUAUAAAUCCACAUACAUGAAAAGUCUAGCCAUUAAUUGAUUUGCUUUGUUCAGUAGACAAAAAGAGGAUAGUUGUUGUAGCUUUGAAUUUAAGAUUUUGUAACAUGGUAUCAAAUGAAUCUGUAGAUGUCAGAAGUUGGAUUUAAAAUUACUUAUGAACUUUGUUUUCUUCAAAAUCAUGUAAGCAGGUAAACUAUUGAGGAGUUAUGUAGGGGGAUCUGAGGAAAGUGUCAAUGUAGUAUAAUUUGUUUCUAUGCCUGUUUUCUGAGUUGUAACUCUCAUUUUUCACUCACAGUUACCAUUGAAUCAACUGGGGUAUUACCACCAGAAGUGCUAUUUACCGAGGCUGUGAAGAUACUUCAAGACAAGUGUGAACGUGCGAUUAAUGAUAUUUGUUGAUGAUGCCUGUAUUUCUUGUGUAGACAGAAACUGAAACAAGAAAAAACUCAUUGUUAUUCUGUUGAGAUCAAGAGUUUACAUGCUAAUAUCAGUAUCAAAUGUGUGUUUCGAUUGGGCCUGCUUUUGUAUUCAACCCCAUAGUCUUGAUUUUUUUUUUUUUUUUUUUUUUUUUUUUACCCCAAUCAUAGUAUUUUUCCAAAUUCAAACUAUCUUGGUGGACGGGGAGACUAAUUUCAAGAAAAUGGGGACCUUGAUACAGUAGUUGAUAUGGUCUGAUAUUUUUGAGAUGCCAUUGGGGAACUCCUGGCAUGUCCUCGUCAACUCCCUCCCAACAACCCUGUCAACGUUGUCAAGGCAACAACAUAGUGAAGACCAACUAUCAUGUAUGUAUCAACUAUAUUAUUCUCCCAAAACGAGUUCAGGUUUGUUAGAUUCUGCUACUCAUCAAUACCACUCAUGCUAAUGGGUUAAGCUAGCUAUACAUGUGUGCAACAGCAUGUAAACAGAGGCAAUUCUUUUUGUUCAACUAGUAAUGCCUUGUGUUCUUGUUCAUUCAGCUGUGCUUUUUGCCUUGUGUUCUUGUUCAUUCCGCUGUGCUUUUUGUUCUUAGUCUACUCGGACACAAGGUCUCCGCAUGUCUCCUUGGCCACAUGAAUAUUUUUCUUCUAUUGGUAGUUCCUUCACUUCCUUGUAGAGAUAACCAUCGUCACUAACACAUCAAAGCUCAAACACAAUUAAUGACUGCAGUUGGGGUGUUGGGCAACAUAACUUUGUUUUGUUCCCCUCUAUGCAAAUUCCACUCUUCUUCUCUUCUUCUCUUCUCUCUCCAACUCAUCCUUUCUUCUGAAUCUGAUGGUACAAAACCUCUUUUCUGCCCUGUGUGCUUCAUAUCAGUGAUGCCCUUUUGAAGUUGCAACAAAGAAGGAAAUAUCACCCCUGUCCGUAAAUGGAAAAACAUGUAAAGCACAACACAUUAAGGAAUAACAAAGUUCCAUCAAAAUAAGAACAAGGAAUGUAAGUGUUUAUCUACUGCAGAUUAACUUCCACCUAUACAAUGUCAAACAUUUGUGUAAACAUUACUACAUUAUUAAAGGUAUCUACACUGAACCCAACUCACCAUAAAAUUCUUUGAUGCUGGCCCUCAUUUCGUAAAUCAACAUGGUGGUCUCCAUCCGGAUAAUCUGGUAAUCCAUCACAUUACCACAGCCAAAUGAGAUAACAAACAAAAUGAAUAUAUUUAAGUAGAUGGAAUAACACAUGAUGAAUAAUUUAAAAUUGAAAUAUUGGACUUCAAGAUUAAGAAACAUGUCCAAAAAAAGGCCUUCACAGAAAGUUAACAUUUUUGCAAAGAAAGAAUGAGAGGGGAGGAAGAUGAACUUGAUGAUGGGAUAAAUUGAUUACAAAAACUCAAAUUAGAUUUGGACAUUAUUACAUUCUCUCACUAGUUAACAUCUCUCAUCUCUUCAACUCUACCCCUCUUUCAUUAAUUAGAGAAACAACGGAACACAAAACAAACGAAAUCUUCAGAUAAUACAUAAAAUUCAAUUAGAUAAGAGACCAUGCCACUUAAAUCAUCAGAAUUCUAAGCAAGCCAAGGGCCCAGCAACAUGGCAAUCCGUCCAUGAAUAAAAAUAUUCAGUCAUGUACACAAAUGUGCUAAAAAUUGGAGUGGAACAAGGAAUUGAUAUUGUGUUUCAAUGGUGGACUUACAAACAGGAUUGACAGAACAUCCAAGGUUGCCAAAGGAGCAGCACUGCAGCAUCAGACUGUAUCUUUAAGCCAUGCUAAUAAUACAGGAUCCACUGUACCCUUCAACAAUAAAUCAGCAAUCAACUCCAUAGUCGAUGCAUCUGCAGAGAAACCCCUCUCACACAUUUCUAGAAUAAGUCCCGUAGCCCUUGACGACUCAUUGUUAUUGAAAAAACCUUGGAUGAUUGUGUUAUAGGUACAAUCAUCUGGAGAACAGCCUUUCUCCUCCAUUUCUGUCAACAACUUUUCAGCUUCACUUAAAAGGCCACCUUCACAAAGUCCACUGAUCAUUAUGGUAUAUGUCCAAACAUCAGGUUGAAUAUGCUUUGAUGACAAACCAGAGAAGACAUUUAUUGCAGAAUCCAUUUCUCCAGCUUUGCACAAACCUUCAAUGAUAAUGUUGUAGGUUACAAUAUCUAGUUCCAACUUCUUCCCUUCCAUCUCUCUAAGCAGUUCCAGUGCCGUAGAAAGUUGUUGGUUGUUACAAAGGCCAUCAAGUAAAACAGCGUAAGUUUGAACAUUUGGAAGUUGGCCACCACAAUGCAUCUCAGAGAACAACUUUUGGGCAUCUUGCAUCCUCCCCACUUUGCAAAAUCCGUCAAUAAGAGUGGUAUAGGUGAUGGUGUCUGGAACCAGCUCCCAACAAUUCAUUCUCUUGAAAACCUUAUAAGCCUGAUCGACCGUUUUACUCUUGCAAUAUCCGUUUAUCAAUAUAUUACAACUACAAACAUCAACUAUGGAACCCUUCUGAACCAUUAGAUCAAAUACUUGUUUCGCCUCAUUCAUCUCUCCUCGCAAACAGUAACCGUCCAUAAGCGAAUUGUACGUAACCACAGUAGGUUCGAUAUGUCUUUGAAACAUGAUGUCAAUCACACUUUGGGCUUCCACAACCUUCCCUUCCUUACAGAUUGUAUCAACCAAGACAUUGAAGGUGACGACAUCUGGAAAGACACCUUGACUCACCAUAUAAUUCAAACUCACCAUAUAAUUCAACAACCUGAUAGCUUGUUCCCACCGGCCGAAAUCACAAACUCCUUGAAUCAAAGAGGUGUAAGUUUUAACACAUGGAGUAAUACCUCUGCUGAUCAUUUCUGCAAAGAGUUUCAAUGCUUCAUCAUGAGUGUGGCCUUGCAUAGACCGUCAAUGACAGUGUUAUAGGAGACUAUGUCAGGCAUAUAACCGUUUUCUUCCAUCUUACUAAGUAAUUGCAUGGCCGCACUGUUGUUUCCCGUCUUGGAGGAGCCCUUUAUAAGUGUGUUGAAUGUAAACACAUCGGGCUUACAAUGACCUGCCUUACGCAUUUUGUUGAAAAAUCGUGCCGCUUCUUGCACUUGAUUGUCGAGAACAAAGCCGUUGAUUAGAGUGUUAAAGGUAAUAACAUUUGGUUGAAGACCCAAUUUGAAGAACUGACCCAAGACAGAUAAGCCAAACAGCAAUCUAUUCAAAUGGCAAUAGCAGUUGAUGAGAAUAGCGAGAGUAUAAUAAUCAGGAGCAAUUCCGAUCAGACCUAUCUUUCUACUCAAAGCGAUGACUGCAGAAUAUUGUUUGAAUUUGACAAGUUGAGUCAAGAUUUGAUUGAAAGGGAUAACAGGAGGCAGAGGACGCGAGUGAAGCAUUUCGUCGAACACCUUCAAGGCAUCGUCAACAUCACUCACUCUGGGUCGUUUUCCUAUCUUGGUUUCUCUCAAUUUACUCACUCUGGGCACUGAAGGCGGGUGAGGAUCUCUCACAGACUCUGGGUAUUGGGUAUGUUUAGAUUUGGUUGGGUUUGAGGAUUUAGAAUGAAACAAAGCCAAGUAAUUGUUAACAGCCAAGAGCACAAGAGAAGAGUGAAGUAAUGGCAUAUUUCUUGUUCUGCUGCAAUGAAAACAAGAAGAAGCAGCAGUUGCUCGGAUCAUCUUCAGCAUCUUUCUUUGUUUUUUGAGAGUCUCAGUUGUCUGCAAAGAUAAAUUUGCUGAUGUCUAUUUUAGUAUUUUAGCAGAGAGAAGAGGAGGGAUCAAACUACGACUUAAAUUUCAAUAUAAAAAAAAUUAAACGACUUAUGGUCAUUACUUAUUAACCAUAAGUCGAACUCACGAACUUUACUCACCGACUAAUGUUGGAUUAGGCACCCUUUUUCCAUAAUGGUGUUCAGUGGAUAAUCAAAACAGAGAAUCUGAAAUGCGUGGAUUUGCAAUGUGGGAUCAUGACUAAUGUCGUUUGAGCAAUUGAUGGGGAAUUUCAUAAGGCAAUCUGUUUCGAUUCUUGCGGCAAGUGUUUUUGUUGGUUAACAUCUUUGUUUGAAUUUGAAGAGUUCCAAAGGAGAUUCUUGACCUAUUAAACUUCAUCCCUUGACAUCUUUGAGUCUAUUUCUAUUUUCUACAAGCGCAAAGGUAUAAAAUUAGAAUAGAUAAGACUGAUUAGCAUCUUAUACUGAUUAACAACUGUGUCUGCAUAUGAUUACUCUACCUCGAGUUAAAGAUUGACUAAACUUUGUAUGAAAUGUAGCGUACGGGGGGUUACAUACGAGGAGUUUAACCUAAUUCCUUUUGCCCUUUCCUCUUCUUCGUCCGACUACCUCCCAACCAUCUUCUGCUUCAUCUGCCUGCUUGGUCUGUGGCUCUCUUUGCAUGAGACUCUGAUUUGUCCACAAUCAUGUUUGUUGAAUCAUCUUCAUUCAUGCCAGCAUCAUCGUCCUCAUCGCUAUCUUCAUCAUCAUCCACAUCCGGGCAUGAGUAAGGAAGAUAAAGAGUUUACUGAUAUGUAAAAUAUUAUCAUAAACUUGAUCAUUACUUAAUUUUGAGCACUCUCCUAAACAAGAUAUACCAAAUACCAAUAUCCACAUCCACAGGAAUUCUUCAACAGAAAGAUCUGGCAAACUCAAAGAACUAUCAUAACUCUUGAGGGCACAGGGUUCUAAUAAAACUUACCUGUUUGACAUGAGUAGGAACUCUUCGACUGUUGGCUUCCCUUAAGCUUUCAAUCGACUUGAAAUUGCGAUCCAAACAUUCUCCAUGCAUAAUCAUUAUUUUUUUAGCAACCUGUGCAAAAUCAGAAGCCAAUUAGAAGUUAUAAACACAGGAAAGAAAAAACAGCUGGUCUGAAAUUUCAUCACUCAUAUCCCCUAUUACAGAUUCCCUUGCCCACUCAUUAGAAUUAAAAUUACUAUCUGACCAUUCUGCAUGCAUAAAUUAUGAACUUUCCGACUACUUGUGCAAAUCCAAAGGCAAAAAUAAACCAUAAAGCUGCCAGUACAAAAUUGCAUCGCAGAUGUCAACCAGCCUUAAGCUCUCAAUAGACUUGAAAUACAAUCUACACAUUCUCCUAGCAUUCCAUAAGCAUAUUCAUUAACUCCACAGCUAACUUCAUAAAAAAUCCACAAAAGAAAGGACGAAAAGGAGAACUAUCCUGUUCAGAGAAUGAAAGAGUUCGAGUUUCUAAAGACGACUGAUUACAAGGUCUCACAAAUCUCCUUAAUGGUUCCUCAUUUUAGGGGAAGCAGAUGACUCUCUGUUUCCCACCACAAGCAUAUCAUUAAGUUUACAACAUUUCUUCCUAAUACAAUUCAUCAAGAUACUAUCAGACACUGCAGCAUGCCACCUAAUAAACUGAUCAUAACACUAAUCAUUGUAAGAAAAUUUCACAUAUUUCGGCACAAAAUUGACAAAUUAGGUAGUGCAAUCCGGAGAAAUUGAGUUAAAGAUUCGGCACAAAAAUCGAAAUUUACACGAGACAAAUUUGAGGAGAUUAAGAUUACCGGUGGAGUGAUUGACCCAGGACACGAUAUCGGAGAAAGAGUUGCUCAGCUUUUUGGCGCGAGUCACGGCCGCCACACUGUAACUCGACGGCCAAUUGAAGCGCCGACCAGCUGCCACCUGGACAGAACUAAUCCGCUUCUUGGAAGGCCGCCGCGGUCGCCGCCGUCAGCUUUCUCUCUGGCUCCAUAUUCAGGGCUCUGUGAUGGAACCCGUUCUCUUUACCUCACCUUGUUCUUUAAUAGACUACAACUACGGAAAAGAGGGAAAACAGUAAAAUUAAAGAGUUUGCAUUUCAUUGAUGAUCCAAAUGCAGAAGAAGCUACAACAUAUAAGGAAAUCUUUUGCAACAACAAUGCAACACGUGGGACAGGGGACCGCCACUACACAAGAGGAGACAAACUAAUUCAAAUGAGAACAGCUUGGAGUUUCAGUUGGAAAGAAGACAAGUUUGCAACUGGUAAUCUGGGGUUGUUGUUGUUGAGCUUCAAUACCAUCAUUCAGAAGUUGUCCAGAGAUAUUUUGAAGAAGGAGUGGGCUGAUGUGGUGAUUGGGCGGUAUGGCCUUGGUCUUAACAAGUCCUCCCCCUUUGAAAGCAAGCUUCUCCUCAAGCUUGGAAGGUGGGAAACUUUUUCAUGAUAGAGUAAGCCUCUUCCCACGUGGCAUCAUCAGCUGGGAGCCCUGCCCAAACCACUAACCAUUCUGUAACUGAACGUCUUUUCUUCUUGACGAUGUGCAUAUCCACCACGCGCUCUGGUUCCCAGGUGAGAGCGCCACUAUUGUCAAACUGAGGAAGUGUGGUGGCGACCGGUGUCUGAUCUCCAAUCCGGCACUUAAGCAAAGACACAUGGAAGAUGGGGUGGAUCUUGGAGUUGGCAGGCAAGCUGAGUUUGUAGGCGACCUUCCCGAUUCGUGCAGCGAUCUGGAAUGGUCCAUAGAAACGAGGAGCAAGCUUGUGGGCUGGACGGCGGACCACAGAUUGUAGGCGGUAUGGGUGCAAUUUGAGGAAGACCAAGUCACCCUCGAUAAAGUCGCGCUCAGUCCUCUUCUUAUCAGAGUGUUGCUUCAUCCGGUUUUGGGCCGAAUGUAUGUGGCUCUUCAAGGUUGCAAGCAGAGAGUCGCGGUUUUUCAAAUUCUUGUCCACGGAGCCGACUGAGGUUGAGCCCGGAAGAUAGCGGGUGAUAGCAGGGGAUGGGUAACCGUAUACCGCCUCGAAUGGAGUCAUUUUGAUGGUGGCAUGAUAGGUGGAAUUGUACCACCACUCUGCCCAGUGGAGGAGGUUCGCCCAAUUGGUUGGUUUGUCAUUGAUGAAACACCGGAGGUAGUGUUCUAGUGUGCGAUUUAGCACCUCUGAUUGGCCAUCGGUUUUGUGGGUGAUAGGCGGAGCUGCGACAAAGUUGGGUGCCUUGGAGCUUGAAGAAGUGCUCCCAGAAUUGGCUGAUGAAGAUGCGGUCACGAUCGCUGACGAUGAAACGAGGCAUGCCAUGUAGGCGGAAGACCUCUCUGGUGAACGUUUCGGCAAUUUGGGCUGCUGUGUACAGCGAUGAAGUGAGCUUGUUUUGAUAGCCUGUCAAUAACUACCAGGAUGGAAGUUUUGCCCUCUGAGACCGGUAACCUAUCUAUAAAGUCCAUCGCGAUGUCAACCCAAAUGUUCUCGUGUCACGUCUCCCGACCUUUAAAUUUUUACCUUAUUUAUCAACUUGGUUAUAAUAAGAAUUUUACUGUCUCCGUCAAUGAAGUUAUAGUAUAAUUGGUCCUUAGUGGGAUUGUGGGGGACGAUUGUUUCGGAGAGUGAUUCGUAGGAGGAAAAUAUGACGACGGUAAAAAUAGUAAAUUUUAGCUGGUAAAAGAUAAUUUUUAAUUCGGGUAUUAUUUUUCGGGGUGUUUUAUUUUGGAUUUGGGUUGUAUAAGGGUGUUGGACCGGGCCAAGAGGUGGUCAAAGCCCAGCCCUCUCUUUUUUUCUUUCUCUUCUCUUCUUCUCAUGGUCUCCCUAGCUCCCCCCCCCCCCCCACCCCCGAGCUCCCUCUCCCCGGCGAACUUCCGGUCGUCCGCCUGCCGCCGUCCGGCCGUUCGCCGCCGCUCCGAUCCCGUUCGGUUGCCCUCCGACCCAACUACAUCCCUGGACCGGUGACAGCCACCCUAGCGCCGCCGUGAAAGAGUUCUCUCGCCUAGAACCUCGGGCUGCCCAAAGUCCUCCAUCGUCGGAACUCCCUCCUCCGGCCACCAAUUCGGGCAAGCUUGGUAUGGUUUUGAAGAUCUCCAACCCAGUUGCCUUGCCCUAGAAGGACUCGGUCCAGUUUGCUUCAGGUGAGGAGAACCGGUGAGUGGAAGCUCUAGGGCUUUUUGUGUUGUUUUCGUUUGAUUGACCUAGUUAGGCUUGGAUUUUGGGUUUGUGCUAGUUAGGAAAGUUGUAGAGCUUGAUGAGAGGAAGAUGUUGUCAAAAUUUCAUAGGAAUUGGAUGUCGCCGGUGCCACCGCUGUUUGGGAGAUUUUUAGGGUUUUAAAUGUGGAAUAUUAAGGGGAGUAUAUUGAUGUGAGUUAUGGAAUUUUCGGAUGAGUUUUGGAUAGGUUUGUGAAUUUCCGAAGUUUGGUAUUUUUGGCGGUUAUUAAUGUAGAAUCCGGCCGUAGGAUUUAAGUCAUUAAUCUGUGGAAGGUUGAUUUAAGGCUGCUGGUAUGUUCGGUGAAGUUUGAGUCAUUUUAAGUUAAGAAUGGCGAAGUUGGGCAAUGAUGAGUGUGUGGGAGGCUCACGUUUAAUUUUGCCCAUUGUGUUUAAUUAUUGGAUUUUUAGUGGGAAAUUAAUUAUAUAUUUGGAACAGGACGAGGGGAGACCCGAGCAGAGGAAGCCUCGGAGCGUCAUCAGGCUUAGGCCUAAUUUGUGAGUGGACCUUUGUGUUAAAUUGAAAAGCAUGCGAUGAAUUAAUCUGUUGAUCAUUUAUUUCUUUUCCUGAGAUUUAUUUCUUUCUCUGAUAUUUGGCAAUUUUCCUCCUUUGGAGAGAUCCCGAAAAUGAGAUUUUCGGCGGAUAUGUUUAUGGAUAUUAUGAGUAUAGUAUGUAUAUAAAUGUUAGCUAGCCAUACGUGCUUGGUCAGUCAUAAUGAGGUAAAAUGUCAUUAUGACGUGACGUGAGUGUUGAACACUAGCGUCAUAGCCCUAUAUGAACACUAAUUUCUUUUCUGGUUUAUUUAGGUUUUCAUAUAGGGAGUCCACGCGUAUAUAAAUACACCGUCCUCUUCGGUCAUAAUGAGGAAAAAUACCAUUAUGGCGCAACGUGAGCGGUAGACGCCAACGUUGUAGCCUUGUAUGAAUUUCUAUUUUUUUCUAAAUUAUUUCUAGGAUUCAUACAAGGAGUCUGAUGGGUGUAAAUACAUACGAAUAUAUGAUUAUAUAUAAUUUAGCCUGAGAGGCUCCAUUUUAUUUGAGUUAGUGACUAGCCAGAGCUAGUCGAGGAAUUGCCAGUUUAUGAGUUGAACGCUUUUGAACUGCCGCAUGUAGUAUAUUUUCUUUGGAAAUUAAAAUGGGGAAGCAUAAAUAUUUUUAUUAAUUUAUUUUUAUCCACUCACUCUAAAGUUAUUAAAUGUUUUCUCUUGGGCCAUUCGUUUUAAAAUGCCCAGUCUGCAGAGUUCGGGUUAGUUCUAGUAGGAGGCGAGGCAUAGUCACCCGUAUUUCCACCACUUUUCACUAGUAGGUUACCUGUUUAACCUACUUGUGUUUUUCUUGCUUCCUCUAGUGUCUAAUAGCUCUGAUUUUCCCUUGGGGAUAUUGUAUAAUAUUAUUUCGGUUGUGAGCGAAGGCAUGUUGACAUUUUAGAAUAUUUGUUGGAGGAUUUAUGUUAUCUUUUUGGAUAAUUAUAUUUGAUGUUUGCAUAAUGUUAUGUUGUUGUUGGUGGUGGUUAUAUUCGGGGAGCACGUAGGCUCUAGGAGUUAAGGUGGGAUUGAAUUUUUUUGGGAGUGUUUGCAGGUUUUCUUUGGGAAAAGUUGUUCAUUUUUAAGGGAGGUUAUGCCGAAAUUUCGGUAAUAUCUUCCUUGGAGGUGGUCCCCACACGACUUACUCCGGGUUUCAGGGUGAAAUUCGGGGUGGGUCGUGUCAUCUCAGGCACUGGUAGGGGUUGUAAGAGACCGGGAGGGUGUACGGCUUCGUAAUUGUUGCGUUGGCAGUGGUCGCAACAAGCAACGUAGCUUUUCAUGUCACGGUGCAUUUCGGGCCAAGCAAAGUUCCUAGAGAGGCGCUUGAAGGUGCGUAGGUAGCCGGAAUGACCUACGGUCAAUGCUGAGUGAAAGUCAUGUAGAAUCUUGCUCCUCCAAUCGGUGCUUUGGGGUACAAACAGCCGGUUCUUGUAAAGGAGGUGGCCAUCUAGCAGGGAGAACCCUUUUCUCGUAGGUUCUUGUUUCUCCAAGACUGUGAUGAUGACACUGGCCUCGAGAUCAGUUUUGCAGGCUUUUGUGAUGGCGGUGAUGUUGUCAGCGAUUGGUGAUGAGAAGGCCUGUAUAGCAAGGAACUCAUGCCUGUGGGAAAGGAUAUCUGGCAUAGUAUUAAGAUGGCCGGCUCGGUACUGGACACGAAAGUUAUAUCCCAAGAGUUUAGACAUCCACCGGUGUUGAGCAGGGGUGUUGAUUCGCUGGGUGAACAUGUGCUGAAGUGGCUGGUGAUCGGUGAGGAUGGUAAAGGAAUGCCCAAGCAGGUAUGGUCGCCAUUUUUCCACUGCAAACUAUACUGCAAUCAUCUCUUUCUCAUAGGUUGACAGAGCUUGGUUUUUUGGUGAUAGACACUUACUGAGGAAUGCCACCAGAUGUUUGUGUUGGGAGAGAACUGCCCCGAUGCCCAAUCCACUAGCGUCGGUUUCAAUGAAGAACUCUUCUCCAAAAUUUGGAAGUGUAAGGACCGGUGCAGAGGUUUUGGCGUUCUUGAGUGCAAUGAAGGCAGCCUUUGAAUUGGGUGUCUACAUAAAAUUUCCAGUCUUGAGCAUGUCAUUAAGUGGUUUUGCAAUGAGCCAUAAUGCUUCACAAACCGACGAUAAUACCCUAUGAGACCCAAAAAGCCACGUAGAGCCUUGAUGGACUUGGGUUUUGGCCACUGCAUGAUGCAUUGAAUUUUACUUGUAUCCAUAGCCACUCCUUGUGCCAAAAUUGUAUGCCCAAAUAGUUGACACUUGGCUGAGCAAAAGUGCACUUGGAAAGCUUCACAUAUAGUUUGUGGAGAUGUAGCAAUUGAAGCACCUCUUCAAGGUGGAUUAAAUGAGAAGCAAGGUCUUUGCUAUAAACCAAAAUAUCAUCAAAAAAUACCAACACGUGCUUCCGAAGCAAGGCACGAAAAAUAUGAUUCAUAAGAGCUUGGAAAGUUGAAGUGGCAUUGGAUAAGCCAAAGGGCAUUACCAUGAACUCAUAAUGGCCGUCGUGAGUGCGGAAUGCGGUUUUGUGGAUGUCGUCGGCACUCAUCCGGAUUUGAUGAUAUCUGGAACGAAGGUCUAGCUUGGAAAAAACGGUGGCACCGUGUAACUCAUCCAACAAUUCGUCGACUACAGGAAUGGGGAAACGGUCUUUGAUGGUGACUGCAUUCAAGUCGCAGUAGUCUACGCAAAACCUCCACCCUUCAUCCUUCUUGCGCACCAACAAGACCGGGGAUGAAAAAGGGUUGGAACUGGGCCGAAUCAACCCUUGCUUCAACAUGUCAGCAACUUGGGCUUCCAACUCUUUUUUCUGUGAAUGGGCAUAGCGGUAGGGCCUAACGCUAAUUGGGUCAGAGUUGGGUAAGAGAGGGACUUUAUGGUCCAUGGCUUGAGAAGGGGGAAGGCCUGUAGAGUUUUCAAACAGGUGGGGGUAUUUUUGUAAGAGGUCUGUGAUUUGAGGGUGGUGUAUGGUGGUGGUAAUCUUUGGUGAUAUAGAGCAGAGGAGACUGUGUGCUUCAAGGUGUUCAGGAGAGAUGAGUUUUAAGAUAUCGGCAUCAGGAAUUGGUUUGGUUGGGUGAGCGGUGAUGCCGCGCAGCACGUGGCCUUGACCGUCAGCGACAAAGACCAUGAUUUUGUCGAGGAAAUGCCACCCAAUGAAACCCAAGGUGUCCAACCAUUGAGCGCCGAGUACCAAAUCGCAGCCAGCUACGGGUAGAAGGAGAAAGGAGCUUGUGAAGCUAUACCCUUGAGAGUUGAUUGUGAUGUUGUGAGCCUGUCCCGAGGGCGUGAGGGUAUGGCCGGAGGCAGUGGUGAAUUGCAUGGCUGCCGAAGGUUCUAUGGGAACACCUAACUGGUUAACCACCGCCGGGUUUAGGAAAUUCAUUAUGGAGCCGCAAUCGAUGAAGAUAUCAAUUGGUAUGUCACCUACCGAGCCUUUCAAUCUCAUCAUAUCACUGAGUGAGGUGUUGGUGAUUUUGUGGAGUGGAAAGAUAUGGUUUGGCUCCUCAAUGUGCUCUUCAGCGGUAUCACAGAAGGUAUUGGAGGUAGUAUUGUCUGGGUUGGUUUCGUCUGGAGGCUGGUGGUAAUCAAUAAUUGCCAUGAAGGGUUGACGACAAACGUGGUGUUCAUCCCACUUGUCAUCACAAUUGAAACAGAGACCCUUAGCUCGACGUUCACGCUGCUCCGGUGUCGAGAGGUGGCGAAAUGGGGUGGGUCUUUGAGGGUGAGUGGUAGUGGUAGUGAGGUAGGGCCGAGGUGGGAGAGUUUCAGUAGGUGGUGGUUUGAAGGUGGUUGUGCUGGUGGGGUUGUGGUAUGUGAAAUUGGUUCUGGGUAUGGAGAAAGACGGAGGCCGAGGUCGAAAUGGGUUGGGUGGCCGAAGAGCGUUAUUGCGAGUUUCGUAAUACUUGGCCAAUCUUUGUGCUUCGGCAAGGGUGGGGGGUCGCAUGGCCUUGACAACAUGAAAGAGCUCAGGGUGGAGACCCUCAAUGAAAUGUGAAUGAGUUCGCUCUCAAGCCAGUCAGGGGAACGGCAAGAGAGCUUGGUGAAGGCCACAAUGAACUCGUCUGUUGGAGAUAGGCAAGCAUGCCUUUGAAAUCAGAGCUACUUCUUGCUCCAAGACGAGCAAGGAGAGCAGUGACAAACACAUCCUAAGUGGGAUUGGGGUGGCGGAGUUCGUAGGCGUUCAUCCACACCGAGGCAUCGGGGCCGAAGUGAGUCACCGCUGUUUGGACCUUGUCUUGGUGCGGAACAUGGUUGGUGCGUAAGUAGCGCUCGGCAAUGGCUAGCCAGCCAAUAACAUCAUCACCGUUGAAUCGAGGUAGAUCGAACUAGGGGGGUCUGUAAUGGGGUGGUUCAGGUGGGGGUGGGUAGUAAUAGUGAUGGUUAGGAGGUGGUAGUUGGUGAGGAGGUUGGCCCCUGUGGGUCUGAAGAGGUGGUGGUGAGUUGGUUGUAGGUUGAGGGAAGGCUGAGAGGGUGGAAAGGACCCAAAUGAGAUUGUUGAGGGGGGUGGGGUCUGAAGAGGUGGUGGUGAGUUGGUUGUAGGUUGAGGGAAGGCUGAGAGAGUGGAAAGGACCCAAAUGAGAUUGUUGAGGGGGGUGGGUGUAUUGGGGCUCAUAGAGUGUGAGAGGGCCAGGCGUGUUGGUGUUCGGGGAGGGGGGGGGCAAGGGAAGAGUAUUGAUACCUUAAGGUUUGUUAAGAUGGGUUGGGGGCAGAGGUGGAGGGGCCUGCAGCAGUGGGGUGUGAUGGUGUAGGGGCAGAUGGUUGAGAUCCCCAGUGGUUGAGAAUAUGGUUUUGGAAGGCUGCAAAUUGAUGGCUCAUGAGAGUUUGACUGCGGUGGAUGGCAUCGAUGGUGUUGUGGAGCACCUCGUUUUGAGAUUGGAGGGUUUCAUUAUGGGAUUGGAGGCCAUCUAUGGCGGCUUGAAAGGUUGUGAGGUGGUCUGUUGUAAUGGUGAAUGAGGCGGUUGAGCUAUUUUAGGGUGGGAGGGUUAUGUUUUGGGUUGUGGGAAGGGGAGGCACAACCCCACUCGCGUUUGCCGAUGACGGUUGCCGGACUUGGUUGCCAUGCAUCAGGUCUAGUCUCUGAUACCAGAUAAUAGACUACAACUAUGGAAAAGAGGGAAAACAGUAAAAUUAAAGAGUUUGCAUUUCAUUGAUGAUCCAAAUGCAGAAGAAGCUACAACAUAUAAGGAAAUCUCUUGUAACAACAAUGUAACACGUGGCACAGGGGACCGCCACUACACAAGAGGAGACAAACUAACUUAAAUGAGAACAGCUUGAAGUUUCAGUUGAAAAGAAGACAAGUUUGCAACUGGUAAUCUGGGGUUGUUGUGGUUGAGCUUCAAUACCAUCAUUCAGAAGUUGUCCAGAGAUAUUUUGAAGGAGUGGGCUGAUGUGGUGAUUAGGCUUAGGUAUGGGUGUUAGACCGUAAUUUACACAUAUUUUCAUUCCCCUAAAUAUUGAAUUUGCCUUGUUUUUUAGUUCAUUUUAGCUUUCACUAAAUCAUUUUCCAUUUAUCUAGGAAUAUUGCAAGAGUGAUGGAAACAUGCAUUUUUGGCAUUAAUAUGGAGAAUCGGAGCUAGAAAGAAUAACGGUCCAAUGUGGAGCAAGACAUAGAUUUCCAGAUUCCGACGAACCACCACUAUUGGCGGCACAAAUGGGGGCUCAACACCACUUUUGGUGGUGCCAUACCUUUUUCGAUCACCAUGAAGGAGGAACAAAGAUGACUAAGGAGAUUGAGUAAUACAAUUGCCUCUACCCUAUAAUCCUUUGGAUAAUAGGCAUCACUAUACACACAUUUUCCUACUCUACUCUACUCUACUCUCUCAUGAUUAUGUUCCUCUUUCUCCUCCCUAACACUCAAUCUCCCUAGCUAGCUUUAUUGACUUUUGUGCUAGCUCUUUGCUUUUUCUUCCUUUGCUUCAUCCGGAUGGGAGAAGAUUAGCUUCUCCUCUUUCCCUUAUUUCUUCUAUUUAAUACUUUCCCUCUCUCAUUACACACACCAUCCACCCAUUCACUCCUUUCUCUACCUUUUUCUCUCUUUUCCACCACAAACCUCCUUCUCCUUCUCCCAAAAUCCAAAUCCAUCCUCUUCCUUCCCCAAUCUACUCCAUCUCCUCCAUCACCACCACCAUCUCUUACCCAAACCUCCAUUAACACCACCACCAAUACACUAUUUCUCCAUUCUCUUAUCUAUACCAUUUUCUCCAUCCACUCCACCUAUUCACUCAAAGCAUAGAUCAAGCUUCACCAUCUCUUAUCAUCAAACAUCAAGAGCAAGAAGGAGAGGAAAUCACCAUCAUCACCACCACUACCAAGACGUGAGCUUGGGGAUCAAUCAACACACUACUAAGCCAACUCUCUCCCUUAAACUCUAGAUCUAUUUUGAUGUUUAAUUUGAUUAUGAAGUUUGUUUAUGUAAUUAUGAGUGAGUAGUACUUUGUGGGGUUAGGGUUGAAAGCCCUAACCAAUCUUGUAUGGAUUGAUGAUAUAUUAUAAUUUGAUGUAAUUUUAGUUAACAUUCCUACAUGCUAGUUCAAGAGUUGAAUGCAUUUGUUUAGAAUUUACCACUUUAAGUAUGUGAGUUUGUCAUGACAUGAUAAUGUUUAGAGCUUGGUAACCUUUGAAUGUUAAAGCAUGAAACAAUUCGAAUCCUAACUUCAUUCAUCCAUUAUCCCGCUAGUUUAGUUUAGAGUAAUUUAGUUUACAUUUGAGCAUUUAGUUUAGUUUAGUUCACAACCUCAAAAACCCAAAAAUCAAAUCACUACUUCCACAAUGCACAUACUCACCAUGAGCCUAGAUUUCCUUAUGUUUAGGUUUGUGAUUGUACAUUUCCAUAUUCUAGCUCUCUUGAGGUUAACACCCUAGCUAGUGAAAAGAAUCCAAUCCUCGUGGGUUCGACAACCUUUCUUAAAUCUCUAUACUAUUACUUGUACCCCUUAUACUUGAGGGUGGCUUUUUGGCUAACAAUGGGCUUGGUCUUAACAUUCUUCUACAAUAGCUUCCUUCUUUCACCGCAGUAGACGUCCUUCUAUAUCAGACGUACAUAGCAUGUAGUUUAGGAGCAGCAGAGUAGCCUUCAUCUUCAUGUAGUGUAAACUGUAAAGGGCUAAACCCAGAUUGUAGUGGUUUAGGCCCAGUUGUAGGUAGGAAGUUCUAGAUAGUUAUAACUUAAGAUUAAAUUAAUUCACCCCCUCAAACUUUAUCUCUAAAAUCAGUUUGAUUUGAUCCUCGAACUUUUUUCUUAAUCAGGAUGAUCCUUAUACUUUCAAUUUACAUCAAUCGUCUUCGAAUUUCGAAAUUGACUGUAAACAUGACAUCACAAGCUGAGUUGACCAUGACAUGAGGACUCACUUAUCAGAAUUUGACCUAAAAUUUGGAUAAAAUGUCUUACCUACCCUCUUUAUGUUAAACUCUAACCCCCGAAACUCAAAUCCUUUCGUAGGUGUACUCAAUUGAUUAUCAGCUCAACCACACCCUCCCAUCUCCAACAGGUACACUUCUAUACCAUUUGUUUAUGUCCUACACCUUCACUUUCAAAACCACACACAUCUAGAACACUAGAUUUUGCUAGAAACUCAAUGAUAAGACAUAUCCAACCCGCAAAAGCCUCAUAAACCCAAAUAAAAACCAAAAUAUAAAGCAACCAAUGCAUUCAUAUGAACACAAAAAAGAAAAAAAUUGAAUGAGAUGGAAGAAAGAAAAAUAGAAAUUAGAAUCUGAAAUUGAAGUGGUGAAAAGCCUUUUCGUUAUUGCUAGCCCCUUUUCUUUAUCUUUCUUCUUAGAAGUCCCUCUCCACCCAACACUUCCUUCUUAGCAGAUCCUCUCCACCCCCAGCAUAGAGUAUACACCGCCACCAAUCCUUGUGAAGAUGAAUAAGAAAUCUUAGAUCAAGUCAACAAUUCAUGGAUCAAGUCGGAAGAGCUUAGCCUUCUCCUCUUACUCGAGAUUGAUUGACAUCAAAAAAGGCACAAAAAGAGAAGAGGGGUCAUCGGAGUAAAUGACUAGAGAAAUAUAUAUAUUUUUUUUAACAGGAAGAGAAAUAUAGAGAUUAGAGAGGAAGAGAAUUAUAAUUAUUUUUUUGAUAAUGAGUUUAUUAUUAAGGUUUAAUAUGUGUAAAUGUCAAAUAUACCUUCCUGAGAGGGUCAAAAUUUGAAAAAUAGGCCCUUAUGUCGGAGCCAACUCAGCAUGUGACGUCAUGGUUAGAGUCAAAUUCAAAAUUUGGAGACGACUGAUAAAAGUAUAGGGAUCAUCUUGAUUAAAAAAAAAAGUUCAGGGACCAGACUGAUUUUAGAGCUAAAGUUUGAGAAGGUAAACUCAAUUUAAUCCUAUAACUUAUAAGUUAUAAACGGUUAUUCUCCUGAAUUUAUUUAUUUAUUGGAUUAAAUUCAGUUUACCCCCUCAAUGUUUGGGUCUAAAAUCAAUUCACUCCUUGAUCUUUUUUUUUUAAUCAUGAUGAUCCUUAUACUUCUAAUUUUCAUCACACAAGUCCAAAAAUCAAAUUUUUUCCGAACAUGACGUCACAAGCCAACUUUGCACCAACAACAUGACCCACAAGAAGGGCAUAUAGACAUUUUUAAUUGAAAAGAUUAAAAAAAAAUAAUCCCCAAAAAGAUGCACCUCUCCCUCUCUCUCUCCGAGAUCUAUCGCUUCAGUAGUCGAGUAUUAUUGGAACACGAUGACACCAUUUCGGGGAGAGGGGACUGGUUGUUUAGAUGGACACUCUAGAUGGGAGCAACCCAACCCUGAAUGGCCUUGUCACCUACUCGGGCCUUCAACACUGCCACUCCCAUCUCAGCACCCUUAUAAAUCUUAUUAGAAGAAGCGGCGGUGGAAGCUCAAGGAAGAUCAAGGCAGUCGAGAAUUUCAUUUUUGUUUUCUUGCUUCGGUUGAACAUUGGGUUGUGAUGGUAUGUGUAUGGGUAUGUUUAUUCAUGCGAGAGGCAUGUUUAGGCAUCUCAAAAUCAGUUUGGAAUUCGACAAGCUCUUUCCAAAUUGGGUCAAAUUGAAACCAGAGAAGGGGGCUCAAAUUUGUGGGAGUUGCUGUUGUUGUUUACCAUGGCAGGUUAGCUUUGAGUAGUAACAAGCAUCAAUCUUUGAGCUAUGGUGAUUGCUAGAAUAUGUUUUACUACAUGUUUUGAUAAUCUUAUUCUAAGUUUUGAGUUUUAAUGAUGAAGAAGAUAAAGAAGAAGUAGAUUGGGGUUUGAUUUGGAAGAAGAAGAGGUGGAACUGGAAAGUCGAACAGAAUGAAGUUUAGAUUUGAUUUUGUUCCAAACAGAGGGUAAUUUGGACAUUCUAUCCUUAUUAAGGUCUAAAAAUCAAAAAAGUAGGUCAUGCUGUUUAUGCCAUGUCAUUUUGUGACAUCAUGUUUGGAGUAAAAUAUGAAUUCUGGACUUGUGUGAUGAAAAUUAGAAGUACAAGAACCAUCAUGAUUAAAAAAAAGAUCAGGGACUGAACUGAUUUUAGACCCAAACAUUGAGGGGGUAAACUGAAUUUAAUCCUUAUUUAUUUAUUUAUUUAUUUGAGAAAAGGAACAUGGAUCGAACAAAAUCAUAAAGUUACAUCAGUCUAAACUCUAAAGAGUUUCGAAUAGCCAUUGUGGUCCUUCUUCAACCCAAACUUGAAAUGCAAGAAACAAAAGUGUGUAUCUGACAAGCCUAUGUGUUGUCUGAUUACAUUUCUUUGGCCAAUAAUUACAUGAAACUAAAGGAAAGAAUUAAAACAUAGAUUUGACUUCAUGAAUAAGCAUUCCUUCCACAAACCAAUCCUCGACAUCCUUAUCAAAAGCAUCAAUGACAGAGAGAGCAUCUGAUUCUAAAAUAAUUUGUGAAGGCUGGAAACCAGAUUAAACUAGUACCUCCGAUCCCGUAGCAGUGAUUCUCCUGAUUUGUACGGAUGAAUAAAGAAUAGUUUGUAUUAAUUUUUUUUAAAAAGUAAAACUUUAUAUAAUAUCAACCAACGUUACAACCAUGAGAGAUAAAACAAGUCCUCACACUCCUCCCUAUCAACACCAGUGAUUACAAUGACCAUGAACUGAAAUGGUCCAAAUGUAACAUACCCUAACCUAAUUCAGAAGCCUCGAUACCUCCUGACAACCAACCUUAAUUAGAAACAACUCUCCCAAGCACUAUACACCAAAACCGCCAUCAUAUAUGUAGAGUCAACCUUCCAUUACAUUGACAAUAAGAAAACACCAACGUUAAAACUGAUAGUCCCUGGACCUGACACCACAAACAUGGCCCUACCAACACGACCAAAACGACACAAACCUAUCAAAACCACAAACACUCGCCUAGAGAGGAGGGAUCACAAACAAAAGCCACCAAAACAAAUAAAAACCACACAAAAAAAAAAUCAAGAAAAAAACCAGACUAGGCCCAAACAGAACCCAGGUCCAAACAAUACCCCUUGGACCUCGAAGAGCAUGCCACCUCGAUUCCUGGCCCAAACUGUUGUUGAUCGAUGUCUGAUCGCAGCUCCGCCAUCUUGCCGCCAAUCAAGGAGCUUCAUCCUCCAAAAUCCACCGCAAAAAAACAAACAUGACCCAUAUCAAGGAAUUCGAUUCGAGUACGUCAACGUCGCGAAGCUUUACCCAUCUCAUCGCAUCGCCGCUCCAACCCACUGCCUCGCUAGCCUGGUCUGAACAGUACGACACUCUAUAUUGACGACAAAGUCUUUCCACCGGAGCACAACCUCACUGCAAGUCUGCAACACAUAACAACCGAACAACGACUUGGUCCGCACCUAAGAAAAGUCUCCCUUUCUCGUUCCACUGCCACCAUCUUGCAAGGUUAGACCACCAAAUGGCCGCCUUCAACUCUCGUCCGACCACUCUGUAGGAUGGAAUGGAAAACCGUUUUUAGAAACCCUAAAUGAGGACGUGUUUACGGUGUGUUUUUUCGUGAGUGUCAAAGAACAGUUUGUAUUGUUUCAUUGCUUCUUCUUUUUUUUCUUUUUUUUUUAAAUUAUAUAUAUAUAUAUUAAAUAACUAGCACACACCCUACAUAUGUCGUGAGGUUUGAACUCGUGACCUCAAAGUUGUAAGUUAAACUCCUUAACUCACCAAGCCACGACUCACCGACAAAAUUGUAUUGUUUCAUUGCUUCUUUGCAUUUUCCUUUUCUUGUAACAGAUUGAUCCUAACAUAAAGGUUUGAUCUUUUUGAGUCAAGUUUGGGUUUUGAUGAAAAUUUGAGGAUACCUGACACCCACUUCCAAGAGAAUAUCUAACCCUGAUGACCGAGUGAGCUGUCAUUUUGGGCCGGAAGCAAUUUAGGCAUGGCCUAUUUUAAGGGAUGUUUUUCAGAAGCUCGGGCUCGAACCAAUAACCUCCUAAUACUAAGAGAAUCUUCUCAGUGUCCGCCCCACUUGCAACCUAACAUGUUUUCAUUAGACCAACAUUAUUGAGUCGAAUUUAAGUCAUCUUCCUUUAAAGAAUUAGGGUGGGUUAAAACUUUUUUCUUUUUUAAAGGAGGUUUAAAAUUUUAUUUAUUUUAAUGGCCCUAAACUCAAAAUAUUCUUCUUUUUGGACCUCUGUUUUUCUUUGCUGUUGUUUUUCAUUUCUUCCAAUCCUUUACUAGUUUUUUUACUUUUAAUUCAUCCUUAUUGUAUAUGUUGAUUGUUUUAGUUUUAUGUCAACUAUCUCAAACAAGUUAGUCGGUGUCAAUUCGGCAAAUAAAAAGUUGAAAUUGUAAGCAUGAUAGCAAUGCAAGUAUAAUGCUCUAGUUAUUAAUCAUUACAGUAUAGUAUAUAGGGGUGCAGAGUAAUACGUCACAAAAACUAGAGGAUCUUGGCUUUAUUCAAGACAAUACAAGGGAGGGAAUAUAGUUCCGGAAGUAGAGCCCUUCAAAAAAAAUCACAACUUGCCAUCUAACAAAUCAUUUACAUGUAACAUGUGAAAAAUGUACAUGAGAAAGGGUGAUCAUCUCAUUUCAUAAUGUUCAGCUUCACAUACAAGGAGAGAAGAGUAACUUUCAUGAGUGAUUUGUUAAAGUUUUCAUCAUGUUUAUGGAUCAUGAGUUGUGCCAUUUCGGAUGCAAUAAGUUACUUUUUUUUUCCUAUAUGUAAUAUAGUGAACUAGAUCUAUAAAACAUUUAGAGGUCUUUUUCUUUUUUUGAAAUGGGGAUGUCAAUCCAUACAUUAAUAAUGUAGAGGAACAACAAAAACACGAUUCGUCAUUACAGUGUCACAUCCCGACCCUUAAAUUUUUACCUUAUUUACUAGCUUGAUUAUAAUAAGAAUUUUACCGUCUCCGUCAUUGAGUUAAUAGUUUAAUUGGUCCCUAGAGGGGUUUCGGGGACGAUUAUGUGCAGAUGAUUAUUCGUAGAAGGAAAAUAUGACGACGGUAAAAAUAGUAAAUUUUAGCUAGUAAAAGGUAAUUUUUAUUCGGGUAUUAUUUUUUCGGGGUGUUUUAUUUUGGAGUGGGUUGAUAUAUGAGUAUUGGACCGGUUUGGAGAGGCCCAAACCCAUCUCCCUCUUUUUCUCUUCUCCCUCUCUCCCGGUUUUCCUCCCGAGCCCCUCCCCCUGCCGGAAACUUCUGGCUGUCCGCCCUCCGCCAUCCGGCCACCAUCUGCCGCCGCAUCGGUCUCGUUUGAUCGGUCUCCAACCCAGCAUCUUCCCUGGCCCGGUGACAGCUCCCCUAGCGCCGCCGUGAGUGAGGAACGACGCCCGAAGCCGUUGGAAGCCGUGGUGGUUCCCUCGCCGGAGCUCCUUCCUCUGGCCACUAAAACCGGCGAUCCUUAGCUCGUUUUGUAGCCCUCCUCCCGUGCAGCAACCCCUCCAAAGAGCUCACCCUCUCUUGAGCUAGGUAAGGAGAAAUGUGGAGUUGAAAUUUCUAGGGCUUUUAGGAUAUUUUUAGUCGAUUACCCUAGUUAGGCUUGGAAUUGGUGUUUGUGCUAGUUAAGAGAGUUGUAGAGCAUGAUGAGAGGAUUAUUCUGUCAAAAUUUCAUAGGCAUUGGAGGUCGCCGAAAUCGGCCUCCGGCCGCCGCUGCCGGCGCCGGAGCUGUUUGGGAGAUUUUAAUGUUUUUAAAUUUGGAAUAUUAAGGGGAGUUUAUUGGAGUGAGUUAUGGAAUUUUUGGAUGAGUUUUGGAUAGGUUUGUGAAUUUCCUAAGUUUGGUAUUUUGGCGGUGAUUUAAUGUAAAAUCCGGCCGUUGGAUUAAAGUUGUUUAAACUGUGGGAAGGUGUAGUUACUGCUGCUGGUUCUAGGGUUGAAAUGUGGACCAUUUCGAAGUUAGGCAAUGGUUAAUUUUGCUCUCGGUUAAUUUUGCCUAUUUUGCGUAAAUAUUGGAAUUUCGGACUGGGAAAUUAAUAUUAUUUUUGGAUCAGGUCGUGAGGAGGCUUGAGCUGACGAGGCCCCAGAUCGACAUCAGGCUUAGGCCUAAUUUGUGAGUGGACUUUUAUUUUAAAUAAUGUGCAUGCGAAAUAAUUUAUGUGGUUAGAGAAUAACCGAAAUUGAGAAUUUCGGUGAGUAUGUAUAUAUAUCCAUAUUUGGAUGAUUAUGAGAAUAAUAUGUAUAUGAGGGAAUGCUAGCUAGCUAUACGUGCUUUUCCACCAUACUGAGGUAAAAUUCCAUUAUGGUGCGACGUGAGCGUUAGACGCAAUCGUCGUAGCCCUAUAUAAAUAUAAUAAUUUAUAUAGGGGAUAUGCGCGUAUAUAUAUAUUUAUACACCGUCUUUUCCACUAUAAUGAGGUAAAAUGUCAUUAUAGUGCGACGUGAGCGUUAGACGCAAGCGUCGUAGCCUUGUGUGAAUUUUCUAUUUGUCUUUGUUGUUUCAAGAAAAUUCAUACAAUGGAUAUGACGAGUGUAAUACAUACAUAUUUUAUGUUAGCCUGAGAGGCUCUUAUUUUUGAAGUGUUGGUGACUAGCGCGGCUAGUCACGUUUCGGUAAAUUUUUAAAAGCUUUUGAGCUUGUUGCAUGCUGUUAAUUAUUUUUCUCAGAAGUUAAUUUGGGAAGCAUAAAGAUUUAUUUUCUUUUAAAAUUUAUUUUUGUCCACUCACUCUAACGUGUUUCAAAUGUCUUCCCCUGGGCUCUUUGUUUUAAAAUGCCCAGUCUGCAGAGUUCGGUUUAGAUCUAGUAGGAGGCGAGGAAUAGUCACCAGUUUUUCCGCCAGUUUUCAUCAGUAGGUUACCUGUUUAACCUACUAGUGUUUUCUUGCUUCUGCUAGUGUCUAGUAGCUCUGAAUACUUUGGGAUUAUUGUAUAUUAUUUCAGUAGUGUGCUCGGUCGGUUGACUUCAUGUUUAGAAUUUCUGAAGGAUAAGAUUUGCUGUUUUUAGCUGGAUAAGUAUGUGACGUUUGGACGUGCUGUAAUAAGAGUAAAUUUGAAUUUUUCGAGUUAGGGUUGUCCAUUUUCAAGGGAGGUUUUAUCAAUUUUUACGGUAAAUUUUCCUUAGAAGUGGUCCCCGCAUGACUUACUCCGGGUUUCAGGGUGAAAUUCGGGGUGGGUCGUGUCAUACAGACUACGUAAAAAUUAAACUAUGCAAUCGUCAUUGCAGACUACGUAAAAAUUGAACCAUGCAAAACUACCUAGCAAGUCUAAGCAAUCUAAACCAUAACCUAAAAAACUCCUAGUAACCAUGACAUGUUAGCAAGCUAACUUAUUCUAAAUCAUCCAUAACUACCCUACGUAGAGGGAGUCUCCCCGAACGGAGAACCAAUAGAUGUUGAGCUUGGCUCCUCCACCUCAACAGUCCCACUGCAACCAGAUCCUUCACCACCUGAACUGUCACCCAAAAGCAUAAUUUUGUGUGCACCAAGGCUCAUUUUUCCUUACCUUCUUUGCUCAUCUUCCAUUCCAUGGGUUAGAGGCCUUUUUCUUCAUUCUCUUUUACAAAGUCUUGGUAUGUUUAUAAGGAGCAAUAUCCACAUAAUUUAGUUGAAUUGAGGCCCCCCCUUUUGAACAUGCUAUCAUUCUAACAUUCAUUAACAUUUCCUAAUACAUAAACUCAACCCUAACUCAUGAUUGUGUUGGAAAUGAAAUUCCAAGAUCUAACUAAUGUAUUAAACAAGCGAUCUUAAUAAUCCAUCAAACUAAACGUCACAGGCUUACUUGUUUCGCUCCUAAUUUCACUGAUCGAUCCAUGUAAUUUUUUUUUAUCUCUAAAGGAGUUCUACAUGUUCAUAUUUGUUUACCAUUUAUUAAACAGAUCUUGAUGGAUUGACAAGUAAAUGACCAAUUCUUUUUCGCAAACUAUAUUCAAUUUGUUGUAUUUUUUAUGAGUCUCAAUUCGAUUUAUCUAAUUGUAUAAGAACCGACAGUCCAAUUUUGAUCAUCACCUCAUAUUUUGUUUUUAAUAUAUAUUUUUGGAUCAUCACCUCAUUAAUUGGCACCUUCUCUUGGACCAUUUGCCUAUAACGACCAAGGUUUAUCAACAACUAAAUUUACAGACCAUAAUUUAGUUUUGGACCACUAAAUGGUUGGGGAAGGUCACUUAAUGGCUUUAUUUCUUCUUUAAAGUGGGACUAGUGGACAAGUGAGAAGGGACAUGCAUAGUGAUCUCCUACGGCUCAAAGCCUUAUUGAGGAAAACCCAAAACCCCAAAGUAUGAGGGGACAUUGUGGAGCCAUAGGAGGGUCCAUCCAUUGAUUCAGACCCUUGAAUUUGGGACAAAAUACAUUGAAAUAAUUGAACCUAAAAAUAAAAAAAACCAAUAAUGAAAAGCCUAAACCCAAAAAGCCUCAAACUUUAGCUGUUUGGCUUUGACUCCUCUCCCUCACACUCUCCCCAUCAAAGACUCAAAGUAUAUAUCAAUACAUUGUAGUGUGUAGCCCACAGACGACAAUGAGAGACACACCCAAGUUUUUCAGUNNNNNNNNNNNNNNNNNNNNCUUCUCUCUCUCUCUCUCUCUCUCUCUCUCUCUCUCUCCACACAUUUCAGGCCUUAAAAAAAAAACUCUCAGUCUCACACACACUGCUCUAUUUCUUUCUCUUCUUUUAUCUCUCUCCACAGUUGUGACUUGUGAGUGCUCUCUCUCUCUUCUCUGCUAAAGCAAACCACCGUCAAAGUUCUGAUCUUUGAGAACCCAUCUCUCCCUGGCUCACUCAAGCAGGUACCCUUUUUGGGCUUCCCUUUUUCUCUGCACUUUUAACUGGUCAUGUGAUUUGCUUGGUGGGUUUUUGCUUCUGUAUCUUGGUUUUUAGCAUCUGGGUCUUUGUGUGUUUACUCCCAUUUCAUGAUGAUGUUGUUCUGUAAGUGGGUUUGGUAGUGUUUCUGUUAGUUGUUUACUAAAUAUUAGAUUUUGAUUUACUGCAAAGCAUAGAUUUAGUUCUUUGUUAUUUUUGUGUUUCAUCAUAUAAAGGAUGCUUGCAUUGAUUUGGGUUUUGUGAUUUGCAUAUGGAUCAAGUUGAUACAGUAUUGAUUUUCAUGUUUGUCAUUCUUUUGGGAUUUUUUUUUACUGUAUCAUGCAUCUGCUGCAUAGGAGUGAAUUUUCUGUUUUUUUGUAGAAGUUACCUUGCAAUUGUUGGAAUUGAAGAUGAGAUUGAUUUGGAUUGUCAAUGGAGGGAGUCACUUAAUGGAGUUGGGGGUUGAGUGCUGGCUUUGUUCAGUUUGAUCUGUUCUAGCAAGUCUGGUUUCUGUGAAGGUCUCGGAAUCUGGCUCCGGAUAAUUGAAGGGAAAUAAUGGGUAGUCGCAUAGAAGAAGGAAAUUCGCGCAGACCUCCACCUUUACAGAUUUCAAAGACAAGUAAAUCAGAGCCGGUAACUCCAAAAAAAAUGCCCAGCAAUCUGCAACCAGCUGUAUCGAAGCAGGUUUCUGGAGAAGCACUCGAAGAGAGGAAGCUUAAGACUCAGCAGGAUUCUGCCAAAUAUUUAGCUGCUAAGUUAGAAUCAAGUUUAUCAAUGGGUGGUCCAACUCAGGUGCCAGCCAAUGUGGGCCUUGCAGUGAGUGAGACCGGUAAUUUUCCAGAUGGUGGUGGCAAUCAAGUAAAGAGAACAUUAGAAAAUGGUAAUAGCUCAGCAAAAGUCAGCGAUGGGGCAAGCAGUCUUGCCAAGACUAGUGGAAGUGCCAAAAUUAGUGAUCGAGCUGAGUUUGUUGAGAGCGGGAAGAGCAGUAUUUGUAGAGGUAGCACAAGCACUGAUGUGAGUGAUGAAAGUACUUGUAGCAGCUUUAGUAGCGCUAUCAACAAACCUCACAAGGCAAAUGACAUUCAUUGGGAAGCCAUCCAGGCUGUCCGUGCAAGGGAUAGUGUAUUUGGUUUAGGCCAUUUCAGACUUCUGAAGAAGUUGGGCUGUGGGGAUAUUGGAAGUGUCUAUCUUUCAGAGUUGAGUGGAACAAAAUGUUAUUUUGCAAUGAAGGUCAUGGACAAAGCAUCUUUGGCUAAUCGUAAGAAACUUCUUCGGGCUCAGACAGAGAGAGAAAUACUUCAGUGUUUGGACCAUCCUUUUCUUCCAACCCUAUACACCCAUUUUGAAACAGAAAAGUAUUCAUGCCUGGUGAUGGAAUUCUGCCCUGGAGGUGACCUGCACACACUUCGGCAGAGGCAACCAGGAAAGUACUUUAGUGAACAAGCAGUGAAGUAAGUAUUCUUCCUACUCAUACAUUUUAUAUAAUUCAAAACGUGGCAAAUAAUCUCCACUAUUCAGUUUGAGAAUUUGUGGUUUACAUUGCUUUUAUUGUGUGAAUAUUAUCUUCCAAGCUUGGUUUACUACAUUGACAUAUUUCUAUUAGAAGGAUACCUCUCUGUGUUAUCAUGCAGCAUUGAAGUUUCAUCUUUGUAGUAUGAGUAUUGAAUAUUGAAUGAUCUAGACUCAAUCAAGCCGACAUGCUAAAAUGAUGCACAUAUGCCCCCAAACACACACUGAUAUAGAAACUUUUGCUGUAUCUGGUACACUUGGGGUUGUUUCCGGGUUGCUGAUGUUGACUCUUAAGCAUUAUGGAACACCUUUCUGGUGUUAAAAUAUUAAAAAUGAUAGGUGUACUUUUUUUCACAGCUGCAAUGUUCAGUCCUGCUCACCUUAUUGCAAAGAAAUAAGCUUGAAAUUGUUAUUUGAUACUCAUGGUCAUUACUGUUAUGUUUGUCCAUACAGGUUCUAUGUAGCAGAGGUUCUCCUUGCACUGGAAUAUCUUCACAUGCUUGGGAUUGUUUAUCGUGACCUCAAGCCGGAGAAUGUCCUUGUAAGAGAUGAUGGACACAUAAUGCUUUCAGACUUUGAUCUUUCCCUGCGCUGUGUUGUCAGCCCAACUCUAGUCAAGUCUUCAGUUCCUGAGUCUGAUGCCUUGCGAAAGAACCCAGUUUACUGUGUGCAACCGACCUGCAUUGAGCCCUCAUGUAUUCAGCCAUCAUGUGUGGUGCCUACAACAUGUUUCUCCCCUCGUUUCUUUUCAAGUAAAUCCAAAAAAGACCGAAAACCCAAGAAUGAAAUGGGAAACCAAGUCAGCCCAUUGCCAGAACUUAUUGCUGAGCCAACCAAUGCUCGCUCGAUGUCAUUUGUUGGGACUCAUGAGUAUUUGGCACCAGAAAUUAUCAAAGGUGAAGGCCAUGGCAGUGCUGUUGAUUGGUGGACUUUUGGGAUUUUCCUGUAUGAGCUAUUGUUCGGUAAGACCCCUUUCAAGGGAUCAGGGAAUCGAGCCACUCUGUUCAAUGUUGUUGGUCAACCACUGAGAUUCCCAGAGUCCCCAGUGGUCAGCUUCUCAGCAAGAGAUCUGAUAAGGGGCUUACUAGUGAAAGAACCGCAGCAUAGGCUGGCAUACAAGCGUGGAGCAACUGAGAUUAAACAACAUCCCUUCUUUGAAGGUGUCAAUUGGGCAUUGAUUAGAUGUGCAACCCCACCUGAUAUCCCAAAGCCAGUCGAGUUUGAGCGGCUAUCAGCCCCCGUAAUGUCAUCUAGCGAUAAAGCUACUGCUGCUGCCUCUCAUCCAGACCAAAACAAUUAUCUGGAAUUCGAUUUCUUUUAAUUAUUUUCAGAACUGGUAUGCCAUUUUCUUUUCUUUAUUGAGAUGUAGAGUUUCUGAAUAUGUUGAUCUUGUGGAAUUUAGAGUUUGUUUUUACCUUCAUAACAAUCAUAUGUUUGGUGUUGUUAUAAACAGAUAUUUGUAUUGCAGCUCAAAGGUUGUUGCUGUGUCCAAAAUGUGGAUCCUGGUUCUAUCUUUGAUAUGAUAAUAACAGUAUAUUACAUUGAAAAUGGCCCAAGAGAUGUUCAUCCAGCCCUUUUUUUCUUAUACAAGAGACUAAAGAGAAAGCCUAGGAAAUGUUCACAACUUCUUUGCAUUAACUCUAUGGUGUGCUAGAAUCUGAGCUUAUUUGGUUUCCAGGUAAGAACAAGACCCAUGAAGAAUGUGACUUCUAGAGUUUAGUUGUUUGAAUUCAAAAUUCAAGUACGUACACUGGAGCUUCCCAAAUGUCUCACAAACACGACUAUUAUGAGCUAUUAUGAGUAGCCAUUUUCGUAAGCAAAUUCUCUUGCUCAACGUGGACCUAGGGUCAAACAUAUUCAGGUGAGGAGGUCAACUUUUUUUUUUUGGCAAAUGAGGAGGUCAACUUUGACGGUUCUCGUAUCAGUAAUUUUGGGGUCCAAGGUGUUCUAGGAUAUUCUGUAACUUUCUAGAUAUUCUUUAUGUGUGUCUUGGCUUUAUGCCAAUAGGAUAUGUAAUUAGACUAGAUCUAUGUAUUCAUAUCUUUACCAUAUUGGUAUUGUGUAAUUCCCUAUAUAAAGAGCUCCUAUCAAUGAAUAAGAUGAUGAUUCUCUUGUUAUCUCUCAUUUUCUACACUUUAUACUUCAUCACGUUAUCGUGCACUUUGUUCUAACCCUAGAGCCAAUUGCCCACCAUUUGUUUUCCAAACCCUAAAAUCGGGCAGCCUUGUUUUUCCCGAUUUCCGACCAAAAUUCCGAUUGCCUUCCGCCGGAAUUUUAUAUCCCCAGAAAGCUCUCUCCGUCCCGGAUCCAACGCCGCCGACCUCAUCCUGAGAACCGGCCGGAAAGUCACCGAACCGGCAGCCGGAAAAUUCUAGACCGCCGCCGCUAUCGACCACCGGUUCACCAUCUUCCCUUGCUCCGUUCAACCUGAAUUUUUGACAGCAGCUUCCUCAUCCAGAGCUACUCCUUCUAUCAAAUUUUCAGCCCCAAAUUCGAAGUAUAAGUAGGCAAAACGUUGUUUCUCCUCUCGGCAGCCUCUAGAAACCAAAGAUUUCAAGAUUACUCAUCUUCCAAGGAAACCAGAAAUGUAUGUUUUGAAACCUUAAACUUUUCCAAGUUCAAUAACUCGGGGAGGAUAAAAUCCUUUCCUCCCUUCUCCAUCUCCAUUCUAUGCUUGGGAUUUUAUGUGUGCAGGUACCAAAAAUCCCGGAAUUUUAUUUGCGGGUCAAGAGUGUGUUUGAUCACUCUUGCUUCCUUGUCCGGGUUGUGUAUGAUCAACCCCGACCUUUCUCCGGAUUGUGUUUGAUCAAUCCGAGGCCUUUUCCGAAUUGUGUUUGAUCAAUUCGCGGCUUUUUCCGGAUUGUGUAUGAUCAAUCCGAAGGACAAACCAUUAAAAUCAUUAUUUGUGACCUCUAUCGAGUCUCAUAACAACUUGGUUUUGUAUGCAAGAGCAAUGUAACAUUCUGUUCAUUGAGUUUUUGACGUACUCGAUACCUAAGGCGAAUCUUCGCUUGGUAUCUAUGGAACCUUUCACUGGAAAGGAUUAAACCACAUAUUUUGACCCCCAGGCUAACAAGCCUAGAUGCNNNNNNNNNNNNNNNNNNNNNNNNNNNNNNNNNNNNNNNNNNNNNNNNNNNNNNNNNNNNNNNNNNNNNNNNNNNNNNNNNNNNNNNNNNNNNNNNNNNNNNNNNNNNNNNNNNNNNNNNNNNNNNNNNNNNNNNNNNNNNNNNNNNNNNNNNNNNNNNNNNNNNNNNNNNNNNNNNNNNNNNNNNNNNNNNNNNNNNNNNNNNNNNNNNNNNNNNNNNNNNNNNNNNNNNNNNNNNNNNNNNNNNNNNNNNNNNNNNNNNNNNNNNNNNNNNNNNNNNNNNNNNNNNNNNNNNNNNNNNNNNNNNNNNNNNNNNNNNNNNNNNNNNNNNNNNNNNNNNNNNNNNNNNNNNNNNNNNNNNNNNNNNNNNNNNNNNNNNNNNNNNNNNNNNNNNNNNNNUAAAAACCGGAAAAUUAUCAUCAUGAUCUAAUCCUCUAGGUCCUCUGAGUUAGUUUAUGUUCAUGUCAGGGAGCUUUUUGCUAACUAGUCAUGGAGUUUACGACCUUAGAAUGACCGAAAGGACUUGGUUUUGAUCAUACACACGUCACUUGUGGCUAAGGCAAAAGCCUACACGCCACUUGCAAGCUUCACAGCUUCGCACAUGCCAAUUCUGCGAAAAACAGCAAUCUGUCCCUUCUGGACAGUCAACUUCGUUUGAGCUUUGUGAACAGCUCCAGACGAACCAGACAGUGAGCUUUAUAUCAUUAGAAAGCUCUACGAGUCUAGUUUUCAGAAAAUUUUUCGGUUCAUCCAUAUCUAUUUUAACGAAGAAGUUAUGGCUGUUUUAGUGCGCAAAGGUCAUUCUGGGCGGAAAUUUUUAUGCACUCUCGAGAUUGCAGCUUUUUGUAGCUUCGUUCAAUCCUUCUAAAUGGUUCAAGUGGAACUAUUUACUCUCUUAUCUACUCCAUUUUGUAGAUCUGUCUCAUCGAGACAUUGAGUGCUUCGCAGAUAGUGGAACUAUCCACAACAUUCUAAGGAACUGACAACUAUCUUUGGAUUUUGUGCCUUUGUAAAUCUUCUGUGACUAUAAUGAUUGAAUCAUACCGAUCAUUCAAAGACGCGGUUUAGCUUGAAUCUUGAUGCCUCAUGGCACCAUGAUUAAUGUCACAGAUACCCUCUAUACAUUGAGAGGCAAUCAAACCAUAUUGAGCUUUAAAGACAUUCCUGCUAAUAGUUUUCAUUUGAAAACACAUUGUGAGAAUGAACAAGAAUUCUUUUGUGUAUACCUUCUCAUGAAUGCGGACUGAAGCGCAUCUUGGAGAAAUUCAUGAGUCAAUCUAGUGGACUGUAUGUCACUAUGAUUCGAAUAUCGAAUCCCAUGUUGUCGCCAAACAUGAUAUUUGGGACAUUGACUCAUAUAGGCUUUGGUUUGACCAAAUUGGUCAACCUGGAAGAGAUAAUGGUCCAAAUUUUGAGAAAUUCUCAUGGACAUCCAUUCUUCCGCUCAAAACGAAGACAUUCGAGAUCUAGCAUCACCAUGAAGCAUGGUGGUGACCCGGGGGACAUUGACGUCACCCGAACACGACUCCAACUUCCUGGAGGUCGUACGGUCAAUUCCUCAAGCAAUUGAGGUGCACCGGCCUUUCCUCGAUGUCGCAUUGGCCCUCUGCAAUGCUCAUUACUCGUUUUGAAAGCCUAUUGUUUAGCUAAAUUAGGAGUGAGACCCUCCUACGCUAAAUAACACAAAAGUGAACAUUCUAUUCUUACAUAAAAUUAUGUAGAUAGAUACAACCAACUUGCGGACACCUUUUAUGACACGACCCACCCCGAAUUUCACCCUGAAACCCGGAGUAAGUCGUGCGGGGACCACCUCCAAAGAAAAUUUACCGAAAAGAUUGGUAAAACCUCCCUUGAAGAUGGACAACCCUAACCCGAAAAAUCUCCAAUUCACACACUUACUACAGCACUUCCAAAAAUAUCACACAAUUAUCCAGCUAAAUAAAGGCAAAUAUUAUUCUUCAGCAAUUCUAAACAUAAAGUCAACCGACCGAGCACACCACCGGAAUAAUAUACAAUAAUCCCAAAGUAUUCAGAGCUACUAGACACUAGCGGAAGCAAGAAAACACUAGUAGGUUAAAUAGGUAACCUACUGAUGAAAACUGGCGGAAAAGCGGGUAACUAUGCCUCGUCUCCUACUAGGUCCAACCUGAACUUUGCAGACUGGGCAAUUUAAAACGAAGAGCCCAGGGGAAAACAUGUGGAAACAGUUAGAGUGAGUGGACAAAACAAAAUAAAUUAAAUAAAAAUAUUUCUUUAUGCUUCCCCAAUUUAAUUUCCAAAUAAAAUAAUACUGCAUGCAAUCGCUCAAAAGCGCUUAACUCAAAAACUGGCAACUUCACGACCAGCACCGGCUAGUCUCCAAAACUUAAUAAAAUACAGCCUCUCAGGCUAAAUUAUAUAUAAACAUAUAUAAGUAUAUGUAUUUACACUCGUCAGACUCCUUGUAUGAAUUCUAAGAACAAAUUAGAAAAAUAGAAAUUCAUACAAGGCUACUACGUUUGCGUCUAACGCUCACGUCACACCAUAAUGGAAUUGUACCUCAGUAUGACGGAAAAGGCACGAGUGUAUAUACGUGUGGACUCCCUAUAUGAAAACCUAAAUAAACCAAAUAAAAAAAUAGUUUUCAUAUAGGGCUACUACGCUUGUGUCUAACACUCACGUCACACCAUAAUGGUAUUUUACCUCAUUAUGGCGGAUCAGCACGUAUGGCUAGCUAGCAUUUACAUAUACAUACUAUCAUCAUAAACAUCCAAUAACAUAUCCACCGAAAUCUCAUUUUCGGGAUCNNNNNNNNNNNNNNNNNNNNUAUAUACGUGUGGACUCCCUAUAUGAAAACCUAAAUAAACCAAAUAAAAAAAAAUAAGUUUUCUAUAUAGGGCUACUACGCUUGUGUCUAACACUCACGUCACACCAUAAUGGUAUUUUACCUCAUUAUGGCGGAUCAGCACGUAUGGCUAGCUAGCAUUUACAUAUACAUACUAUCAUCAUAAACAUCCAAUAAACAUAUCCACCGAAAAUCUCAUUUUCGGGAUCUCUCCAAAGGAGGAAAUUGCCAAAUAUCCGAGAAAUAAAUAAAUCUCAGGAAAAGAAUUAAAUGAUCAACAGAUAAUUCAUCGCAUACUUUUCAAUUAAAAUAAAGGUCCACUCACAAAUUAGGCCUAAGCCUGAUGACGCUCCGAGGCUUCCUCUGCUCGGGCCUCCUCUCGUCCUGUUCCAAAUAUAUAAUUAAUUCCCACCAAAAAACCAAUAUUUAAACAAAAUGGGCAAAAUUAAACGUGAGCCUCCCACACACUCAUCGUUGCCCAAAUUCGCCAUUCUUAACUCAAUACAGCUCAAACUUCGCCGAACAUACCGGCAGCCGUAAAAACAACUUUCCACAGAAUACGACUUAAAUCCUACGGCCGGAUUCUACAUUAAUUAACCGCCAAAAUACCAAACUUCGAAAAUUCACAAAUCUAUCUAAAACUCAUCCAAAAAUUCCAUAACUCACUUCAAUAAACUCCCCUUAAUAUUCCACAUUUAAAAACAUAAAAAAUCUCCCAACCGGCGGCGGCCGGAGGCCAAUUUUGGCGACCUCUAAAACCUAUGAAAUUUUGACAGAAUAAUCUUCUCAUCAUGCUCUACAACUUUCCUGACCAGCACAAACCCAAAAUCCAAGCCUAACUAGGGCAAUCGAACACAAACACCUAAAAGCCCUAUAAAUUUCAACUCCACAUUUCUCCUUACCUAGCUCAAGAGAGGGAGAGUCCUUUUAGGGCAAGGCUGCUGGGUUGGAGGGCUACAAAACCGUACCAAGCUUGCCCGGAUUGGUGGCCGGAGGAGGGAGUUCCGGCGAAAAGCUUCCCGACGUUUCCGGCGGGUUUUCUCCUCUUCCGGCGGGUUAGAGGCUCGGGGGCUAGGCCGGGGAGGGAGAGGAGGAGAUGGGGGUCCGAACUGGGGUGGAGCGGCGGCCGAUGGCUGGCCGGACGGCGGCAGCUGGUGGCUGGGAGCUUCCGGUGGAGAGAGAGCACGGGAGGGAGAAGGAAGAGAAAAGAGAGAAGAAGAGAAAGGGAGGAAAUGGGUUGGGCCUCCCAACCGGUCCAACCUUAUAUCAACCCAACUCAAAAAAUAAAACACCCCGAAAAAUAAUACCCGAAUAAAAUUACCUUUUACUAGCUAAAAUUUACCAUUUUUACCGUCGUCAUAUUUUCCUCUUAUGAAUAAUCCUCCGCACAUAAUCAUCCCCGAAACCCCUCUAGGGACCAAUUAAACUAUUAACUCAAUGACGGAGACGGUAAAAUUCUGAUUAUAAACCAGCUAGUAAAUAAGGUAAAAAAUAUAAGAGUCGGGAUGUGACAAUUCUUUUCGGUAAAUUUUCCUUGGAGGUGGUCCCCGCACGACUUACUCCGGGUUUCAGGGUGAAAUUCGGGGUGGGUCGUGUCAUUUUAUGCUUUAUGGUGUUGGUUGAAGUGUUAGCACACUGGUCACGUGUUAGCACACUGGUCACGUGUUACACUAUUAUCUGCUGCUUAUGCUGCAUAUACUUCUACGGGCUAACUACCCAUUAUUUAAAGAAGUUUAUUGGGAUAUAAGUUGAAGUGUCAUGUACCCCAUGUUCACACGCAAUACGGUCUCACCGAGGCUACGACCAAGCAACUUUAGCUUGUCGCUCGAAUAUUAUUGAUGCGCACCAACCUUUCUAUUGCGUCUUAGGGCUAUGCAAUAUUUGCAUGCAGCUUUACUAUUCGUCUACAAUCCACCAUCAUUGAAUAUUUUUGUACUACAGCUCGUGACUGUGUACCAGGAUUGCAAUCCUUGAGCUCAAACAAGAUUGAAACGGAUCUCCAAUCCUUGAGCUCAACUAGAUGUUUAUUCUAAGUGCCAAAUCGCACUGCCACUGCGCACAAUGAUGGGUCAUUUAAGAUGAAUAAGUAUUUAGGUUGGAUGUAAACCUCCACCUAUAAAUCCGCAUAUGUAGAAACCUUGUCAGGCAAUCUCAUUCACCGCUAAAUUGCGGAUUGUCACUUUGAUGAGACAAUAUUCCCGCCGUUAGGAGGAGAUAAGAACACAAGUGUUCAAGUGGAAAGACGUGAAUUGUCGUGGUUUGUCCCCACUAAGUCUCAUCUUGAUCCCAAAUGCUUAAAGUGUUAAAGUGACGAGAUCACAUGCUGCAAAUAUGUCUGCAAGGAUUGAUGUCCCAUCAAGAGGACAUGACGCGACCAAAAGGUGUUGGUCUUGACGCCAUCACCAUGGAUGGUGAUAUAGUGACGCCAUAUAAUGGCAAAAUUAGUGUCACAAGGCCGUGUGGCUCCCCAAAAGGAGGGAGGCCCUUAGGUUCGAUAUUUUCUCGCACUAGGAAGAAAGCGAGCUUGGCACAACCUGAUCCAUUGAUCAGUGAUACUCAUAUCUGUCUCAUGAAGUCUGAAUUGUGAUUAUCGUUGGGGGACGCCUCAAUGUCAAAUCCAAUCCAUAUAGAGAUCUCUACAAAGUAUUACACUAGUGUACAUGAGGACGUGGGAUAAUGAGUCUACUAUCGAACCACCUUUCGUUGAUGGAUAUCAACUUAGUUGAUUGGCCUAAUGGAAAGAUGUGAUCCAGCAUUAACAAAGAGAUAGGUCCUUGGGCAGGUGAUGCCGACACCGCAAGCUAAACCCUAUCAACUAUGCCUUUGUUAGAUAGCGUAGUGAGAAAAAGAGCUUAGACUCAUCUUAUGGCGUAAGGUCUCUCACUAACACGCACUGGGAUCGACUACGAUGAGAUAUGCUCUCGUAAUGGAUGUCAUUGAACUCCACUACUUUGUCAGUUUGGUAGUUUCCGAAUAACUGAACAAGCAGCCUAUGAAUGUGGUCAUAAUAACAUCUCUACGGGAUCAGAGAUAUGCAUGAAGGUCUUGAAUAGACUUCAUUCAUCCAAAUCAAGUGGCUUCAGACCACAGGUUCAUGCGUUUACUAAAUGUAUUGAAACGCACAUGGACUCUACUUGAUUUGGAAGGGAUAUGGUGAAUUAUGCCUUUGCGUGUUCAUUCCGGAUUUACAUGGACUCUUGAUGGAUCAAGAGAUGCCAAUAUGUAUCAACAUCUGAAGAAAAAGAUCUUGAGAAGACACAGUCUCGAUAAGACACUCGAUGACUGUAUUGAUGAUGAUUUUCCAUCAAUCGGCUUAGGCACUUUAUAACUAAUGAGGCCUACAUAUACUUCCAUGAUUAGUCAAGGUCUUACUCUAAAGAGAGAUCCGUUGUUUUGUCUAAAGCAAUAUGACAAAUAUAUGUUAAGAGAUGGAGUUCACAUCUAAGUACAAUUAGACGCAUCAAUGUACUCAACACAAUACGAAAGACUUGACAUCUCAUUCGCUAUGAAAAGUUGUAAAGCUAAGUGUAGCUAUGCGCCCACGCAAUGCCAAUGUAAUGGCAGUAACUCCUUUUUCAAUACUUAAUGGUAUGAAAGGUUGAGGCUUAUUCUAUCCCUACAUAAGAAAGACACAUCAAUAGCGAAAUCAGAAUCUGCCAAGUUUCGUAGGUCAAGCUCCACGGGACUUACAGGAAACCUCACUCACUGGAAUAUGGUAAAAUUGGUACCAUUGGAAAGGUCUAUGUGUCUACUUUCUAGGAACACCAACCAUUUGAUCAUACCUAUCAUAUUGAGUGAGUUAUGGCCGUUUUCGUAAAGUAGGACGAAUCUGUCCGAGAAUCUGAUUUUGGCAAAACAGUCAACUUCGACCGGACAUUUUGAAUAGCUCCUGACGAACCAGAAUGUGUGUAAUAUAUGGUUGGAAAGCAAAAUGUGUCUAGUUUCCAAAACCAUUUACGGUUCGUUCAUAUGUAUUUCCUAGAGGAAGUUAUGACUGUUCUAGUAACUGAAGGUCAUGCUGCGCGGAAAUCUGAUUUCCUGCACGAACUUAUGUCUUGAGUUCACAAGCGGCCUUCUCCUCAAGAUCUAAGUGUAAAAGAUCAUUUGAGGACAAUACGGCAUGAUUUAGUUAAUCAUUGCCUAAUGCCACAUUUGAAAACAUGUUAAAGAGNNNNNNNNNNNNNNNNNNNNNNNNNNNNNNNNNNNNNNNNNNNCGUUGUACUCUUUUCUUCCUACGAUCAAGGUUCAGUUUUCUCCCACAGGGUUUUGUGACUUGACGAGGUUUUGACGAGGCAACAGAUCAGCACUAUCGGCAUAUCAGCGCGCAGCACAAGGGGGAGUGUUCUAGGAUAUUCUGUAUCUUUCUAGAUAUUCUUUAUGUGUGCCUUGGCCUUAUGCCAAUAGGAUAUGUAAUUAGACUAGAUCUAUGUAUUCAUAUCCUUACCAUAUUGGUAUUGUGUAAUUCCCUAUAUAAAGAGCUCCUAUCAAUGAAUAAGAUGAUGAUUCUCUUGUUAUCUCUCAUUCUCUACACUUUAUACUUCAUCACAAGGAUAUAUUUUCUGUUAAAUAGUUUGCGUUGAUCAGAUUUUUAUCAAAAGUCUGGUACUGUUUGGUUCAGUGGCAUAAGUCUCUCUUUGUAAAUGAGAGGUCGUAAGUUCGACUCACAAUAGACUCGUUAUAGCAUAGUAGUUGUUUAUUUGAUGUAAAAAAUAAUAAUUCAUCAAAGGGAUAUAUAUCUAGUUGUGUUCUUUUCUUUGAUAAAUGAGGUCAUUUUUUUAUAUAGUUUAGCAAACAAUACAAUUACGAUACAUCUAUAAAGGGUCGUUAAAAAAAGUGGUUACAUGGAGCACAAGUAAAUGAUAAUAUGCUCUCAUGUGUUGACAUUAUUUCAAAUGAACUUAUUUCACAUACCAUGUGUUUAAAAAACAUUGUUGGUGUCUUGACAAAAUUUCCCAAUAUCCUAUUUCAUAGCAGUAUUCUCCUGACCAGCGUCGGCGAGUGUUGUGACAGGAACCUCCGCUUCGUUGUCUGACAUCGAUCCAGGCUCGACCAGGCUUUGAUGCUACCUAACGCAACGGGAAAUACGGGGGGCUAACAAGCGUUAAACCCUAGAAACAAUGGAGAGCUUACAAGCGUAAACUCAUAAAUAGAACUCUGGAAUUUACCAGAAAAUUAUAGAAAAUCUCUUAAGUUUGAUUGAUAACAAUAUGAUUGAUGAAUUGAAUCUAUCCACUUCUGAAAGCCAAUCAAGAAACUCUUCAACUUGUAAAUUUCCAUAGAAGAAAGAUAUGUCUGCUUGUUAUUAGCAUUUAAGGACAUGCCAAGUAAGGAUUUUUUUUCUUUAGGUUUUCUCCGAACUUUUCUUGUCUUUGCAACAUAACAACUUUUUGCCUCAACAUUUCACUUCUCGACCAUGUCUGAAGAGGUUUCAUCUCGUUUUGUCGCUGCCUUAGAUAUCAAGGACAAUGGGAAAGUGGCGUUUGGCGCCACAAGUGCUCAUGUUAUCUCACCACAUUCAUACAUGGUGGUAACGUCACUGACUGUGUAAAAACAAAAGCAUGAAGCCCAUGGCUAUGAUUGAGACGUUUGCCGCAGUUUGCAUAACAGCCUUCAUAUGAGGGUUCAUGGGAUUAGUACAUUCUUUAUUUCACCGAGGCCAAGGUUCGUCGACAUGUCUCGAAGUGAGGGUCAUGGUUCUUUGGUUGUUCUAUGUUUGUUGUGGCUGAGUGUGAUGGUCUAAGUGAUGCUUCAUGUGUCUCGAUCGUCACUUUUCCAGUGUGGGUGGAGGUUUUUGGACUGCCGCUGGCUUGCAGACCUUGUGGAAUUGGUAGGUGUUACGCCUGGAAAAGUAGAGCAGCUUUAUAAGGUUGAAAUCGGUCGAGGAACGAGAGCUAGGGUUCAUCUCACUCAUCAUAUUUCUGAUCAGGUAAAGCAUGCCCACCCUCCUUUGGCCUUCAAGUUUGGUACUAUGCUUCUCACUUUCAAAUACAAGAAGACGUUCAAGUUUUCCAAGACUUGUGGUUUUUGGAGCAUAUUGUUCUGUGGUGUAAGGGACCUCCGGGUCAGGUGAUUAGAGAGGAGGUUGAUACGGUGACGUUUGUGGUUAGUUUGGGUGUAGGAGCUACAAACCCUAAACCGAACAGUAUAAAACCCUAGUUUCUGGGGACUUAAUUCCGGAUAGGGGUGUUCCUAGAUUGCAAGGUGUUGGUAGUCCUUUUUAGAUGGAGGGGCUAAUCCAUUUCAAAAUGGGUCGACUUUCACUUUUCCCCUUCUAGGUGUCCCGGCGUCAGACUCGACUUCACAGUUGGCUAAGUUUCGAUCUCUAAGGAUGCAGCUGCCCCUAGAGAAGUGGCUAUGGUAGAGGCAAUUUCCAUGUCCAAACUUAAGGGUUUUUUUUUUUUUUUUUUUUUUUUUUAUUUUUUUUUUUUUUGAAUACAAGGGCUAGAUUGAUAGCUCUUACGCCAUAACCAUUAACAAAACCUCAGAAUACAAAAGGAGAGGGGGACAUUGUGCCUAAAUCCUAUACUGUAAGAACACCCUAAAAUAAUAUUAUGCAUAUCUACAAAAUCUAUGCAUUCUAACAAAACCUCAGAAUACAAAAGGGGAGGGGGACAUUGUGCCUAAACCCCAUAUUGUAAGAACACCCUAAAAUAAUAUUAGGCAUGUCUACAAAAUCUAUGCAUUCUAACAAGCAUCAUUUAACAAAGAGUGCAUCAUUAGCUACUCCAUUUGCUUUAUAAUUUUAACAACAUACCGGAAAACUAUUACUCAUACAGAGCUAUAAGUUACUAUAUAUGUCUAUCAGUUUUCCGGCUAUGAUGCCACUGGAAAUUACCAGUGACCCUAAGUUUCAUCUUGCCACUUAAAGACUACGACCAUUUGAAAAAGGAAGAAACUCGCCACCUCAUUAGAGCAAACAUGGUUCGAUGCGUGCACUUACUAGGACAUAGCCCACCAGUAUCCAGUAUCACUGAAAAACAAUAAGACAAAAACCAAAAAAUAAACCUAGUAGGGCAUAGCACGUCCUCUGUCACCCAUAAGAAAAUGGUGACUUAUUUCAACAAUUAACCAAAGUAAAACUAAGAAGGUAAAAAACUUAAUUAAAAUAAUAGUAAAUACCCAAGUUCGGCAUGUAAGCCAAAUCCAGGCCCAGGCCCAAAUACCUCAUAGCCCAAGCCAAGAGCAAACAUUGUUAGCGUGCUCUUGCCGCCGUCUCGCAGAUGUAGGCCACGACGUUCAGUUACGAGGACAUACUCGUCAUUCCGGCCAAGCACCGCUUGUCUCUUCUUUCAUCCGUCGUCUCCAUCCCGCCAGCGAGCAUCAACAUGGUAUUUGUUAUGGUCUUUGAUUGUUUUAGUAACGUGUUCGUGGUGGUGUUUUGGUACAGGAGGUGCUACCUCUAGAGCUUAAUUUCAUGGAAAAUGGUCCUUCCACAUGAAGAUGACAUGUUGAAAGUGUCACAUGCAAAGAAAUACAAGGCGGCAAGGCCUUUAGGGUUCAAGAACAAGCAAAAGAUGGAGGAUAUUCAUCCAUGGAAGCUUGAUGUCACUGCCUUGGUUCCUAAUAAAAAGCAAAGAGGAGCUUAGGGGUGCGUAUGACGCAAUUGCCUAUUUUCAACACCCUAGGAUACAAUUUAGGGUUUGUGGAGGUUGGUUGUGUUUUUGUGGAUUAUUUUAGAAAACUUUUUACUACCGAUGGUUCUGAUAUGAAUAAAGGUAUUUUAAGUGAAGUGGAGGGGAGAGUAUCGCUGGAACAAGCAGAAAAACUGUCUAGACCCUACACUAGAGGGGAGCUUGAAGUGACAUUGAAGGAGAUGGGUCCAACAAAAGCUCCAGGGUCGGAUGGAAUGCCUCCGAUUUUUUAUCAAAAUUACUGGCUUACUGUUGGUGAUGAGGUUGUUGGGCGUUGCUUGAAUUUUCUGAAUGGUCAAGGGACGGUACGAGAUUUAAACCAUACUUUGAUUGCCUUGAUUCCAAAAGUGCCAAGCCAGAAGAGGUAACUGAGUAUCGACCCAUAAGCUUAUGCAAUGUGGUUUAUAAGUUAAUCUCAAAAGUCCUAGCAAACAGAAUUAAGCAUGUGUUAUCUGGAGCGAUUUCGGUCUCCCAAAGUGCUUUUGUCCUAGGAAGGUUAAUUCAUGACAAUGUGAUUGCUGCCUUCAAAACAAUUCACAACUUGAAGAAAAGGGGAAAAAAAAAGUAGACAAAAGGUUGCUGUCAAACUUGAUAUGGCAAAGGCAUAUGAUCGUGUGGAAUGGGUGUUUUUGAAAAGGAUGAUGUCGGCUAUGGGGUUUCCACAGAGGUUCUGCUAAUUGGUAAUGGAAUGUGUGAGAUCGGUUUCUUACUCUAUACUGAUCCAAGACAAGCCUUUUGGUCGUAUUGUUCCUUCUAGGGGGCUUCGACAAGGUGAUCCCAUCUCUCCAUAUUUGUUUCUUUUGGUGGCUGAAGGUUUUUCUUCUAGCUCUUUUGAGGUGUGCAGAGAAGUCGAAAUACAUUCAUGGGGUGACUAUUGCACGGGGAGCACCAUCAGUUUCUCAUCUUUUCUUCGCAGAUGACAGUCUUCUGUUUUGUGAUGCAUCAAUCCGCGAGUGCCAAAAAUUGAAGGAGGUUUUUGGGGCAUAUGAAAGAGCCUCAGGACAGAAAAUGAGUGUUGAGAAGUCAGUUAUGUGCUUCAGUCUUAGAACUCUAGAAUUUAUUAAAGAAGCUUGUAGUGUGGCUCUAGAUAUGAACAUAGUUCCAUGUCAUGAACGUUACCUUGGGUUGCCAACAAUGACGGGGAAGAGUAAAAAGAAACUGUUCAAGGUUUGGUUGAUAGGGUUUGGAAGAGAGUUCAGGGAUGGGAAGGAAAGUUACUUUCAAAGGGGGGUAAUGAGGUGCUUAUAAAGGCGGUUGCUCAGAUUAUACCUACAAACAUGAUGAGUGUCUUUCAACUUCCUGUGGGCGUAUGUGAGGAGAUUAGCAGGCACCUAGCCAAAUUUUGGUGGGGGAAACCUGGUGGGAAAUGUAUUCAUUGGAGGAAGUGGGAUGCUCUUUGUGUCCCAAAGAGCCAAGGAGGAUUGGGUUUUAGGGAGUUUCAAAAUUUCAUUAAAACAUUAGUUGCUAAAAUUGGUUGGAGGUUGAUAUGUGACGAGUCUUCUUUGGUGAGUAGAAUGCUCAAAGAGAGAUAUUUUUGCAAUAAGUCAUUCCUUGAAGCUGAAACCAGGAAAAAUCCUUCAAGUAUCUAGAGGGCAGUGAUUUGGGGAAAGGAGUUGUUGUUAAAAGGGCUGAGAUAGCGGGUGAGUGAUGGCAGUUGCAUUCGGGUUUUUCAGGACCCUUGGGUUCUAGGGAUUCCAAAAUUCAAAGUCACAUGGAAGAGUGGACUUGAUUGGAAUUUGACUGUAGCUGAGCUUAUUACUUCUUCUGGGGGCUGGAAUAUAGAGCGGUUAGACCAAUUUGGUACUCUUCCAAAAGUUAAUGCUAUAUUAUCAAUACCUCUAGCUCAUACUGGCAGUAGAGAUAAGAUGAUAUGGAACCACAAUCGUAAUGGAAAAUUCUUGAUUAGAAGUGCUUAUUGGUUGGCAAUGAAGGAGAGUCAUCAACUGCCCCAAAAUGUUUCAGAUCAUUAGAAACACUUGUGGAAGCUAAAGGUGCCAUCUAAAAUCAGUCACUUCUUAUGGAAAUGUUUGAAAGGGUUUGUGCCAUGUAUGUCAGCAUUAUAUCAGCCAUAUAUGGUAGAUUCUCCUAUGUGUCUGAGGUGCCAACUAUCUCAAGAAACGCCCUUGCACGCGACAUUCUUGUGUCCAUUGAAUGUAGCAGUGUUGGAGAAGGUGAGCUUUUUCCCAAAGUUGGAUCCGGGUCUAGUAGUGCCAUUUGCUGAGUUUUUUGAUCAUGCUCUUUCUAUUUUAACCUUGGAUGAAAUGAAACUGCUGGUAAUUCUAUUACGGGGUAAUUGGAAUGAACGAAACUUGUUUACCCAUGGUGAGAAUCCUAGGCCCCUGGAGGUGCUUUAUGAGCAAGGUGUGUUACUAUGGAAAAGUUUAUUAGAGGUGCAAUCAAAGAAAAAUACACACAAUGGUAGCAACAAUAGUUCCAACAGUGGGAGGUGGCAUCCACCGAAUCCAGGUACAUUUAAAUUAAACUGUGAUGCAUCUGUUAUUGAUGAUGGAAAUUGUGUUGGUGUUGGGGCUGUGCUAAGGAACAAUUCUGGUGAGGUGGUGGUGGUGGUGGGAGAGAGAGUUGUGGGUAGGCUUAGGCUUGUGCUGCUAAAUUGUUUACGUUGAUUAAAGGCCUGGAGAUGGUGAUUCAAGGAGGAUGGCCUUUGGAGAUGGUUUAAACGGAUUGCCUUGAACCUAUGAGGUUAGUAAAUGGGAGGCUGAUUGUUUUCCUGAAGAAGGUGUGUUGGUUGAAAAGAUUAGAAUGCUAUUAGCUUCUAUCAAUGUUGGUGAGAUUCAGUAUGUUUCUAGAAAAGCUAAUAUGGUAGCUGAUUCUAUUUCAAAGUUUGUAGCCUGAUUGCAGGGGCGUUAUUCAUGGUUAGAGGUUGGGCCUGAUUGACUCAUGGAUAUCAUUGGUAAUGACAGACCGGUGACUUGUUCGAGUAGGAGAGAUGAGAGUGGGGAAGUUGCUUCCACCACCGAUAAUUCCUAAGCGUUGUAAUUCUAUUUUUUUUGUUUGAAUAAAAUUUUGAUGUUUUCUCCUCAAAAAAAGAUACAAUUUUUGUUUUGAAACAAAAGUGACACUUGAGAUCUGUUUUGGUUAUUAAGUGGGAUAAAACCUUCAGAGAGAUAUUAACUUUUUUUUAUCCUUUUAAAAUAAGUGAUGUGACUAAUUGCUACAUAAGUACAUGUGUGAAAAAUAGAUAAUAAAAAGAGGAGAAGUAGACACAAAAUAUUAGAAGGGCUAGAGAUGAUGAAGGAGAAAAGAUUGUUCAAAUGCAGUACGGCUUAUCAAAUAAGCCUUAUAUUUGCAUAAGGUAUUUUAGUAGAGAAGAUUCAGACUCUUCUGGAAGAGCUUGAUAUUAUAUCAAGCAUACGACGCUAAAUAACAUUAAAACUGCUCGUGCAAUUGCAGAGGAGUAGUUCUUGUAUCCCUAGCAUGUGGGGAGAUAAGUGAGGCUACAUCGGGUCAUUCUCCAUUUAUGUCAUCUUUGAUUUUAUUUGAUACAAGUUCCCUUGAUUCUCAAAAAAGCAAAGAAAACAAAAAAACCCAAAUUAUGUCUCAAAAUUACUGCGUAAGAAGUUUGGUGAGGAAUAUUGAAGUCACAUCUAAUACAUGUGAAAGAUCCACAUCAAGAUUUGCCAAAAAAUAAAAACACAAAAGAAAGAGUUCUUAAGAAAAUAAAAUAGACUAUGGAAAUAAGAAAAGGCACCGGACACAUGGGGACAUUCUUGCCAUAUACAAGUUUGAUCCUUUCAAAUAAUUGUGGGAUAAGCUACAAAAUUCAGCAUCUAUUCUAUGUUGAAUUAGGGGUCACCGUGUCUCUUGUUUAGUAGUAAUUUAACCAUGUCAUAAUUACAAGGGAAAAAGACCAUUUGCACAAAAUAGAAAAGGUCAAACUCCAUUUCAAUGAUAAUCUUUUUUAUUAGCCCAUUUGAAUACAAGGUACUUAUUUUAAGCCCAAAUACACAAAUCUUUAUUAAAAUAUAAUAAAACGAUAUUUUAAAAGACUUUUUUACCCUUAACCUUUAUUUAAAGAGGAAAAAUGAAAAAGAAGAAAUGAAGACUUUCCCGGAAGCACACCGGACACUGGCCGCCGGAUUCCGGUCACCGGUCGUUGGAAAAUUGAUGGUGAUCGGAAAAUCGCCGGAGACGCCGGAGUCUCACUGGAUUUUUUUGAAAAAAAUGUCACCGAAACCCACCGGAUUUUGCCGAAAGCAUACCGGCAAAAAAUGAAGUUUACUACCCCUAGUAAACUUUUACUGGGGGUAGUAAACUUGCAAAACAAUAGCUCCAAUGCCAUAAUUCACAUUGAAAAGGAAAAAAAUCAACUUAGAUGCGAAAAAAUGAAGUUUACUACCCCUAGUAAACUUUUACUGGGGGUAGUAAACUUGCAAAACAGUAGUUCCGAUGUCAUAAUUCACAUUGAAAAUGAGAAAAAAUCAACUUAGAUGCGAAAAAAUGAAGUUUACUACCCCUAGUAAACUUUUACUGGGGGUAGUAAACUUACAAAACAGUAGCUCCAAUGCCAUAAUUCACAUUAAAAAGGAGAAAAAUCAACUUAGAUGGGAAAAAAUAAAGUUUACUGAGGGUAGUAAACUUUUACUUAAAUUUACUACCCCUAGUAAACUUCUACUGAAGAUAGUAAACUUGCAAAACGGUAUCUACAAAUGCCAUAAUACACAUUAAAAUGGAGAAAAAUCAACUUAGAUGCGAAAAAAUAAAAUUUACUGGGGUAGUAAAUUUUUUACUAAAGUUUACUACCCCUAGUAAACUUCUAAUGGGAGCAGUUAACUUGUAAACAGUAUCUCCAAAUGCCAUAAUACACAAUAAAACAAAGGAAAAAUCAACUUAAUUACGAAAAAACAAAAUUUACUGGGGGUAGUAAAUUAGUAAAACCAAUGAACUCAUACUAUUCAAUCCGAAACUAUUCAAACAUACAUCCUUGGUAAGAAACCAAAUGAUUCCAAAUUCAAAUCACAUUUGCGGUUGAAACUUGAGGAUCAUGGAGAUUCAAAUCAUACGAAAAUACAAAUCACAUGAAAAUUGAGGAUUGUUCCUGAGGAGCCUGCCAAUUUGAUCGUCCUGAUCUCCAACGCCGGCAACCGAGGAUUCUGGUUCAGAAUCAAAAGUGAAUCGGAUUUUCCUUCCAAGCAAAUCUGAAUCCACUAAAUCUGUACAUCACGAUGAACAAUUUGACCAUCGGAAGAGGAAACAGAGCUUACCGGGAGGUUUACAUGACGGUCGACGGCGAGCUGGUCGGGUCGGAGGUGCCGUUUCCGAUGGUGUUCACCAACGAGAUGAAUCCAGAGAUUGUUGCAAGCGAGAGGCCCGGUCGUCGAGGAAGAUGGUGACGGUGUAGUGCCGAUGCUCCUUGCUCGAGGGCGUCGGUGGCGACGCUGUCUUCCACCAUGGAAGUUCGUUGAGGUGAGAGAGAGGAAGAGAGAGGAGAGAUGAGAGAUGAGUGAGAAGUGAUCGGGAAAGAAGAUAAGAAAGGAGUGGUGGGAAUAGAACAGUGGGUAUAAAUGUAUUUUCCUUAUGAAUAAUUGAGAUGGGCAUUGGGAAAAGAUUAUCAUUGUUGUGGGUAAUAAAUCUUUAAAAUUAGUAUCAUUAAGGCAUUUACUCUAAUUACAAAUUAAUACUAACAGAUCAAUUCAUUUCAAAAAUAGUUUUUAAGAAACUAUGAAAAAACAAUAUAUCUGACAAUCAAGGAUAAGUUCCUUCACAAUCUUCUUAAAUACGAGCAAGGCUCGUAUAAGCUAGCCAUAUUUUUCCCUAAUCAUACUCAUACUCUGAGGUGACGGUCCGUGUUGAAGGGGAAAGACAAGAUGAUGUCCUCUAGCUAAUGUUUGAAAUGUUGAAUGUCAUGAAACCAUGGUCUUGGGGGCCUUGAGUCAAAAAAAAAAUAUGCUGCAUUUUGCACCUUGCUAAAAUGCUAAUAGUUUAAGGUAAUAGUGAGAACAAGAACAACUCCACCCAAAGUCCACAUAUUCUCUCUUUUUCUCUCUCUAGCUAGCUGCCUCUUGUUUUGUUUCCUUGAUGAAACUCACAUCAUCACAUGGUUGCUUGGUCAAAAUUUGGCAUCUUGGCACUACAUUGUGAUCUCCAUGUGUGCCCAUGUUUAUUUUUGAUUUAUCACAUAAUAAAGAAAAAAUGGACCACUAUUUUGAAUGAGAUAAAGUCAAGUCAUGAGGGAAAUCAUAUUUACAAGCUAAAUUAUUUCUACCACAUUUAUGACUUCAGGAAAUCAAUUUUGAGAUUAUAGUGGAUUAGCUAGAUUUUUUGUUGUUGUUGGGUUGGGGGGGGGGGGGGGGGGGGGGUUAACAGAAUGCUUAGGUUGGUAUGUUUUGAGAAAUUUGGAUUCUUCAAAGAUUAGAGAAAGUUAUUCCCUUAUCUUUUGCUUCAGGAAGUUAUACACAAUUUGCAACAACGAAGGAAUAGAUAAAAGGUAAGAAAAUUUAAUAUAUUAAGGUAUUUGAGCUUGAAGUACUGAUAAUAUAUUAAUGUUUCGUCUUAUAUUUACUUGUAAAUUUGAAUAUUCUCUUACACAAUGCAUUUAAUUGGAAAGAAAAUAUUAUCGUUAUAAGUCGGAACGAUGCUAAAAGAUGACUACAACAUUUUACUAACAAAGUUACCAUUUUACAUUUUACUUGAUAUGGUAGAUGCAUGAAAAUAACUGCGAAACUAUUGGUACCCCUGUUUUCACCAUGAUGUUAAUUGUUAAACCAAUCUGACCAAAACCAUUAACAGAUCACAUGACAUGCAAACAAACCAAAAAAAGGAAGAAAACAAAUCAGUAGGUCUGUAAAUGUCGAAUAAAAUAUCUUUCCUGUUUCAAAAAUUUUCCCUAUUUUUUCACCGCUGAAUAAUUUUGAAUAUCUAUAAUAAUGAUGAUAUUAAACCAUUGCCUUAAAAAAGCUUCAGUCAUAGUUUGAGGUGCUCAGAAAAGGGUACCCAAAACUGUGUUAAAGGGACACCUCUCUCUCUCUCUCUACUAAAGGUCCUCUCUUUAUUUUUCUCUCUAGUAUUUGGUGAAUCAGGUUCCUAAGGUUUUGUAGUUUAGAGAGCACUUGAAAAGUUGGGGGAGGGAGAGAGAUAGACUCAAGAGUGAAACUUCAAACUUGAACUAUAAUUUGCAGUCUUUCUUUAUGUUUAAAUAUCUGCAAAGGGAACCGACAGAAGAGAAGAUGGGAAUUCCUGAUCCAGAAGCGAUCAAGCAGUUUCAGUUGUUAAUGGAGGAAGGUAGAGUUUUGAAAACCCAUUUCAGAUAUGUCAAUGGAUCAUAGUCUUGUAUGAUCUAGAACUUGAUCCAUCUUUCUUUUUUGCUUUGUCUUUUUUGCUUUUUUGGACUUUUACAGUUGAUGAGCCGCUGAAGAACACAUUUGAGGUUAGACCCUGUUUCUGUUUCGAGUUUGCUCGAUCUGGAUCGUUUAAAGUUUUGAACUUUUGCGAUUUGCAGCACUAGAUAAUGAAAUCAUUUACUUUACUCAGUUCAGUUGAAUCACUUACCUUUGCUUCUGUUUUGGAAAUUUUGCUUGCUGUGAAUCUUAAAUCAGUUUUCUGGAUUUGAUCUGGGUCUCUGAUGUGUUGCAUUUUGGGUUUUUCCUCAUAUUUUGGGCUGUUAGAUUGAUUGGCUUGAAGUUCAUCUUCUAUGUUUCGAAUCAAUUUGAUCUUGCUAGUAUUUUCGAAAGAGAAACUUUGUUUCUUGCUUUUAUUGAGGGGCAAGUAUGAAUCCUGGCUGUGAUCGGCAUGUUGGACUUUAUCAAGUGUUAACUUUCUGUUUGUUGAUAAUGUCAACUUAAUUGGUUGAAUUGACGAACCUAUAAGGUUGGUGUAGACUUUACUUGAAUUCAACCUUACUGCAGUACACUGGGUGCAAUGUAUGUGCUGCUACACUUGGCUAUGCAUUAUGAAGUCCCUUGGUUUUGGAAAUAUAGGAGAAUAAUGCUUUCUAUAAUUUAUAUACGUGUGUAUACACAUCUCCAACUAAUCAGCAUCCAAGAGAGAAAAAAGCAAGCAAAAGGGAAAAAUCGUAGAGAUGUCAUACUUUAAGACAAUAUAGUUGGCAGUGGAAUGUUUUUGUCGAGGAUAAAUUCUUAAAAGUUGGUCAUUUGGUUUUUAUAAUUUAUUACCUGUACAAGUGGAAUGUACCUUAAAAUCUAAAUACUGCCUCUUCAUUUCAGAAUGUGCACCAAGGGUAUCCCGAUGAGACAUUUGUGCGGUUUCUUAAAGCGAGGGACUGGAAUGUCGGCAAAGCCCACAAAAUGGUUAGAUUAUUAAGUUUCCUCGAUAAAUGCAACAAGUUUGUCAUCUAUGCUAUGGUUUGCUUUACUAACAAUGCUUAAAUUGUUCCAGUUGGUUGACUGUUUGCAAUGGAGAAUAGACAGUGAAAUUGACAAUAUAUUGGCGGUGAGUUUUUUUUUAUUAGGAAAUUAUUGGGUAAACAUAUAUCUUGUGACCAAUCAUGUGUAACUCAAAUGUUUGUCAGUUUGAUAUUCUCUUGAAUUUUUGUAUUUAGAAUGUUUCAAACAGAGAUAUCUUUCUAUAAAAGUUGGUGAGUUAAAUCUGAAAGGUUUUUAAGAGCACAUAUGUUUUGUUAAUCAUGAAUCUCGAUAUGCCCUCUAAGAAGUCUUUAAGGUUUUGUUAUAACUUUUGUUUGCAGAUCUGAUAUGUUUUGCUAGUUAUUGAAAUGUAGAAGCAUGACAGUUGCACCUGGCGAAAAUCUCUACUUUCAGUUGCAUUCAGAGAGCAUACGUUAUUGUUUGGAUGUUAGGUCCAGUAGCCACUAGCCACAACUGGUUGAACUUUUAGGCAGUGUGGAAAUCUGGACACACAUGUUAGAGAGAAAUCUAUCAUUGGUUAGAGGGGAUAUGACAUCUAGUUUAGACGCGUCUAGUUUAUAGGAAUUAGUUAUACUGUUGAUUAUGCUAUGUCCAUUCUCCUUCUGAAUGUCAUAUUGUGGAUUGAUACUUGACACAGUGUGGAGCAGUAACUCUAUAUAAUGUGGCGACUAAUGUUUUUUUUUGGUAAAUACAGAAACCAAUCAUACCUACUGAUUUGUACAGAGCAGUGCGAGAUUCUCAGCUUUUGGGACUGUCUGGUUACUCAAAAGAGGUAUUUCCUGAUACAAUUUGUCAUGCCUUCUAUUUCUUCCAUUAUACCUUGCCACAUCCACCUUGUCUAAAAAAGGGAUGCCCCAGCAUCUGAAUAUUCUUCUUUUUUCUGCAAUAGUUGAUUAGUUUUGGCUCGCUUGGGGUGCUUAAUGUUUAAUUACAAAAUCACUAUAUUUACAUUGUUGCCCUCUUUAUUUCUUCCAGGGUCUUCCUGUCAUUGCUGUUGGUGUUGGGCUCAGCACAUAUGACAAAGCUUCUGUAAGGAUGAUAUUCUUAUAAUGAUGUAACAUAGUACAUUGGUACACUUGAUAUAUAUACAUGGAUAUACAUAGACACAUAUAUUAAUUGUACUACUGGGCUGAGUCUAUAGAUGUAUAUUUAAAGCACAGCGAGGUCCAUGAUUGUAGGCCUUUAUGUUGUAUUACCAUUCUUUCAGUGGUAUUAACUUGUUUGAUUUCAUUAAUGUAGGUAAAUUACUAUGUUCAGUCGCACAUCCAGAUGAAUGAAUACCGAGAUCGUGUAGUUUUAGUAAGUACUUAAGUUUGUCUAAUCAUCUUGCUGACAUGUAAUUUCAUAUGGAGCCUGAUAUUUUUUUUUCUUUUGUUGAAGCCUUCUGCAACAAAGAAGUAUGGCAAAUAUAUUGGAACUUGUGUGAAAGUUUUGGACAUGACUGGCUUAAGGCUGUCGGCGCUUAAUCAUAUUAAGGUAUCCCUAUCUUGAGCUCCUAUCUUGGUCUGUGGCAAGUUUAUGUGGUCAUAUGAUAUUUAUGUUUUUUGGAUUUCUUUUAGGUUUUUACUCUUCUUCACACCACCCACCCCCCCCCCCCCCCCCCGGUCCAAGCCAAAAAAUUCAAAAAACAACAGAACUGUUGACACAAUUUUUUUUCAGUUGUUUUUCCAAGGGCCCAUAUGAUUUGACACUUUCUUUCUGUUGAUGCAGCUAUUGACUGUUACCUCCACAAUCGAUGACUUAAAUUAUCCAGAGAAGACAGAUACAUACUAUAUUGUCAAUGCCCCAUACAUAUUCUCAGCAUGUUGGAAGGUUUGUCUGCCAGAGAAACUCACACUUUGAAAUAAACACAUAGGAACGAGGAAAUCCUGAUGAUGGGUGGUCUGCCAUCCUUGAGGCAGAAGUAUUAAUGUCUACAUUCUUUACAGGUGGUAAAACCUCUUUUGCAAGAAAGGACAAGGAAGAAAAUCCAGGUUCUCCAAGGUUGUGGGAAAGAUGAGUUACUCAAAGUAAGCAUGUUCGUUUAGUUCAAACAUCACCAUUGGCUCCCUAUUCCACUUGUGGCUUGCAAUUUUGGUGCUGUUUAAUACUUUCGUAAUGGAGUACACCUAUAGGUUACCUUGAGCACUCCAAUGCAAUUUUGUUCUUCUCCAGCUGCAUCUGUUUAUCUGCAUCAUCUUCGAUUCUUCGAUGAUGACAAUCUGACCUGGAAAUGUGUGUGCAGAUCAUGGAUUAUUCGUCCCUCCCACAUUUUUGUAGAAAACAGGGUUCUGGAUCAUCUCGGAAUUCGGAGAAUGGACAUACUAGUAACUGUUUCUCCUUGGACCAUGCUUACCAUCAAGAGCUCUACAAUCUUGUUAAGCAGCAAGCAAUGCGCAUGGAGUGUGUGGCACCAAUCAAACAGGGUUCCUUCCAUGUCAAUUUCCCGGAUCCAAACCCAGAUGACGCAGAGAUUGCGAAAACCAUAGAGGCUGAGUUUCACAAGUAUGGAAACCACAAUGGCCUCACCAAGUCACUAAGUGGCCUAAGAUUAAACGGUUCUUGAAUUCCAUUUUUUAACAUGUACAACGGUUAUAAGCGUCUGUAGCCUACAUGAGUACAUGACACUGGUAACAUUUCUAUGAGACCAGAAUGUUGUCAUAUUAAUUUUGUGUAAUAGUCUAUGCUUGCAUCAACUCGAUGCAGAUUCUUUAUGACAAAAGCUAAUCCGGUGUAGUCGGAAGUACCGCCGAUUUUAAUCCUUCUUCCAUGUGUACUGUGUAGGAAACACUAAUCUGUUAUAGAAGCUAAUUCCCACUAGCGUAUUACAGAUUAUUCAAAAGAAAUAUUUAACUUUACCAUCUAGAUGACUGUUUUAUAGUAUAAACUGAUUUUAGGAGACUAGGACUAUAUGAGUUAUGAGGUAGGGAUGGAGGUAUUGUUUAAUACUAGCUGUCAUAAUGUAAAUUCACAGCUAGUUGAAAAUUGAAAUGGAGAAGAUAACGAACUACUCGUAUGCCAAUUAGAUAACGGGCAGCUAUAGAUACCGUCAAUGAGUCUAAACUAAUCGCAAUAAUCGUCAUUUUCUCCGAGCUACUAAUACUUGACCAUUUUAAAUCUUAAAGGUGUCAUAUCAUCUGGUACAAAUGUAACAUUUAAAUCUUAGGUGUGGCCUUUGUGUUUUGCGUUAUACGUUUCUCUGGUAUAGAAUGCAUGGUUGAUUGUAGUUGUAAUUAAAUUGUGGCCUUUGUGUUUUGUUCCUGUUGCCCCUGAUCUUGCUUAUCUAUGAUUAGCAUUACUUUGAACACCGAAUUGGAAUGUAUCAUGGUAUUCAAAUGGAUUGACAACAGAAAGACAAUUAUUGCAGAGCCCUGAGCCCCUGAUUGAAGCUAAAAAGAAAGUGCAGAUUCCCAAAACUACAGAAAGAUGUUGCUGUUGCUUAUAUCUUUUGUUUGGCCACGAUGAAGAAGAAAUAUUCUUGAAGGCUGAAUUCUUUAUCAAUAUGUAGUGAUUUAUGGAUGUAUGUAUUUAUGGAAUGGAAUGUUGAAAUCUGUACUCAAUGUGCCUCAAGUUGCUAUGAUGUGACUAGUUUCCGGAAUGCUCACAAGGUCAAAAUUUCCUUUUUAAAGGCACUAGUUGUUGGAGAAUUGGAAAUGGUUGUCUCACUGAUCUGUGGAAUGACAAAUGGCUGCCAGAAGCUUCAUAUUCCCUUGCAUCACAUUAUGGUCAACAACCUCCAUUGAUGGUCAAUCAGCUCAUUUAGUUGGAUCCUCCCUCUUGAAACUUAAUUCUGUAGCUCAUAUUUUGUCUGUUUCAGACCAAGUGGUAAUUCAGACAAUUCCCCUCAUUGAUUCUGACAAUGAAGAUAAAUUGAUUUGGCCGCAUCAACAAUCAGGUUCUUAUACAGUCCGGUCAGGGUAUCAUUUAGCUCAGGCAGCUGUGACUUCAACUCCUAAAUUAAAAGCUUCUUCUUCACAUUCUGUUACCUCGGCAGUGUGGAAAUGGAUUUGGAACUUACAAACUCUUCCAAAAAUCAAAAUCUUUAUUUGGAAAGCAGUUAGAAAUUUUGUAGCUACAAAAGGAAACUUGCAUUUUCGGCAUAUAUCUCAGUCUUCUUUAUGUCCUAUUUGCAAUGCUUUUCCUGAAACAAUUGAACAUGUUUUGUUUACUUGCCCUUGGGUAGUUUGUGUUUUGUUUGCUCACCCUUUUGGCAUUCAUGUUCAAUGUUCUUAUAUUACUAUGUUGGAUGCUUGGAUUCAGCAACUUAUUAACUUGCGGAGUUCUGUUGCUGAUAUGAAGUUUGUUUGUACACAUAUUUCUUUCUUGCUAUGGAAUAUUUGGAAGCAUCAAUGUGGAUCCAUUUUCAAUCACUUCUCUCCGGAUCCAGUCUCGGUCUCAAAAUUAGCUUCACAGCAAGCAGAUGAAUUUUUAUCAGUUCAGAACAAGCAUCAUCGGAAGAAUUCUCACUUGGUGCUUGUUCCCUCUGCUUCUGAUAAUUAGAUUCCCCCUUCAGUUGGAACUUUAAAGAUUAAUACUGAUGCUACUUGGAGUUCAGAGUCUUUUAGUUGUGGUUUGGUAGCCCUACUUAGAGGCCUCGUUUGGUUUGCGGAAAGGAAAGUAGUUCCUUCAUCUCUCCCAUGGGAAGGGAAAGUGAACGGGAAUGAAAUUUCAAAAGAAGUUUUCAUUCCGAUGUUUGGUAACGNNNNNNNNNNNNNNNNNNNNNNNNNNNNNNNNNNNNNNNNNNNNNNNNNNNNNNNNNNNNNNNNNNNNNNNNNNNNNNNNNNNNNNNNNNNNNNNNNNNNNNNNNNNNNNNNNNNNNNNNNNNNNNNNNNNNNNNNNNNNNNNNNNNNNNNNNNNNNNNNNNNNNNNNNNNNNNNNNNNNNNNNNNNNNNNNNNNNNNNNNNNNNNNNNNNNNNNNNNNNNNNNNNNNNNNNNNNNNNNNNNNNNNNNNNNNNNNNNNNNNNNNNNNNNNNNNNNNNNNNNNNNNNNNNNNNNNNNNNNAAGUCGACAUCUGUUUAGUCUUUGUGGUUUUAUUUUAAUAGUUUUUCAUCCAAAUAAUCCUUAUGGUUUUAUUUUAAUCUGAAUAGUCCUUAAAGUCAUGAUUUUUUUAUCUAAAUAGUCAUUUCGGCAAUUUCCUUUAUCUAAAUAUGCCAUAAGAACUAUUUGGAUGAAAAAUCAUGACUUUAAAAACUAUUCAGAUUAAAAUAAAACCAUAAAGACUAUUUAGAUGAAAAAUCGUGACUUUAAGGAUUAUUCUGAUUAAAAUAAAACCAUAAGGACUAACCAGAUGUCGACUUUAAACCACAAGGACUAUACAAUAUUUUACCCAAAAUAUAAUCAUAACAGAUUACUGAAGAUGGAACCGAUUUCAAUAAAUAAGAAUACAUUGAUAUAUUCACAAGUACAAAUUAUAUAUCCAAAGAAAGAUGAAAGAUAAUUCCAGUAUUUCCGCCCGUUCUUACACAUAUGCACACAUGUAGCCAACCCUUUUCCCUUCUAUAAUCUCCGCACAAAUCUUUCUCUUCUGCUGGGACCUUACCAUUCGAUCUAGUAUCAAAAGCCAUCUUGUAAACUUUGAGGAAACAAGGGGGACUGAAACUCUAACCUAUAAUAUGGUCAAACACAAUAUUGGAGUUGGGUUCAUCUCAAAUGUUUGUAGCAACUGUAAGCAAUACCAACCGACACAGCAGCACAGACAAUAGCCAAAGCUGCAUAUGUAUCUUCCCGCUCCCAGCUCUCAGACCAUGUAGGCAUAGAGCAAAACUUCCGAGCGGAUGCAGCUUUCCCUCUAUGUGAAAGUGGUUUGCUGCUGCUCUUUUUCUUUUCAGAUGUCGCUUGUGUUGCCACCGCAUUUGAAUCAGGACUACUAAUCCUAUCUAUUAACAUAGUGCUCUGGCAGCACGAAUUACUUCCAUUCUCCUGGCAACAGCCUCCAAAUUCAUCUUGAGAUCUGCAUGGACCAGUAUUCAUCCCCCUUACAUUCGUUUGUGUCAGCUCUGUACUAGUUUUCUCCACAUUGGACUCGCCAUUAAGCUGGAGCCUUAAUUCUUGAGAUUUCUUUUGUUGUUCUUCCGAUAAACCCAUUUGACCCCUGAAAUAACACCAUAUAGUUUGUCACUACGUGUCAAAGAACUUACUAACAAGAAACACAUUUAAACAAGAAAAAAAUUUAGCUACUGCAAUUCAGCUAUGAAUAUCCAUCGGUUCAAGAGACUGUUCCCUUCCAUUUUUCAGUUUUCUACUAACAUUUACAUAGCUAACCAGUUUUGGUUAAGGUGCAAAAGAGGAAGUGAGGAGAACUUUGCCUAAGAUCCAAUUGUUAUCAGUAGUCUGAUUUGGAAACAUGAGAAAACGGCUUCCAUAGCAGCCUAGAAAUUAUGACACACAACUAAAACUGAAAAAAGAAAAAGAGAAAAAGGACUACCUCCACAGCCAGUCUACAAUUUCUCCUCUCCCAAUAUGUUGCUCAAGCAAUUGAGGUACAUCUUCUGGAGCAACAUAUCCAUACCUAUGAGAAAUAGAAUGAUCAGAUAGCUCAUAUAUCAUUAUGGUAAAUAAUAGAACUGGAUUACAGUACGAAGCCACUGGAAAUGAGAACCGCAAAAAGAAGAAAAAGUUAAAUGACUUGGGGCACAAACUUCCGUACCAGUGGCCAGUGACUUCUUUGUUGAUACUUGAUCCAAAUAUAAUAACAUUUCCUGCAUACUUAUGCCCCCCAAUGUGAGAACAUGGCCUAACAGACACUUUACCUUGUAGACCAUGCAAAUCUAUCUCUUCUCUGAAUCUACUGAUCAAGGGAGGUCCACAGACUCCACAACGGCGAUCCCUGGACCCAUGAGAACAUACAAAUACGUAUGAACCCCUCAGAGUUUCAGGAGUUCCAGGCAGCCACUCACCAUCCUUCACAAGAACUUCUUCAACGAAUGUGUCAACAUCAAAAUGUGUCAAUCUCCUGCAAUGUUUCCAACCAGUCGGUCAGUAUUAAUUUUAGGGACAACAGACCUCAAGAGAAUAUUAUCUAAAGAAACCCUCAUGUAGCAAGUAAAUGACCUGUAUCUGAUCAUGUCGGGGAAUAUUAAUACAUCACCAUUUGACGUCUCAGUUCCAUCAUGCCCUUCACAUAUUGUUAAGCGAGUCUACAAGAGGAAAGAGAUGAAUCAAUGGAUGAAAAUGAAUCAGCUGAAAUUAUAUAACCACUUCCGGAAAAGACGUGAAAAGGAAAUAAGCUGAGAGUUAUGACAUGCUGUUUCAAGUAACAUGCAAUGCACGGCAAAUAAACACUCUGGCUAUGAGACUUAUCCCCUACCAGAUUUUCAUAGAUUUAUUCAUAACAAAACAGACUGCAUAUCAAUGUACUGAACAACUACCCUUCUAAUGGACGUAUUUGCAGCAUUUCAUAUCCUUAGAAAGAGAGGUAUACUGAAAUAGUAUCUAGACUAGUAUCCCGACCAUCUAUCCUCAUUAUAAUGAUCUGCAAAGGUGAAUGUUGACUAGGAAACUAAUAUGCCAUCAUCUUACAAGCGUAAACCAUGUUUUUGACGUGACCAAGAACAACUAAAAGGAGAAGAAAAAGAAGAAGAUAACUCAAUGUCAUAGAUCUCUCUUGUUGAAAUAAUUAUACUAAACAUCUUGUACUUGGGUCAAAAUCCCCAACUUUCCAUAAUAUCCUGUAACAUGACACAAAUGCAUAGUUUUACUUAUAUCCGUAGUUAUACUCUUUCAAAACGGCUUUUGAUUCAAACACCACAACCAAAAUCAGAAAAAGGAAAAAGAUGCAUUUUCAGAAUCCGAAACACCCUCCUUCAACAACCCUAAAUACCUCAUCAAAAUGAACCUCAAAUCUAAUCGAAUCCAACAUCUAGCAACCUCCAUCAAAGAACAAUCAAGUUUCCAUCACACCAAAAUCACAAAACCACUCCAAAAGGACAUGCUACCAAACCAGUCUUAGAAACCAAGAAAUCCACACAAAACCCACAUUCCAAUCCACCAAAAUUCAAAACAAAGAAACCCACAUUCAAAAGCAAAAACCUUUAAAACCCCCCACAAACAAACCCUAAACCAAAAUCCCCCCAAAAUCGAAAACCCUAAACUUAUAAAGCUCACACCUUUAACAUGAUUCCUCACAAUCCAACCCCUACCCACUUCAAUUCAAUUCCCCACAUUACAACCCCAAACCCUCAUUACCUCUUUCCUCAUAUCACCCCUCCUCGCCAUCACCGCCGCGUACAGCAGCCUCGGCAGCCGAUCAAACUCCGCCGCCUCGAUCCUCGGCGGCCACACCGCCGGGUUCUUGUAGCACAAAAACACAUGCCUCUCGUAAAACUCCACCGUCCCGGCGAGUUGACUCGUCCGGAACUCGGCUCUCAAGAACCCGAACUCCGCCUCGCCGCCGCCGCCGCUGUUGUUGUCGGCCAGGAGGCCCUCGUUCUGGAAGCUCCCGGAGGCGCUGCUGCCGCCGAAGGCGUGGUGCGGGUUCGGGUCAGAAGCGAGCGGGUCGGAUAUGACAAUCGGGGAGGAGGAGGACGACGGGGCGGCGAAUAAUGAGAGGGAAGAAGACGACGCGUCGUAGGUUCGGUCUCUGGCCGCCGUAGCCAUUUUAGAGAGAGAGAGAGAGAGAGAGAGAGAGAGAGAAAGUAAAGGUUUGAGUGAGAGUAUUUGUUGUUGUUUACUUCCAGUGGUAGUGGGAAGGUGGAGAAGUAGGAGUGGGUCUUUCUCUCUUCUCUUUCUCUACUACUACUAGUAGUGAGAAGAAUGGACUUUUGGUUCGACCCCAAGUUUGGGGAAGUUACGACACGUGCUUUUAUUAGGUGUAUUUUUGUACUCUCUCUCUCUCUCCUCCUCAGUUUCUCACACCACCCACACUGCGGUGCUUUAUUACCAUUUUAUGCUUCUACCCUCUGCAGGCAACAUUCAAAGGCUCUCAUGUAUCCGCUUGUCGUUCGAGACAAAAAAAAAAAAAUUCUUCUAACAAGGACUCUUAAAUUGAGGACUAAUCGAAAACUUUUUAGCUUAUCUCACUUCAUGCAUACUACAUCGAAGGUGAGUGUAUGCAUAUAGAUUUUUCAUUUCUAAAGUCCAUUUUGAUAAUUAGAUGGUGUUUUAGAGUAUUGAAAUUUUACAUACAUUUGAGCCGUUAGUGUACUCGGUACUAGCGGCAUUGAACUACUCUGUGACUCUGUAGUGACAUUGAACUACUCAUAUGCGCUUGUCAUUCUAGGAAAGAAUACGACGAGGGUGAGGAGUCCGACGGCAUUGAACUACUCUGUGACUCUGUAGUAAAUGCACUUGAAUGGUUUUCAUUCAAUGCAUAGAUAAAGGGGGGAAAGGGGGGAAGAAUGUGAUGCACAAUGAAGAGUAGGAGAGUCGAGACUACAUUUUCUAAUAACCGAUAAUCCAAGAAUUGUUGCAAUAUACAAAACCACACGCUCUCUCGAGUUACAUACAGCCAAGCUCAUUCAAAGCUUUGUUAAUGCAGACACAGUGACACACCCAAACUUGCUCUAGCCUUCAAUGUUUCAGAGUAGUUCCAUGAUUUGUUACACAUACACACACGUAUCAAAGGGGUCUCUCGCCCGGGAGAUAAGAAGGAGAGCCGCCCUCAAUCUGGUUCCUUUUCCUAUUAAACAUGCCGGUGAGAGUUGGCAAUAGUAUCUUUUUCGACAUAGAUGUCUUUGAUUUCUCCAUCUUCCGGACCUGGACAGUUUUCGUCUGGGGGUUCUGCGUUUGAAUCCUGUAAUGGCGUGGGGAUGAUUCCACUGACGUCUCUGUUUCUGCCAAUAUCCGUGAGGCAGCAUCUGCUGCUUUCUUUUGCUCGCGUUCCCGCCACCUUCGGAGCUCUCCUUCUACUGCCUUUUUGGCUGCUUCAGCCAUUUCAGCCCUCUUUCUAGCCUCCUCAGUUGCAGCCUUCAUAUCUUCAAUCUCCUUCUGGGUUGCCUCUAACCUCUUCAAGGCCUCAUUUUCACUAGCCUUCACAGCUUCCACCUGAGCCAUAGCAGCAGCCACUCUCAUUUCAGCUAAUGUGUCGGACUCCUCAACCUUUCGGCUCAAAGACUCAAAUUCAUCCUUUGAUAUAGUGAUCUGGCCACCAGACUCAGAAGUUGAUGCGCGAGCAGCGUUAGUUCUCUCGGAUAAAGUUCUAAUCUGAUCAAGGGCCCUUUCUUCUGCUGAUUUAGCUUCUUCAGCUUCUUCCAGAGCAACUCUCAGCCUCUUCUCUGCCUCUUUUACAGCGGUUUUGGUACUUUCAGCUUCCUUUUUCAUUUCCUCCGCUUUAAUCUUCAUCUCUUCUGCAUCCCGUCGAGCAUUUUCAAUUUCCAGGGACAGCUGGUUUAGCGUUGCUAUCAUUUCAGUGGAAGCACCUCUAGCUUUAGAUUCUUCAGCUAGGCAUGCUUCAAGCUCAGUCUUUGUUUUCCGCAGUUUGACAUGUAAAUUCCCAGCAAUAGAUUCUGUUUCUGCUUCCUUUUCCUUGAGCUCAGCAUGCUCUUUCUUCACAUUCUCAAUUUCCACCUUAAGCGCCUCAACUAAAAUUCUGAGGCUGCUUUCUUCUUCAACAACUUUAUGCAGUGAAUCCUUAGCAUCAUCCAGCUCCGAAGUGACUGUUCUUACAGAAUCUAAAUCUGAAGCCUUUUCAUUCUCCAUUUGCUUUUGCAGGGCUCCAAUUUCAUUCAACGUUUCAGCAAGUUGUGCUUCAAGAUUUCUGGAAAUUUCUGGAUCAAACUCUUUUUUUAGAGAAAGCACUUUCUUUGCAGAGUCUUCUGCCGUAGCCUUAUAUGCUUGCCUCAGGACAUCCUUUUCGGAAAAUAUUUUUGCUUGCUCUUGCUGGGCUUCCACAGAUGCGAGCUUCACUUGCCCUAUUGAUUCAUGCACAGCUGCAAUUUCCUUAGAGAGCUCACUAACCCUCUCCGCAUUUGCUUUGGCUGCAUCUUCAGCUUCUGCUGCCUGCUUCAGGGCAGCAACUUUUGCUUCUAAAGAUGCAUCACAGUCCUGACGGAUUUUUGUCAACUCUUUCUUUGCAGCAUCAAGUUCAGUAAUUACAUUCAUGUAUUUUGCUCUUUCUGUUUCCAAAUCUUGCUUCCAAGCACCAUCAGUUCCAGCUAGGUUCCCACAGUUUGCUUCUUUGAGUUGCUUGGCCCGAUUUUUUGCAGCUUCUGAUGCCUUUACUGCAGAUUCUUUAGAUUCACCAAGAGAUGUCAGCUUCUUAGUCAGCUCUUCACGAGUUACCUUGGCCUUUGCAAGCUCCAUAAGUGCUUGGGCUUUAGUAGUUUCAGCAUUCAUUAGUUGUUCCUUCAACUUGUUCAAUUCUUUCUGGACCAGGUGAAGCUGUGUCUCGUUGGCUAUCACUCGCUGCAUUGAAAACAACAAGUGUUAACAGCUUCCCACAAGAAAAAUCUGGAUAUUUUUAAAAGUAUCGGCAUUAACUAAAAAGUCGCUAUGAUUUUGAGUUGAACGAGACUAUAUCAUUCAUAUCCAUAAAAACAAACUACGAAUUCUUUCAAGCAGCAGGUUCCAUCUCAAUAACUUUUAUAGACAGCUGAAAAUAUUAUGAGUUGUAACUAUUUGGGUGGGAAGGAAGCUGCAUACAUGCCCUUAAAUCCACAAAGAAAAACUUGAGCACGGAAUGAUCUUAACACUUCUUUUACUUUAACAACAAUUGUUUUCUAGUUCUUCUUCAAAAAUGGACAAAAAGUUGCUUUAAUUAAUGUGACAACAGGAUUAGCCAAGUUGCAAAUGCUUGCCAAUUUAAAAUAUAGAUGUCACAUUAUGUGGUGUACAAAUACCUCUGCUGACUGAGGCUUUGUCUUCCUAAUGGCAGGUUUCUCUCCAGAGCCAGAGAACGCACCCUCGCCAAAUAGUGAUACAGCAUCUUUAACGGAUUGGAAUGGUGCCCUAGUGUCAAUCUCUCCCACCUCCACUUUAGGACUAGGAGAGUUUGUGGCACUCUUGUGGUCUUUUGCAACCAUACUGCUCUGUUUAUUGUAAUACCUCUGAUCCUGGUUUUCUGAAAAAGUAAUAGAAUAACACUUUAAAAUGUAAUCCAAUGAAAAGGAGCAAGGAUAAUCGCCAAUUGCUACCAACAACACGUCUCAGCCUACCAAACAUACAAUUUACCCAACCCUCAUUUAGCAUUCAUACAAACAACACAGGCAAGACACAUGCAUCAUAGGAUAUGAUUAGAAGGCUAAAACGGCAGACACAAAUUCCCACUAACCCAAACUACAUUGACACUAUGAAAUUUGCAUAGACUCUCACUCUAUGGUUGGAGAUGACAACAUUUGAUACUGAAAAUCCAUGUGAAAUUGGAAUAUAAACUAGUACUGGGCCUUGUCAAACCUCUUGCACCUUUUAUACUUCGUUAAGAAACCAAACAGGAAAGUUGAAACACCAGAAAGAAAUCAUGACUCAAUUCUACAGAAGCAUUUUCAUAAUGCACACUCACAACUAAGCAAGGUAAAGAAGAAUAUGAUAGCCUCAGUGUUUAAUAAGUUCUCUUCCUCACAUUACACCCAAUUCUACCCCACAGUCUCACUACCAUUUCUAUUCAACUCAUAAACAGCACAAAGGCCACCACCAAAGAGUUCAAGGCCACCCAACACCACCAUAUAAGGUUUAACAACUGCUAACUGCAAAAAGGUUAACGGCACAAGGAAAAAGCUGAGUAAGCUCAAACAAAUCAACCCAACAGCACAUUUUGCCAGUAGCAUUUCCCAGAACUAGUUCUCGAAGUUUAACAAACAACAGCAAAGCACAACACACUUUAUACCCGAAAAUGAAACAGAGAGAAAGAAAAGGAGCCAAUUCAAUUUUCAAAGGACAAUAUAACACGGCUAGUCUACGCUUCACCAACACCUAGUUCUCAAAUAUUCAUAUGAAAAACUAUAAAUAUUCAGCCGAACUCUUUAAUCAUGAGACACACACCUUUUCUAUGACAGCAAAUCCUUCAAGAAAAUGGUCCCAAAAAAAUGAUUCACCAACAUUAAUAAUGAAAACUCAAGCACUCAUACAAUUCAAUUCCAAAAACACUAAAAUAAGAAAGCACCUAAAUAAUCAAAAACCCAGAUUUCUUACUACCCACAACAGUAAAUCAGACUCAUAAUGCAACCAAUCAGUGCCAUCAAACAAAGCCCCCCAAAAAAAAGGUAAAAACUUGAAACCAAGAAAAGGGUAAAAAUUUCUUACUCAGAAACCCUAAUCAAAGCCACAAAAUUCACACAACCGCAAACCCUAAAAGCUCGAAACCGGAGCUCCAGUCGGACCAGACCCAAAAACAAGAGUGACCAUGUUCACCGAUCGUCUUGUUCUGACAAAAAGACACAGACCCUUUGAAAUUGUCGACCGGAAAAGCAAAACCCACCGAUCAAAUCCCUCAAUCGCCAAGAAAGACUCGAGCUUUCUCGGCAAAGAUUGCUUUUUUAUCUGUGCAAGAAAACUGAGAGGGAAAAAGGAGCAAUCUUUGAGGGCUUGGAUUAUGAAAUGGGUCUUUGGCUGGACAACAGAAGCGGGUAGAGAGAGAGAGAGUGUUGUAGAGAGAGAAAGAGAGAGGUUUGAAAAUUCGAAAGCUGGUUGGAGACAAAGUUUAUAUCAGACUGACUUGGUGCUGAGAAAAGGAGAGAGAGAUGGGAGCAGAAUCCCGUGGAAUAUCUUGUCGUUACCUGUGCUCUCUUAAUGUGGUUUCCUGGUAGGACAUUUUUGCCCUUCGUGGCGAGUCCGGUAAAACCGAAAAUCGAAAAACUAAUGGACUUAGAACCGGACUUAAUCGUACUAAAACUUGACAUAUUUUCGUUUGUUCAAAUCGAACCGAGCUCAUCUGAACUCGACUUGGCUCUAAUUUUUGAAAACGAAUCGUUUUAGAUAUAUGUCACGAUCUUUCUAAAAUUCGAUUAAAUAUGUCGGUAAACUCUAGAAAAAAAAAAAUUAGAGUUCUAGUAAUAUCGUGUUAUUACGUGAUCUAUAUAUAAGUUUUCUUACUAUAUCUAUUGUUGUAGCAUUACAAACAUUAUAUACCUAAAACAAAUCGAAGAAUAUAUUGGCCGUCAUAUUUGAAGAUACGGUUGCUCGAUGCAAUAAGUGACACCACUCGAUAGCUACUAGCUCACUAAAUCGAGAACCUAGAAAACAAUGGUUCCCAAAACCAAAUCAAAUGACAAAAACUCAAAAUUUUGAGCUCAAAAUAAUGAACUAAACUAUUGUACCUUGCAGACCAUUUUGCCCAUCUUGAAAGAAGUACAAUGGUUUGAAGCAACCGAUGAUGGGAGCAUUGUACAAGUGGCACCGUCCAAAAGAGAAAGAGACGGCUUUAGUUGGCUUGUGAAAAUGGGAUUGUGGAUAGGCCUUUUGCAGUUUUGCCUUUUAGUUGUUUUCUUUCUAGUUCAUCUGCUCAAAUGUCACACCAUUAUUUAGUCUUUUUUCUCAUAUGAUGUGGAUGUGGGGUUUUGGAUAAAUAUCUUAUUUGUGGUUGACCUGAAAAUUGACUAGCAUCAUGGGCAUGCAUAUUCAAGGGACUUUCAGCGUUAGAGCAAUAGAAAUUAAUCUUUUGCUGAAUUUCGAUAAAAUUGAAAUGUUUUUAACUAUAUGUUGCAACACAAUAUAUAGUCACUUUGAUCGAUUCGUGAUUUGAACGCGGGUUGGGUAAGAUUGUGUUUUUUUUUUUUUUUUGAAAGGCAUUGUGAUUGUAUGUACUUAUUUAUAACCUAAUUAAAUUCAGACAUUAAUAAGGAUAACCAUAUUGGUCCAACAUGACUGAUGUAACUGUCCAAAAAUCAUAUUAUUAGUUAAGACAUGAAAUAAAUUCCAAGAAAAUAAUUCCAACACGUCCAGAUAUUAGUUGUGGGCAACUACUAAAGGUAACGGAAAGAAGAACAAUUUAAUUGGGCCAACAAGAAGAGGCGUCAUUUUCAUUUCAAAAGAAAAAAAAAAACAACAGCAGCUAAGGGCUUUAUGAACGCAUGGGCUGUUUUGGGGUAAAACUAACUAGGUAGAUUUUUUACCUUUGAGUAUGGACGUGGUUCAGCUUUCACCAGCACGGGCGAACAUGUUUAUACCAAUGCAAAUGAGCAAUGUAUUCAACUAUUCAUACAACAAACGAAAUUAUGAUGUUGUUAUUCAAAUUUACCCGUGAUCUUAUUUCGUGAUAAAAUUUAUUUCCGAGCCUCCUAAACAAGUAAACGUCAUAUAACAAUGAGUCUUGUGUAUGUUUGGCGAAAACAUAUAAUGGGAAUUGUGGUUAAAUUCAUCUAAUACAACUGCUCCUACAAUUAACUUAUUUUUCUCUAGUGACACACUACCACAUAUGGUUUGAACUUUGAAGGGUCGAUGGCAUAGGGUUUAGCACUUUAGGCCUUUAGGGCUUCUUGUGGAGUUGUUUGUGAUGGUGUAUCCUGCUUCGGCCCAUAUUCCUUUUUGGGUUGGCAUUUAUUACCUCGGUCCAUAUCUUCUUUGGUUACAUGUAUUUGCUUUUGGCCCAUAUAUUUUUACUUGCCCAAAUCAAAUUUUUGGAGGCCCAAAAUUUUGACACACCCAAAUCGAAUCUAUAACUGAAGCUUCUUUUUUUUCUUUUUUUCUUUUUUUGGGUCUGAUAUCACUCUGAAAGUCUGAAGCUUUCACAAAGCGGUUAGAGUCGACACGUUGGCUGCUGACGUGACACGUGGACGGUUUUCUAUAUUCUUAUGAUAAGAACUGGAGCCCUAGGCCCUAGCUACAUAACACGUACGUAACUACGUACUCCCUCGACUUUCAGUAAGCUUCAACAAAAAUGGCAAGCAUCAAAGAAGAAAACAACCUCCACCACGGGGCACCAUCAGAAGGGUUAGAGCGAGCAAACGGACCACCUGAAGUGGUGGCAGAAGUUACCGGCGGGCUGUUGCAGUCGCAGCGCGAUCGAUUUUGUGAGACAACAGAGCAUAGAGUGGGGAAUGAUAGCGAUGAUGGCUCGGCUGAUGUUGCCGACUGUUGCGGUUCGAGCCAGCAAGCAGACCACUUCAAAUGUGUCCACGCGGUCACUGAGCGAUCCAAAUGAAUCAAAUGAUCGAUGGCCUAUAUAUGAGGGUGAUCGAGGGUGAGAUAUUUAGCUCGAUGUGGUGUUGCUAGCUCAUCCCACAUAUACAUGUCUUUGUUAUUCACUUAUUUGUAUGUUCUUUUGUGUUCGAUAUCUUUUGGUUCGAGUCUUAAUUUCCAGCCCUACUAUACGACAUACGUGUUGUAGUUGUAUGAGAUAUGUACCCACCAAGAUGUUAAUUUACUGUACUUUCUUACCAAAUUAUACGUUGUACCAUAAGUUCUUGAUCAUUGACUCCUUGUAUAUCAAAGUUCCAAAUAAUUGAAAGUAUGAAAAUUAACAUGGUCCUGCAUAUCCAUCUUUCAUUAUCGAUAUGAUUUGUGUUUUGACUAAUAUUUAUUAGGUAUCAAUACGAAUACGACUCAUGUUUUGAGAUUAUUUGAGUGUCUUAAUGUUUUAAGAUUAUUUGAGUGUUCAGACAUAAGAUAUACAAUUCGGGUUCUAAUUAACAUAAGAUAUUAUUUGUGUUUUACAACUACUGGUAGUAAGAUGUUAUUUUCUAUAAUUGAAAUAGUUUAGGUGUUCGGUUAUAUAUAAAAUAUACCAACGUGAAGUGUUAUUUAUAAUUACGGUAUUACCGGUACAAUUCGUAUUAAACAUUGGGACAUAAAUCGAGUUAUAUGGAGUAGUAGCUUGCCAGGGUUUGGUUUUGAAGACAUAUGUAUGUGAUUUUGCAGUGUGUUUGAACAUAAUAGUCGAUCUGGUGCUUUCCGGCAUCUUGAAGUUGUGACCGGUACCGGACGGUCUUCUCUAACUUUGAAAGUUUGAAUGAUAGAUGACAGAGGAGACAAAAACUAUACCCUCUCGAUCAGAGCUAGGGUCCCCACUCCAUAUCAGGCUUAUCAGCCGCUUAUGACGUCGGGAUUAAAAUCCUUGGCUGGCCAGAUCGAGAACUGACUUUGACCACCUCGUCGGUUUGUAUUUUUGUCCCGAAACGGAUUAGAAUAUAGUUGCCGGUCGGAAUCAUGCUCUUUGUUGUGAUCUACUGUCGACUUGAUUAUUAAGAGUCACCUUCAUUCGCAUGGACAUAUUCGCUUUGGCCCGACCAACAUAUAUGCGCCACUAGAAACAGUAUGAUUGGCUUUGCCAUAGAAAAAAAAAAAUAUUUGAUCAGAUCUCGAAUUCUCCAUCCCAUUUAAAAUUUGUAAUACACUACUCGGGUCAUAUAGUCUAUGUUCGUGAUGUUUUCUACUACAAGAUUAUCAUCACGUAAGAUAUAACACUAAUUAUCAGAUGUAAAAGUUAAAAGAGUUAUAAAGAAAAACAUUUUAGACAACUCAAGAUUAGCAACAAAGUCUUAGACGUCGAAGCUACCGAGUAUUCAUCUUGCCACACACGACUUUUAAGGAGUUGGCCGGUGACCUUCAUGUGCAAAAACGCAUGUCGCAAAGUUUGUCUCUGUAUAGACCUGGUUUUCUCACCCGUGUUACGGAAAUCAUUUUUGCUGUCUGUCACUAGGGUACAAUGGGCGGUGAGUUUUGAUGAUACAUGCUAGAGGUUGUAUUCGAUGUUGCAUAUGCAAUAUUUCUUCAACGUACAAAGAUACCUUAACCGGAAAACGUCAUACAGUUACUCGAAAUUAUAGCUUUCCUUUCUCAUUUCUUACCAUAUUGUCUUUCUCUUUCUGAACAAGACCAAGGAAUCAUGUGGAGGUGCUGUAACCUCUGGCUACCUGAUCUACACGACACCUUACAUUCUUGAAGUAACUCUGAUCGUUAGUAGGCCGCCAUUAUAAAUAUAUAUCCAGUUAUCCAUAAUCCAUUGUUUAUUAAUUCAGUGGAGGUACGUUGUUGGAUGUGUAGUUAUGCUUGGUUUGACACAGGACAACAUAUUAGCCUCUACUUUCGUUUUCUGCCUCUACCUUCGUUUAUAUAUGUGUAGCUACACAUACACAGUGAGAGAGAGGGAGAGAGAGAGAGAUGGGGAAGAAGGAAGGUGGAGAAGGAGAAGAGGGUAGUACUACUACUCUUCCUUUGUUUGAGAGCAAAGCAGCGAGAUAUAGAGGUGCUUAUAGGGCUUUUGCAGCAACUAUAUUUGUGGGUGUGUGUUUGAUAUGGGUGUACAGACUAGUAAACAUCCCAAAAGCUGGAGAGAGAGGAAGAUGGGCUUGGAUCGGUAUGAUCAUAGCCGACGUCUUGUUCGGUCUGUACUGGAUCACCACUCAGUCUGUUCGCUGGACUGUCACUUAUCGUCAACCUCUCAAGAACAGACUCUCACAGAGGUUUACUAGCUUCUUAUAUAUAUUGAUCUUCUAGUUCAUACAUACGAAUGGUAGUGUAAAACAGUAACCAGUAUUAGAAAGGAUUUGUCUGAAAGAAAAGAAGAACAAGUUAAGUUUGCAUUCGUAUAGAGAAGUGACAUUUCUGUGUGAAGUAUGCUUAAAAUUUCAAAAUUUACCUGAGACUUUGAGUUGCUUACUUUGGGUUUAUAGAAAUCUUUGUUUGUGUUAUGCAGAUAUGAGGACAAGUUACCAGGUGUUGAUGUGUUUAUAUGCACUGCAGACCCGAAAAUGGAGCCGCCAAGUUUAGUGAUUAACACUGUGUUAUCAGUUCUGUCCUGCAAUUUCCCAUCUGAGAAGUUGAGCGUUUAUCUUUCUGAUGAUGGCGGUUCUGAGAUUACUUUCUAUGCUCUUUUGGAGGCGUCUCGGUUCUCGAAGUAUUGGAUACCCUUUUGCAAGAAGUUCAAGGUUGAACCGAGGGCACCGGAGGCCUACUUUGCCCUGCAUUCUGAUGUUCAUGACAUCAAGUAUGGUCAAGAAUGGCUUGACAUGAAGGUCAGUACUGUCAUCUGUGAAACUAGAAGAACAAGGUUAAUGUUUUCACUUCUUUGAUUUUGUUGAAAGAAUGACUAAUUGAUUCACAUUUGUAUGAUGUUGAAGAAACUUUAUGAUGAAAUGAAAAAUCGGAUCGAUUCUGUUGUUGAAAGUGGCAAGAUACCAGAAGAAACAAGGAUUCAACACAAAGGGUUCUCAGAAUGGAACCUUAAGGUAGCAAAGAAUGAUCAUCACUCAAUUGUGCAGGUAUAAAAUUCUUGAAUGAAUUGAUCUUAAUUUGUCAGUUUUUGUCAGUCCUGUAUUUGUUUCAUUGCUCUGCCUCUGAUUUCUGUUGAAGAUUAUAAGUGAUGGAAGAGAUACAAAUGCCGUGGACAAUGAUGGAUGCCGAUUACCAACCAUCGUGUACAUGUCAAGAGAGAAGAGACCCCAACAGCCACACAACUUCAAAGCUGGAGCCAUGAAUGCACUGGUUAGCUUUAGCUUUCUUUGCUUAUUCCAAGUGUCAAGUGGUUUUAACUUGAAAUUUGCAAGUAACAUGUAACUGAAAAGGCAAUUUCCUUUCUAUAGUUGAGAGUAUCAUCACAGAUGAGCAACGCGCCCUUUAUUCUCAACUUGGACUGUGACAUGUACGCAAACAACGCAGCCGCAAUACGAGAGGCACUCUGCUUCUUCCUUGAUGAAAAGACUGGCCACGAGACAGCUUAUGUGCAACAUCCGCAGAACAACAACAAUUUGACCAAGAAUGAUAUCUAUGGAAAUGCUUGCUAUGUAACUAAUGCGGUGAGUUAUGUAGACCAUGGCUCUAACUGCCUAUUUCCUUUCAAGUUAGGACUAAUAAAAGUAAGCUGAAGAUCUUGCACUUAAACUAACAAAUUCUGAUUUAUGGAACAAGAUUGAACUGGCCGCUUUAGGUGGAUAUGGAGCGGCCUUGUAUUGUGGCACUGGAUGUUUCCAUCGAAGAGAGUGUCUUUGUGGGAAGAAGUAUUCAAAGGGUUAUAGAGAAAAAUGGGACAUUGAGGACCAGAAGAAUACUAUUGAUAAAAGUAUCCUAGAACUGGAAGAAUCUGCAAAACCACUUAUCGAUUGUAGCUACGAAAAGGGCAGUCAAUGGGGAAAAGAGGUCUCUUUCUCUGUUUCUCUCUUUUCUGUCACAAAUUCUAAACGUAAUGACUAAUGAUGAAAUAUUUGUUAUGGCUACAGAUGGGACUGAUCUAUGGAUGCCCUGUCGAAGAUAUUGUUACUGGUUUGGCAAUACAAUGCAGGGGUUGGAAAUCAGUUUAUUACAAUCCAGAAAGGCCUUCCUUUGUUGGUGUUGCUCCAAACACCCUAGAGAUAGCACUUGUUCAACAGAAGAGGUGGUCUGAGGGAAUGUUUCAGGUAUUUUUCUCCAAGUAUUGCCCUUUCAUAUAUGGACAUGGGAAGAUACACUUUGGUGCCCAAAUGGGAUACUGCAUCUACCUUCUAUGGGCUCCAGUUUCAUUCCCAACUAUGUAUUAUGCAAUUGUUCCUCCUCUUUGCUUGCUACAUGGCAUUCCCUUGUUCCCCAAGGUACCUCUUCUCACUCUUUUAUCUUGAUGAACAUAAGAUUUGUUUAGCCAAUUGAGCAUCAGAAUUUAAGGGCGGAUUCUAACAUGAAACAGUAAUGCAAAAUGAAUUUAAGCCAAUUCAACACUAGCUGUGGUGUUUAAAAUGGGAAAUUUUAAUUUAUCUUUCAGGUUUCAAGCCUAUGGUUUCUAGCAUUUGCUUAUGUUUUUGUAGCAAAGAAUGCAUACAGCAUAGUUGAAUUUGUGAUGUGUGGGGGUAAACUGCAAGCAUGGUGGAACUUACAAAGAAUGUGGCUGAUCCGGCGAAUUACUUCUUACUUCUUUGCCUUCUUCGACACCAUAAAGACACAAUUAGGGCUAUCUGAAACACACUUUGCCCUCACCGAUAAGGUUGUCACCGAGGAUGUGUUAAAGAGGUACGAGCAAGAGAUUAUGGAGUUUGGAAGCUCAAGCAUUAUGUACACUGUAUUGACAACAACGGCAUUGCUGAGCUUGGUAAGCUUAGUUUGGGGGACAAAGAGGGUUGUGAUGGAUUUAGAGUUGAAGGCCUUAGACCAGUUCAUCAGUCAAGUUAUUCUUUGUGGCAUAUUGGUUUUGAUCAAUGUACCAGUGUAUGAAGCUCUCUUCUUUCGCAGUGAUAAGGGCCACAUACCAUCCUCUGUCAUGUACAAAUCUGUUUUUGUGCUCUCAUUGGCAUGCUUGAUGCCUAUAUAGUAGGAAAGCUUGCGCAAAGAUUGAAUAAUAAUCAUGGUGCAAAUGAGCAUUCCCCUUUCGGGUAAUAUCCUUAAUAUUCCUAGACUAUUUUUUAUUUUAUUAUUUUGUUCAAAGAAUUGAACAUUUCGAAGAUUAACUUUUGAGUCCUUGUUUUAGUUCAACCUCGAUCAUUUCGCAGUUCCUAGCUCCUCAAAAUUUAGACCGUAAAUUUAUUCUUAGAGCAUGUUAUAUUUAGGUUGAAUCGAACUUCAAAAGACAAAUCUGGCAACUCUAUUUGAGUUUGAUUAAAAGAAGUUUGAUAUUUGAUUUGGAGGAAAAAUGUAGGACUUUUGAAGAUACCCAAACGGUCUAAUUUAUUUCAACCUCUAUUUUUUUUUUUAGAGAAUUGAAAUUUACAUUCCUAUUUUUACAAUCCACACUCAUUUCAUUCCGUUUUUUAGUAACUUAAGUAUUGUCUUUAGUAUGUGUUUUGUCUUAUAUAAAAACUUUAUACUAAAAAAAAGAAAAGAAUAGUGUGGAUUGUAAAAGAAUGAGUGCAAAUUUAAUUUUUCUUUAUUUUUUUAAUUUUUAUAUAUACAUUUAGGUAAAGAACCCUAUUGUGUUUUUAGGCUAAAUAAUAUCACCAUGAAGUGAUGAACUAUAGCAGUGUGGUAACUGGUAGUUGAUGCAUGUAUCAAUCAACCAAACCAAGCAAAAUAGGCAAACUGGUUGCCUGGUUGGUUAUGGCCGGAAACAGAACGCAAUCAAAGGUGAUGCAUGGAUGAUAUCAUAGAGAGCUAAGUCGAUCAAACCUUGUGGGCAGUUGACAACCAGAUCAAAUUGAUUUCAUAAGGGAUGACAAUUAUAGAACCCCUUUUGGAAUAAACUUUCAAAUAUUGAAUAUUCAAACCAAUAAAGCAGAAAUGGACAAAAUGCAAGAGUGCUACCUGAGUUUGAUUCAGACAUACACUAAAAUAGUUUAAUGUAAUUAUUAAUAUAUUUCUCAGAUAUGAUAAAGAUAUAGCAGCCAUAAAAGAACAAAGAAGAUGAAAAGAUUCCUUACUGAACCAUGCCAAAUGUCAUUGUCAUUGACAUAUAUGCUCAAACAAGUAUAUAUAUGAUAUAUGUCCCUGAGAUAAAAACAGAAAAGCUGAGAAAGACAGAACAGAGAGAUCUGAAUUGGAUAGAUAUGGGAGAGGGAGGGAUCAAUUCACCAUUGUUUGAGACGAAGAGGGCCGAGGGUAUAGUUCUGUAUAGGCUUUUUGCUGCGUCUAUUUUCGUGGGUAUAUGUUUGAUUUGGGUUUACAGAGUGAGUCACAUACCAAAAGCUGGAGAAGAUGGAAGGUUUGGUUGGAUGGGUCUGCUGGCUGCUGAGUUAUGGUUCGGGUUUUACUGGCUCCUCACUCAAGUCUCUCGGUGGAACCGCGUGUAUCGGCACACCUUCAAGGACAGGCUCUCGCAGAGGUACGUUUAGCAAUCAUGUCGAUGUUAUAAUUAGGAAAAGUGUUAGAAUGUACUUUUAGGCAUAUCAAUGACACUAUAUGUAAUGAGAUUGCAAAUCAGUUUCAUAAGUUGGGGUACGUAGUAAUACUAUGAAUGCUAUAAAUUGGUUCUCAUUCUCUGGAACAGAUAUGAGGAAGAGUUGCCGGGAGUGGACAUAUUCGUGUGCACGGCGGAUCCAACUAUAGAGCCGCCGAUAAUGGUUAUAAACACUGUUUUAUCAGUAAUGGCUUAUGAUUACCCACCGGAGAAGCUCAGUGUGUACCUGUCCGAUGAUGGUGGAUCGGAACUUACAUGCUAUGCUCUAUUGAAAGCUGCGGAGUUUGCUAAGCAUUGGAUACCAUAUUGCAAGAAGUACAAUGUGGAGCCAAGGUCACCUGCAGCUUAUUUUGCCUCACAGGCUUCUGAUAAUGCAGGGGAUCUCACUCUCAUCAAGGUACUAAUUGUUAAUAAGUCGUUGACUCCUUAUAAUGGGGUCUAAAUCAGAGUUGGUCAUAUAUAUCAUGCUGCGAGAUUCCAAUGUCCCAAUUUCGAAAGGAUAAGAUAAACAUAGUGUCCACAGUUUAAAAGUCAACAAUUAUUUGCUUUUAUUUAUUUUUAUUAUUUCAAUCAAAACAAUUAUUUCUUUUUGAAAAUGGGAUGGGUUUUGGACAAAGAAAAGACUAAUGUUAGACAAACCAUUUAUUUACGGGAAAUUUUUACUAUAUUAUAUGGUAUAACAUGCAUUUAAAAUGUGAACCAUCAGAUCGUCUUAAUUUUUAAAAUGCUAAACGAUUCGACGGUUCACAGCUAAGAUGCAUGCUAUACCAUACGAUACAGCAGCCAAACCCCUAUUUAUGUGUCUCACCACUCUCACCUACCUUGUGCUGAUGUUUCACAUGCAUGCACGUCAUAUGCUAUGAUUAUUUUUUUGAAAAAUAAAUAAAUAAUUUGAUCACCAUCCAGCGUAUUGUAGUGAAAGUUGUCAAAUCUGCCAUAUAUGCUACCACAUGUACAUGUGGUAACCAAGAAAUUAAUGAUUACUUAAAGAAUUAAUUAUCAAUUCCAAUACUUCAUGAAAUAUUGAAAUUGAUAUGAACUAUAGAGUUAUUUAAACGUUUGUCAGUGAAAAAAGUACUUGAUCAUUUUUUUUUUCUUUUAAAAACUUUUUAAUAAUAACUCACACACCCUAUAUAUGUCGUGAGGUUUGAACCCAUCACUUGAGAAAGUAUAUAACUAGUCAACCUUCACAUUGGUAAGAACUUAAAUGUAGAAGCUUCAUACCCAAGUUCAAAUUCCACCGACAAUGAUUGGAGUUCAAUUUCAAUAUAUUUUUGAUGGUUAAGGAGAAAAAAACGUUUUUACAUGUGCCCCCAUCACUGAUGAGUCUUUGAACCUAGAAAGCCUUUGAUUAAGCCAUGUGAUUUCAAUAGAAAAAAAGAGUAUAUAUAAGUAGUCAAAUUGAUAGACCAAUUGGUAACAUUUGAAGAAUGCAUGUGUUUAUAACUGUGAUAUGUUUGCUUAUGAUUGCCUUCCUAUUGGUAACAUAUGAUUGCUUAUGUUUAUAACAGAGAUUAUACAAAGACAUGGAGAAUAAAAUCGAAAGUGCAGUGAAGUUAGGCAGCAUUUCUGAAGAAGUACGAUCAAAACACAAAUGCUUUUCUCAGUGGAAUGCGUAUUUAUCUCCACGAGACCAUGACACCAUUCUACAAGUAUGGAUCUAUAUCUCAAUUUACUGAUCAUCAUAAGUCAAAUAAUUUAGAGAAUCAACUUGAUAACAUUAGCUAGAUAUUUACUCCAAUGUAGAUCGUAAUUGAUGGGAGAGACCCAAAUGCCAGAGAUGUUGAAGGGUGUGGAUUGCCAACCUUAGUGUAUUUGGCUCGCGAAAAGAGACCUCAACAUCACCAUAACUUCAAAGCUGGUUCUAUGAAUGCACUGGUAUGCUGCACAUCUCUUGAUAGAAUUCUGUUAGAUAGAGGAGUCUUUGAUAUAACAAUAAUUUUCAUCGUUCAUUGUUUGUUAUGGUGAUCCUUAACUUGUGCAGAUUAGAGUAUCUUCAAACAUUAGCAAUGGGAAGGUUAUUCUUAACGUAGACUGUGACAUGUAUUCAAACAACUCCACGGCCAUAAGGGAUGCACUCUGCUUCUUAAUGGAUGAAGAGAAAGGCCAUGAGAUUGCAUUCGUACAGUUCCCACAGAAUUUUGAAAACGUUACCAAGAAUGACCUAUAUAGUAGUUCACUACGAGUAAUCAGUGAGGUAUGCAUUUGUUUGCAGUCAUUAAUGAAUGAUGCUAUAGUUAACUGAACUUAUUUAAUUUAACUAUGCUGAAAAAUUUGGAUCUCUUUGUUUUGGGUAUCAACUGAAGGUGGAAUUUCAUGGUUUGGAUGGUUAUGGUGGUCCUUUAUACGUUGGAAGUGGAUGCGUUCACAGAAGAGAUACUCUAUGUGGGAGAAAGUUCAGCAAAGGAUGUAAGAGUGAAAUGAAGUGGGAGAAUAGGAAAGGAGAAGAAACAAGCAUUCCUAAAUUGGAAGAAAGUUCAAAAAGACUAGCAAGUUGUACAUUUGAAGUGAACACUCAAUGGGGAAAAGAGGUCUUCUGUUCUCUUUCUCGUUGUCACACGCACACACAUUAUCAAGUGCAUAAUAAGUUGACAUUUGAGCCUGAUCAGUUCUUAUAAUUUGCAGAUGGGUUUGAAAUAUGGGUGUCCGGUUGAAGAUGUGAUUACGGGGUUAUCUAUCCAAUGCCGCGGAUGGAAAUCUGUGUACUGCAAUCCAACAAGGAAAGCUUUUCUAGGAGUAGCUCCAACUACACUGCCUCAAACACUUGUGCAGCACAAGAGAUGGUCAGAAGGUGAUUUUCAGAUUUUGGUUUCUAAGUACAGCCCUGCAUUGUAUGGGCAUGGAAAGAUAAGUUUAGGCCUUCAACUUGGUUAUUGCUGCUACUGCUUGUGGGCACCAAACUGCUUGGCAACACUAUUUUACACUAUUCUCCCUUCACUUUACCUUCUCAAAGGCAUUUCAGUAUUCCCACAGGUAAUGGGAGAUCCUCGAUCUGUCAAUUCUUUCUAAUUUGUCACAAUGAAACGAGAUAGAGAUUACUAUAUGUAAUAAUGGGGUUUUGUUUUGUGGAAUUAGAUCACAAGUCCCUGGUUCAUACCAUUUGCGUAUGUGAUAAUUGCCAAGUACACUUGGAGCUUUGGGGAGUUCAUGUGGUCUGGUGGCACAAUGUUGGGAUGGUGGAAUGACCAAAGAAUAUGGCUAUACAAAAGAACAAGCUCCUACCUAUUUGCCUUUAUCGAUACGAUUCUGCACUAUCUGGGUUACUCGGAUUCAGGCUUUGUAAUAACAGCCAAGGUGGCCGAUGAAGAUGUGUCACAAAGGUACGAGAAAGAGAUUAUGGAAUUUGGAGCCUCUUCUCCAAUGUUCGUCAUAUUAGCAACAGUUGCAUUGCUCAAUUUGUACUGCCUUGCUGGGUUUCUUAAGGAAGCAAUCGCUAGAAAUGGCACUGUUGGAGUUUACGAGACGAUGGCUUUGCAAAUUCUUCUAUGUGGUGUUUUGAUUGUCAUCAACCUGCCUUUGUAUGAAGCUCUUUGCUUGAGGAAGGACAAUGGAAAAAUGCCGAGUUCUGUGGUAUUUAAAUCGAUGGCGUUUGUUGCAUUAUCUUGUGUAUGUAGUAAACUUCUUAAUAAUUAGAAAGAAAAAACAAUCCUUGCUAAAUAAUCAUAAAACGAUCUAUAUUAUUCAAUCUUUCUCACUCUUGCAUAUAUUGUGUGUCACAAUAAGUUCAUCAUAAGUCGAAUUUCCAUUUUCUAGUUUGUUCUGAGUUGCUCUCUAUGUUCUAUCAAUUAUCAAAGUUAAUUAAUUGAUAUGCAUAUGCAUGUAGCUAGAUUUGCUGAUUUAGCUUCUUUUCUACUUAUUUGCUUCACAACAUCUACAAAAUAUAUAAUUGAAGUAAAUGACUCGAAAAAAUAUUGAACCAGCUAAAAAAAAAAAAUUAUAAUUUUACAUUUGUGCUAAUUGUAGAACUUUCUAGAAAUUAUACUAGGACUGAGAAGCGGCUCUAGCUUGUGUCUUAUAACGGGUCUCAAAUCGAGCCAAUAUAUCUACAUUCUUAGUAUAAAGCAUGAGAAGCAUCUCACAUAGCUUUAAUAUAGAACCUUGAAACAUAUACAAGCAAAUCCAGCAAAUGCCAUCGACUUAAAUGCCACAGAGCUCGGCAGCUUGCCCUUGUCCUUCCUUAGGUAUAGGGCUCCGUAUAACGGUAGGUUAAUGGCAAUGAAAACCACACAUAGAAGAAUCUGCAAGCACAUUGUCUCAUAAACGUCUGCAAAACCAUUCAUUCCAGUAAUUGCUGCCUUCACAACCCAAGCAAAGCAGUACAGAUUGAGCAAUGCAAGUGUUGCCAGCACUGUAAACAUCGGAGACGAGCUCCCGAAUUCCAUGAUCUCUUUCUCAUAUCGUUCGGACACGUCUUCAUCGGCAACUUUGGCUGUUAUUACAAAUGCUGAAUUGCUGUAUCCGAGGUAGUGUACAAUAGUGUCGAUGAAGGCAAAUAGGUAUGAGGAUGUUCUCUGGUAAAGCCAUAUACGUUGGUCGUUCCACCAACCUAAGCUCGUGCCUCCACACCACCGAUACUCCACGAAGCUCCCAAUGUUCUUAGCAAUUAUCACAUAUGCAAAUGGUAUGAUCCAUCUGCUGGAAAUCUAAUCCGACAAGAAAAAAAAUCCAUAUUAAAGCCGUACGUUAAAGAUAACGCAUGCAUGAAAAGUUACUAGUAACAUGUAAUUUUGUGAGAUGAACUAUACCUGGGGAAAUAAGGACGUGCCUCUAAGAAGGUAAAGUGAAGGAAGGGUGGCGUAUAUUACUGUUGCCCAGCAAUUAGCAGCCCAUAAAUUGUAGCGAAGGUAUCCCAGUUUAUGGCCUAAACUAAGCUUUCUAUGGCCACACCAUACAACAUUGUCCUUAGAAAGCGUAAUCUGAAGGUUGCCUUCCCCCCAUCUCUUAUGCAUCACAAGUGCCUGAAGCAAGGUGGUAGGAGCUAAUCCUAAGAAAGCUUUCCUUGUUGGAUUGUAAUUCACUGAUUUCCAUCCUCGGCAUUGGAUUGAUAGUCCUGUUAUCACAUCCUCAACUGUACACCCAUAUUUCAAACCCAUCUGCAGAUUAUAAAGAUUUUGUCUCAACUUAAAACGAGUAUAUAUUCCUAAAUACACAUUAAAUUUUAAAUGGGAAUUUUCUUGGAAUAUAAAAACAUACAUGAGUUAUAAGUGAAAAUGAACACACACACACACACAGAUAUAUAUAGUAUAUAUAUAUAUAUAUAUAUAUAUAUAUAUAUAUAUAUGAGAAUACCUCUUUUCCCCAUUGUGUGUUCUCCUCAAAUGUACAACUCGCAAGUCUCUUUGAACUUUGUUCUAAUUCAUGAAUGCCAAAGUACUCUCUUUUGUUACCAUCCCAUUUCAUCUCACUCUUAUUCACCUUGCUGAAUUUCUUCCCAGAAAGAGUGUCUCUUCUGUGAAAACAUCCAGUUCCAAUAUAUAACAUCCCCCAAUAAGCAUCCAGACCAUGAAGUUCCACCUUCAUGUAAAUGCCAAAACACAUAUAAUCGCAAAAUUUUGAUUCUAAUAUUUCCAUCAGCCUAUAAUAACAUUGUCUACUCUGUGGUACUCACCUCGGUAAUUACUCGCAAUGAAGCGUAUAAUUCAUUCUUAGUAAGGUUAUCGAAAUUCUGGGGGAACUGUACGUAAGCAAUCUCAUGGCCUUGUUCUUCAUCCAACAAGAAGCAGAGUGCAUCCCUUAUGGCCUUGGAGUUGUUUGAAUACAUGUCACAGUCUACAUUCAGAAUCAACUUUCCAUUGCUAAUAUUUGACGAUACCCUAAUCUGCAAAUUGCGAAGGAUCGCAUCUGUACGUUAUCUAAACCCUAUAGGCACACAGUGAAACUCACACAUAUCUUGUAAAUGUAAUAUGUUGUUUACCAGAGCAUUCAUAGCACCAGCUUUGAAGUUAUGGUGAAUCUGGGGUCUCUUCUCCCGAGCCAAAUACACCAAAGUUGGCAACACACACCCUUCAACAUCUCUUGCAUUUGGGUCUCUCCCGUCAAUUACUAUCUGGGAGAAAAGUUCAUCGACUAAUUUAAACAUCUGGUACUAAUUAAACACCCAGUCAUAUAUAUGAUCACUUAACAUUAAAGAACUCAAAUGGAAAUGUCAUACUUGAAGAAUGGUGUCAUGGUCACGUUUUGAUGAAUAUGAAUCCCACUGAGAAAAGCCUUUAUGUUUUGAUCUUACUUCUUCCGGAAUCCGGCCUAGCUUCACUGCAUUUUCAACUUUUGUUGCCAUGUCCUCGUAUAGUUUCUGCAUCAAUAUUAUUUGGUGACAUGAGAGCUUAAGUAUGUUGUAAGCAUUGUAAGACCAAAAGAAGAAGAAGAACAAAAGUAGUUACAAAUGCAACACAAAAUAAAACAAGAUAUAAUGGAGUAAGAAAUGUUAAUUUCGUGUUCAUUUGGUUGUUACGAAUCCAAUUUUGCCAUGAUGUACACCCAAAAUUUUCCCACCGGCCGGUAAUUUAUAACAGAGGCUUACUGUUUCCAUUUCACUCCGAUCACUAACAGACCCUAUUGGUCAGUCCCUAAUGGCGAAUGGGGAAGAUUGUAGUACCUUUUAAAGGUAGGUCUUUAGGUGGAUAUGCUGGUGGGUUAAAGUUUGGAUCAAGGUGUAUAGUCUAGGCUAGCCAGACGUUUUUGUUACGAGUCAUUGUUCAAUGUGUAGUCGGCGACCGUGCGCACUAAAAAUUGUAACAGGUGAUCUUCAAAUCUCUUGUUUUGACUGAAUGAGGUCGUAUACGAUAUCUUCGACCAAUGGAGUUCAUCCACUCUCAUAAGAAAAAAAAAAAAAAAAAAAAAACAAAAGAUGACAGGCUUGACAACUUCGAGGAUAAUUACUAAGCAACUUCCGGCUACUAAACGACUAGCAUGCAAUAGAUCUAACAUUAAGACAUGUCUAGUGAACAAAAAAUCCAUUCUUACCUACGAUCGAAUAUAUAAAAUUAACAGAAGAGGUUAAGACAUGCCUCACUUGAUCGAUGACCAUAUAUUUCUUUCAAAAUUUCUUAAUCAAUGGUGAACAAAUUAAGAAAAUAUCAACAUCAAGACAUCGCUACUCUUAUGUCCAAGUCUCCAAGACACUUUAAUUGACUCCAUCCAUCAUCAUAUGGAUCCAGAUGAUUCUACUUGGAGCAGUUUACUUGUCGUCUAAAUUGGACAACCUAUGCCAUUUAUGCUCUCCACAAAAAAUCUCUGCUGCGCGCAGGGACCUAAUGGAAAUGUGUAUGUCAUCGCUGACCUAAUUAUCACUUUAAUCUUAACCAUGCAUAAUUGCUGAUUAGAGUUGUUGUUUCUUCGACGUGUAAAUAUACGAUAUCAUAUAGAGGGUCAAAAUCUAUCUACACGACGGUCUCAUUAUAUAAUUCUAGAACUGAGAUGACAUUGUGUACAUACAUGACGUGCAUACAAGAAUUUCCAAUUAAGCAUUAACCAAACAGACUUCUUUUAUUUCUUUACACUUUGAUUAUGGAAGACUUUAUGAUAUGGAUAAAAUCGUAAAAUAAUAAUUACCUUAAUGAGCGCCAAAUCAGCAGCCUUUUUCUGAUUCUGGCUUUCAUCAUCAACUGCAUCAGAAUCUAUCGAGACAAAAUAAGCAAAUGGUGAUCUCGGCUCCACACUGUACUUCUUGCAAUAGGGUAUCCAGUACUUGGCAAACUCAGCAGCUUCCAGAAAAGCAUAGUACGUAAAUUCUGAGCCUCCAUCGUCAGAGAGAUACACGCUGAGCUUCUCCGGCGGAUAGUCAUAAGACAUGACCGAUAGAACAGUGUUCAUCACCAUCAUCGGCGGCUCUAUGAUCGGAUCCGCGGUGCACACGAAUAUGUCCACCCCCGGCAACUCAUUCUCAUAUCUGUUAAGUAACACACGCGAAGUUAAACGAUACGAAGAUCAUCAUUACGAAAGAAGUUAGGUUAGAGCUAGAUUAAGCUAACAGUAUAUAUAACAUGUUAUGUUGUUAAACUAUAGAUACAGAUCAUUCAUAUAUAACAGUGAAUACAGAUACCUUUCAGAGAGUCUGUCCUUGAAGGUAUGCCGGAAGGUGCGGCUCCACCGAAGAGCUUGAGUGAUGACCCAGUAAAAACUGAACCAUAACUCAGCGGCGAACAACAACAUCCAACCAAAUCUUCCAUUUUCUCCAGCUCUUGGUAUAUGAGUCACUCUAUAAGCCCAAAUCAAACAUAUACCAACAGAUACAGACACUGCAGAAAACCUAUAGAAGACUGUUCCCUUUGCCUUCGUUGUCUCAAACAGUGGUAAAUGUCUUUCCUCUCCCAUUUUUGAGCCAACUCUGAUUGCUCAAGCUUUCUUUCUCUAGUGGAGAUGAUUUAAUAUAUAGGGAAGGACCCCGGACCAGGUCUUGCUUUCUAUUAUAAAAACCAAUUAACUUUGAAGCUAAUGCAUGCGUCCCGCGAACGCAACUUUGAUGUAAUGCUACCUUUCACAUCUCUGAUGUGUAUUACAAAACAAACAAGUUACAUGCAUAACUAGCUACUAUGAAAGUAUUGCAGCCAUAUGCACUUGGGUAGUAGUAAGAGUUUGGUGGUCUUUGACCUAUUGCUGAAUAAAAGAUUUCUUUUUUGGUCAGAAAAUAAAAGAUCAUUUACAAGCAGAUGAAACUGUCAUUCCAAUACAAGUUAGCUGAAACUGAAUAUGAUCUUAUCUUACAUUGUGCAUAACUAGUUAAGAAUCGUUCAAUGACAAGUUCGGCCUGAUAUUUUACUUUGUAGUCUGAAUUAUUCCCUCAUCUUUGUCAUAUAUAUUUGAAACAUAAACAAGCAAAUCCAGCAAAUGUCAUCGACUUCAAUGCUACAGAGCUCGGCAGCUUUCCCUUGUCCUUCCUUAGGUAUGGGGCUUCGUACAAGGGUAGGUUAAUGACAAUCAAAACCACACAUAGGAGAAUCUGCAAGCACAUUGUCUCAUAAACUUCUCCAAUACCCUUUUUUCCAGUGAUUGCUACCUUCAAAAACCAAGCAAAGCAGUACAGAUUGAGCAAUGCAAGCGUUGCCAGCACGGUGAACAUUGGAGACGAGCUCCCGAAUUCCAUGAUCUCUUUCUCGUAUCGUUCGGACACGUCUUCAUCGGCAACCUUGGCUGUUAUUACAAAUGCUGAACUGCUGUAUCCGAGGUAGUGUACAAUGGUGUCAAUGAAGGCAAAUAGGUAAGAGGUUGUUCUCUGGUAAAGCCAUAUACGUUGGUCGUUCCACCAACCUAAGCUCGUGCCUCCACACCACCGAUACUCCACAAAGCUCCCAAUGUUCUUAGCAAUUAUAACAUAUGCAAAUGGUAUAAUCCAUCGGCUUGAAAUCUAAUCCGACAAGAAAAAAACCAAUUUUAAGAAAAGCCGUACGUGAAAUAUAUUGCAUGCAUAAGAAGUAAUUAGAAACAUGUAAUUCGUGGGAUGAACUAUACCUGGGGAAAUAAGGAUUUGCCUCUAAGGAGGUAAAGUGAAGGAAGAGUGGAGUAAAUUAGUGUUGCCCAGCAGUUAGCAGCCCAUAAGUUGAAGCGAAGGUAUCCCAGUUGAUGGCCUAAACUAAGCUUUCCAUGGCCAUACCAUAGAACACAGUACUUAGAUAGCGUAAUCUGAAGGUUGCCUUCUGCCCAUCUCUUAUACAUCACAAGUGCCUGAAGCAAUGUGGUUGGAGCUAAUCCUAAGAAAGCUUUCCUUGUUGGAUUGUAAUACACUGAUUUCCAUCCUCGGCAUUGGAUUGAUAGUCCUGUUAUCACAUCUUCAACCGGACACCCAUAUUUCACACCCAUCUACAAAUUAUAAAGAUUUAAUUUGUAUAAAUGAUGUAUAAGUAAAUAUGAACAUAAUAUGUAAGUGUAAUUGAUAGAGAGAAUAUACCUCUUUUCCCCAUUGUGUGUUUUCUUCAAAUGUACAACUCGCAAGACUUUUUGAACUUUGUUCUAAUAUAUGAAUGCCAAUUUCUUCUCUUUUGUUUUUCUCCCAUUUCAUCUCACUCUUAUUUUCCUUGCUGAAUUUCUUCCCACAAAGAGUUUCUCUUCUGUGAAAGCAUCCAGUUCCAAUAUAUAACAUCCCCCAGUAAGUAUCCAGACCAUGACAUUCCACCUUCAUGUAUAUGCCAAAACAAUAACUGAAGUUCAAAUAAUAAGAUAUAAAUUGAAGAAUAAUGCUAAGUGAACCAUAUUAAUUUUGAUUAUAAUAUUUCAAUCUGCAGCAUAUAAUAUGUCCACGAACAUAAUCAACUCACCCUGUUAAUUACUCGCAAUGAAGCGUAUAAUUCAUUCUUAGUAAGGUUAUCGAAAUUCUGCGGAAACUGUACGUAAGCAAUCUCAUGGCCUUGUUCUUCAUCCAUGAAGAAGCAGAGUGCAUCCCUUAUGGCCUUGGAGUUGUUUGCAUACAUGUCACAGUCUACAUUAAGAAGUAACUUCCCAUUGCUAAUAUUUGACGAUACCCUAAUCUGUGAAUGCAAAGGAUCGCAUCUGUUAUCUAAACCCUACAGGUACACACACACACACAUAUAUAUAUCCUGUAAAUUUAGUAUGUUGUUUACCAGAGCAUUCAUAGCACCAGCUUUGAAGUUAUGGUGAAUCUGAGGUCUUUUCUCCCGAGCCAAAUACACCAAAGUUGGCAACGCACACCCUUCAACAUCUCUUGCAUUUGGGUCUCUCCCCUCAAUUACUAUCUGGGAGAAAAGUUCAUCCACUAAUAUUAACAUCUGGUACUAAUUAAACACCCAGUCAUAUAUAUGAUCAGUUAACAUUAAAGAAUUCAAAUGGAAUGUCAUACUUGAAGAAUUGUGUCAUGGUCACGUUUUGAAGAGUACGAGUCCCACUGAGAAAAACGUUUAUGUUUUGAUCUUACUUCUUCCGGAAUCCGGCCUAGCUUCACUGCAUUUUCAACUUUUGUUGCCAUGUCCUCGUAUAGUUUCUGCAUCAAUAUUAUUUGGAGACAUGAGAGCUUAAGUAUGUAUUAAGCAUUAAUGUAAAACCAAAAGAAGAAGAAAAAGAAGUAGUUACAAAUGCAACACAAAAUAAAACAAGAUAUAACGGAGUAAGAAAUGUUUCUUGUUGUUUUGGUUGUUGCACGUACUGCUUAAUCCAAUUUUGCCAUGAUGUACACAGUACACCCAAAAUUUUCCCACCGGUAAUUUAUAACUGAGGCUUACUGUUUCCAUUUCACACCGAUCAUUAACAGUCCCUAUUCUUACCUACGAAUGAGGUCGAGACAUGCCUCGCUUGAUCGAUGACCAUAUAUUUCUUUCAAAAUUUCUUAAUCAAUGGUGAACAAAAAGAAGAAAUCAACCGGGACCUGACAAUACAUCGCUACGCUGAUGUCCAAGUCUCCAAGACACUUUAAUUGACUCCAUCCAUCAUCAUAUGGAUCCUGAUGAUUCUACUUGGAGCAUUCUACUUGUCGUCUAAAUUGGACAACCUAUGCCAUUUAUGCUCUCCACAAAAAAUCUCUGCUGCAGGGACCUAAAGGAAAUGUGUAUGCCUGACCCAAUAUUAAUUAUCGCUUUAAUCUUAACCAUGCAUAAUUAAUUAUCAGAGUCUUUGUCUCUUCGACGUGUAAAUAUACGAUACCAUAUGGAUAUAAUCUAUGACUUUACUACAUAUACAUGAUGGUCUCGUUAUAUAAUUCUAGGACUGAGAUGACAUCAUAUACAUGCACGGCAUACAUACAAGAAUUUCCAAUUAUUAAUCAUUAACCAAACACUUUUGCAUGACUUUACUUAUUUCUUCACAGUUUGAUUAUGGAAGACUUUAUGAUAUGGAUGAAAUCAUAAAAUAAUAAUUACCUUAAUGAGCACCAAAUCAGCAGCUUGUUUCUGAUUCUGGCUUUCACCAUCAACUGCAUCAGAAUCUAUCGAGACAAAAUAAGCAAAUGGUGAUCUCGGCUCCACACUGUACUUCUUGCAAUAGGGUAUCCAGUGCUUGGCAAACUCAGUAGCUUCCAGAAAAGCAUAGUACGUAAAUUCUGAGCCUCCAUCGUCAGAGAGAUACACGCUGAGCUUCUCCGGCGGAUAGUCAUAAGACAUGACCGAUAGAACAGUGUUCAUCACCAUCAUCGGCGGCUCUAUGAUCGGAUCCGCGGUGCACACGAAUAUGUCCACCCCCGGCAACUCAUUCUCAUAUCUGUUUAAGUAAUUUCACUUGAGUUAAAACUACAUGCGAAGUUCACAAUGAAGAACAUCAUCACGAAAGAAGUAAACUUAGAGCUAAAGCUAAUACGAAAACAAUAUAGCAUGUUAUGUUGUUAAACUAUCGAUAUAUAUAUAUAUAUAUAUAUAUAUAUCUUUCGGAGAGCCUGUCCUUGAAGGUAUGCCUGUAGGUGCGGCUCCAACGAAGCGCUUGAGUGAUGAACCAGUAAAAACUGAACCAUAACUCAGCGGCGAACAACAACAUCCAGCCAAAUCUUCCAUCUUCUCCAGCUUUUGGUAUGUGAGUCACUCUAUAAACCCAAAUCAAACAUAUACCAACAGAUACUGACAAUGCAGAAAACCUAUAGAAUACUUUUCCCUUUGCCUUCGUUGUCUCAAACAGUGGUGAAUGUCUUUCCUCUCCCAUUUUUGAGCUAACUAUGAUUGCUCAAUUGCUUUCUUUCUCUAGUUGGAACGAUUUAAUAUAGUGGGAAGGACCCUGGACCAUGGUGCAUGUUGCUUAAUUUCAUUUAUAGAUACCAAUUCCCCCAUCCCUUUGCAACUAAUGCAUGCGCCUCACGAACGUAGUAUUGAUCUCCGUUAGGUGGUGGUCCUUGACCUAUUGCUGAAGAAAACAGUGUUUAGAAGAAGAUGAAUAUCUGUCAUUCCAAUGAAACAUCAGGCUGUUUAGAUCGAAAGGAUUGGUGUCGACCACAUUAAUUCCCAAAUUUUGACAACCUUUCUUUGCUUUUGGAUAUUUUCUUUCGCAGGCUUGAGUAUAUUGUUUGAAUGACGAUUGAGUUUGGACUGUUUGGUGUAAGAGAUUAACUUAUACUUGGACGAGAUGCAUGCAAUGUUGAUUUUAUUCAAGAAUUGUUGUUUGUGAUGUGAGACUGGUGAGAGAGCACACACUUAUGCUAAAAACAUUAUUAGACAACGACGAUUCAUAACUGUUCUUCUGACUGAAAAGCAUAUGUCGUUUGAUGGACGGUGCCGUGUGAUUGAGAUAACUGUAUUUCAUUCAUGAAUAAAGGAUACAAAACUAGAGAGCAAGCUAGAUUAUAUUUUCCAAAUGUUCAUUACAUAAAUUUGAAACAUAAACAAGCAAAUCCAGCAAAUGCCAUGGACCUAAUUGCUACAGAGCUCGGCAGCUUCCCCUUGUCCUUCCUUAGGUAUAGCGCUUCGUAUAACGGUUGGUUAAUGACAAUCAAAACCACACAUAGAAGAAUCUGCAAGAACAUUGCCUCAUAAACUUCUGCAAUGCCCUUUGUUCCAGUGAUUGCUUCCUUCACAAACCAGGCAAAGCAGUAUAAAUUGAGCAAUGCAACGGUCGCUAGCACAACGAACAUUGGAGACGAGCUCCCGAAUUUGCCAGUAUAAAUCUGCAAGCACAUUGUCUCAUAAACUAAAAAUUUUUAGAGCUAAAAGUUUCCUCCUAAUGAUUUACAUACAAAUUAUUUAUAAUUCAUUAAAAAAAAUAAUUAUAUAACAUCCAUGAAUCUAAUGUUACUUUNNNNNNNNNNNNNNNNNNNNCUAUCACGAAUGUCGAGCGAUAAGCUGCCGCAAGGACGGCAUUUGAGUGGGGUCAGUGUGGUUUACGAUGUGGAUGUUAGGCGGCCCGGGGAGUUUCAGCCGCAGCUGGAAGUUAGGUCGACGAUUACGAACUAUGAUCCUCAGCUGGUGUUGGGCCGCCAAAUAGCGGUGAAUAAGUCGUAUAUAUGACUGUGGAUUGAAACAGGGGGAUAUUCGGGUUUUGAAUAACCACACCGGAUUGGAAUGUUUGCUUCGAGCUCAUACACAGGUAAAUUGAUUUUCCUUGUAGUUAUUUACUUUAUCUCGUCGAUGAUUGUUAUAUGUCGUUGGCCUAAUCGAUGUGUUGUUCUGUCAGAGGGUCACAGACAUGGCUUUCUUUGCCGAGGAUGUUCACCUUUUGGCUAGGUAGCUUUUUUGUCCAUGCUUAAUACUUUUCAUCGUCUGGUUUGGUUCUGCAUUAUCUGACAUAAUUUUCUGCAGUGUGAGUGUAGAAGGACGGCGUUUUGUGUGGAAAAUAUCUGAAGGUCUGGAUGAAGGAGGUACGCCACAAAUCAAAGGAAAGAUUGUUAUUGCCAUUCAAAUAGUUGAUGAGGGGGGAGCUGUUCAUCCAAGAGUUUGUUGGCACUGUUCUAAACAAGUAAAUGAUUCUGUUAAUGCUAUUUUCAAUAGAAGAAUUAUAACUUAAUGCUUUUGAUGUCUGUUGGUCUUGAAGUGGUUGAUUGAUUUAUCUUUUGUCUUAUAUACUCGCAGGAGGUUUUGUUUGUUGGGGUUGGGAAGCGUGUUCUACGAAUUGAUACUACUAAAGUUGCAAAGUAUGGAGUCCCUUCUGCUGAGGAUCCUAUCAAAUGUCCUGUUGAAAAACUCAUUGAUGGGGUUCAAUUUGUUGGUGAACAUGAUGGAGAGGUGACAGAUGUAUCAAUGUGCCAAGGGAUGACUACCACCCGGCUGGUUUCUGCUUCCAUGGAUGGAACUGUAAGCUUCUUCCCGUUUUGCUGACUUUGUUUGGUAAACUGCAAUCUUCACCAUUUGCCUUUUCUACAUAUUUCCUUUCGUCAAGUAGUGAAACUUAAGUGCGAUUUUCAUCAGAGUUGGGUGGGAACAUUUGGCCCCUGCUUGCCCUUUUACAUCUAAAUGGAUAGUUUUUUCUCCUUUUCUUUCGGUGAAAUAGGGAUAAUCUUAUGGCUACAAAAAAAUCUGUGUUGGCUAAUCGGCUUCUAUGCUUCAGGGAGUUUGCGAUGAAUUAGGAUAAAUUAUUUGGUCUAGUCCUUCAAAUCCCUUUUAAUGUGGUACAGCACAUGAAAUGGCUAUGGCAGAUAAACUUUUACUUUUCUCAAUUAUAAGGAAAAAGUGAAGAGAAAGUACUGUAAGAGAUUUUAAGAGUGGAAGCUGUUUAACUUUGCAGUGAGUUUGUCAAUUUCUCUAACCUUAGUACAUAGUAUGAUCGAUACUAUUUAGGAAUGGUUCACGCAGUUUCAAAUUAAUUCAUUGGGCCGUCUUCAUCAUGAACAAUACAAAAAUUAUUUCUGAACAGGUUUAAGUAUGUUAUAUUCUCACACAUGCCAUAUAUGCAUGUAUAAUUAUUUCCUAAAUUGUUGAUUGAUAAAAGUUUUCUGAGUCGUAUACUUGGUUGAUACAGAUAAAGAUCUGGGAAGAUCGCAAGUCACAACCACUUAUAGUACUGAGACCCUAUGAUGGCCUUCCUGUUUAUUCGUCUAUAUUUACGACAGCUCCCAACAAACCAGAUCACAUCAUACUUGAAACAGUGGUAAGUGAUCGUUGAUUUAUUUACAUAGUACCAAAAGGUGUUGCCUGUCCUAGUGUGCUGAAGUGUAAUUAUACAGGGUCCACUUAAUCGGGAAGUGAAGAUCUGGUCCUCAGCAACUGAAGUGCUUACCAGUGAUGAUGAGUCAUGGAAAUGUACCCAGACCUUAGAGCUCUGCUCAACCUCGAGUUGAGGAUGCGUUCUUUAAUCAAGUCAUAACAGUGUCACAAGCUGGCCUUCUUUUACUUGCAAAUGCUAAGAAGAAUGCCAUAUAUGCCGUGCACAUAGACUUUGGUGGUGAGCCAGCAGCUACACGCCUACACACAUGGAUUAUAUAGCAGAAUUUACUGUUACAAUGCCUAUUUUGAGCUUUACGGGGACAAGUAUAUCUCCUCAUGGUAAACAAAUCGUUCAGGUUUAUUGUGUCCAGACGCAAGCCAUUCAACAGUAUGCUUUGGACUUAUCGAAGUGCUUACCUCCCCCGUUGGAAAAUACAGAUACAGUUGACAGCAACACUGAGUUGGAAUUACAACGUCAAAUUGACGCCAUGCAGGAUGAGAUGAAUCAGGUGAGUGCUUAAGAAUUUGGAAUUUCAAUUAUCUUGCACAUGUGUAUGGCGCUCCAACUAUUUUCAGCUUAACUUAGUGAAGUAGGUCUAGUAUCUUCUCCAAAAUUAUGCUACUGCCGUUUAAGUCGAUCUUCAAGUUAUUUAUUAUUUGGUGAACUGGUAUAUCAAUAUGAUCUUUCUUGUCCCAUUUCACCAGCCUAUAUCAUGGAAAAGGUUCUCUGUUUGGACGUUUUAUGGAUGUGUUUUGUGUAAUCAAACCUUUUUUUCUUGUCCAUUAUCCUUUCUGUUAACUAUGGCUUUUCAUCAUAUGCGCAGCUGGAGAUUAUGCAAACAAAAUUGCAAACAGAAUUGCAAGAGUGGAAGAAGGCUAGAAAGGACAAUACUGAUGCUCUGCAGGCUCGGGUUAGAGAAGAGAUUUCAAAGAUUGAGAAAUUAUGGCGAGAACGUAUUCAACAAGGAACUGUAGAACGCACGGACUUUCCGGUCUUGUUAGAUAAAAUGGUGAAAAAAGAAAUAGCUGCUCUUGGAUCAGCUAUAGAAACAAAAAUUAUUUUGGCUAUAUCUGAUUGCUUUCAGGUAAGAAUUUAGAUGAUCUGGCCUUUUCUUUGAGGUAUUUGGCUUUAAUUAUCUAAUUGAUGCGUGUGCUGCAGAAAUUGGAGAAAUCAGUCAACUCAAAUCUUGAAGAUACUGUACGCAGUGUGCUGCAGAAAUUGGAGGAAUCAGUCAACUCAAAUAUUGAAGCUACUGUACGCAGCCAAAUCCAGUUGGAUUGUCAAACUCUGGGUAACCAAGCUCGGCAAGGUGAUGGUGCCAGCAUGUCUGAACCACUUGCUCAGCUUCAUUAUGUAGAGGAAGAUCAGGAACAUUCUGGAAAAGAUGUAUCUGGGUCGGCUACUGCCACAACCACGUCGCAACUACAAACACCAAAUGCAAUGUCAAGAAAACAGGAAUGGAAGAAUAUGCAAGCAUCAUGUCCAUCUUCCCCGUCACCAGGUGUGCUCAACUCAGUAGAGUCCUCCAAUGAAGCAGGUGGGAGUUCAAGUCCCCCCUCUGGAGAAGCUGCAGUCCCUCACAUUAUGUCCAUGCAGGCUAUAAUGAAUAAGGUGAGUGCAGUCAAAUUUGGGCAUUUAAUUAUCUUGCACUUGUCUACUCGCACGCGCCAAUUAUUUUCAGCUUAACUUAGUAAAGCAGGCUUAGUAUCUUCUCCAAAAUUAUGCUACUGCCAUUUAAGUCGGUCUUCAAGUCAUUUAUUGGUGAACUGGUAUAUUAAUUACUAUGUUCUUUUGUGUCCCAUUUCACCUGCUUAUAUCAUGCGAAGAGCAAAAGGUUCUAUGUUUGCAUGUGUUGUGGUUGUGUUUGUAAGUGUUUGUGUGUAACCAAACCUUGUUUUCUUGUCCAUUAUCCUUUCUGUUAACUAUGGCUUUUCAUCAUAUGUGCAGAUAUUGGAAAUACAAAGAGAAGAAUAUCUAUGGCAUAUUAAAGAGGCAGCUGUCAUUAAUGAGGAAAUGAAAAGAUUAGAAGAAGAAGAAGCUGAGCAUAAAAAGAAGAAGGAAGAAUCUAAGCAUGAAAAGAAGAAGAAAAUUGCACAAGACGACGAAGUAUCUAGUGUGCUCAAUCUUCCUAUCAUGUUCAAAUAUCCAACCAUCCAAUAACUCCCCCUGAGACUUUAAUGGAAGCUUCUCCCUCUGAAAGUACAAGUACAUGGGCAGCUAAUGGAACUGGUUGGUGGUAAACCUGAACUACUUGAGGGGGAUGCGAGAAUCCAAGAUGUGCUUGUUAACAGUGGUGUGGGUAAUCCUGAGGUAGAAGUCAAAGUUGUGGGGAAGCAGGAUCUACCCAAAUUGAUGAAUAUGGCUCCCAACGGGAACUCCAAAAUGCUGGUUCAAAAGUUCUACGUUGUUUAUUAUUAACAAUUAUCCAAAGUACUAAUUUAUUGAUGACAGGUUAAGAAUUUCUAGACCUUCAUGAUCAUUUUCUUAUUGCUUGUAAUGACUGGAUGUACUGAUCGGAGAGGAUUCAGUGCACAUACUUGCACUGCACCAACCAGAUCAACCAAACGAUGGUUAGUGACAAAAAAAAAAAUAACAAAUUGCAGUAAAACCCAGGAACUGCAGUAAAGAAAUCGAACUGGCUCUGCCCACCUCCCCGUCCCCAAAACCCAGUCUCUCCAUCCUCCGUCGUCCAAAGAGCCCGCCAAGGUCUGGAUGGUCAACUUCUUCUUCUUCUCCUCCGCCGUAGCCCUCAUCAUCAAGGCCGAGAGCGACCGCACGAAGAUUACGAACAUCAGGAAUGGAUAGGAAACCCAAACCCCAGAUCUACGAUUCUUGAGAAAUCAUUCAAAAUUGCAUCAGUUGCUUCCCAUUGCUUCCAUUGAAGCUCUAAAUCCACUAAUAGAUUCACAUCAGAACCCCAUGGCCGCCACAACUCAUCUUGACAAACGUCGGAUACAGAUUAGGCAUCUCGGGUGUAUCGUAGUAUUGUAUUUAGACCCGUAAAAAAUGGACCGGAUCUUGAUUCGGACCCGCUCCGGAUCCGUGGUUUUUAAAUGGGUUUAGAACGAAAAUUAAACCCGUUGGUCCGUUAAGGACUCGGAUCCGUUAACCCAUUUAUUAAACGGAUCGGAUACGGAUCAAGGUUGAUCCGAUCCGUUAAGGACCCGGAUCCGUUUUAAAAUAAUUAAAUAAUAUUUUUAUAAAUAUAAUAUUAUUGAUAAAUAUUAAACAAUAUAAUAAUUAUUUGAAUAACCUAAACGUCUAAAUUGCGUCUAAAGUAUGAUUAUUUGAUGAAAUUGAAGGUUACUGAUAUGUAUGUUAUUUUUAUGCUCUUUGCUAAAUACAUUGGAGUGUUCUAGAAUAUUCUGUAUCUUUCGAGAUAUUCUUUAUGUGUGUCUUGGCCAUAUGCCAAGAGGAUAUGUAGUUAGACUAGAUCUAUGUAUUUAUAUUCUUACCAUAUUGGUAUUGUGUAAUUCCUUAUAUAAAGGACUCCUAUCAAUGAAUAAGAUGAUGAUUCUCUAGCUAUCUCUCUGUCUCUACACUUUAUACUUCAUCACGUUAUCAUGCACUUUGUUCUAACCCUAGAACUAAUAGCCCACCAUUUUUUUUUCCAAACCCUAAAAACCAAAACCGGAGGUUCUCGGCCCUGCCGCUACCGCCGCCGCAGUCGCUUCCCGGCCGUCCACUCCGCUGCUUUCUUUUCAUCCGAUCAAGCAUCUAAGUGUUUACGGUAUGUUUAUUUUACAACCCUAAAACUCUUCCAAGUUUAAUAACCUCGAGGGAGAUAAAGUGCUUUCUCCCCUUCUUCUACUCCAUUCUAUGCUUGGGUCGAUGUAUUUGAAGGUACCAAAAAUCCCGGAAUUUUAUUCGCGGGUCAAGAGUGUGUUGGAUCACUCUUGUUUCCUUGUCCGGGUUGUGUAUGAUCAACCCUGACCUAUCACUGGAUUGUGUUUGAUCAAUCCGAGGCCUUUUCCGAAUUGUGUUUGAUCAAUUCGCGGCUUUUCCAGAUUGUGUAUGAUCAAUCCGAAUGACAAACCAUUAAAAGCAUUGUUUGUGACCUCUAUCGAGUCUCAUAACAGCUUGGUUUUGUAUGCAAGAGCAAUGUAACAUUCUGCUCCUUUGAGUUUUGACGUACUCGAUGCCUAAGGCGAAUCUUUGCUUGGUAUCUGUGGAACCUUUCAUUGGAAAGGAUUAAACCACAUGUUUUGACCCCCAGGCUAACAAGCCUAGAUGCCGAGAUUUCACAUCUCAUGCGCUUAAAGUCUUUGAUGCGCCACAUCGACAAAAGCCUUCAAUGGCAAUCUGUGCAAAAAGUAAUGACCACAAAGUACUGUGGAAUGCACUCAUGGAGCGUUUCUCGAAACGUUCAUAUAACUCUACUUGUUGAGUUAUUAGUCAAGUGGAUUGCUUACCACCUUAAUUGACUAUAUAUUGUCGAUGAUCUUUUGUGGCAUCAUGAUCCAUAAUCUUUAGCGGAUUCGAUCAUCAUCAAGUUCUCUAAGUCCUCCAAGUUGGUUUGGAAUUACCAACGAAACUUGAUUUUGAUCAUACAAAUGGGAAUUUUAUAUACGCUAAUGUGAUAAACUUAUUUGGGAUUAUCCCCUAAUGUGGGGACAAUAAUAUGGGUCAUGACAACGGCAGAAAACGUCGUGCCGAUGUCUAGAAAAGAGGGGGAGGUGUCGCCGGCUCUAAUAGCGACACUCCCGGUCUAGACACCAUUUUGUCAAAACUACUCACAUCAGCUCAUGACAAUGCAACCGUUGUGGAUCUUUGGAUCACUGGUUCAAGAUUGUCCAGCUUCUUCAAAUUGUGAAUGCAUACAAAAAGGUACAGAAAAUCAAUAUGAGGACAAGAACGUCAUCCUCAUGAUCGCGAAUUUUGAAGAUUCAGAUCCUGCUCUAGCUACCCCUGACUUUGACUUCAUCGGCUAGACAUUGAUUUUCGUUUCAAGCUAUAUGUACUAAGGCGUUGUAUCGACGUCCUUCGUCUAUUUUUGACCUCGAUGUACUCACAUCGGCAAGAUGUACAUUUUUACAUCGUCCUUAGAAGUAUGACAUAUUUACAAUCUACAUGGUUAGAUUGUGCCAUUUUGGUCUCUUCCAAGUGAAGAUGACGCACGGCCUUGCAUCCUCAAGAAGGAUCGCUAACGUGUUUCAGGUUAAGUCUUCUACCCUUUAGCGGAUUUUCCAUCAUCAAUUGUUCAACUAGGCUCAUCCAAGCUCAGUGUGAUGUCUUAGAAUUGUCCGAAAUUAAGGAGAUAGUGGUUUCAAGUGUGCCUCGCACUACCGACCCUCCACGGACAUGCUUGGUCAUACUGACUUGGAGUUACCGAAAGCUUUUGAUUUUGGAUCCCCCUACGCUAUUAAACCAAUUGCCGUCUUGCAAAAGCCGUUGAAGACUUAUCAAAACCGAAAAAUUAUCAUCAUGAUCGAAUCCUCUAGGUCCUUUGAGUUAGUUUAUGUUCAUGUCAGGGAGCUUUUACUAACUAGUCAUGGAGUUUACGACCUUAGAACGACUGAAAGGACUUGAUUUUGAUCAUACACCCGUCACUUUUGGCUAAGGCAAAAGCCUACACGCCACCUGCAAGCUUCACAGCUUCCCACAUGCCAAUUCUGCGAAAAACAGCAAUUUGUCCCUUCUGGACAGUCAACUUCGUUUGAGCUUUGUGAACAGCUCCGGACGAACCAGACAGUGAGCUUUAUAUCAUUGGAAAGCUCUACGAGUCUAGUUUUUAGAACUUUUCGCGGUUUGUCCAUAUCUAUUUUAAUGAAGAAGUUAUGGUUGUUUUAGUGCGCAAAGGUCAUUCUGCGCGAAAAUUUUUAUGCACUCUCGGGAUUGCAGCUUUUCGUAGCUUCUUUCAAUCCUUCUAAAGUACAAGUGGAACUAUUAACUAGCCUAUCUACUCCUUCUUGUAGAUAUGUCUCAUUGAGACAUUGAGUGCUUCGCAGAUAGUGGAACUAUCCAUAACAUUCUAAGGAACCGGCAACUAUCUUUGGAUUUUGUGCCUUUGUAAAUCUUCUGUGACUACAAUGAUUGAAUCAUACCGGUCAUUCAAGGACGCGGUUUAGCUUAAAUCUUGAUGCCUCAUGGCACCAUGAUCAAUGUCACAGAUACCCUCUACGCAUUGAGAGGCAAUCGAACCAUAUUGAGCUUUAAAAACAUUCCUGCUAAUAGUUUUCAUUUGAAAACACAUUGUGAGAAUGAACAAGAAUUCUUUUAUGUAUACCUUCUCAUGAAUGCGGACUAAAGCGCAUCUUAGAGAAAUUCAUGAGUCAAUCUAGUGGAUUGUAUGUCACUACGAUUCGAAUAUCGAAUCCCAUGUUGUCGCCAAACAUGAUAUUUGGGACACCAACUCAUAUAGGCUUUGGUUUGACCAAAUUGGUCAACCUGGAAGAGAUACAAUGGUCCAAAUUUUGAGAAAUUCUCAUGGACAUCCAUUCUUCCGCUCAAAACGAAGACAUUCGAGAUCUAGCAUGGGGGACAUUGACGUCACCCGAACACGACUCCAACUUCUUAGAGGUCGUCCGGUCAAUUCCUCAAGCAAUUGAGGUGCACCGGCCUUCCCUUGAUGUCGCAUUGGCCCCCUGCAAUGCUCAUUGCUUGUUUUGAAAGCCUAUUCUUUAGCUAAAUUAGGAGUGAGACCCUCCUACGCUAAAUAACACAAAAGUGAACAUUCUAUUCUUACAUCAAACUAUGUAGAUAGAUACAACCAACUUGCGGACACAUUUUUAUGCUUUAUGGUUUGGUUGAAAUGUUAACACACUGGUCACGUGUUUCAUUAUUAUCUACUGCUUAUGCUGCUUAUACUUCUACGGGCUCACUAUCCAUUCUUUAAAGAAGUUUAUCGGGAUGUAAAUUGAAGUGUCCUAUACCCCAUGUUCACACGCAAUACGGUCUCACCGAGGCUACGACCAAGCAAUUUUAGCUUGUCGCUCGAAUAUUAUUGAUGCGCACCAAUCUUUCUAUUGCGUCUUGGGGCUAUGCAAUAUUUGCAUGCAGCUUUACUAUUCAUCUACGACCCACCAUCAUUGAAUAUUGUUGUACUACAGCUCGUGACUGUGUACUAGGAUUGACACGAAAUUGCAAUCCUUGAGCUCGACAGGAUUGAAACGGAUCUCCAAUCCUUGAGCUUAGCUAGAUGUUUAUUCUAGGUGCCAAAUUGCACUGCCACUGCGCACAAUGAUGGGUCAUUUGAGAUGAAUAAAUAUUUAGGUUGGAUGUGAAUCUCCACCUAUAAUCCGCAUAUGUAGAAACCUUGCCAAGCAAUAUCUUUCACCGCUAUAUUGCGGAUGGUCACUUUGAUGAGACAAUAUUCCCGCCGUUAGGGGGAGAUAAGAACACAAGUGUUCAAGUGGAACGACGUGAAUUGUCGUGGUUUGUCCCCACUAAGUCUCAUCUUGAUCCCAAACGCUUAAAAUGUUAAAGUGACGAGAUCACAUGCUGCAAAUAUGUUUGCAAGGAUUGAUGUCCCAUCAAGAGGACAUGGCGUGACCAAAAUGUGUUGGUCUUGACGCCAUCACCAUGGAUGGUGAUAUAGUGACGCCUUAUAGUGGCAAAAUUGGUGUCACAAGGCCGUGUGGCUCCCCAAAAGGAGGGAGACCCUUAGGUUCGAUACUUUCUCGCACUAGGAAGAAAACAAGCUUGGCACAACCUGAUCCAUUGAUCAGUGAUACUCAAACCGUCUCAUGAAGUCUGAAUUGUGAUUAUCGUUAGGGGACGCCUCAAUGUCAAAUCCAAUCCAUAUAGAGAUCUCUACAAGUAUUACACUAGUGUACAUGAGGACGUGGGAUAAUGAGUCUACUAUCGAACCACCUUUCGUAGAUGGAUAUUAACUUAGUUGAUUGGCCUAACGGAAAGAUGCGAUCUAGCAUUAACAAAGGGAUAGGUCCUUGGGUAGGUGAUGCCGACACCGCAAGCUAAACCUUAUCAACUAUACAUUUGUUAGAUAGCGUAGGGAGAACAAGAGUUUAGACUCACCUUAUGGCGUAAGGUCUCUCACUAUCACGCACUGGGAUCGACUACGAUGAGAUAUGCUCUCGUAAUGGAUGUCAUUGAACUCCACUACUUUGUCAGUUUGGUAGUUUCCGAAUAACUGAACAUGCAGCCUAUGAAUGUGGUCAUAAUAACAUCUCUAUGGGAUCAGAGAUAUAUAUGAAGCUCUUAAACGGACUUCAUUCAUCCGAAUCAAGUGGCUCCAAACCACAUGAGCAUGCGUUUGCUAAAUGUAUUGAAACGCACAUGGACUCUACUUGAUUUGGAAGGGAUAUGGUGAAUUAUGCCUUUGCGUGUUCAUUCCGGAUUUACAUGGAUUCUUGAUGGAUCAAGAGAUGCCAAUAUGUAUCAACAUCCGAAGAAAAAGAUCUUGGGAAGACACGGUCUCGAUAAGGGACUCGAUGACUGUAUUGAUAAUGAUUUUCCAUCAAUCGGCUUAGGCGCUCUAUAACUAGUGAGGCCUACAUAUACUCCCAUGAUUAGUUAAGGUCUUUGCUCUAAAGAGAGAUCCGUUGUUUUGUCUAAAGCAAGAUGACAAAUAUGUGUUAAGAGAUGGAGUUCCCAUGUAAGUACAAUAAUACGCAUCAAUGUACUCAACACAAUACAAAAGACUUGACAUCUCAUUUGCUACGAAAAGUUGUAAAGCUAAGUGUAGUUAUGCGCCCACGCAAUGUUAAUGUAAUGGCAGUAACUUCUUUUUUAAUACUUAAUGGUAUGAAAGGUUGAGGCUUAUUCUAUCCCUACAUAAGAAAGACACAUCAAUAGCGAAAUCAGAAUCUGCCAAGUUUCGUAGGUCAAGCUCCACGAGACCUACAGGAAACCUCACUCACUGGAAAAUGGUGAACUUGGUACUAUUGGAAAGAUCUAUGUGUCUACUUUCCAGGACAACAACCAUUUGAUCAUACCUAUCAUAUUGAGUGAGUUAUGGCCGUUUUCGUAUAGUAGGAUGAAUCUGUCCGAGAAUCUAAUUUUUGCAAAACAGUCAACUUCGACGGGACUUUGUGAAUAGAUCCUGACGAACCAGAACGUAUGUAAUAUACGGUUGGAAAGCUAAAUAAGUCUAGUUUCCAAAACCGUUUACGGUUCGUUCAUAUGUAUUUCCUAGAGGAAGUUACCACUGUUCUAGUAACUGAAGGUCAUGCUGCGCGGAAAUCUGAUUUCCUGCACGAACUUAUGUUUUUAGUUCACAAGCGGCCUUCUCCUCAAGAUCUAAGUGUAAAAGAUCAUUUUAGGACAAUACGACAUGAUUUAGUUAAUAAUUUCCUAAUGCCAUAUUUGAAGACAUGUUAAAAAGCAUUGACAUGCUAAGUUGUUGAAACUUCCGUGAUUAGUAAGAAUCAGGAAGAGCCCUAUGAUCGAUGUAAAGAUCAGGGGGAGGUGCGAACUUCGGGGGGAGUCUAGCACAUACAUACAUGUCACUAUCAAAUGUGAAGGAUGCGUUGUACUCUUUUUCUCCUACGAUCAAGGUUUAGUUUUUCUCCCACAGAGUUUUUGUGACUUGACUAGGUUUUUGACGAGGCAACAGAUCAGCACCAUCGGCAUAUCAGCGCGCGGCACAAGGGGGAGUGUUCUAAGAUAUUCUGUAUCUUUCUAGAUAUUCUUUAUGUGUGUCUUGGCCUUAUGCCAAUAAGAUAUGUAGUUAGACUAGAUCUAUGUAUUUAUAUCCUUACCAUAUUGAUAUUGUGUAAUUCCUUAUAUAAAGGACUCAUAUCAAUGAAAUAGAUGAUGAUUCUCUAGCUAUCUCUCUGUCUCUACACUUUAUACUUCAUCAUGGAGGUCUAAUAUUUUGAAUAUAUUAGUUUAUUGUUAAGGAGUAUUUUGGCAUGUAAUUCAAUUUUUAAUGUAAACCUUUAUUUUGUUAUAAUAUUUCAUUAAUGUUUCAUAUAAAAAUUUAUGAUAAAAUUAAGAUAUUAUUAUUUAAAAUUUGAAAAUAUUUAUUAUUAUAAAUGGAUCGGAUUAACGGGUCGGGUAUCCGUUAACCCGCCAGAUCCGGAUUUGGAUCUAGCUAUCAAAGAUCUGGCGGGUAACGGGUUGGAUCUGGAUCCAAAAUUUCUAUUAAGGAUCUGGAUCUGGAUCUAGGUCGAUCCGCUCCAGAUCCGGUCCAUUUACAGGUCUAAUUGUAUUGUAGCUUAGUAUUUAGAUUUUUUUUUUUAUCAUAUAUUACAACUUCGUAAGUCGAACUCACAACCUCUUAUUUACUAAUAAGAGAUUAUGCCGCUAGACCAAAUGAUACUAGACUAGUAUUUAGGGUUUUAGAUUUAAUAAGAAAUGUUGCAUUUAUGCAUAUUUAAAUAUUUUGGAUACUCAUAGAUCUUAAAACCUAAAUUUCUAAGGAUUUUUAGAACCAAAUGAUUAACUAGUAUGGAUUCUCAUAAAUUCGAUAAACAUUUUAUGAAUUCAUCAAAUAUAAAUAUGUAACUUAAGUAGAUAAAAAAGUUUAACAUGAAAACUUCUCAAAUUAAGCUUUGUAUUACAUAUUAUGGAGAAGGAAUAAAGGAUUCUUGUUGAUAUGAGAUCAUUUUAAAAAGCCCUCGGACCUUUUUAUUUUUUUAUUUUUAUAAUUAAAGACAAUUUUAUCAUUCAUAAUCAAGUAGAGGUUACAAAGUGAUUCGAUCCGCCGUUUUGUGUUCAGAGGGUGAAUAUAUCAUUGAAGUCACUCAUGGGUAGUACCCUAGCCAUGAGGCACAAAAAGUGUUGAGGUUCCUAAAAACAAGAAAUUAUGGUAAAUAGAUAUUACAAGGUUAAAAGGCAUUAAAAAACCCUAGCCCAAGUUAAUAAGCCCAAAAGCAGUCUCAUGGGAAAAGGCCCAACUCAGGCCCAUCAAGAAAGGAUUGGUCCGGCCCAGAUCACCAUCUCCACCACGCCUCAGCCGCAUGUGUUGUGCCAGCGUAGUGUUGCUGCCCACGACACAUCUCUAUCCACAUCUCGCAAUCGUGCCUGCAAACUACUUCCUUAUCAAGAACCAAUGCUGCUAGAGUCUCACAAGCCACCGUCACUAUAGCCUCCUGCCUUAAGUCCAACAGCGCCCGCCAUCGAUUCAAAGACCCCGGACGCUCAAAACGGUGGCACCAUAGCACAGAAGCACAAUCUCGACACCUAGAGAUAACACCGCGGAUCAAGAGAAGGUUUGGGGUUUAUGGCUUCUCUCACGGCGCUAGUGAAAAGCUCAUAGGCUUGUGUGAAAACACGGUAAAAAAUCAUGAUUAUUUUGUAAUGUUGUAUGUGACAACCAACCUACUAAUAAAAUAUUCUUGUUGAUCAUUUUGGAAAGCUCAAAGAUAUAUAUAUAUAUAUAUAUAUAUAUAUAUAUAUUUUGGACUAAAGACAGUUUUAUCAUUCAUAAUUCAUAAUCAAGUAUUUCCUUUCUUCCAUUUUCGAGCCAACUCUUAUCGCUCUCAGAUCUAAUCUCAUCAUGAUUCUCAGACGUUUGUUUUCCUUUGCUCCUCAAGAUCUUCAAACCACAAACACAACUCUUCUUCUCUUCUGUCUUGUCAUGCCAUUGAAGGAUUUGUACCCAUUUGCAACCACCUCUUUAGAAUUCAGUUUUCUUUGCUGAGAUCUUCUUUGGUUUGGUUGUAGUUACUCUUCUAUGCGAGAUUGUCUCGUAAUUGGUCAUUUGGAGAAUGCAUGGCGGCUUCGGCUGUAUCCUCACCUUUGCAGACCACUCUUGGUUCUCUCAUGCUCGCAUCUUCCGGCGAAGCUUUGGUGGUGACAGAUCUUCCAUGGCGACAUCAAGACAGAUGUGAAGAAAAAGUUUUGAUUAGGGUUUGUACCUUUUGGGCUGCUUAAGCCUUUAUGUUUGUUGUUUGUUUUAUUUAGUUGUUUUACUCUUGUCUUGAUUCCCUAAGAAUCUGACUUUGAAAAACUUGUUCUGGGUCUGCCAUGGCUUUGUUUGGGCCUCUAUUUGUCUUGUGGCUUUUAUGAUAACUUGUUUCACGAUCGACCAAAAAAAAAAAAAACGCCUGUCGCUCUGGUUUUCUUUCUGUAGUUGAAAUGAUUUAAUACACUGGGAAGGACCCAGGCCCAUGGUGUACGUUGCUUUCAUUUAUAGAUACAACCAAGUCCCCAACACCCCCAUACCUUUGUAACUAACUAAUGCAUGCUCCCCACGAACGUACCCUUCGAUGUAAUGCAACCUUCACAUCUCUGAGGUGAACUACAAAUUAAGCUAAUAGAUUACAUAUAACUAGGUAGUAGGAAAAUGUUGCAGCCAUAUAUAUGUACUUGGAUUGUUGGAAAGUGUAUUUUGCCGUUUAAUUACAAUUGAUCCGUUAGGAUAUUAGAAUAGAUGUGCUAGAUAUUGUAUCAUAUUGUAAUAGAUAUACUAGGGAUUACUAGCUGUAGUUACCCUAUUAGUUUCUUAUCUUGUUGGAGACUAAUCUUGCUGUACAAGGCUACGAUGUAUAUAUUGUUGCAUAUCAAUGUAAAGUUAUUCAUUCUGCCAUAUUAUACUUUUCUAUAUGGAUAUGUUUUUUUCAUUUUCUUUAGUCAAUAGUAGCAAGUGUUGCUGAAGAAAAUGUUCUAUAUUGAAGAAGAUGAAUCUGUCAUUCCAAUUAAACAUCAGGCAGAUUGAAAGGAACUGUGUCGACGACAUCAGGCUAUCUGUCAUUCCCAUAUUUUGACAACCUUUCUUUGCGUCUGGAUAUCUUCCUUCUUCAGGUCUACGAUAGAGUUAACUUAAUUAUAACUUGGUCGAUACGUAAUGUUGAUUUUAUUCAAGAACUGUUGUUUGUGAUUUGAGAGAGCACAUAAAGAAAAUAAUCGAGAGAAUCGAAAUAACUGUAUUUCAUUCAUGAAUAAACGAUACAAAACAUAGAGAGCUAGAUUAUAUUUUCCAAAUGAACAAUGUUCAUUACAUAAAUUUGAAACAUAAACAAGCAAAUCCAGCAAAUGCCAUUGACCUAAUUGCUACAGAGCUGGGAAGCUUCCCCUUGUCCUUCCUUAGGUAUAGCGCUUCGUAUAACGGUUGGUUAAUGACAAUCAAAACCACACAUAGAAGAAUCUGCAAGAACAUUGCCUCAUAAACUUCUGCAAUGCCCUUUGUUCCAGUGAUUGCUUCCUUCACAAACCAGGCAAAGCAGUAUAAAUUGAGCAAUGCAAGUGUUGCCAGCACGACGAACAUUGGAGACGAGCUCCCGAAUUCCAUGAUCUCUUUCUCAUAUCGUUCGGACACAUCUUCAUCGGACACCUUCGCUGUUAUUACAAAUCCUGAAUCAGUGUAUCCAAGGUUGUGUACAAUGGUGUCGAUGAAGGCAAAGAGGUAGGAGGUUGUUCUCUGGUAAAGCCAUAUACGUUGUUCGUUCCACCAACCUAAGCUCGUUCCUCCACACCACCGAUACUCCACGAAGCUCCCAAUGUUCUUAGCAAUUAUAACAUACGCAUAUGGUAUGAUCCAUCGGCUUGAAAUCUAAUCCCACAAGACAAAACUUGUAAUCAGAAACAUGCAUGCAUGUAAAUUGUGACAAAUUAUAAUGAGAACUAUAUAUACCUGAGGAAACAAGGAUGUGCCUCUAAGGAGGCAAAGUGAAGGGAGAAUCGAGUAGAUUAGUGUUGCCCAACAAUUAGCUGCCCAUAGGUUGUAGCGAAGGUAUCCAAGUUGAUGGCCUAAACUAAUCUUUCCGUGGCCAUACCAUAAGACAUUGAACUUAGAGAGAGUAAUCUGAAGGUUCCCCUCAGACCAUCUCUUAUGCAUCACAAGUGCAUGAAGCAAUGUGGUUGGAGCUAAUCCUAAGAAAGCUUUUCUUGUUGGAUUGCAAUGCACUGAUUUCCAUCCUCGGCAUUGGAUCGAUAACCCCGUUAUCACAUCUUCGACGGGACUCCCAUAUUUCAGACCCAUCUGCAGAACAUUAAGAUUUCUUUGCUCAAUUUUGAGUACUGCUACAUUUUGAAAUAUGUGUGUGGUGCGUUAAUAGAGAGUGGGAUACCUCUUUUCCCCCAUAGAGUGCUCUCUUCAAAUGUACAACUUGCAAGACUCUUUGAUGUUUCUUAUAAUUCAUGAAUGGCGAUUUCUUCUCUUCUUUCUUUAUCCCAUUUCCUCAUUUCACUCUUACAUCCCUUGAUACAUUUCUUCCCACAAAGAGUUUCUCUUCUGUGAAAGCAGCCACUUCCAAUAUAAAACAUCCCCCAAUAAUUAUCCAGACCAUGGCCUUCCACCUUCAUGCAGUAUAUACCAAAACAAUAAGAAGUCCAAUAAAUGAUAUGAUAUGAAACAGUUAAUCGAAAAUUUUGCUUAUAAUAUCUCCAUGAUCAUAUAUAUAACUCACCUCAGUAAGAACUCGUAAUGAAGCGUAUAAUUCAUUCUUAGUAAGGUUGUCGAAAUUCUGCGGGAACUGUACGUAUGCAAUCUCAUGGCCUUGUUCUUCAUCCAUCAAGAAGCAAAGUGCGUCCCUUAUGGCCAUGGAGUUGUUCGAAUACAUGUCACAGUCUACAUUAAGAAGUAACUUCCCAUUGCUAAUGCUCGAUGAUACCCUAAUCUGCAUAAUGACUUGUCAUCUGUAUAUGUACAAAUUUGUGAUCGUUUAUUUGUAUGAUUGCAGUUGAAUUCCUCACCAGUGCAUUCAUAGCGCCAGCUUUGAAGUUAUGGUGAAAUUGGGGUCUCUUCUCGCGAGCUAAAUACACCAAAGUUGGCAACACACGCCCUUCGACAUCUCUUGCAUUUGGGUCUCUCCCAUCAAUUACUAUCUGCGAGAAAAGUUCAAUAUAUGAACUAAUUUAAAUAGGGAAGUGAAAUCCAUACUCUCUAAAUUGUAAUCCACACUCCCACCUUUCAUUUUUUAUAACUUAAAUUUUGUCUUUAAUGACUUAAUUUUUGUCUUUUUAUGAAAAUGAUGACUAAAAAUAAAAAGUGGGAGUAUGGAUUACAAUCUGUUGAGUGUGGAUUUUACAUCCCUCUAAACAUCUAGCACUAAAGUGAGUUAUUUAAUUAGUUAAUACUUGAUAUAAAUUAAAAUAUCAAAUUCUCAUACGUACUUGAAGAAUUGUGUCAUGGUCACGUUUUGAUGAAUAUGAGUCCCACUGAGAAAAACCAUUACGUUUUGAUCUUACUUCUUCCGGAAUCCGGCCUAGCUUCACUGCAUUUUCAAUUUUUGUUGCCAUGUCCUCGUAUAGUUUCUUGCAUCAAUAUUAUUUGGUUGUACAUGAGAGCUUAAGUAUGUAGUAAGACAUUGUAAGACCAAAAGAAGAAGAAGAAAAAAAGUAGUUACAAAUGCAACACAAAAUAAAACAAGAUAUAACGGAGUAAGAAAUGUUUCUUGUUCUUUUGGUGUUACACUGCUUAAUCCAAUUUUGCAGUGUUUUGAACGUACUUCUUCUGAAACGCGGCCUAGCUUUAGUGUGUUUUUGUCUUUUUUGAUUCUAUUCUCCAUGUUCUCGUAUAAUUCCUACAACAAUAAUUUGAUGACAAGAGAAGCUCAAUUUGUAAAUAUGAAUAGGGGUUCUCAAAAACAAUUUUCUAUAAAAACAAAAAAGAAAAAGAAAAAAGGAAGCUCAUCAAUUAUUCCACGACCAAAUAAUUAACAGUACCAUGCAUGCAUGAGAGAAUCGAAAAAAAUGUGUGAGAACUGAGAAAUGGAGAUAAGCAAUAAUUAGCAGGUAACUCUAAGCUAGUUGAUUCAAAAGAAAUAACCAUGCAUGCUUCUCCAUUUUACCACUCUGAUUAUGAUUAAUUACUAUUCCACAAAGACAUCCAUAUUAUAUUUAUAAACGUCAUAGUCAUAUGUUAGUUACUAUAUUUUGAUCAUGACCAAAUUGGAUCCGACCAACUUAUCUCAUUCUUCAUUUGCAUGAAUAAAAUAUGAUAAAGAAAGUAUAACCUCGAUGAAGCCAAAUCACCAGCCUGAUUCUGAUUUUGACCACCAACUGCAUCAGAAGCUGUUGAGACGAAAUAAGCAGCCGGCGACCUUGGUUCCACACUGUACUCCUUGCAAUAGGGUAUCCAGUGCUUAGCAAACUCAGCUGCUUCCAGUAGAGCAUAGUACGUUAGCUCUGAGCCGCCAUCAUCGGAGAGAUACACGCUGAGCUUCUCUGGUGGGUAGUCGUAAGCCAUGACGGACAAGACAGUGUUCAUCACCAUCAUCAGCGGCUCUAUGAUCGGAUCAGCUGUGCACACGAAUAUGUCCACCCCCGGCAACUCUUUCUCAUAUCUUAAUUUUCCAAUUUAAUUUACACACCCUCAUAAGAAAACCACCUUAAUUAUUACUUUGUAAACUCUGUGAAUCUUGGAAUUAAGUGCAUACCUUUGAGAAAGCCUGUCCUUGAAGGUGUGCCUGUAGACGAGGCUCCACCGAGCGGCCUGAGUGACGAACCAGUAAAAACUGAACCAUAACUCGGCAGCGAACAAGCACAUCCAGCCAUAUCUUCCAUCUUCUUCAGCUUUUGGUAUGUGAGUUGCUCUAUAUACCCAUAUCAAACAUAUACCAACAAAAACAGACACUGCAAAUAGUGAAUUCUGGACUCUUUAGAGUUGGUCUACUCGUAGUGUGAGACAAUGAUUCGAAAAUCUGGUAGACCAUGUUUAUAAAACAGGUAGGUUUGUGUUCGUAAACAGGUAGACCAUUUUGUCUUACAAAAAAAGUAGACCCUUUCUCGUAAAUAAGCUGACCAGGCUUCGUAAACAGGUAGACCUCUCAAGAAUUCUUCAAGUGUGUGUGAAUUCUGGACACUUUAGUGUUGGUCUACACGUAGUAUGAGUCAAUGAUUCGGAAACCUGGUACACCAUGUUUACAAAACAUGUAGGUUAGUGUUCGUAAACAGGUAGACCAUUUUGUCUCACAAAAAAAGUAGACCCGUACUCGUAAAUAAGCAGACCAAGCUUCGUAAACAGGUAGACCUCUCAAGAAUUUUUCAAGUGUGUGUGAAUUCUGGACUCUUUAGAGUUGGUCUACUCGUAGUUUGAGACAAUGAUUCGAAUAGCUUGUACACCAUUUUCGCAAAACACGUAGGUUAGUCUUUGUAAACAAGUAGACCAUUUUGAUCUCGUUCUCUUUUAAUCCUGACCAUUGAUUCCUUCUUUGAAAACCCAACCAAGGUCAAAUGACCCAAGUCGGGUCAAGCACUCCUCUCUCGCGUACAACGAGAGCUGAGAAGCUCUCCGUCCUCGGCCGUCUUCUCCGAUGCUGCCCGGCCGACUCUGGCCACCAUUCUCCACAAAACCACCACCAAAUUUCUUCUCUCUUUCCCCUCUACAUAACCCAGCAUGUGAAUCGCACAUACUGAUUCAAAGACAAAUCUACGGCGAGAAGCUUCGACUGUGUCGUCUGUUUCCGUCGUCUCCGGCGACGACUUGGCCUCGAACUGGCAUAUUCGAACUUUUCCCUUCAUUCUCUGCACCCUAGUGCCCGGCCUUAAUCCCUCGAAUCUUUUACAAAUCUUAAUAACCCCUUUACUGUUGGUUUUGAGUUUUCCGGCGAGCUGCUGCGGUGAUGCCGACGAGGCUUUCUGGCGUUCUCUACUUCUUCUGAUGACCUAGGUCGACUUCAGAGGUGUUAAGCAGUGGUAAGUGACUUCGUAGCUACUGAGCAGGGUUGCUGUGUUUUCCGGUGUGUUUUUGAGAGAGAGAGAGAGAGAGAGAGAGAGAGAGAGAGAGAGAGAGAGAGAGAGAGAGAGAGAGAGAGAGAGAGAGAGAGAGAGAGAGAGAGAGAGAGAGAGAGAGAGAGAGAGAGAGAGACGAGAGAGUAGAAGAGAGAGAGAGAGAGAGAGACGAGAGAGAGAGAGAGAGAAGAGAGAGAGAGAGAGAGAGAGAGAGAGAGAGAGAGAGAGAGNGUAAAAAUAANAGAUACUAAAAUAAAAAAAACUUAACAGAGUUAGUGAGUUAGUUAACGGAGUUAGUGAGUCAGCUAACAGAGUUAAUGCCACCUAGACGAGGUAUGCAUACCCCAAGGCGUGCAAGGGGAUCCUUGACCUAUUGCUGAAUAAAAGAUUUCUUUUUUGGUCAGAAAAUAAAAGAUCAUUUACAAGCAGAUGAAACUGUCAUUCCAAUACAAGUUAGCUAAAACUGAGUAUGAUCUUAUCUUACAUUGCGCAUAACUAGUUGAGAAUCGUUCAAUGACAAGUUCGGAUAUUUUACUUUGUAGUCUGAAUUAUUCCCUCAUCUUUGUUAUAUAAAUUUGAAACAUAAACAAGCAAAUCCAGCAAAUGUCAUUGACUUCAAUGCUACAGAGCUCGGCAGCUUGCCCUUGUCCUUCCUUAGGUAUAGGGCUUCUGAUAGUCGCAUAUUUGUGCGACUUUUAUCAUGCUAAUUAUUCUUAUUACUUAGUUAUUUUGUGAUGUUUUCCUAUUUUUAAUUAACUUUAUUUGUUUUUAGGUGUUUUAAAGUCAAACAAAGAAAAGGAGCUAAUUGGGCUUAAUUAGGAUCCCUAAUCCUAGUUGGACUGGUGAUGGACGUGACAAAUAGGUUCACUAACCUAUUUAUACAAGGGAGCAGCCAAACAAGAAAGGGGGGAACAGAACAGAGAGAAAGAGAAAAAAAACAGAAGAGAGAAAGGAGGGGCCGAACAAGAGGGAGAAGAAAAAGACAAGGGAGAAAGAAAAAGAAAAGAAAGAGAAGAGAGGAAGGAGAGAAAAGAAUACGAUNNNNNNNNNNNNNNNNNNNNNNNNNNGGCUACCGACAUUGACCUUAGAUUCUUUGUUGCUACUCAAACGUUCUUAGAUCUUUAUGAUUUCAGUUAUUUUGGUCUAGAUACCGACAUUUCAUAGAUCAAUUAAUCGGGAAUAUAGUUAAGUCGAUACCGACAUUUCACUUAACAUGGCAAGUAAGAGAACGUAAUACGGUUAAUGACCUAACGACAUUGGCUUAACUGUGAGUGCAUUCAUCUUUAGUCAUUGACAUUGUUUUGGGGUGAUUGAAGCGUAUCUAGUGGUGGAGAGAAGUUCCUAGCUAUUGUUUCUCUCAUAUUUACAUCCAUAUUCACUUUUUAAUAUUCUGUUUUCAGCAGUACUUCUGUUUUAUCUAUUUUUGUUCACCAAUCAACCCAACUCCGAAUACCCUCAAAAUUUGUGUGGUAGUCCGCCACUGUGUCUAGUUACUGUGUAUUUAAUUUCAUAAUUUUUGGUUGAGUCUAGAUUAGCUAAUUAAUUAGGUUUCUGCUCCUAGGUCGAGUCUGCCAGAUUUCUGGUUUACGCGUCUGUUUGUGUUUCUUGUGUGUUUAAGUCUUAGUAUCACCAAUCCUCUGCGGGUAAUGACCCCUAUUUGCUGUUUACUACAUUGAUAUAAUUGAUUUGAUAAUAGGGUAUCUUUGUAGGUGCUUUUGCGCCUAUCAGCUUCGUAUAACGGUAGGUUAAUGGCAAUGAAAACCACACAUAGGAGAAUCUGCAAGCACAUUGUCUCAUAAACGUCUGCAAAACCAUUCAUUCCAGUAAUUGCUGCCUUCACAACCCAAGCAAAGCAGUACAGAUUGAGCAAUGCAAGUGUUGCCAGCACUGUAAACAUCGGAGACGAGCUCCCAAAUUCCAUGAUCUCUUUCUCAUAUCGUUCGGACACGUCUUCAUCGGCAACCUUGGCUGUUAUUACAAAUGCUGAAUUUCUGUAUCCGAGGUAGUGUACAAUAGUGUCGAUGAAGGCAAAUAGGUAUGACGAUGUUCUCUGGUAAAGCCAUAUACGUUGGUCGUUCCACCAACCUAAGCUAGUGCCUCCACACCACCGAUACUCCACGAAGCUCCCAAUGUGCUUAGCAAUUAUCACAUAUGCAAAUGGUAUGAUCCAUCUGCUGGAAAUCUAAUCCGACAAGAAAAAAAAAUCCAUAUUAAGAAAGAAAAAAAAUCCAUAUUAAGAAAGAAAAGCCGUACGUUAAAGAUAACGCAUGCAUGAAAAGUUACUAGUAACAUGUAAUUUUGUGAGAUGGACUAUACCUGGGGAAAUAAGGACGUGCCUCUAAGAAGGUAAAGUGAAGGAAGGGUGGCGUAUAUUAGUGUUGCCCAGCAAUUAGCAGCCCAUAAAUUGAAGCGAAGGUAUCCCAGUUUAUGGCCUAAACUAAGCUUUCUAUGGCCACACCAUACAACAUUGUCCUUAGAAAGCGUAAUCUGAAGGUUGCCUUCCGCCCAUCUCUUAUACAUCACAAGUGCCUGAAGCAAGGUGGUAGGAGCUAAUCCUAAGAAAGCUUUCCUUGUUGGAUUGUAAUUCACUGAUUUCCAUCCUCGGCAUUGGAUUGAUAGUCCUGUUAUCACAUCCUCAACUGUACACCCAUAUUUCAAACCCAUCUGCAGAUUAUAGAGAUUUUGUCUCAACUUAAAAUGAGUAUAUAUUCCUAAAUAUACAUUAAAUUUUAAAUGGGAAUUUUCUUGGAAUGUAAAAACAUAUGAUUUAUAAGUGAAUAUGAACACACACACAUAUAUAUAUAUAUAUAUAUACACACACACGAAAACGAUAGAGAGAGCACGUCCGCAAUCUCCUUAAAGUGCGCACGUCCCUCCGUUUGCCACCGGACGGCGCCGACGACGGCGCACCUCCACCCCAGCGGACUCCAGCAGCGUCCCCAACCAUUUUUUCUCCCCGGCGAGUCCACCGAAUUCCAGUUUCCGGCGAGAUCAACUUUAUUUGAAGUUUUGGGUGAUCUCGCCGGAAAACUGGAAUUCAGCGGACUCACCGGGGAGGGAAAGUGAUCAGGAACGCUGUUGGAGUCCGCUGGGGUGGAGGCACACCAUCGUCGGCGCCGGGCAGUGGCGAACGGAGGGACGUGCGCUCUUUAAGGACAGUGCGGACGUGCGCUCCACAUCCGGCCUGUAUAUAUGUGUGUGUGUGUACACGUUUGAUUGAUAGAGAGAAUACCUCUUUUCCCCAUUGUGUGUUCUCCUCAAAUGUACAACUCGCAAGUCUCUUUGAACUUUGUUCUAAUUCAUGAAUGCCAAUGUACUCUCUUUUGUUAUCCUCCCAUUUCAUCUCACUCUUAUUCACCUUGCUGAAUUUCUUCCCAGAAAGAGUGUCUCUUCUGUGGAAGCAUCCGGUUCCAAUAUAUGGCAUCCCCCAAUAAGUAUCCAGACCAUGAAAUUCCACCUUCAUGUAAAUGCCAAAACACAUAUAAUCGCAAAAUUUUGAUUCUAAUAUUUCCAUCAGCCUAUAAUAACAUUGUCUACUCAGUGGUACUCACCUCGGUAAUUACUCGCAAUGAAGCGUAUAAUUCAUUCUUAGUAAGGUUAUCGAAAUUCUGGGGGAACUGUACGUAAGCAAUCUCAUGGCCUUGUUCUUCAUCCAUCAAGAAGCAGAGUGCAUCCCUUAUGGCCUUGGAGUUGUUUGAAUACAUGUCACAGUCUACAUUAAGAAGUAACUUCCCAUUGCUAAUAUUUGACGAUACCCUAAUCUGUGAAUGCAAAGGAUCGCAUCUGUUAUCUAAACCCUACAGGUACACACACACACACACAUAUAUAUAUCCUGUAAAUUUAGUAUGUUGUUUACCAGAGCAUUCAUAGCACCAGCUUUGAAGUUAUGGUGAAUCUGGGGUCUCUUCUCCCGAGCCAAAUACACCAAAGUUGGCAACACACACCCUUCAACAUCUCUUGCAUUUGGGUCUCUCCCGUCAAUUACUAUCUGGGAGAAAAGUUCAUGGACUAAUUUAAACAUCUUGGUACUAAUUAAACACCCAGUCAUAUAUAUGAUCAGUUAACAUUAAAGAAUUCAAAUGGAAUGUCAUACUUGAAGAAUGGUGUCAUGGUCACGUUUUGAAGAGUAUGAGUCCCACUGAGAAAAACCUUUAUGUUUUGAUCUUACUUCUUCCGGAAUCCGACCUAGCUUCACUGCAUUUUCAACUUUCGUUGCCAUGCCCUCGUAUAGUUUCUGCAUCAAUAUUAUUUGGUGACAUGAGAGUUUAUGUAUUAAGCAUUAAUGUAAAACCAAAAGAAGAAGAAAAAGAAGUAGUUACAAAUGCAACACAAAAUAAAAAUCAAGAUAUAAUGGAGUAAGAAAUAUUUCUUGUUCUUUUUGUUGUUGCACUGCUUAAUCCAAUUUUGCCAUGAUGUACACCCAAAAUUUUCCCACCGGUAAUUUAUAACCGAGGCUUACUGUUUCCAUUUCACACCGAUCAUUAACAGUCCCUAUUCUUACCUACGAAUGUGGUCGAGACAUGCCUCACUUGAUCGAUGACCAUAUAUUUCUUUCAAAAUUUCUUAAUCAAUGGUGAACAAAAAGAAGAAAUCAACCGGGACCUGACAAUACAUCGCUACUACUCUUAUGUCCAAGUCUCCAAGACACUUUAAUUGACUCCAUCCAUCAUCAUAUGGAUCCAGAUGAUUCUACUUGGAGCAUUCUACUUGUCGUCUAAAUUGGACAACCUAUGCCAUUUAUGCUCUCCACAAAAAAUCUCUGCUGCAGGGACCUAAUGGAAAUGUGUACGCCCUGGUUGACCCAAUAUUAAUUAUCGUUUUAAUCUUAAUCAUGCAUAAUUAAUUAUCAGAGUCAUUAUCUCUUCGACGUGUAAAUAUACGAUACCAUAUGGAGGGUUACAAUCUAUGACUUAACUACAUAUACACGACGGUCUCAUUAUAUAAUUCUAGGAUUGACGGUCUCAUUAUAUAAUUCUAGGAUUGGGAUUACAUCGUGUACAUGCACAGCACAGCGUGUGAAUAUAAGAAUUUCUAAUUAAUCAUUAACCAAACACUUUUGCAUGACUUUUCUUAUUUCUUCACACUUUGAUUAUGGAAGACUUUAUGAUAUGGAUAAAAUCAUAAAAUAAUAAUUACCUUAAUGAGCGCUAAAUCAGCAGCCUUUUUCUGAUUCUGGCUUUCAUCAUCAACUGCAUCAGAAUCUAUCGAGACAAAAUAAGCAAAUGGUGAUCUCGGCUCCAUACUGUACUCCUUGCAAUAGGGUAUCCAAUACUUGGCAAACUCAGCAGCUUCCAGAAAAGCAUAGUACGUAAAUUCUGAGCCUCCAUCGUCAGAGAGAUACACGCUGAGCUUCUCCGGCGGAUAGUCAUAAGACAUGACCGAUAGAACAGUGUUCAUCACCAUCAUCGGCGGCUCUAUGAUCGGAUCCGCGGUGCACACGAAUAUGUCCACCCCCGGCAACUCAUUCUCAUAUCUGUUAAGUAAUUUCACGUGAGUUAAAAUACAUGCGAAGUUCACAAUGAAGAUCAUCAUCACGAAAGAAGUAAACUUAGAGCUAAAGCUAAUACGAAAACAAUAUAGCAUGUUAUGUUGUUAAUCUAUCGAUAUGGAUGUUUUUUUCGAUGUAUGUACCUUUCGGAGAGUCUGUCCUUGAAGGUAUGCCUGUAGGUGCGGCUCCAACGAAGCGCUUGAGUGAUGAACCAGUAAAAACUGAACCAUAACUCAGCGGCGAACAACAACAUCCAGCCAAAUCUUCCAUCUUCUCCAGCUUUUGGUAUGUGAGUCACUCUAUAAACCCAAAUCAAACAUAUACCAACAGAUACUGACACUGCAGAAAACCUAUAGAAUACUUUUCCCUUUGCCUUCGUUGUCUCAAACAGUGGUGAAUGUCUUUCCUCUCCCAUUUUUGAGCUAACUAUGAUUGCUCAAUUGCUUUCUUUCUCUAGUUGGAAUGAUUUAAUAUAGUGGGAAGGACCCUGGACCAUGGUGCAUGCAUGUUGCUUAAUUUCAUUUAUAGAUCAUACCAACUCCCCCAUCCCUUUGCAACUAAUGCAUGCGCCCCACGAACGUAGCUUUGAUGUAAUGCAACCCUUCACGUACGUACAGGUGGUGGUCCUUGACCUAUUGCUGAAGAAAACAGUGUAUAGAAGAAGAUGAAUAUCUGUCAUUCCAAUGAAACAUCAGGCUGUUUAGAUCGAAAGGAUUGGUGUCGACUAUAUUAAUUCCCAAAUUUUGACAACCUUUCUUUGCUUUUGGAUAUUUUCCUUUCGCAUGCUUGAGUAUAUUGUUUGAAAGACGAUAGAGUUGGGACUGUUUGGUGUUAGAGAUUUACUUAUACUUGGACGAGAUGUAAUGUUGAUUUUAUUCUUUUGUGAUGUGAGACUGGUGAGAGAGCACACACUUAUGCUAAAAACAUUAUUAGACGACGACGAUGCAUAACUGUUCUUCUGACUGAAAAGCAUAUCUCGUUUGAUGGACGGUGCCGUGUGAUUGAGAUAACUGUAUUUCAUUCAUGAAUAAAGGAUACAAAACAUAGAGAGCAAGCUAGAUUAUAUUUUCCAAAUGUUCAUUACAUAAAUUUGAAACAUAAACAAGCAAAUCCAGCAAAUGCCAUGGACCUAAUUGCUACAGAGCUCGGCAGCUUCCCCUUGUCCUUCCUUAGGUAUAGCGCUUCGUAUAACGGUUGGUUAAUGACAAUCAAAACCACACAUAGAAGAAUCUGCAAGAACAUUGCCUCAUAAACUUCUGCAAUGCCCUUUGUUCCAGUGAUUGCUUCCUUCACAAACCAGGCAAAGCAGUAUAAAUUGAGCAAUGCAACGGUCGCUAGCACAACGAACAUUGGAGACGAGCUCCCGAAUUUGCCAGUAUAAAUCUGCAAGCACAUUGUCUCAUAAACUAAAAAUUUUUAGAGCUAAAAGUUUCCUCCUAAUGAUUUACAUACAAAUUAUUUAUAAUUCAUUAAAAAAAAUAUUAUAUAACAUCCAUGAAUCUAAUGUUACUUUCAUUUUAAAUAUAUUAUUUUACUUAAUUAAAUAUUUCGAACAAUCAAACUAAAAUAGUUUUGUUUUAACUAAAAUGGUAUACGAUUUUUAAUAUGUGAUAUGUUGAACUGAUUUGACAUGUCAAAUAUAUGAUUGAGGCCCAAAAUCUCGCUCGGGCCCUUGUACUAUACGUCCCUGCAUGGAGAUGCAAAACCCAGAAUGUUGGAGCCCUCCUCUACUACAUACAGCGCUAGUCAUACCCCUCUCAAAAAGCGUCUCACUAUAUUGGGUCUCCCCCAAAACCCUAACACUAAUCUCAACUCCGCCGCCUUCCCUAUCACGAAUGUCGAGCGAUAAGCUGCCGCAAGGACGGCAUUUGAGUGGGGUCAGUGUGGUUUACGAUGUGGAUGUUAGGCGGCCCGGGGAGUUUCAGCCGCAGCUGGGAGUUAGGUCGACGAUUACGAACUAUGAUCCUCAGCCGGUGUUGGGCCGCCAAAUUGCGGUGAAUAAGUCGUAUAUAUGCUGUGGAUUGAAACAGGGGAAUAUUCGGGUUUUGAAUAACCACACCGGAUUGGAAUGUUUGCUUCGAGCUCAUACACAGGUAAAUUGAUUUUUCCUUGUAGUUAUUUGCUUUAUCUCGUCGAUGAUUGGUAUAUGUCGUUGGCCUAAUCGAUGUGUUGUUCUGUCAGAGGGUCACAGACAUGGCUUUCUUUGCCGAGGAUGUUCACCUUUUGGCUAGGUAGCUUUUUUGUCCAUGCUUAAUACUUUUCAUCGUCUGUUGGUUCUGCAUUAUCUGACAUAAUUUUCUGCAGUGUGAGUGUAGAAGGACGGCGUUUUGUGUGGAAAAUAUCUGAAGGUCUGGAUGAAGGAGGUACGCCACAAAUCAAAGGAAAGAUUGUUAUUGCCAUUCAAAUAGUUGAUGAGGGGGGAGCUGUUCAUCCAAGAGUUUGUUGGCACUGUUCUAAACAAGUAAAUGAUUCUGUUAAUGCUAUUUUCAAUAGAAGAAUUAUAACUUAAUGCUUUUGAUGUCUGUUGGUCUUGAAGUGGUUGAUUGAUUUAUCUUUUGUCUUAUAUACUCGCAGGAGGUUUUGUUUGUUGGGUUGGGAAGCGUGUUCUACGAAUUGAUACUACUAAAGUUGCAAAGUGUGGAGUCCCUUCUGCUGAGGAUCCUAUCAAAUGUCCUGUUGAAAAACUCAUUGAUGGGGUUCAAUUUGUUGGUGAACAUGAUGGAGAGGUGACAGAUUUAUCAAUGUGCCAAGGGAUGAUUACCACCCGGCUGGUUUCUGCUUCUAUGGAUGGAACUGUAAGCUUCUUCCCAUUUUGCUGGCUUUGUUUGGUAAACUGCAAUCUUCACCAUUUGCCUUUUCUACAUAUUUCCUUUGGUCAAGUAAGUAGUGAAGUGCGAUUUUCAUCAGAGUUGGGUGGGAACAUUUGGCCCCUGCUUGCCCUUUUACAUCUACAUGGAUAGUUUUUUCUCCUUUUCUUUCAGUGAAAUAGGGAUAAUCUUAUGGCUACAAAAAAAUCUGUGUUGGCUAAUCCGGCUUCUACUUUAUGCUUCAGGGAGUUUGGUAUGAAUUAGGAUAGAUUAUUUGGUCUAGUCCUUCAAAUCCCUUUUAAUGUGGUAAAAAGGACUAAGAGAUUUUAAGAGUGGAAGCUGUUUAACUUUGUAGUGAGUUUGUCAAUUUCUCUAACCUUAGUACAUAGUAUGAUCGAUACUAUUUAGGAAUGGUUCACGCAGUUUCAAAUUAAUUCAUUGGGCCUUCUUCAUCAUGAACAAUACAAAAAUUAUUUCUGAACAGGUUUAAGUAUGUUAUAUUCUCACACAUGCCAUAUAUGCAUGUAUAAUUAUUUCCUAAAUUGUUGAUUGAUAAAAGUUUUCUGAGUCGUAUACUUGGUUGAUACAGAUAAAGAUCUGGGAAGAUCGCAAGUCACAACCACUUCUAGUACUGAGACCCUAUGAUGGCCUUCCUGUUUAUUCGUCUAUAUUUAUGACAGCUCCCAACAAACCAGAUCACAUCAUACUUGUAACAGUGGUAAGUGAUCGUUGAUUUAUUUACAUAGUACCAAAAGGUGUUUUCUGUCCUAGUGUGCUGAAGUGUAAUUAUACAGGGCCCACUUAAUCGGGAAGUGAAGAUCUGGUCCUCAGCAACUGAAGUGCUUAGCAGUGAUGAUGAGUCAUGGAAAUGUACCCAGACCUUGUUAAAGAGCUCUGCUCAACCUCGAGUUGAGGAUGCGUUCUUUAAUCAAGUCAUAGCAUUGUCACAAGCUGGCCUUCUUUUACUUGCAAAUGCUAAGAAGAAUGCCAUAUAUGCCGUGCACAUAGACUUUAGUGGUGAGCCAGCAGCUACACACAUGGAUUACAUAGCAGAAUUUACUGUUACAAUGCCUAUUUUGAGCUUUACGGGGACAAGUAUAUCUCCUCAUGGUGAACAAAUCGUUCAGGUUUAUUGUGUCCAGACACAAGCCAUUCAACAGUAUGCUUUGGACUUAUCGAAGUGCUUACCUCCCCCGUUGGAAAAUACAGAUACAGUUGACAGCAACACUGAGUUGGAAUUCCAACGUCAAAUUGACGCCAUGCAGGAUGAGAUGAAUCAGGUGAGUGCUGAUUCAGAUUCAGACAUAUACCAACAGAUACAGAACACUGCAGAAAACCUAUAGAAGACUGUUCCCCAUUGUCUCAUAAAUUAAAAAAAUUUAGAGCUAAAAAUUUCCUCUAAAUGAUUUACAUAUAAAUUAUUUAUAAUUCGUUCAAAAAAAAAAUUAUAUAACAUCCAUGAAUCUAAUAUUACUUUCAUUUUAUACAUAUUUUACUUAAUUAAAUAGUUUUGUUUUAGUUAAAAUGAUAUACGAGUUUUAAUAUAUAAUGUGUUCAGAUGAUAUGACAUGCCAAAUAAGAUUAAGGCCCAAAAUCUCGCUUGGCCUUGUACCGUACGUCCCUGCAUGGAGAUGCAAAAACCCAGAAUGUUGGAGUUAGUGGACCAACAGUAUCUUCCUUCCUCCACUACAUUACAGCCGCGCUAGUCAUGCCCCUCUCAAAAAACGUCUCACUAUAUUGGGUCUCCCCCAAAACCCUAACACUAAUCUCAACUCCGCCGCCUUCUCUAUCACGAAUGUCGAGCGAUAAGCUGCCGCAAGGACGGCAUUUGAGUGGGGUCAGUGAGGUUUACGAUGUGGAUGUUAGGUUGUCCGGGAGCUUUCAGCCGCAGGAGCUGGAAGUUAAGACCAUUACGUUCUAUGAUUCGGAUCCUCAGCCGGUGUUGGGCCGCCAAAUUGCGGUGAAUAAGUCGUAUAUAUGCUAUGGAUUGAAGCUGGGGAUUAUUCGGGUUAUGAAUAAGAAUAACCAGUCCGGAUUGAAACUUCGAACUCUUACACAGGUAAAUUGAUUUUUCCUUAUAGUUACUGUGAGUUGGAUAUUUUCUUUAUCUCGUCGAUGAUUGUUAUAUGUUGUUGGCCUUUUCGAUGUGUUGUUCUGUCAGAGGGUCACAGACAUGGCUUUCUUUGCCGAGGAUGUUCACCUUUUGGCUAGGUAGCUUUUUUGUCCAUGCUUAUUACUUUUCAUCGUCUGGUUUGGUUCUGCAUUAUCUGACGUCAUAAUUUUCUGCAGUGUGAGUGUAGAAGGACGGCUUUUUGUGUGGAAAAUUUCUGAAGGUCUGGAUGAAGGAGGUACGCCACAAAUCACAGGAAAGAUUGUUAUUGCCAUUCAAAUAGUUGAUGAGGGGGAAGCUGUUCAUCCAAGAGUUUGUUGGCACUGUUCUAAACAAGUAAAUGCUUCUGUUAUUGCUAUUUUCAAUAGAAGAAUUACAACUUAAUGCUUUUGAUGUCUGUUGGUGAAGUGGUUGAUUGAUUUAUCUUUUGUCUUGUAUACUCGCAGGAGAUUUUGUUUGUUGGGGUGGGGAAGCGUGUUCUACGAAUUGAUACUACUAAAGUUGCAAAGUGUGGAGUCCCUUCUGCUGAGGAUCCUAUCAAAUGUCCUGUUGAAAAACUCAUUGAUGGGGUUCAAUUUGUUGGUGAACAUGAUGGAGAGGUGACAGAUUUAUCAAUGUGCCAAGGGAUGACUACCACCCGGCUGGUUUCUGCUUCUAUGGAUGGAACUGUAAGCUUCUUCCCAUUUUGCUGACUUUGUUUGGUAAACUGCAAUCUUCACCAUUUGCCUUUUCUACAUAUUUCCUUUGGUCAAGUAAGUAGUGAAACUUAACUGCGAUUUUCAUCAGAGUUGGGUGGGAACAUUUGGCCCCUGCUUGCCCUUUUACAUCUAUAUAGAUAGUUUUUUCUCCUCUUCUUUCAGUGAAAUAGUCUUAUGGCUACAAAAAAAAAUCUGUGUUGGCUAAUCCGGCUUCUAUUUUAUACUUCAGGGAGUUUGGUAUGAAUUAGGAUAAAUUAUUUGGUCUAGUUCUUCAAAUCCCUUUUAAUGUGGUACAGCACAUGAAAUGGCUAUGGCAGAUGAACUUUUACUUUUCUCAAUUAUAAGGAAAAAGUGAAGAAAAAGUACUGUAAAAGAUUUUAAGAGUGGAAGCUGUUUAACUUUGCAGGGAGUUUGUCAAUUUCUCUAUACUUAGUACAUAGUUUGACACUAUUUAGGAAUGGUUCACGCAAUUUCAAUUUCAUUCACUGGGCCUCCAUCAUGAACAAUACAAAAAUUUGUUCUGAACUGGUUUAAGUAGGUUAUCAACUAGUUUAUGAUUCUUACUUGACUGAAUUGUUUGUCAGUUGUAUGGAUCCAGUAUAGGUUUGAGUAAAAAAAAAAAAAACAUGUGGAAAUUUUAUUUUUUUUUAAAUCUUUUUUUUUNNNNNNNNNNNNNNNNNNNNUUUUCUUUUUUUUUUUUUGGUGUGCCAAUCGACACCCUCAUAAUUUGGGUUUCUGAAAUCGUUUCCUGCCGCAUACUGCAUUGGUGGGUAAGUUAUACAUCAUUUAUGGAACAACUAGGGUUCAUGUAUAUUUAUUUAUUUUGAAAUUGUAAUUUUAUCUUUGUUUAGAGUUGGUCAUGGGUUCUAAUACAUGAGCAUGUUCUGGCAAAUAUAUACAGACACCCUCACACAUUCCAUAUAGGCAUGUAUAAUUAUUUCCUAAAUUGUUGAUUGAUAAAAGUUUUCUGAGUCGUAUACUUGGUUGAUACAGAUAAAGAUCUGGGAUGAUCGCAAGACACAACCACUUAUAGUACUGAGACCCUAUGGUGGCCUUCCUGUUUAUUCGUCUAUAUUUAUGACAGCUCCCAACAAACCAGAUCACAUCAUACUUGUAACAGUGGUAAGUGAUCGUUGAUUUAUUUACAUAGUACCAAAAGGUGUUGUCUGUCCUAGUGUGCUGAAGUGUAAUUAUACAGGGCCCACUUAAUCGGGAAGUGAAGAUCUGGUCCUCAGCAACUGAAGUGCUUACCAGUGAUGAUGAAUCAUGGAAAUGUACCCAGACCUUAGAGUUAAAGAGCUCUGCUCAACCUCGAGUUGAGGAUGCAUUCUUUAAUCAAGUCAUAGCAUUGUCACAAGCUGGCCUUCUUUUACUUGCAAAUGCUAAGAAGGAGGCCAUAUAUGCCGUGCACAUAGACUUUGGUGGUGAGCCAGCAGCUACACACAUGGAUUACAUAGUAGAAUUUACUGUUGCAAUGCCUGUUUUGAGCUUUACGGGGACAAGUAUAUCUCCUCAUGGUGAACAAAUCGUUCAGGUUUAUGGUAUCUUUACGGGGACAAGUAUAUCUCCUCAUGGUGAACAAAUCGUUCAGGUUUAUUGUGUCCAGACACGAGCCAUUCAACAGUAUGAUUUGGACAUAUCGAAGUGUUUACCUCCCCCGCUGGUGAUGUCAACUAAUUCAGCAUCGAGACCUGGGAAACUGCCUGGUAUAAGAAGCCUGACAGAUGGCACCCAUAGUGGUGACCAACAAGUUAAUGAGUACUCGAUUGACAACAACACUGGGGGGGAUGCAAAUUUCCAUGAAGUGGUUGAUAACAGUGAUGAGGGUAAUCCUGAGUUAAAAGUCAACACUGCAGUUCUUCAAAUUAAGGCCAUGCGGGAUGAGAUGGAUCAGGUGAGUGCUGAAGAAUUUGGAAUUUCAAUUAUCUUGCACCUGUGUUUGGCACACUAACUAUUUUCAGCUUAACUCAGUGAAGCAGACCUAGUAUCUUCUCUAAAAUUAUGCUACUGCCGUUUAAGUCGAUCUUCAAGUUAUUUAUUAUUUGGUGAACUGGUAUAUCAAUAUGAUCUUUCUUGUCCCAUUUCGCCUGCCUAUAUCAUGGGAUGAGCAAAAGGUUCUAUGUUUGGAUGUUUUAUGGUUGUGUUUUGUGUAAUCAAACCUUUUUUCUUGUCCAUUAUUUUUUCUGUUAACUAUGGCUUUUCAUCAUAUGCGCAGCUGGAGAUUAAGCAAAAAGACUUGCAAAAAGAAUUGCAAGAGCAUAUGACAAUGAGGAAGAAGGCCAUAAAAGACAAUGCUGAUGCUCUGCAGUUGGCUUUAUCCAAUUGCUUUCAGAAAUUGGAGAAAUCAGUCCUUGAAGCUACUGUACACAGGCAAAUCCAGUUGGAUUUUGAAAAUCCGGGUAACCAAUCUCUUCGGGUAUGUUUAAGGCUCCUAGUAAUUUUUUUGCAUUUGUGAUUUAAAUAUCAACAGGCGAUUGAUUUGGUUUAGUGAACCUUUCAACUAGUUAUAUGUGUGACCUUUUCAUAUAGGAUGCUCUCAAGUCUAGCAUAGAAGCUUCAAUGGUACCUGCUAUUGAAAAGUCAUGUGAUGCCAUGUAUCAGAAAGUAAUUGCUAAAUUACAGACUGCCGAGCAGCAGCAUUUUGAGUCUGUGCAUUCACCUUUGGCCAAUUCUAUAAGGGUGUGUAUGCUUAUACUCAGUCCUUUUUCUCUUUUAAUAGUUUAAUUAUUGACAAAAUCUUCUUCGCUUAUGCUUUCACUGGUUGUUAUCUUUCUUGGAAUGGGAAAAUUUCUAGCUUUGCUUUCUAUUGUGUGCUCUAGGUUCACUAUGGUGUACGGUUCUAUCUGCAAGUAGGUGUGACAUUCCAUUGUGUUGUAUUUUACAGGACAUUAUUAAGUCCGUAUCAUCAACUACUCAAUUCCUAAGCACAGAACUGGCUGGUGGCCACCGCUAUUUAUUGGAUCUCGUAGUUGGAGGGGGAAAUUUAAGUGCGGUAAAUCCCCUAGGCAGUCAAGUAACCGGUGGUUUCCACGAGAAGGUUUGCUCUAUCUUAGGUUUGUUCAUCUGAUGACUCCUUAUUUGGCUGUGUUGAUCUCAAGAAGCAUUUGGUAUAUGCAUGAUAGGUUGAGGUUUCAUUGGAUCCAAGAGAGGAGCUGCGAAGGUUGGUGCUUGAAAGCAAGUAUGAGGUCGCUUUCAGGAGUGCUCUACAAAGAAAUGAUAUUGGCAUUGUAUAUUGGUUAUGUCAUGAGGUAUGAUUUGAUGAUCUUUUGGUGGUUAUUAUCUAAAGUGGUGAUGGAUUGUCAGUUUGAUAAUUGUUUUCAACAUUUUCCAGGUUAAUCUUCAUGGCAUACUGCAACAUUCUCUUCUGAGCCAAGAAAUACUUUUUCCACUCUUCCAACAGCUGGCCUAUGGUUUCAACAUUGAUCCAAUCGUUGAUGCAUGGAUGAGAGAUGUGGCAAUCGCCAUGAACCAGACUUUUGCUAUUCAUGGAAAAGAGAGAGUUCUUCAAGUACUGCAUGAGCUAUGUCACUUGCCUGCGGUCUCCAACGUCGAUCGAGGUAGGAUUACUGAUCUCAUGGAUUUCAUAGACAACAUCUGAAGUCUAUUGCUCGUUGUGCAGCAUCUUUGUCACGCUUUGAGUCAGAAUAUGGCACAAACCAUCCUGUGUUAAGCACUAUAUAUCCCUAUCAAACCCUUCUGUUUUGCCUGUUCAACAAUGUCUGAUUAAGUCUUUGAUUAAACAGUGCACAUAGUAGUGAGUAGUGAUGACAUGAAAAUCUUUUAGCAUAGGGAUGUAGUCAUGUUUAUGGAUCACCUCAAAUUUCUCUUUGUACACUUUCAUGGCGGCGGCGUGAGCUAGAAGUAGGUGAUGUGUCACUAAAUAUGGCUCUCUCCCUGAAUCGCCACCGGUGCAUUUAGGGUUUUGCCAAGCAGAACAUCUGCCCCGGUCGCAUAACCACUGACGCUGUAGGUAAGUGGCUCAUUUAGUGUAGUCCAGUGCUUGACUUUAUCACCAAAUUCUUUGUAGCAGAGCUCUGCAAAGUCUUGGAAAUGAUUCCUGCACAUUCCAUAUAUAAGAACAAUGAUCAGAAUGAAAUGCUAGUUAUGACCAAAAACUACUAAUGAAUGAACAUCCAGCAUCCUGAUCUUUUGCAAAGCUUGUCCAAUUUUUCGCGACCAUUUUUAAAUACGUAAAUGUUUUUCUUUCCAACUAACGCUAGGUAACUGACAUUUCUGGGUACAGGCUGUAUCACAAAGUAUGUUGAUGUGCUACAUCAUUUGCCGCUUAAGGUGGAAUCUGAAAUAGUUGUUCACUUUACAUUAUUCUUUCCCCGGUCACUUUUGUGGUAUCUGUUUUUACUUUGGGGAACUAGACGUACACAAUUUGAGGGCUUAGGAAGCCACCGAAUUCCUCUCUAAAGCUUGUAGCGUAUCCCAAUGGAAGAGUGUGACGAAGGGCUUUAGACCUGCAUUCAAUUUUUUUGCGAAUGAGGAAAAGAACGGAGGAUAUGUGCAAGUUAUCAUUCUAUAUAUGGAUAAGCUCAUGAGAUCUACCAUUGGCUUGAAGCUCGUUGAGGAGAUUCUUAUAAUAUGUGAUCCCUUCCUGGUUAGCACCACCACUUAGCUUUCCCUCUGAUCAAUAUAUAUAAUUAUCAUGAUCCAAAUUAGUUACUUCAGUCGAAGAAUAUAGAAAAGAGUGGUGUGUCCGUUGUAAUCAAUCAAUUUGAUGAUCUUACUUGGUAACAACUUAGACCAUAAGAUUGAGAAUGUAAGCAUCCCAGCCCAUAUCCUUAAGCAUCUUCACAUCUUCCUAUAUGGAGAAUUAUGAAAAAAGAAUAAUCAUUUGAUCUUAUAUAUAAUAAGCAUGUAAGAAAACCUUGUUGAUGUUCCUUUAAUGUACUCGAUAACGUACCUUGUACCGAUGACAUUGAUCAGUUGCCACAUCUCCACUGCUAUGGUCCUUCAUCUUCUCUGAUAUAUUUCACCCCGAACCAAAACAAAGAAGAAAUUUUAGAAAGCAGAAGAGAAUAUAGUUUCUCCUCAUAUCAGUCAUGAAUCUAUUUAUCGAUCUAUCGGAGUAUCGGACACCAAGCGCAAGUAACAUUUGAGUUUCUAUGCAAGUAUUUUGGAGUAAGAGAUCACCUGGAUACUUGUGAGCAAAGGCGUCCCAUACACAUGGUCCUGUACCACCUUGUCUUGGUUUGCAGCCCCCUCGAACUAAAAAUAGAACACAAUUAUAUCAAAUUCAGCCAUGUAUGAUUGACCAUCGAUCUCCUGCAGGUGUACUACGCACAUUAAUUCAGAGAAAUCAGAACCUAAAGGAUACCUGGUAUGCCGCGGAAGCUGUCUCGAACACGAAACCUGCCGGAAAAUUGCUCCGGCUGAAGGAAGUAUAAUUACGUGACUUCUUUUGGGGUGAAGCUUUCCGGCUACUAUGUCCAUUUAUCCCUGUACUGCUAAGAACAAGUAGGAGGCCAAAGAGAACGCCUAACCGGAGAGCCAUAGUUAUUUGGGAUAGAGCAAUUUGAAAUCCAUCUAUGUCAACUUCGGGAAUUAAUAUACGUAGUCCUCCUUCUUGUUCAACAGAAGCGGUCAAUGCUCAAGGAUUUAGUUGCGAAAUCGAUGAAACGGGUGGAUGGUAGUUUGAACGUCCAAUGAAGUGUCACUAAUUCCUCGAUUUGAUUUGUUGCACUUGAACCGAUUAUAUAUUACUAACUGUCACGUUCGUUAGUGAUCAAAAAAAUCAAACUACGGUAAAAACCAAGCAACUACAGUAAAAAGAUCAAACCCAGCGUCCCUCCAUCCUCCCUGCUCCAAAACAUUGCUCCCCCGAAACCCAGCCUCUGAGCCAUAAGCUACAUGAGGCCUCAUGGUGCUGCGUUGCUAAAUGUUCAUUAUUUGAUUAGAUCUCAAAGGUUCCCCAAGUUCCCUUGCUCCCAAGAUUUAUACUCCUAGUCUCUCCCCCAAGAACAUCAGCCAAAGUCUCUGAUGUCCCCUCCGCAGCUGCCCCUCGUCAUCAUGGCACCUAGGGGGAAAGUCGUGGUCCGCGGCCGACGAAGAGGCUCGAAUCAUCGGUCACGGUUUCCAGACCCGUACCUAAAUAGAGUUUUAAGAGUCGAUAGAUUAGGGUCCGGAGCCUUAAAGGGCCCAAAAUUUUCUUUUUUCUUUCUGUGAUCAUAUUAGUUUAGUUAAAAACAACAAAAAAUAAUUAAAAGCAUCCAAUUAGGGUGGUGUUAAAUUACAAAAGCAAAAAAUGAAUAUAAAAAUAAAAUCUUACCCUUAUAUUACUAUUAUUAGUUGCUAUUUUAGAAAAAAUGAGCAGUCUAAGUAAGAGAUUUGUUGUAUUAAUAUGAUUUUUAAUAUAAAUAGAAUUUCUAUUGUUUUUUUAGGUUAGAUUUUGAGUUUAUAGUUUUAGUCUGUGAAAGUUUUUGUGUGUUUCUUAAAAAGAGAAAAUAAAAUUGAAUGAAUACUAUAUUUUGAGGGCCAAAAUUUGAAAGUUCGACUCAGGUCUAAAAAUCUCAGGUCUGGGCCUAACGUUUUCAGGUCGACGAGUCGUCGAUCUAGGUUGAAGAAUGAAGAGGCUCAUUAUGAACAGAUCUGAUCAUGGAUAAACUGAACGGUCCAGAUCACCCAUGUGAUUUUCUAGUUUUCUUAAAUUAUUUUAAUAUCUAAAAAUUACUAAAAAUAGUUUCGUAUAUCCGAAGGGUGCUUCUAAAUGUAUCCGGCAAAUUACUAAUUAUACCAACACUUCAAUUUUUGUCACACAUUUUCCUAAAUUGCCCCUUUAUCUAUUUACACUCAGCAAAUCUUCAAAACAUCAUACCCAACACCUCUCUCUGUCUCUCUCUCUCUUCUAUUACCAGAAUUUUGUUUCAUGAACAAUACAAUGAUUUGGAGGUAAAGCAAACACAAUUUAUUAAGGAAUAAUUGAUUUGAGGCAUAAAUUCACAAAGAGAAGAAGAGGAAGAAAUAGUGUGGGAGAUGCAAGAGUGCUUGAAUUUCUCAAUCCAGCAUCGACCACAAUUCUAUUUCUAAAGCUUUACAAAUCUGGGUCAAGAGCCUUAAUCAUGAAUUCAGUUUCUCCUUAAUUACAUUCUCUAUCGAAGUUUUUCGUUGUGAUCUCAUAUUCGGAUGUUCCUAUGCGGUGAUGGUAAUUAUAAUCUUUUGUGAAAACAAGAUUUUCAAAUGCUUUGUUGAGGAUUAUUUCAUAUAUNNNNNNNNNNNNNNNNNNNNUGAGAUUGAUAUCUUCUGAUACUUUGUCAAGCAAGAGCUAACGUUUCUUGGUUGGAUUAUUGUAAUUGCCUCUAGAAUUCUAAUGGAAAGGACCCAGUUAAUCCAAUGUAUUUAACCGAGCCCUAAACCCAUUAAUUGAAGUGAGAAUGAGACCACAAAGUAAAAAUGGUUCUUGAAACAACCUCAAGUGCUGGGUAAUGGAAGAGAGAGAAAGAGAGCAACGUUGAUAACCGAAGAGCAGAAAGAGAGAGUUGCUGCUGGGCGUGUAAAUAAGGGCAAAUUUAGAAUUAAAUGACAACUUUUUAGUUGCUCGGUAUAUUUAGGUAUUUGUUGGGUAUAUUUAGCAACACUCUAUCCGAAAAUUCUACGGAAACACCCAUGAACUCGUGAUAUUGUGUACUUCACAACCGAAUGCUUAAAUCUUGUGAAAAACUCUAGUGUGUUAUCGUUAGUCUAGAGCGCUUGUUUAGCUACUGUCAUUGUAAAUUCUUGAACUUUCCAGAACUCACAUACUAAUUUAUCUCUAUCCCUGACUUCAUGGUCAAGCAACUAAAAAAAAAGGUUAACAAAAAAGCGAUGUAAAAACAAUGAUGGAUUGGGUCUCUUUCUUAAUAGUGUACUUAUUAUUGAUUGAGCAACGUAUUAUUCAUGGGUCUUAUGCAAUUAACGACAGCAACGUAUAUGUCUUUCCUUUUAUUUCAUUAGGAUCAAAAUGAUUUCUUGUUGCCCUUAAUAAUAUGGUCUAAUUCUAUUUAAAAAAUAAUAAUAUGGUCUAAUUUCCUUCCGACAAAUUUUACCGCAUCUAAGGACAAUUUAUUUAUAAUUAAGGAUUAAAUUCAGUUUGCCCCUUCAUACUUUAGGUCAAUAAUCAGUUUGGUCACAUAUCUUUUUUUUUAAUAACGUUGGUCCUUGAAGUUCUAUUUCAUAUCAGUUUGGUCCAAUUUUUAAAUUACCCCCUUACUAUGACGUCAUGCGCUGAGUUGUCCGCGACACAAGGACCCACAAGACUAUAAAAAUAGCUUAUAAAAAUAUUUUCAGAGCCAAAAAAAUUACAACCCUCGGUAAAAGUCCAACCCUUCAACUCUUACGAGCCGUUUGGUACGCUAGACAAGAUUAGAACAGGAUUUGAAAUUGGAUUAACUAGAUUAGAUUAGAUUAGGAUACUAACCAAUCUUGCAUUUGUGUAGCUAGACUGGGAAUUGGAUAAGAUUUUAGAAAAAGAAGAAAAAAGUCAGAGACUCGUCGAUGAAACUAAUACGAAGAACACCUCCACCGAUGUCUCCUCCGGCGACAUGAGAUUUCGGCGACGCGAAGGAAACAGUGAGAGUGAGAUUGAAAUAAAACUUCAGCUACUCGCCAGAAAGGCUGAAGACGACGACAAUUUUGUAAUCAAUCUCAGAUCUGAUCCUUCACUUUGUUGACUCCAGACCAAAAUCAAUCUCGGAUUAGGAUCAUGAUUAUACAGUCAUUCACGGCAGCCCUCAAGGACGUGGUGGCUGCGGCGACCAGGGAGGUCUUGUAACGACGGCAAUCAGGAAGGACGAUGUUAUGAAUUAGAGGGUCUUCUUUGAUCAAGCUAGGCAUGUGUGAGAGUUAGAAAAGCCACGUGAAUAACAUGUGCUGCUGUGAGAUAUUUUGCAAUUAGGGUUUUGUGCCAAGUUAGAUGUUUGACGUGUGGCAAGAUCUGAAUGCUCCAUUGCCGCAGUAAAUGAAUGAAUAUUUUGCAUCUAUUUUGAAUUCUAUUUCUUUUUCUGUUCUUAGUUUUAGCAAGGGUUCCAGAUCCCUAUUAUCUGGUAUCAGAGCCUCUCGGUUCUGAGGGCGCUAUGGUAAACAAGAAGAACACUGGGGGGGGGGUCAUCAUCCUCAAGGUUCUGGUGAGCUGCAGACUACUUUCAAUGUGUACCAGGAGUCCUUCAACUCAUUUCGGAAGGAAAUGAUGGAGGAAUUUCGAGCCAUUAAGUUAUCCUCAGCUGCUGCUGCUGAUAAGCUCGACUCAUCACUUCUCAAGUUUGGUUCCUUACCUCCAUCUACAGGAACACCACUUCUAGCAGCACAGUUGCAAUUGGGAGCUUCAACAAGAGCUACCACCACCACAACUGCUGUUGUUGAGGGCGGUAGUCAUUCUAAGCCAAACUCCUAAGAUCCUUUGUUUUUAGACUCUUCUAAUUCUGAUAUACAUGAGUCUAGUGAUGACUGUGAGGUGUUACUUGAGUUUUAUACUAGUAAGCCUAUUAUCACAAAUUCUGCUGGGAUUGUGAUGAACCCUCUUAAUGUGAGCAAGGUGAGUACUAGUGGAAGGAAGUUUGAGAAGGGAGAGUCCAGUGGAAAGGAUAAGGCUGGUCUUGGAGACACUCACAAACGUCCUCCACCAAAAACUCAGUUUUUUCAACACAGCAAUUUUGGUACCCAGCCCUUUAACCAUUCUUAUGGUUCCUAUAACACAAACUCACAACAAGUUUAUACAGGUGUUGGUCAAGGUUUUCCAACAUCCCAUUCUGUUGCUCAGAACUUUACAGGCCAAAAUUUUGCUUCGCCAAACUAUAGUCUCAUGCCAAACUUUACUCAAUACAACCCAUACACCACAAAUUUUGCACCCAACUAUGGCCCCAACCCUUUUGCAAUGCAACAUAGUGGGUACCAUAGCCAAAAUUUUGUCCAAAUGUCUAACCCUCAAUAUACAGUGGCCACUACCCCCACACCCUUACAGCAAUACCCCUAUACUAUAGGACCAUGCACAGCUCAACAACAACCACCCAGUAGUAACAGUUUUGAUCCUAACUUGCCUACUAUGAGACAAAUGAAGUUGGAGUUGCCUAAUUUCAGUGGGGGAGAUCCGGUGGAAUGGCUGAGCAAGGUGGAGCAGUACUUUGAGUUCUACCAAAUUCCAGAGGAAAGGAAGUUGCCCAUUGCUACUAUGUACCUCACAGAGAGAGCUGCAGACAGAUGGUUCAUGUUUAGACAUGAGUUCUCUCAAACUUGGGAAGGGUUACAAGAUUUGUUGAUGAGAGAAUUCAGUGGCCAUAAUGGGAUUGAUUAUCAUGCUGCAUUGGCGAGAAUGUCACAUAAUGGCUCAGUGGAGCAAUUCAUGGAUCAGUUUACUAAGCUUUCAAGGAGAGCUCCUGGCUUUACACCGCAACUCCUCUUGUCUUGUUUCUUAGGGGGACUGAAGAGUAACAUAAGAGCAGAUGUCAAGGCACUUAGACCAAAAAGUUUGUAUGAAGCAUGUGAGCUUGCUAAGAUUUUCGAAGAAAGAGAGCUGCAAAAUAGGGGGCAGUUGAGGAAUGUUUAUCCUCCUAGGCCUGCCACUACCCAAAAUGCAGUCCCAAGAAUCAAUGUUAACCAACCAGUACGAGCUCCACAACCAGUGGGUCUUGCAAGACCACAAGCCGCUCCUGCAGUUGGGAAUAAUGCUGGAGGCAACAGACGAUUGACUCAGGCCGAAUACCAAGAAAGGAGGGCAAGGAACCAAUGUUUCUUCUGUGAUGAACUCUUCAGACCUGGUCACAACUGCCGGAGAGGCCAACCUUUGAUGGUGAUUGAGGUAAUGCAGGAGGAAAUUGAUCUACAUGAACCAAACAACAAUGGGGAGGUAGAACAUGGGCACCCUGUAGUUGAGGAAGACGUGGACACAGGACUUGAGGUCCAUCUGAAUUCGAUGGGAGAUGACUCCAACAGCAACACCAUGCAAUUAAAGGGUUUCUGCAGCAAGAAGAAGAUCCAUGUUUUGGUGGACUUAGGGGCCUCCCACAAUUUUGUGCACCCGACAUUAUUAAAAAAUGUGAAGGCAGAAGUACAGGAGAUUAGGACAAUCAGAGUCAAACUAGCUGGUGGAGAAAUCAUGACAACUAACAAAAUGGCAAGAUUAGAGGUAAAUCUGCAAGGUUACCUUUUUCUUGCUAACUAUUAUGUGUUGCCUAUUUCGGGGUGUGAAAUUAUUUUGGGGCUAGUUGGUUGAAAACCUUGGGAGAUAUCAUUUGGAAUUUUGAGAGCAUGCAAAUGAAGUUUUUUGUUGGGAGUCAAUGGUAUAUGUUGCAAGGGGAGACAGAAGCUACAACAGCAGUGGUAAGUUGCAAGAAAAUGACCAGGCUGCUCAGAAAGGAAAGGGAAGCAAUUGUGGUACAAAUUAACAAUGCAUUCCAAACCCCUUCUAGUCCAGUAGUCCCAACACCUAUCCAGAAUCUCAAGUCUCAGUAUGCUGAGCUUUUUGAAACCCCUAACAAGUUACCACCUUCCAGGAAGCAUGAUCACAAAAUAGAGCUUCUACCUAACACCCCAGCAGUAAAUGUGAGGCCUUAUAGGUAUCCUCAUUUUCAGAAAGGGGAGAUUGAGAAAAUUAUCCAAGAAUUGCUGGACAGUGGAGUCAUUAGGCCAAGUGUGAGCCCUUUCUCUUCCCCUGUGAUAUUGGUUAAGAAGAAGGAUGGAAGCUGGAGACUAUGUGUGGACUACCGCAGCCUAAAUGCUGUAACUGUGAAGGAUAGGUACCCCAUUCCAAUGGUUGAUGAGUUAAUUGAUGAAGUUCAUGGGGCCACCAUUUUUUCUAAGUUAGAUCUCAGGUCUGGAUACCACCAAAUAAGGGUGAGAGAAGAAGACGUAGAAAAAACUGCUUUUAGAACUCAUUCUGGGCACUAUGAGUUCUUAGUUAUGCCUUUUGGGUUAACUAAUGCUCCUUCCACCUUUCAAUCAAUGAUGAAUGAGGUUCUCAGAGAACUUUUGAGGAAGUGUGUACUUGUUUUCUUUGAUGACAUCUUAAUCUUCAGUCCUUCAAUGGAAGAACAUUUGAAACAUUUGGAAAUGGUGUUUAAGAAAUUGUUACAGCACUCUCUGAAGGUAAAGGAGAGUAAGUGUUCUUUUGGGGUGCAACAAGUGGAAUACCUAGGGCAUAUUGUAAGUGGAGCAGGAGUGGCAGUUGAUCCGGCCAAAAUUGCAUGUAUUCAGCAAUGGUCUCAACCAAGGAAUAUUAAAGAGCUAAGAGGCUUCUUAGGGUUAGCAGGGUACUACAGAAAGUUUGUGAGGGGAUUUGGGAUCAUCGCAAAACCGUUAACAGAAAUGCUCACGAAGAAUGCUUUUCAUUGGAAUGAGAAAGGGGUACAAGCUUUUGCUGAUCUGAAGAAGGCUCUAGUAACAGCUCCAGUUCUGGCAAUACCUGACUUUACUAAGGAGUUUGUAAUUGAAUGUGAUGCAUCUGAUCAGGGCAUAGGAGCUGUUUUGUCACAAGAGGGCCACCCAAUUGCAUUCAUGAGUAAAGCUCUAGCUCAAAGGCACCUUGCACUCUCUGUCUAUGAUAAAGAGAUGCUAGCAGUAGUAGCUGCAGUUCAGCAUUGGAGACCUUACAUCCUGGGCCGCCAUUUCAAAAUUUACACUGAUCACAAAACUAUAGAGCACUUUCUCAACCAGAGGAUUACAACACCAUCUCAACAGAAAUGGUUGCUUAAGCUGAUGGGAUAUGACUAUAGUAUUCAUUACAAGGCAGGCAAGAACAAUGCAGUCCCGGAUGCACUUUCGAGAUAUUCGAACUUAGCUGCCAUGACUGGAGUGUCACAACCUGUGCAUACUUUUGUGAGGGAAAUACAAGAAGCUUGCACAAGAGAUACAGAAGCUAAGGAGAUUGUUGCAAAGCUGAAGGUGGAUCCUAAUAGCCAAUCCCACUAUUCCCUUGUCAAUGAACAUCUGCUGUAUAGAAACAAAAUUUAUGUGCCGGAGAUAGAUGAUUGGAGAAAAAGGAUCAUAGCCGAGUUUCAUGAAGGGGUGAGUGGAGGACAUGCUGGUAGGCUGAGAUCUUAUAAGAGAGUUGGAAGAAAUUUUACAUGGCCUAAGAUGCAAUCGGAUGUCAAGAAAUUUGUGGCAGAAUGUGAAGUGUGUCAAAGGAAUCACUAUGAAACAAUACUUCCACCGGGACUUUUACAACCUCUUUCUAUACCUGAGAGAGCUUGGAGUGAGAUUUCUAUGGACUUCAUUGAUGGACUGCCAAAAUCAGAAGGUAAAACUACUGUUUGGGUAAUUGUUGAUAAACUCACGAAGUAUGCCCAUUUCAUACCUUUGGCACACCCAUAUACUGCUGCAACCUUGGCGCAGAUUUUUGUAAAAGAGAUUUUCAAAUUGCAUGGGAUGCCUGAUAACAUCAUAUCAGAUAGAGAUCCCAUUUUUAUGAGUCUUUUCUGGGAGGCAUUUUUUGCGCUGCAAGGAACUAAGCUCAGUAAGUCUUCAGCCUACCACCCCCAGUCGGAUGGGCAAACAGAAAACCUGAAUAGAACCCUUGAGCAGUAUUUGAGAUGUGUAGUGGGAGAAAAACCACAAGAUUGGGUGAAGUGUUUGGCUUGGGCUGAGUGGUGGUACAACUCUGCGUACCAUACAGCCAUUGCAAUGUCACCUUUUGAGGCUCGGUAUGGUUACCCUCCUCCUCCUGUCAUACCUUAUAUCCCUGGAUCUACAGUUAUAGCACAAGCUGAUGAGCAACUGAGGAAGAGAGAAGAGUUGCUGGCGCUGCUGAAAAGGAAUCUGCAGCGAGCUCAAGCACGAAUGAAGCAUUUUCAUGACAAGAGGCACACUGAGAGAAGUUUUGAAGUUGGGGACAUGGUAUAUCUGAAGCUGCAACCCUACAAGCAACAUUCUAUGCAGAGGGGUGUUUUCAACAAACUAUCUGCAAGAUAUUAUGGUCCAUUUGAAGUGCUAGAGAAAAUUGGCUCAGUAGCAUAUAAGUUAAAGCUGCCACCCACUGCAAGAAUUCACAAUGUGUUCCAUGUAUCCCUCUUGAAGAAGAAACUUGGAGACCAGACCCCUGUUUUGGCCGAUCUACCUCCAAUAAUUGAUCCAACUAAUCCCAAGUGGGCACCAGCAGCUGUAUUUGGGCGAAGAAUGGUAAAGAAAGCAGGUGCAGCAGCCACACAAUGGUUGGUACACUGGAUAGGCACUACCCCGGAGGAAGCUACUUGGGAAUUUGCUGAAGAAAUGCAGCGCAGGUUUCCAGAAUUUGAUCCAGAAACUUGAGGACAAGUUUCAACAGAAGGGGGAAGUAAUGUUAUGAAUUAGAGGGUCUUCUUUGAUCAAGCUAGGCAUGUGUGAGAGUUAGAAAAGCCACGUGAAUAACAUGUGCUGCUGUGAGAUAUUUUGCAAUUAGGGUUUUGUGCCAAGUUAGAUGUUUGACGUGUGGCAAGAUCUGAAUGCUCCAUUGUGAGUAUAUAUGUCUGAAUGUAAGCUUGCUGCCGCAGUAAAUGAAUGAAUAUUUUGCAUCUAUUUUGAAUUCUAUUUCUUUUUCUGUUCUUAGUUUUAGCAAGGGUUCCAGAUCCCUAUUAGACGACAUCGACCACGGCGGUCAUGAUUGAUGAGAUAAGGAGGCUUCAAUGAGGCCGGUUGACGACGGGCGAGGUCGAUUAACGGUGGCUAAGGUUGGUUGGUCUCAACUCUCAACCCAUCUUGGACUGGAAUCAAUUCUAAUUGUCUUCUUCGUUUCGUUCACCAAGAAAUAAAUAGAGAAAAGGAGAUGCAGAUAUAUGCAUCUCAUGAACCCAGGACUAGGGUCAUCAUUCAUCAGAUUGCUAUUCUUGCUUCAUGAACCUAAAGCUUCUUGCUUUCUCUUUCCUCUCCCUCUUCUUCUUCCUCCGCCGUUGUUGGCCUCACCCCUUAGCUCCCUCUCCAGCCACCGGCACCGUGCAUCAACCCGAAUGGUAACCAUGUGGGUCUCGAUAUUGAAAGCUUGAAUCCGAUCAAUCCCGCCAACCAAGAUGUGGAUUUGAGGAUUGGAACGGCAAUUAUGGCCCUGAUUUGCAGAUAUAAGGUUGUUUUUAUUGAAUGAAAAAAUUGCUUUCUCUAUGGAAGAGAAGAUAAAAUGGGGAGAAUACUGGGAAGUAAAAGGAAAGACGUGGAGUCUUUAUUUAUUUAUUUUUUUUUCUUGGACCAAACUGAAACUAGGUCCUUGUGUCGCGGAUAACUUAGCGCAUGACAUCAUGAUAAGAAGGGCAAUUCAAAAAUUAGACCAACACUACCAGAAGAAAGGCUUUAGCCGACGAAAAAAAAAAACCAGGCCGACGAAGAUUUUUUCGUCGGCUAAGUUAAAUUUUCGUCGGCUAAAGUUCACAAACUAUGGCCGACGAAAUAUUUAAAAGUUUAGCCGACGAAAUUAAUAUGUCGUCGGCUAAAGUGCUUUAUAUUUGCGGAUCUGGACAACAGCAGCUCAUCUAGGAAAAAAAACGGGAGAAGAAAAAACGGGAGAAAAAGUUUGGGUGUUGUCGAAAUCUGUCCAUAAUUAGUUUGUGGAGCCAUAUAUAGGUACGUAUAUGUAUAUAUAUGUUGAUUAAUUGAGUUUUAUUUGAGUUGAUCAAUUUUAAGUGUGAUUGAGUUUAUUGAUUUUGAUUGUGAUUGAGUUGAUUAAUUUUGAGUACGUUGGAUGUAUAUAUAUAUGUGUUGAUCGAUUUGGUUGAUGAUUUGAAUUGAUAAUAUAUAUGAAUUAAUUUGUUGUUAAUAAAUAGUAGAUAUAUAUAUAUAUGUUAAUUAAUUUAUAAUAUUAUUGUGUUGAUAUGGUAUGAAGUUGUUGAUGAUAUAUAUGAGUUCAUGAUGAUUUUGUAAUGAUGUUGAUAUAUAAUAUUGUUAAAAGUCGUUGGCUAAACCAGUCUUAGCCGACGAAAAAUACUUGAAGUCGUCGGCUAAAAGAACUUAUAGCCGACGAAAUACACUAAUAUUUCGUCGGCUUUAUUAAUUUUUUUUUAUUAUUACAUACUAUAGCUGACGAAAAAUACUAGACAUCGUCGGCUAAAAUAACUUAUAGCCGACGAAAUACCCUAANNNNNNNNNNNNNNNNNNNNNNNNNNNNNNNNNNNNNNNNNNNNNNNNNNNNNNNNNNNNNNNNNNNNNNNNNNNNNNNNNNNNNNNNNNNNNNNNNNNNNNNNNNNNNNNNNNNNNNNNNNNNNNNNNNNNNNNNNNNNNNNNNNNNNNNNNNNNNNNNNNNNNNNNNNNNNNNNNNNNNNNNNNNNNNNNNNNNNNNNNNNNNNNNNNNNNNNNNNNNNNNNNNNNNNNNNNNNNNNNNNNNNNNNNNNNNNNNNNNNNNNNNNNNNNNNNNNNNNNNNNNNNNNNNNNNNNNNNNNNNNNNNNNNNNNNNNNNNNNNNNNNNNNNNNNNNNNNNNNNNNNNNNNNNNNNNNNNNNNNNNNNNNNNNNNNNNNNNNNNNNNNNNNNNNNNNNNNNNNNNNNNNNNNNNNNNNNNNNNNNNNNNNNNNNNNNNNNNNNNNNNNNNNNNNNNNNNNNNNNNNNNNNNNNNNNNNNNNNNNNNNNNNNNNNNNNNNNNNNNNNNNNNNNNNNNNNNNNNNNNNNNNNNNNNNNNNNNNNNNNNNNNNNNNNNNNNNNNNNNNNNNNNNNNNNNNNNNNNNNNNNNNNNNNNNNNNNNNNNNNNNNNNNNNNNNNNNNNNNNNNNNNNNNNNNNNNNNNNNNNNNNNNNNNNNNNNNNNNNNNNNNNNNNNNNNNNNNNNNNNNNNNNNNNNNNNNNNNNNNNNNNNNNNNNNNNNNNNNNNNNNNNNNNNNNNNNNNNNNNNNNNNNNNNNNNNNNNNNNNNNNNNNNNNNNNNNNNNNNNNNNNNNNNNNNNNNNNNNNNNNNNNNNNNNNNNNNNNNNNNNNNNNNNNNNNNNNNNNNNNNNNNNNNNNNNNNNNNNNNNNNNNNNNNNNNNNNNNNNNNNNNNNNNNNNNNNNNNNNNNNNNNNNNNNNNNNNNNNNNNNNNNNNNNNNNNNNNNNNNNNNNNNNNNNNNNNNNNNNNNNNNNNNNNNNNNNNNNNNNNNNNNNNNNNNNNNNNNNNNNNNNNNNNNNNNNNNNNNNNNNNNNNNNNNNNNNNNNNNNNNNNNNNNNNNNNNNNNNNNNNNNNNNNNNNNNNNNNNNNNNNNNNNNNNNNNNNNNNNNNNNNNNNNNNNNNNNNNNNNNNNNNNNNNNNNNNNNNNNNNNNNNNNNNNNNNNNNNNNNNNNNNNNNNNNNNNNNNNNNNNNNNNNNNNNNNNNNNNNNNNNNNNNNNNNNNNNNNNNNNNNNNNNNNNNNNNNNNNNNNNNNNNNNNNNNNNNNNNNNNNNNNNNNNNNNNNNNNNNNNNNNNNNNNNNNNNNNNNNNNNNNNNNNNNNNNNNNNNNNNNNNNNNNNNNNNNNNNNNNNNNNNNNNNNNNNNNNNNNNNNNNNNNNNNNNNNNNNNNNNNNNNNNNNNNNNNNNNNNNNNNNNNNNNNNNNNNNNNNNNNNNNNNNNNNNNNNNNNNNNNNNNNNNNNNNNNNNNNNNNNNNNNNNNNNNNNNNNNNNNNNNNNNNNNNNNNNNNNNNNNNNNNNNNNNNNNNNNNNNNNNNNNNNNNNNNNNNNNNNNNNNNNNNNNNNNNNNNNNNNNNNNNNNNNNNNNNNNNNNNNNNNNNNNNNNNNNNNNNNNNNNNNNNNNNNNNNNNNNNNNNNNNNNNNNNNNNNNNNNNNNNNNNNNNNNNNNNNNNNNNNNNNNNNNNNNNNNNNNNNNNNNNNNNNNNNNNNNNNNNNNNNNNNNNNNNNNNNNNNNNNNNNNNNNNNNNNNNNNNNNNNNNNNNNNNNNNNNNNNNNNNNNNNNNNNNNNNNNNNNNNNNNNNNNNNNNNNNNNNNNNNNNNNNNNNNNNNNNNNNNNNNNNNNNNNNNNNNNNNNNNNNNNNNNNNNNNNNNNNNNNNNNNNNNNNNNNNNNNNNNNNNNNNNNNNNNNNNNNNNNNNNNNNNNNNNNNNNNNNNNNNNNNNNNNNNNNNNNNNNNNNNNNNNNNNNNNNNNNNNNNNNNNNNNNNNNNNNNNNNNNNNNNNNNNNNNNNNNNNNNNNNNNNNNNNNNNNNNNNNNNNNNNNNNNNNNNNNNNNNNNNNNNNNNNNNNNNNNNNNNNNNNNNNNNNNNNNNNNNNNNNNNNNNNNNNNNNNNNNNNNNNNNNNNNNNNNNNNNNNNNNNNNNNNNNNNNNNNNNNNNNNNNNNNNNNNNNNNNNNNNNNNNNNNNNNNNNNNNNNNNNNNNNNNNNNNNNNNNNNNNNNNNNNNNNNNNNNNNNNNNNNNNNNNNNNNNNNNNNNNNNNNNNNNNNNNNNNNNNNNNNNNNNNNNNNNNNNNNNNNNNNNNNNNNNNNNNNNNNNNNNNNNNNNNNNNNNNNNNNNNNNNNNNNNNNNNNNNNNNNNNNNNNNNNNNNNNNNNNNNNNNNNNNNNNNNNNNNNNNNNNNNNNNNNNNNNNNNNNNNNNNNNNNNNNNNNNNNNNNNNNNNNNNNNNNNNNNNNNNNNNNNNNNNNNNNNNNNNNNNNNNNNNNNNNNNNNNNNNNNNNNNNNNNNNNNNNNNNNNNNNNNNNNNNNNNNNNNNNNNNNNNNNNNNNNNNNNNNNNNNNNNNNNNNNNNNNNNNNNNNNNNNNNNNNNNNNNNNNNNNNNNNNNNNNNNNNNNNNNNNNNNNNNNNNNNNNNNNNNNNNNNNNNNNNNNNNNNNNNNNNNNNNNNNNNNNNNNNNNNNNNNNNNNNNNNNNNNNNNNNNNNNNNNNNNNNNNNNNNNNNNNNNNNNNNNNNNNNNNNNNNNNNNNNNNNNNNNNNNNNNNNNNNNNNNNNNNNNNNNNNNNNNNNNNNNNNNNNNNNNNNNNNNNNNNNNNNNNNNNNNNNNNNNNNNNNNNNNNNNNNNNNNNNNNNNNNNNNNNNNNNNNNNNNNNNNNNNNNNNNNNNNNNNNNNNNNNNNNNNNNNNNNNNNNNNNNNNNNNNNNNNNNNNNNNNNNNNNNNNNNNNNNNNNNNNNNNNNNNNNNNNNNNNNNNNNNNNNNNNNNNNNNNNNNNNNNNNNNNNNNNNNNNNNNNNNNNNNNNNNNNNNNNNNNNNNNNNNNNNNNNNNNNNNNNNNNNNNNNNNNNNNNNNNNNNNNNNNNNNNNNNNNNNNNNNNNNNNNNNNNNNNNNNNNNNNNNNNNNNNNNNNNNNNNNNNNNNNNNNNNNNNNNNNNNNNNNNNNNNNNNNNNNNNNNNNNNNNNNNNNNNNNNNNNNNNNNNNNNNNNNNNNNNNNNNNNNNNNNNNNNNNNNNNNNNNNNNNNNNNNNNNNNNNNNNNNNNNNNNNNNNNNNNNNNNNNNNNNNNNNNNNNNNNNNNNNNNNNNNNNNNNNNNNNNNNNNNNNNNNNNNNNNNNNNNNNNNNNNNNNNNNNNNNNNNNNNNNNNNNNNNNNNNNNNNNNNNNNNNNNNNNNNNNNNNNNNNNNNNNNNNNNNNNNNNNNNNNNNNNNNNNNNNNNNNNNNNNNNNNNNNNNNNNNNNNNNNNNNNNNNNNNNNNNNNNNNNNNNNNNNNNNNNNNNNNNNNNNNNNNNNNNNNNNNNNNNNNNNNNNNNNNNNNNNNNNNNNNNNNNNNNNNNNNNNNNNNNNNNNNNNNNNNNNNNNNNNNNNNNNNNNNNNNNNNNNNNNNNNNNNNNNNNNNNNNNNNNNNNNNNNNNNNNNNNNNNNNNNNNNNNNNNNNNNNNNNNNNNNNNNNNNNNNNNNNNNNNNNNNNNNNNNNNNNNNNNNNNNNNNNNNNNNNNNNNNNNNNNNNNNNNNNNNNNNNNNNNNNNNNNNNNNNNNNNNNNNNNNNNNNNNNNNNNNNNNNNNNNNNNNNNNNNNNNNNNNNNNNNNNNNNNNNNNNNNNNNNNNNNNNNNNNNNNNNNNNNNNNNNNNNNNNNNNNNNNNNNNNNNNNNNNNNNNNNNNNNNNNNNNNNNNNNNNNNNNNNNNNNNNNNNNNNNNNNNNNNNNNNNNNNNNNNNNNNNNNNNNNNNNNNNNNNNNNNNNNNNNNNNNNNNNNNNNNNNNNNNNNNNNNNNNNNNNNNNNNNNNNNNNNNNNNNNNNNNNNNNNNNNNNNNNNNNNNNNNNNNNNNNNNNNNNNNNNNNNNNNNNNNNNNNNNNNNNNNNNNNNNNNNNNNNNNNNNNNNNNNNNNNNNNNNNNNNNNNNNNNNNNNNNNNNNNNNNNNNNNNNNNNNNNNNNNNNNNNNNNNNNNNNNNNNNNNNNNNNNNNNNNNNNNNNNNNNNNNNNNNNNNNNNNNNNNNNNNNNNNNNNNNNNNNNNNNNNNNNNNNNNNNNNNNNNNNNNNNNNNNNNNNNNNNNNNNNNNNNNNNNNNNNNNNNNNNNNNNNNNNNNNNNNNNNNNNNNNNNNNNNNNNNNNNNNNNNNNNNNNNNNNNNNNNNNNNNNNNNNNNNNNNNNNNNNNNNNNNNNNNNNNNNNNNNNNNNNNNNNNNNNNNNNNNNNNNNNNNNNNNNNNNNNNNNNNNNNNNNNNNNNNNNNNNNNNNNNNNNNNNNNNNNNNNNNNNNNNNNNNNNNNNNNNNNNNNNNNNNNNNNNNNNNNNNNNNNNNNNNNNNNNNNNNNNNNNNNNNNNNNNNNNNNNNNNNNNNNNNNNNNNNNNNNNNNNNNNNNNNNNNNNNNNNNNNNNNNNNNNNNNNNNNNNNNNNNNNNNNNNNNNNNNNNNNNNNNNNNNNNNNNNNNNNNNNNNNNNNNNNNNNNNNNNNNNNNNNNNNNNNNNNNNNNNNNNNNNNNNNNNNNNNNNNNNNNNNNNNNNNNNNNNNNNNNNNNNNNNNNNNNNNNNNNNNNNNNNNNNNNNNNNNNNNNNNNNNNNNNNNNNNNNNNNNNNNNNNNNNNNNNNNNNNNNNNNNNNNNNNNNNNNNNNNNNNNNNNNNNNNNNNNNNNNNNNNNNNNNNNNNNNNNNNNNNNNNNNNNNNNNNNNNNNNNNNNNNNNNNNNNNNNNNNNNNNNNNNNNNNNNNNNNNNNNNNNNNNNNNNNNNNNNNNNNNNNNNNNNNNNNNNNNNNNNNNNNNNNNNNNNNNNNNNNNNNNNNNNNNNNNNNNNNNNNNNNNNNNNNNNNNNNNNNNNNNNNNNNNNNNNNNNNNNNNNNNNNNNNNNNNNNNNNNNNNNNNNNNNNNNNNNNNNNNNNNNNNNNNNNNNNNNNNNNNNNNNNNNNNNNNNNNNNNNNNNNNNNNNNNNNNNNNNNNNNNNNNNNNNNNNNNNNNNNNNNNNNNNNNNNNNNNNNNNNNNNNNNNNNNNNNNNNNNNNNNNNNNNNNNNNNNNNNNNNNNNNNNNNNNNNNNNNNNNNNNNNNNNNNNNNNNNNNNNNNNNNNNNNNNNNNNNNNNNNNNNNNNNNNNNNNNNNNNNNNNNNNNNNNNNNNNNNNNNNNNNNNNNNNNNNNNNNNNNNNNNNNNNNNNNNNNNNNNNNNNNNNNNNNNNNNNNNNNNNNNNNNNNNNNNNNNNNNNNNNNNNNNNNNNNNNNNNNNNNNNNNNNNNNNNNNNNNNNNNNNNNNNNNNNNNNNNNNNNNNNNNNNNNNNNNNNNNNNNNNNNNNNNNNNNNNNNNNNNNNNNNNNNNNNNNNNNNNNNNNNNNNNNNNNNNNNNNNNNNNNNNNNNNNNNNNNNNNNNNNNNNNNNNNNNNNNNNNNNNNNNNNNNNNNNNNNNNNNNNNNNNNNNNNNNNNNNNNNNNNNNNNNNNNNNNNNNNNNNNNNNNNNNNNNNNNNNNNNNNNNNNNNNNNNNNNNNNNNNNNNNNNNNNNNNNNNNNNNNNNNNNNNNNNNNNNNNNNNNNNNNNNNNNNNNNNNNNNNNNNNNNNNNNNNNNNNNNNNNNNNNNNNNNNNNNNNNNNNNNNNNNNNNNNNNNNNNNNNNNNNNNNNNNNNNNNNNNNNNNNNNNNNNNNNNNNNNNNNNNNNNNNNNNNNNNNNNNNNNNNNNNNNNNNNNNNNNNNNNNNNNNNNNNNNNNNNNNNNNNNNNNNNNNNNNNNNNNNNNNNNNNNNNNNNNNNNNNNNNNNNNNNNNNNNNNNNNNNNNNNNNNNNNNNNNNNNNNNNNNNNNNNNNNNNNNNNNNNNNNNNNNNNNNNNNNNNNNNNNNNNNNNNNNNNNNNNNNNNNNNNNNNNNNNNNNNNNNNNNNNNNNNNNNNNNNNNNNNNNNNNNNNNNNNNNNNNNNNNNNNNNNNNNNNNNNNNNNNNNNNNNNNNNNNNNNNNNNNNNNNNNNNNNNNNNNNNNNNNNNNNNNNNNNNNNNNNNNNNNNNNNNNNNNNNNNNNNNNNNNNNNNNNNNNNNNNNNNNNNNNNNNNNNNNNNNNNNNNNNNNNNNNNNNNNNNNNNNNNNNNNNNNNNNNNNNNNNNNNNNNNNNNNNNNNNNNNNNNNNNNNNNNNNNNNNNNNNNNNNNNNNNNNNNNNNNNNNNNNNNNNNNNNNNNNNNNNNNNNNNNNNNNNNNNNNNNNNNNNNNNNNNNNNNNNNNNNNNNNNNNNNNNNNNNNNNNNNNNNNNNNNNNNNNNNNNNNNNNNNNNNNNNNNNNNNNNNNNNNNNNNNNNNNNNNNNNNNNNNNNNNNNNNNNNNNNNNNNNNNNNNNNNNNNNNNNNNNNNNNNNNNNNNNNNNNNNNNNNNNNNNNNNNNNNNNNNNNNNNNNNNNNNNNNNNNNNNNNNNNNNNNNNNNNNNNNNNNNNNNNNNNNNNNNNNNNNNNNNNNNNNNNNNNNNNNNNNNNNNNNNNNNNNNNNNNNNNNNNNNNNNNNNNNNNNNNNNNNNNNNNNNNNNNNNNNNNNNNNNNNNNNNNNNNNNNNNNNNNNNNNNNNNNNNNNNNNNNNNNNNNNNNNNNNNNNNNNNNNNNNNNNNNNNNNNNNNNNNNNNNNNNNNNNNNNNNNNNNNNNNNNNNNNNNNNNNNNNNNNNNNNNNNNNNNNNNNNNNNNNNNNNNNNNNNNNNNNNNNNNNNNNNNNNNNNNNNNNNNNNNNNNNNNNNNNNNNNNNNNNNNNNNNNNNNNNNNNNNNNNNNNNNNNNNNNNNNNNNNNNNNNNNNNNNNNNNNNNNNNNNNNNNNNNNNNNNNNNNNNNNNNNNNNNNNNNNNNNNNNNNNNNNNNNNNNNNNNNNNNNNNNNNNNNNNNNNNNNNNNNNNNNNNNNNNNNNNNNNNNNNNNNNNNNNNNNNNNNNNNNNNNNNNNNNNNNNNNNNNNNNNNNNNNNNNNNNNNNNNNNNNNNNNNNNNNNNNNNNNNNNNNNNNNNNNNNNNNNNNNNNNNNNNNNNNNNNNNNNNNNNNNNNNNNNNNNNNNNNNNNNNNNNNNNNNNNNNNNNNNNNNNNNNNNNNNNNNNNNNNNNNNNNNNNNNNNNNNNNNNNNNNNNNNNNNNNNNNNNNNNNNNNNNNNNNNNNNNNNNNNNNNNNNNNNNNNNNNNNNNNNNNNNNNNNNNNNNNNNNNNNNNNNNNNNNNNNNNNNNNNNNNNNNNNNNNNNNNNNNNNNNNNNNNNNNNNNNNNNNNNNNNNNNNNNNNNNNNNNNNNNNNNNNNNNNNNNNNNNNNNNNNNNNNNNNNNNNNNNNNNNNNNNNNNNNNNNNNNNNNNNNNNNNNNNNNNNNNNNNNNNNNNNNNNNNNNNNNNNNNNNNNNNNNNNNNNNNNNNNNNNNNNNNNNNNNNNNNNNNNNNNNNNNNNNNNNNNNNNNNNNNNNNNNNNNNNNNNNNNNNNNNNNNNNNNNNNNNNNNNNNNNNNNNNNNNNNNNNNNNNNNNNNNNNNNNNNNNNNNNNNNNNNNNNNNNNNNNNNNNNNNNNNNUGCGGACCUAUUGGACUACGCACGGGAACGCACGUUCUGCUACCCCUGCUGAGUUCCAGUACAGAGAGUACGAGUGGCGUUGGCUUCUGACAUUAGAAUUCAACAACCCUCGUAAACAGGUAUUUAAAUAAAUUAAUUAGUUAAUUUAUCAUUAAGUACGUGCGUUUUAAAAUAUUUUACUAAUAGUUUACUUUUUUCUUUGAAGGCGGUUUCCCGGGUGAACGCUCAGAACCGGCAACGCAACACAAGGAACCAUCAUGCCGGUUCUAGACCGUUCGCUGUCUUCAUGGACGAGGCGGCCAGGGAACAUCCAGAGGUCAACCAGUACGUCUAUACGUACGAGAGGACAUAUCCUGACUCCUAGGAGGAUAUAGUAAGUACUAUUUCUUUUUUACGGAAUUUUUAAUUUUACUUAUAUAUAUGUCAAAAUGUUAAUUAAUAAUUUUUUUCCUAUCCAAUUAGGCAAAGGUGAGGGAGGCUAGUGACGAGGUGAUGAGUGCUAUAGUGAGGGAGACAUGGCCGGACACGCAGGAGGAAGAGAUGUCCGAAGCCAUUUCCCAGAUCGACACUUCAGAUCCGAGGGUUGAGGCGAGGAUCAUGGGCACAGCCUUCCCACCGCGAGAAAACAACUUCUACUGCCGGGGUCUAGGAAAGAAGGGCCAGGGGGUCCUGAAGACCACUCCAGGAUUUCAACGAAAGGCGGGCUCGACCAACAGCAGGACGGCUCAGCUAGAGUCGGAAGUUGAGAGACUACGGGAACAGCAAGCCGCUCAGGCUGCCGCUCAUGCUGCUCAGGCUGCCGCUCAUGCCGCCCAGAUCGCCGAAUAUAGAGCCUUUACUAGAGCCCUACAUGCCGCCCAGCAGGCCCAGCAGCAGCAGAUGUUCCAAUACUUUCAGGAUUUUACAGCUGCCCAGCAACAGGGACUUCCACCUCCGCCCAUGCCUGCGCCUAUAGAGUUACCUCUGCCGUCGCAAUCUCCUCACCAGCAGGCCCGAGAUUCGGAUAUUGAUUUAGACCAUCUAGAUUUUGUGUAGUUGAUACCUUAUAUAGUUUUAUGUGCUUCUUGUUGGUUAUAUAUAUGGAAUUGUUUUGGUGUAUUUUGCAGCUUGCUUGGAAUGGUAAUUUAAGAAUUUCGUGUAUUUUUUUUUUACUGGAAUGGCGUUAUAGCCGACGAAACAUGCCACAAUUCGUCGGCUAUAGUAAUUUUUUUUUUUCCAAAGGGUUUAGCCGACGAAUUAUGGUAUGUUUCGUCGGCUAAACACUACUAAAGCCGACGAAACAGACUCUAUGUCGUCGGCUAUAGUUAUUUUUAAAUAUUUUAAUUAUAUAUUUUAGCCGACGAAACAGAGAUAUUCGUCGGCUAAAGUUUGUCAGUAAAGCCGACGAAUAUUCUCUUCGUCGGCUUAAGUCUGAGAGUAUAGCCGACGACACAGGACGUCGUCGGCUAAAGUCUGGAACAAUAGCCGACAAAAAAUAGUUCGUCGGCUAAAAGCUGGAACAAUAGCCGACGAAAAAUAGUUCGUCGGCUAAAGUCUGGACAAUAGCCGACGAUGGUCUUUAGAUUCGUCGGCUAAAGCCAUCACCGACGACCCNNNNNNNNNNNNNNNNNNNNNNNNNNNNNNNNNNNNNNNNNNNNNNNNNNNNNNNNNNNNNNNNNNNNNNNNNNNNNNNNNNNNNNNNNNNNNNNNNNNNNNNNNNNNNNNNNNNNNNNNNNNNNNNNNNNNNNNNNNNNNNNNNNNNNNNNNNNNNNNNNNNNNNNNNNNNNNNNNNNNNNNNNNNNNNNNNNNNNNNNNNNNNNNNNNNNNNNNNNNNNNNNNNNNNNNNNNNNNNNNNNNNNNNNNNNNNNNNNNNNNNNNNNNNNNNNNNNNNNNNNNNNNNNNNNNNNNNNNNNNNNNNNNNNNNNNNNNNNNNNNNNNNNNNNNNNNNNNNNNNNNNNNNNNNNNNNNNNNNNNNNNNNNNNNNNNNNNNNNNNNNNNNNNNNNNNNNNNNNNNNNNNNNNNNNNNNNNNNNNNNNNNNNNNNNNNNNNNNNNNNNNNNNNNNNNNNNNNNNNNNNNNNNNNNNNNNNNNNNNNNNNNNNNNNNNNNNNNNNNNNNNNNNNNNNNNNNNNNNNNNNNNNNNNNNNNNNNNNNNNNNNNNNNNNNNNNNNNNNNNNNNNNNNNNNNNNNNNNNNNNNNNNNNNNNNNNNNNNNNNNNNNNNNNNNNNNNNNNNNNNNNNNNNNNNNNNNNNNNNNNNNNNNNNNNNNNNNNNNNNNNNNNNNNNNNNNNNNNNNNNNNNNNNNNNNNNNNNNNNNNNNNNNNNNNNNNNNNNNNNNNNNNNNNNNNNNNNNNNNNNNNNNNNNNNNNNNNNNNNNNNNNNNNNNNNNNNNNNNNNNNNNNNNNNNNNNNNNNNNNNNNNNNNNNNNNNNNNNNNNNNNNNNNNNNNNNNNNNNNNNNNNNNNNNNNNNNNNNNNNNNNNNNNNNNNNNNNNNNNNNNNNNNNNNNNNNNNNNNNNNNNNNNNNNNNNNNNNNNNNNNNNNNNNNNNNNNNNNNNNNNNNNNNNNNNNNNNNNNNNNNNNNNNNNNNNNNNNNNNNNNNNNNNNNNNNNNNNNNNNNNNNNNNNNNNNNNNNNNNNNNNNNNNNNNNNNNNNNNNNNNNNNNNNNNNNNNAAAAAAGUAACUAUAUGGUUAAAUGGAGUCAAGUAUAUAAUACUAAAAAUCAUAGCCUUUCCUGAAAUGAAUGGUGAUGUUUUACUAGGCAACAAUUUUAUUUUUGCCUAUUAUCCCAUUCUCCUAGAUACAGGAUAUAUAGCUCUCGAUAUUAACAAUGGAAUCCACAAAAUUCCAUUUUUACCACAGCAUAAGUAUAAAUGUCAUAAAGAUUUCGCGCCAAGCAAGCGUGGUGAUCCAGAAACAAUAGAUCAACUUGACAAACCUGAACCAAGUGAAAAACACUUUGGUAAGACAAAAAUUCAGGUACUUAGUGAAAAACACUGGGUAUACAAAAUUCUAGAAGAAAAUUUUAGUGAAGACCCCUUAAAACUAUGGUCAAAAAGUCCAAGAUAUUGUGCUCUUAAACUUAGAAAUCCUGAUGUAAUCAUAAGGGUCAAACCAAUGAUUUACACAAGACAAGAUAUUAAUGAAUUUGACAUCCAAAUAAAUGAGUUGAAAGAGAAGCAUCUCAUAGAAGAAACUAUGAGUCCACACUAUAGUCCUGCAUUCAUGGUAAGAAACCAUGCAGAGAUUAAGAGAGGAAAAGCUCGUAUGGUAAUAAACUAUAAGCGCUUAAAUGAACAAUUAGAGUUCGAUGGGUAUUUUAUUCCACGAAAAGAUGUUCUGAUCAAUCAAACUAAAGGUGCUAGAAUCUUUAGUAAAUUUGAUUGUAAAUCAGGAUUUUGACAAUUAAAAUUAACAGAGGAGUCAAAACCAUUGACUACGUUUAGUACUCCAUGUGGACACUACCACUGGAAUGUCAUGCCUUUCGGGUUAAACAUAGCCCCUCAGAUUUUUCAAAGAUGGAUGGACAGUAUCUUUAAGGAUCUUAAAGAUUUUUGUGUUGUCUACAUAGACGAUAUUUUAAUUUUCUCUAAAAACAGAGAAGAUCAUAAAAGACAUCUUCAAAUUCUUUGCAGUAAAUUUCAAAAACAUGGAAUUAUACUGUCACCCAAGAAAAUUGACAUAGAACAAGAAUCUAUAGAUUUUCUUGGAAUCACUUUAAACCAUUCAAGAAUAAAACUUCAAGAACAUAUAGUCUCUAAAGUAAGAGACUUUCCUGAAGACCUAACUGAUAAAAAACAGUUACAAAGUUUAUUAGGAAUAUUAAACUAUGGAAGAAAUUUUAUAAAAGGUCUAUCUAAAAAAGAAAUUCCUUUAAUAGAAAAAUUAAAGAAAAAUAAAGAAUUUCACUGGACGGAAAAAGAUAAAAAACUAUUACAACAAAUCAAACAGGAUUUAAAUCAACUUCCUGAAGUUUAUUUCCCAAAACCUGGGGAUAANNNNNNNNNNNNNNNNNNNNNNNNNNNNNNNNNNNNNNNNNNNNNNNNNNNNNNNNNNNNNNNNNNNNNNNNNNNNNNNNNNNNNNNNNNNNNNNNNNNNNNNNNNNNNNNNNNNNNNNNNNNNNNNNNNNNNNNNNNNNNNNNNNNNNNNNNNNNNNNNNNNNNNNNNNNNNNNNNNNNNNNNNNNNNNNNNNNNNNNNNNNNNNNNNNNNNNNNNNNNNNNNNNNNNNNNNNNNNNNNNNNNNNNNNNNNNNNNNNNNNNNNNNNNNNNNNNNNNNNNNNNNNNNNNNNNNNNNNNNNNNNNNNNNNNNNNNNNNNNNNNNNNNNNNNNNNNNNNNNNNNNNNNNNNNNNNNNNNNNNNNNNNNNNNNNNNNNNNNNNNNNNNNNNNNNNNNNNNNNNNNNNNNNNNNNNNNNNNNNNNNNNNNNNNNNNNNNNNNNNNNNNNNNNNNNNNNNNNNNNNNNNNNNNNNNNNNNNNNNNNNNNNNNNNNNNNNNNNNNNNNNNNNNNNNNNNNNNNNNNNNNNNNNNNNNNNNNNNNNNNNNNNNNNNNNNNNNNNNNNNNNNNNNNNNNNNNNNNNNNNNNNNNNNNNNNNNNNNNNNNNNNNNNNNNNNNNNNNNNNNNNNNNNNNNNNNNNNNNNNNNNNNNNNNNNNNNNNNNNNNNNNNNNNNNNNNNNNNNNNNNNNNNNNNNNNNNNNNNNNNNNNNNNNNNNNNNNNNNNNNNNNNNNNNNNNNNNNNNNNNNNNNNNNNNNNNNNNNAUUUUUUGUUCAAUCUUGCUUGUUUUAAUAUUCAAAUUAUAGAGUUGUUGUUCAACACUAUCAUGAUUUAAUUUUUGAUUUUUUGAUAUCAUAUUUAACAUAUCACAGAUAGUAUUUAUUGUACUACUAAGAACAGAAAUAUCAUUUUUGUACUCUCUAGGAAUAUGCAAAGUAUGAUCAUAUUUUUGAUCUUCAUAUAAACAUUCUAAUAACUUUGUUAUAUUAGGUUUUGCCAUUUUUUCUUCAUAGAUGGUACCUAAAACCAGUUCUCUAAGGUGCCUAAAACCGAUUCCCUAAUGCCUCUUAACCAAACCUAGGUUUUUAAUGGCUAUAUCAGGGAUAUGAGCUUUUAGAGAGUAUGAGUUUUUCUACGAAGAAAACUAACUUGUAUUAUGAAACUUAAUUUACAUAGUAAGAAAACUUACUUGAAUGGAAAAGCUUCCGGUAGAGAUUUUAAGAUUUCUCCUUGCUAGAGAUUUCUUCUUGCUAGAGAUUUCUUCUCAAGCUUCAAGAUAGUAGAGAUUAGAAAUUUCUCUUCAAGCUUCUCUUUACUAGAAAAUCUAUACUAGGAAAGCUAUCCUAGGGCUUCACUCUUCAGAAACCAGUAUAGGCUCUGAUACCAAACACAAAAGGAAAGAGAGCAACUAACUAUUUUUAUUGAUGAUCGGGAAACUUCUUACAAGAGGAAUACAAACACAAAAGGAAAGAGAGCAAGGCUUAACAUCUGAUGCCUUCUCUUCAGCAUACUAGCAUGUUUUAUAUAUAUCUAUAUCCAUUUUUUCACCUUUAGUAUUAUGACUAGUCUUUGUCCCGUGCGCUACUGCAAGUAACUUUCGCGUUUUUUUGAAUAGGGGCUAAACGGCUACCCUCAUGCCUUAACCAUUAACGAAACCGCAGAAUACAAGGGGGGGACAUAAAGCCUAAACCCCGUAUUGCAUAAACAACCCGAAAUAAUAUCAUGAGAUAACAAUCCUAUGCAUCCUAACAAGCACCAUUUAGCAAAGAGCGCAUCAUUAAUUACUCCAUUUGCUUUACAAUGUCGGUGACAUACCGGAAAGACAAUGCUCAUGCAGAGCCAUAAAUUGCUAUUUUUAUCAGCUUUCCCACUAUGUUGCCACUGGAAAAUCUUACCAGUGACAUUAAGUCUCAUCCUGCCACUAGGAGGCUGCGACCAUUUGACGAAGCAAGAAACUCGCCGCCUACCCAGAACAGACAUGGUACGCAUGCGGCGCAAGCCGGGACAAACCCACCUCUCCAAACCAAAAGUUGGUCUAGACUUAUUGAAAACAUGAAAUAAAUGGCAGCUAAAUAAACUGAAUAAAUAAAAGCAACAAACAAACUAGCCCAUAUUGGGCCCAACAUCUGAACCCAGGCCCAUGAUCCGUUUAGUUAGCAAAGGUGAUGAUCAAAAAUAACAUCAUAUUUCUAGUAUAGGUGCGGUGCUACAUAUGAUUAUAAGGAGUGCUAAGUUGUAGAGAAGUACAUUAAAUCAUGUAUUGUUAACUAUGUUUACUUGUAGGGUGCACCUCUAGUCCUUCUUGAGAAACAGAUAACAUGAAAACCCAUAAUGAAAGAAGAUCACCAUAUUAAAAUCUAGAAAGAAAAAAAAAGGGUAAAGCGGCUAUUGUCACCCUACAAACCACUUUAUUCACCCCACAUGUGGUUGAUUUAUUAAAAGACCAAAAUAAUCUGAUGUAAAAUUACAACAAGGGACAAUAAGUUGUUAAAAAUUACAAAUUCUUACUUUUUUAUUUUUUUGGAUGAACAUGUACAUACUUCAUAAACCUUAACCCAAAUUUAUCAUAUUCGGUCGUUCUAGGUCUAAAGACGCUACUAUUCAACCUAAAGAUGAGGUGAACUGUUUGCAUUUCUUUUUUUUCUUCUCUUUUUUUCUGUGUUGACGCUUCUGUUUAUCAUUUUACUCAUUAUUUUUCAUGUCGAUUUUGUAUGUAAAUUCUCAUGGAAAAUUAUACCGUAUUUAUAAACGCAUAGAUCAGUUUAAAACACUCAGAAUUAUGGAGUAAUGAAGAAGAGAAUGUAUGGUGAACAAAGUAUAAUUGAGAAAAAUAUAGUUUAGGGAUUGUAAAUGGAUGAAUAAAGUAAAAUUAGGAAAAUGGUAUUUUAGGUAUUAUAUAUAAAUGGGUGAACAAAAUAGACUUAUAAUUAAAAAUAUAUAAAUGGGGUGUGAAGAGAAUGUGGGGUGAGUAAAGUGCUUUGUGGGGUGGCAAUAGACGCACCCAAAAAAAAAUCAAACCAAACAAAGCCUGAAAAAAAUAGCAUUCAACAGCGAAUUUGUUGAAGGCAUACUGAUUAGCAGGGCGUCUGAGAUGGUUUGUCCUGCAAAAGUGUGACAACCUUAAAAUUCAAAAGAUCAAUAAUUUUUCCCAACUUGACAAUUUCACCAAACUUUUGACAUUCCAGGAUAGAUAUAAAAAUAUCUGAUACAGGUGUUAUUACAGCAACAAAGUAGGCCAUAUACCUGUAUAAUAGAUUUAGACUUGGAAUCCCACUUUAUUGAAAACUCUGAUGCUAUAUCUUUCAUCAACUGAACCUUCUUCUCAAUUGUGGGAGACUUUGAAGCUAUAUUCUCAAACAACUAUCAAUUAGAAAUUCAGUCAGUCAGCUUCACAGCAGUUAGCAAUUCAUAAAAUUCCAUCAAAAGCAAGACCAUAAACACUUACCUUUUUAUCCACACAUUAAUAAGAGAAUUCGCUUAUCUCUCUUUGAAUACAUGCCUGAUGUCACGUAACUCCGGUAAAUCAGAUAAUCUUGCUGCACUAGCCAUUAAUGAUGCAACAGCAUCCUUACAUUCCUCAAGGCAUUCUCUGCAAUGACAAAAAUGGAGCAAAGUUAUACUAAGUUAAUCUGUCCUUCUUUUAACUUACUGAUUCCUUUAGCAGGAACUCGAACCAUCUAUCUGAUGCACACUAUUACAUGAAACAAUAAGGUCAAAUUAACAAUCUUUAGUAAUGACAUAAUCAGUUAAAAUUUCAUAUUCCUGACAUAAAUAUCUAUGCAAGAACCUAAUCAAAGUUUCUCCAGCGCGACUUUGCAAUCAUGUUACAACCUGUCCCACACGAAUGGAUGAUGUUAUGUACUACUUUAAUCAUAUCAAAAUGUUUCCCAAUUACUAUCCCCCAUGAUGGCAACUAAAUUCACCUCAUUUCCUUUCUCAUCAAAAGGGACAGCAGAAAUGUCUUUAUCAAAUUUGCAUUAGUAUUUUCCAUUUCAAAUUCCGUCACCAAUUGUUUUUUUUUUUUUUUUACAAAUUUAUAUGUCAUAUAAUAAAUUGAUCAACCAAGUGAGACAUGACAAUCAGAUAACUUAGUAUACUGAUGUAAUGCUAUACUACACCAGCAGCAUAAUGUGAUACCAACAUUACCAAUCAACCAAACUCUCAAUGUGAAUGUACGGACACCUAAUUCUCUUUUGUGGCAUUCUUCAUUACACAACAACAUUUCUACACAUUUAACACACUAUUUGUUAAUAACACACAAAGUGAGUCUGCAAAAGCAAUCAAAGAAGCAACAUUUUUAAAUAUAAUCUAUAUACUUGAUAAAAGUUAUAGUAGUAUAAGCCUUCAAAUAUCUACUCUCAACUUUGCCAAAUGGCUUUCUAAAAACAAACUAUUAUACACCUCCUACCAAAGACAUAUUUACAACUGUUUUAUGAGAAUUUGAAGAAUCAAUAAUAAAAAUGUUACUGCACAAAUACCAUCAUCACAGGUUUUGUCAUGUGAUCUAUAAUUGCAAAAGCAGAUAACUUCAUUGUUAUCAAAUCCACAUACAGAUAACAGGUUUUGCUAUCCUAAACAUUUAUAACACAAAUGGAAAUUAACAACAAUAGAUCAAGCUUUCAACUUUUUCAUUCUUCAUUCUCCUCAACUUUCAAAUAGAACCCAGAACAUAUCAUGACUACAUAAAGAUCAAGGAAUAAGAAAAGCAAACAGUAAAAACCUCAUACUCACCCAUGCAUUUGAAAAUAGCAGAGAACCAAGAUGUAAUAUAACUAAAGCUUUGCAUCUAAACGUGGCCAGCCACCACCAAAACUUUAAAUCCAAGAAGGAGAGAGGCAACUCACAAUCCUGCAAAACAGAUUCAUUAAAUUGGAGCUGGCAUCAGCAAUUCGGCUAAAUUCAUAAGCAAUUACCAAGAAAAAUAAUUACCGACCAAUUUGCAUUUCCAAUGGUUUUUGCUUAUAUGGACCUGAAAGAUGCCAUUGAAAUUGGGAAGCUCUCCUUCGUGAAACAACAGUAGGGUUUGGCUUUUUUGUUUAAUAUGAAACAAAAAAAAAAAAAGUGAAAAGAUUUGCACUUGUCAUGAAGCAAAUGAAGCAAAUAGUAACUGAAAAGUGAUAAGAAACUAACAUUCUACCUCUCUACAUUGACAUCAGUGGAAUACCUUUUCAAAUCAGACCUUUCCCAAAAGCACCAACCAGUUUUUGCAUACUAUAAGCAAUUGAGACAUCACCUGCAGUCCGUGACCAGAACAACGACUUAGAAUUGAAUUCAUUACAAAAAACAGCAGAAAGCAAAGCACUUGGGAGUUGGGGAUCCUAUAGCGAUCACACACAAAACGAAAAAAGAAGAAAAAAAGAAGAAGUGGGUAACAAAAAACCCAUACAUUUUUUUGUUUAAUAUGAAAGGAUUUGAAUAAAACUAUUAUAGAAUAUAUGGGUUCAGUAACAAUCAAGUUCCCAUUGAAAGAGCAAGCGUGUCUGCAAUUAUAUAUGGUUGGCAUAGAAUCCAUCCAAAUACAGGAUUGCAAAAGAAGGCACAUUGGACCACCAUGGCUGCAAAGUAGGGGCAUUAGACAUGAGGCAGGAUGUACAACAACCAAACCAAGAGCCAAUACCAACCCAAAUUGCCAAGCCAGGUAAACCAAUGCACCAGUUCCAUUACCACGCCAGGUAGACCAACGCACCAGUUCCAUUACCACGCCACAACAAAACAGAGGAAAUCAUCACUGCCUACCAAAUUGCAAUCACAAAUGAAACAAACACGAUGCUAAUCAAACGAACACAAUAUGAAGACAGGAAGACUUCAUAAAAGGAAAUUUUGCAGGAAAAUUGUAAAAAUCACAUCAAAGUCAUACAUUCCUACCUGGAAAACAACUGUCGAUCUCCACGCAGCAGAACCCAGAAAACAAAAUCUCCCAGAUGGACGUGACCGGACCCAACCCCAGUUUGACUCUCCCUUCAACGCUUAUGAUCCCUGAAGAAAACGAAGAUAUGCAAUCCAUUAAAAACCAAAUCCAAACCAAAUGAAAAAUCAAAAAGCAAAAUCACACACCAAACCUGUAAACCUUGUAUCUCGAUGACAAAUCAAAAAUCAAAUCGAUGAAAAAUCAAUGAAGCCGAAGAUGAGAUGAAGACAAAAAAUAUACCUUCUCUCGUCUAAAACACCAAUCUACCCAAUUCAAGUACUCAACCCUGUUGAAUUGAUUGAAUUCUCCACCAGAUCUCAACAGAAACAAACCCAGCUAUUCACUGAAAUCAAAUGAAGGAGAGAGAAAAGAAAGAGAGAGAGAGAGAGAGAGAGAGAGAGAGAGAGAGAGAGAGAGAGAGAGAGAGAGNNNNNNNNNNNNNNNNNNNNAAUUCAUGGAAAUCAAAGAGAGUGAAAGAAAAGAAGACACACCCAGAAGGCUCUUGGAAAGAAUCCAGCUACAGCUACAACUACUCCUCCAACUAUCAUAGCCAUAGAGCCAAAUAUAAUUAGAUAGGAGAUCAAAUUUCCACUCCACCCAUUAUCUGUUCAAAAUCAUGGAAAUUAAAACCCAAUUCUUCGUUGAAAUUAAAACCGUUGGUAGAGACGAAGAUAUAGAGGGAUCAGACCAGAAAGAAGAACAUGACGAAGAUCAAAGGAAGAAAAUUUACCACAAAACUCGAAGUGUUGCUUGGUUGGAUAUGGAGGAAAGAAGAAGACAGAAAACUUAGCUAUUUUUUUUUUUUUUUGGGAUUACAAAGGGGGCACUAAGACCCAGAAUAAAAGAGAAAAACUAAACAGCAACUGAAUCACCGGUUCUUUUAACUCUAGGAAUACCAUUCAAAUCAUCAAGAUAAGCAUAAACAACAUGGAUAAGAGGCCCUUUCAGAAUAAUAAGACCAAAAGUAUGGUUGAUGCUUAUUUUAACAAGGGAGUCAGCAGUCAUAUUACACUCUAAAAAUAUGACUGAACUUAAUACUCUCCAUGUUGGAGCUGAGAAACUAGCAACCUGCAAUAAGAGAUCCAAAAGGGAUGGCAAGAGAUAUCAAAAUGCUGAAGAAGGUUCAUGAUGAUGCUAGAGUCAGAUUCAACUUCGAGCUGUGAAGGAAGAACACAAAGCCACGCAGCAGAAGAGGUACAGAUGUCGUGACGUAUUCGGGUGAUGGCAUGACUGGAAAUUCUCUGAUUCACUCAAGGGCAGAAGCGACCCGCAAAAAAUUUCCUUAGGAACAGUAAAGCCGUGCGAGACCUUUUAGUAGAGAGGUAAAAUCUGCAAACUUCUACUAUCACACUAGAGUCUACUAAACCUUCAAUAGAAUCAUUCGGCAUAUAUAUGUUAAGUUAUCAUGUUCAAAUAUGUUUCCAAUUGACUUUUUUGUUCUCCUGCUUUAACUGAGAUGUUGGGUAUGAUAGAAACAACGUUAGUAUGUUUUCUAAUUAUAUGUCUAAAUGGUAGUAUGGCACAUAAUCGAUAUUCUGUGCGGCUAACAAAAAGAAAAAUUGGAAAAAUAUGCAUGUCCCUUUGGCACAGAGAAGAAUUGCUCCAGACAUGUGGAAGAAAUUUAGUCCCACUUUUAUAUGAAGAAAAUAGAUCAAACAGAGAACUAAGACAUCCUAUAGAUAACUUAUUAAUUACUCGUCAAGCGUAGCCUUUUCACACAUGCAGAUAAAGUCAGGGGCGGAGCUUAGUGUAGGUUUGAGAGGGUCCAGACCCCCAUAACAUUCCUAAACAGUCUAAUUAAACUUCUUGUUUUAGCUUAAUUGUAGUUAUCAUUAAGAGCAAGUCUAACAGAUUCCUUAAAUUCUUUAAUUUUCUCUAUUUUAGGGAAUAUGGAGUCAUUUUUCACUCCAACAGCUUCCCUAUCUCAAUCUCUAAAAUAGGGAAAGAGAUGAAAGAGAAGCCUUGCUUCUCUAUAUUUACACAUUCCCUAAAAAUAUUUAGGGAAAGAAUAAUUGAAUGUUACACAUUCUUCAAGGCUUAAAGAUAAGAAAAAAAACAUAAUUUAUUCUAAAAAAUAAACUUUUAAAUUUUUAUACUUAUUAUUAUAUUGUAAUAAAUGAGGAUUGUUGUUGUAAUAAAUAUUUGAAUCUUUAAAAUAGAGAAACUGUUGGAUUUGGUAUACAAAAUUUUUAGAGAUUUUGAGUUUUUUGCUUCCCUAUUAUGUAGAAAAUAUAAGGAAGUUGUUGGACUUGCUCCCCCCCUUGAUUUUUGAACAAUCUAAUUAAGCUUCAUAAUUUACCUUAAUUGUAGUCAUUUCUUGUUAACAAUAAUUGAUAGAUCACCAAUAAAUUAAUGAAAUGAACAAUUGUUUCAAACUUUGAUAGGAAGUUUUCUAUCAAUUCUUUCCCUUUAGGUUAUAUUAUGUUUAUCAUAUCAAAUUUGAAAUAGUUAUUCAUAUAUUUUCCUUCUUUAUCUUUAAAAAGCAUAAUCUAACUUUAUUAUUCAUUUUUCAUAUGCUACCAUUUAUAUUUUAGACCUCCCUAACUCUUGAAUUCUGGCUCCGCCACUAGAUAAAGUCAAUGUAUUUCUGCAUGUAAAAACAUGUAUAGCAAUAAAAGGAAGACACUAUGUAUAAAGUCAAGACAUAAUGCCCAUUUGGUACUAAUUAUUGGGUCUGGUUGCCCAUUCCAAUGAAAAACGUUUUCCAUUGCCCAUUUCAAUUAUUCUUACCAAAAUUACUUUUCUAUCCCUAACCUAACUACCUGAUCUUAUCCCUCCACCUCUCAUUCAAGAUCUACUAUCUCUCUCUCUGUUUUCUCUCUCCUGUCUCUCUCUCUCUCCGCCAUCAUCCUCUAAUCCAGGUCUACUCUGACCUCCAGCAACAAUCGCACGCACGCCUCCGACGAACAGAAGAGUAGUGCGGUAGUCAGAGUCGUGUCGUCGUCGUCCUCUAAUCCAUCAACGUCGUUGUCGUCCUCGACCCGACUGGCAAACGCUGUCGUUUCAGCCGGAUCUAGGACUUCGUCACCGCCUCAUCCCCCUCCUCGCCUCGCCAAUCUAAACCGCAGGAUCUAAGACUUCUUCACCGCCUCUCUCUCUCUCNNNNNNNNNNNNNNNNNNNNCCGCUCUCUCUCUCUCUCUCUCUCUCUCUCUCUCUCUCUCUCUACUUUGUAGUAGUGCUUUGAUAUUGCGUUGUGAAUUGAUUUGAUAUUGUGCUUUCAAUUUUCAUCAAUUAGUUUUGCUUGAUUUAACGUUCACAACAUCAAUUGGUUUCAAUUAUGUUUUCCUGAACCUAAAUCAUGUUUAUCUUAUAGCUAGAAGUUGUUGAUUUUGCUUUAGAUUACAUGUGCACUGAAAUAUACUAAUGCAAUUCAUAAAAGUUACUCGUACUGUUUAGGAAAUGAACUCAAGCAUUGUGAGAAUUAUGUGUUGACUGUGUUUGUUUAACAGACCUUUGUGUAUUCACUUUGUUUUGCUCUUUAUUUUAUUAUAUUUAGUAUGUUUUCGUAACUGUUAUAGUGUUUUUACCAUUAUGUGGUAGUAGUUUUCUCGCACUGUGCAAGUACCUUUAUAUUAGACACUUAUUGUUUUUCCUAUAUUAUGAAUUUGUAGUGACAUAGCCAUGGAUGCACAACCAUAUGCGAGGUGGGGCGUCAUUGGUCAGUUAGCAUGUCCAGUGAGACUCUUUUGGAGGUUUAUGCUGAAAAAUCGAUCGCCGUUGAUCUUGAGGACGACACUUGUUCUUGCUAUCACUAGUAAAUCAACUCAUUCCCAUGUUCACACUCUCUUGCUGCCAUCCAAAAAGUUGGAGAUCAAACUGUAUAUGCAUACAUCGAGUACUUUCACACUUGCCAAAGCUACACUGAGGCGUACGCGCAUGGUAUUCAGCCAAUACCUAAUAUUGACAAGUUCUAUGUGGAUGCACAACUACAUCUGCAAUUGUGUAGCCUCCCUUGGUUAGGAGGUCAUCUGGUCGGCCAAAAUCAGUUCGGAUGAAGUCUUCUGCAAAAGGUGGGAAGAGGGGAGCAAUCAGGUGUGGUCGGUGUGGUCAAUUGGGGCGCCAUAACAAAGCAACAUGAACAACACCAAUCUGAAGCCAUGAGCAUAUGGAGUAUAUUUUUAGAACAUAAGUAGUAUCUUUUGGUUACAGAUAUAGUAGCUUUUGUUUGUAUUGGCGGUAGCUUUUGAUUUACAUCUAAUUAAGGCAUUUGACAACACAAGGAGUAGCAUUCUUUGACACAGAGAGUAGAUUUGGAGUACAUUAGGAGUGGUUUUUACAUCUAGUCGAAGCUUUUUUACUUUGCCGUAGUCACAUUGUGGAACUUUGUUUUAUUCAUAUAGCUUGCUUCAUUAUAUUGACCAUAUUCACGCAUUCAAGUGAUUGUAAAUUUUACUUGUUAUGGUGACGAUUUGAAACCAACUUUGUCGCAUUUUUUAUAGUUUCAGUUUGAAUAUCUUUUUGAGACAUGUUUAGUAUCUUUUGAUAACUGCUAUUGUAGCUUUCUACAAGAAAGGUACGAAAUGUGUAUUCCAUAUUAUGGUUUAGGGUAGCUUUCUGUUUAAGUCGCACAAUAUAAAAGUUAAGUAUGCAAAUCCUGUUUUAACUUCAUAACAAACCUGAAAUGAACAUUCAAAUUAAAAAAAUUUACAAAUACAAGAAAGCUACUACCAAAGUAUAAGAAAACUACUACCAAGGAACAAGAAAGCUACUACUAAGGAACAUAAAAGUUACUACUACAAAAAAUUACUNUAAAAAAAAAAAUUAGAAUUGUUAGUCUUUGUGGUUUGAAGUCGACAUCUGUUUAAUCCUUUUGGUUUUAUUUUAAUCUGAAUAGUCCUUAAAGUCACGAUUUUUCAUCCAAAUAGUUCUUAUGAUUUUAUUUUAAUCUGAAUAGUACUCAAAGUCAUGAUUUUUCAUCCAAAUAGUAAUUCUGACAAUUUUCUCAGUUAAAGGAUGUAAGGAUUAUUUAGAUGAAAAAUUGUGACUUUAAGGACUAUUCAAAUUAAAAUAAAACUAUAAGGACUAUUUGGAUGAAAAAUCGUGACUUUAAGGACUAUUCAAUUUAAAAUAAAACCAUAAUAACUAAACAGAUGUCGACUUUAAAUCAAAAGGACUAUACAAUAUUUUAAUAAAAAAAAAAAGAUCAGAUACAUUAACACAACAAAGACACAUCAUCACAGUUUCACAAGCAAGCUUUUCAUAUUUCACAGUAUCACAGCCAGUAUCACAACAACUACACAGUUGCCCUUCACAAAAUCUACUACCAAUGAAACAGAAAGCUAUAACCAAGGAUACGAAAAGAUACUACAAAUCAAAGAAUACGAAGUUGUUCAAAUAAUCUUGCUGCUCCUUGUUCUGCCCUUUGGAUAAUCAAAGUCUUUUGCUUGUAGUAGUCUUCCUUUUCUUAUUCUUGAUUCGAUCAACCAUUGAAGUUCUCUUAACAUACUUCUUCCUUUUCUUGUUCUUCUUCUCAUUAACUGGUUCCUCUUCAUUAACUGGUUCCUCCUCCUCAUUAGUUGCUUCUUUCUCAUUGUGACAUAAAAUGGGUGUAAACUUGCUCUAUACUGUGUCUUUUUGUUUCUCUCUUCCUCCUUAAUAGUUUCAACCAUUAUAACCUAAGCAACUAUCAAUAACACAUGGAAGAUGAGAGAGAGAGAGAGAGAGAGAGAGAGAGAGAGAGAGAGAGCUGCUUUUUAGAUGAGUGUGUGUGGGUGGAGAAAGUGUGAGUGUGAAUUAGGUUAUGAUGAGAGAUGCGUAAUUAAGUUAAAAGCUAAUAUCUAACAUGAAAAGAUAUUUGGGCUGGACCUAGCUGGAUUAGACUUAUGUAAGUAAAAAUAUUUAAGUAGACUUAUAUAAGAGAAAAUAUCUCAAAUAGAUUUCUACGUAAUUAGCCCGUUAGAAAUCUUACUUAGGCCCAAAAUAGGCUAAGAAUCCAUCACAAGGGCGAGACCGAAAAUUUGAUUAGAAAUCCAUGGUAUAUAAAUACAUUGCUCAUUACCUUCUUUAUUCUUCACCGCCGAAACCCCAAACCCCAAACCCCCACUUCAACUCCACAGCUUCGCGUAUCUUCGGCCAUGGGGUCAGGCAUUUUUUUUUUUUUCUAGCUACUUUCUUUUCAGAUAAGUGAUUCUCUCUUCGUUUGUUUGUUGAAGAUUUUGUUAAGGAUUUGGUGAAGAUGUAUACCUAUCUCUGCGAUUUGCUUCCUAAUUGUUGAAUCGAAGUCUUUGGAUUUGUAUUCUGAGCAUGUUAAUGGUGAUAUCUCUUCGUUUGUUGAAGUUUUUGUUAAGGAUUUGGUGAAGAUAUUAUCUCUGCGAUUUACUUCCUAAUUGUUGAAUCGAAGCUUUGGAUUUGUAUUCUGAGCAUGUUAAUGGUGAUUUGUUGCUAUGAAAGCUGAUGCAAUUUGCUAGACCUGAAUUUUUUUUUCUCUGAAACCCUAGUUUGCCUACACUCUUGUUCAACUCUUCCUUGCUGCCUUUCCCAAUCUCUUGUCUCUCUCACGCCUGCUUCUCUAUUCUUUACCUUUGAUUUUUUUUGUUUUUGUUUUGAUUCUCAAACCCUAGCUUCAUACUGUUGUAGGCGUGGAUCUCGAUGCUUACAGAGAGUUGGUGAAGGACAAGGGGGGGAUGAGACAUGGUACUAGGUUUUUUUACUCGAACUUAAACCUUAGCAGGAUGUGUAUGUGGGAAGAGGUAGAGAGGAAUAACCGAGAAGAGGAUAUGAAGCAAGCUCUACAUGAAAGGAUAGCUCUAAAUAAAAGCCUUGGGCAAUAUUGGGAUAACCUCAGGAAUGAAAACAAGAGGGCAUUGGUUAAGUCUUGUUUAAAUGCUGAGGAUUUACAAAAUUUUACUCGGGAGAAUACUCCUGUUAUUGAGUUUCUUACCAAAAUCAACCCGGAGGUUAUAUGGGAAUAUACUUUUCUUGCAUUUGAAUUGACUUAUUUUCAGUCGGGAGCUAGAUUCUUGGAGAUUGCUCAAUCUGAUACUCUCAAUCUAAAAUCCGAGAAGUUUUUCAGCCUUCUAGAUGGAGCGAGUGAGAGUACAUGGCUGUUAGGUGGAAGUCCUAAGGUUGAGCAUGUGUUAGAUCAUUGUAUGGAGGUUUUAAAGAAUGCAGGAGAUGGAGAUGUUAUCGCUAGCAGCUGUUUACGCAUAGAACAAAAACUAUUAGAAGGUUACAUCCAAGCAGAGGUCGACAAGGAUAAAACUAGAAACAGAAGGGCCCAGAAAAAGAAGGAGAGAUAUGCUGGACCAAAAAACCCACGUGUACAAGAUAUUUCUGGUCUGCUCAAUACAAAUACAGUUGACAACAGCACUAAGGGGGAUGCAAAAAUCCAAGAUGUGGUUGUUAACAGUGAUGUGGGUAAUCUUGAGGUAGAAGCCAAAGUUGUGGGUGAAGCAAGAUCUACUCAAAUUGAUGAAUUAGGCUCCCAGACAUUAGAUAUUGUAACUGGAAUGGCUAGGGAUUAUUGUGCAACGUCAUCAGAAUCAUUAAUUUCAGAGGAAGCUCGGCAAGGUGAUGGUGCCAGCAUGUUUGAACCACUUGCUCAGCCUGAUUCUGGAGAGGAAGAUGAGGACCAGUCUGCAAAAGAUGUAUCAGGAUCGGCUACUGCCAGAACCACGUCGCAACUACAAUCAUCAAAUGCAAAGUCAAAAAAACAGGAAGCAUCAGGUCCAUCUUCCCCGUCACCAGGUGUGUUCAGCUCAGUAGUGUCCUCCAAUGAACCGGGUGGGAGUUCAAGUAACCCUUCUGGAGAAGCUGCAGUUCCUCAAACUAUGGCCAUGGAAAUUAGGGCCGUGCAGGAUAUGAUGAAAAAGGUGAGCGCUGAAAUUUGGGCAUUUAAUUAUCUUGCACAUGUCUAUGACGUACCAACUAUUUUCUGCUUAACUUGGUAAAGUAGGCUUAGUAUCUUCUCCAAAACUAUGCUACUGCCAUUUAUGCCGGUCUUCAAGUCAUUUAUUAUUUGGUGAACUGGUAUAUCAAUAUGUUCUUUCUUGUCCCAUUUCACAUGCCUAUAUCAUGGGAAGAGCUAAAGGUUCUAUGUUGCAUGUGUUAUGGUUGUGUUUUGUGUAAUCAAACCUUGUUUUCUUGUCCAUUAUCCUUUCUGUUAACUAUGGCUUUUCAUCAUAUGUGCAGCUAAUGGAUAUGCACGAAAAAUUGCAAGAGCAGAUGGCAGUGAUGAAGGCUAUAGAGGCCGAUAAUGUUGCUAUGUGGGUUCAGCGUCUUGAAGAGUUUCCUAAACAAGUAACUGGUCUGAUCGAUGACUUUGUAAACAAGGACUUUGGAGUCAUGUUAGAGAAAAAGGUGAAAAAUGAAUUAGCUGAUAUUAAAGACGCUUUUGUUUGUGCAAACACUCCAGGUAUAGAGCAAACUCAGACAGUACCUUGGCUGUAUCUGAUUACUGUCAGGUAAGAAUUUUAGAUGUUCUAGCAUUUUCUGUAAUAAAGUUGGCUUGUCUAAUUGAUGUGUGUGCUGCAGAGUGAAGUGCGAGAUAAAGCAGUUAAUCAAUUGGAGAAUUUGGUCGAAUCAAAACUUGAAGCUACUAUCACACAGUUUCGAACUUUGGCUAAACAAGUUCUUGAGGUAUGUUUAAUUCAUAGUAAUUUUUGUUUCAUUUGCGAAAGAAAAAUGAACACUAACUAAUGGUAUCUGUAGGAUGCUCUCCGGUCUAUCAUGGAUUCUUCAAUGGCACCUUCCUUUCUGAGGAAAUGUAGAGCGACGCUUGAUCUGUUAGAAGCUGAAUAUUUGAAACGAAUUGGUUCUGCCCCUCGGAAGUAUCCUGUGCAUACGAAAUUGGUCAAAGAGUUAAAUGUGUGUGCGCUUAUAGUCGGUUCAGUUCUGUUUUGAUAGUUUAAUUUUUGACAACUCUUCUUUGCUUUUCUUUCACAAGUUAUUAUGCAUUGGGUUUUUUAUGUGUGACUUUGCAUUCUGUUGUCAUUUACAGCUAGCUUUGAGCUCCGCAAUAGGAUUGUCUCGAAAUCUACAUAGAGAUUUGAUUGCGGAACAACGCAAUCUUGUGAGUGAAGCAGUAAAGGUGAAGCUGUCAAGGUUGGUGAGCGAAUGCAAGUAUGAUGAGGCAUUUAGUUGUGCUCUAGAAAGAGAUAAAACUGAUAUCGGCCUUGUACCAUGGUUAUGUAGUCAGGUGUGAUUUGAUGAUAUUUUUGUGGUUGGUUAUCUGACAUAGUGAUGGAUUGUCAGUGACAAUUGUUUGCAUUUUGCAGGUUGAUCUUCGGGACAUACUGGUGGUGCAAGUACAUAUUCCUUUGAGCAUAACUUCAAUUCUAAAGCUGCAAGUACGUCUCGCUGAAUAUUAUGAAAUAAAUCAGGAAGCCUGUGUACAGGGAUGGAUGGUUUGCUUGGAAAUCGCCAUGGACCGCAUCCAACAGAUGGCAUCGAUCAUAACAUCUUAUCGAAUCAACCAAGGCCGCCACGAUCUCCAGUGCUAAGCAAGCUAGUCUAUGUCAUCGUAUGCAUGUCAUUAACUGUGUAUUAAACUAUAUAUUCUUAUUUUGAUUGUGGUGGUAUCUAAUGAUCAAGUCUUGAUUAAAUUACCGGUUUCAAAAUUGUUAUACACCAUUUCUUAAACAUUGUAGUAACGUUCAUUAUAAGAAAACAUGAACACGUAACAAAUUGCAUUGGCAUAAUCGUGUAUGAUAUGUCGAAGAGGCUUUAACAUAUAAAUCAUCAACGGGUACCUAGCCUCCAAAAACUGAAUACUAAUUCUGCAGCAUAUACCCAGUACUCAUGUAUGGCAGCUCAAUGUCCAAUUGCGAAACUAUUCACAGAGCCAAACAAAUUAAAGGUCCAGCUGUCCCUUAUAAAUAACUUCACAUUGCAAUUUAAUGGAGGUGCAGAUUAAUAGGGAAAAACACCAUUACGAUAUUUAAAGUCAAGAGAAGGGAACAACAAUGUUCUGAUAAUUAAAAUAAACUACAAAAAACAGGAGGACUCAUCGACAUCAGUUCAGUGGUACCACAAAACAAACCUCCUCGUCCCAAAUAUGGCUGGGACAUCGGUGUUAUCCAACAAUCUACGUGUCUCCCAUUCUGUUGUUCUCAGCAGUGACAACAACAAAAACAAGAACAAAUGAUUACAUAUUCUUUUAUGUUCUCCCAUUCUGCUGUUUUAGCAGUAAUAACAACAAGAACAAAUAAUUACAACACGUGAACCAACUAUAACUGUUGUUGUUACUUGCGUGUCUAUGACGCGGUGCUCCUCCUUCCUUUUUUUUUUUUCCAACUACGGCGAGUGGUUUGCCUUUUGUCUUCCAUGAACCUGUUUCCAGCAAGAAGGGCAACUGGUUCAGUAACAAUUAUGAGGGCCCAAAUUUCAAGCAGGCUAUACGCUCUAACCAACUUUUCUGGUUAUAUUUCGGCAAGUUCAGAUAUCUUUUGGUAGGGAACACAGAAAAUAUUAUUAAUGCACGCAUUCAUUCAUAACAGUAUAGUAUAAACACCAUGUUGCAUCAAAUGUAUCACUAUUUCCAAUCAAGCUUUUUCAGCAUUAUAACCAAAUUCAAUAAAAGUGCUCAAUUGGAUUGUUUAGGAAGACUUUGGGUGGAGGAGGCGAAAUUGUAAGUAGCUUGAGGGCACAUAGAUAAAAGAGAAGUACACAUUUCAUGGAUAAAAUUCUACCAUAACAGCAAACCUAUAGUUGAAACCAUAGAUUCGAAGUAUAUUCUUAUCCAUAGAACAAGCAAGAUUCAGGUUUUAGUCUGCAAGUGUGGGUAAAAUUUAAGUCCAUGAAAACAAUCAUAAACAUUUUAUUCAUCAUAAAUAACACUCUACUAGCACAUGAUCCUUGAAAUGAAAACUCAACAACAGGACGAUAUAAGGAAGUUCAAGCUGCAAUUCACCAGAGCAGAUAUUUUAUAAAAUGGAACAAUUAUUUCCUGAGAAACAGUCUGGUCACUCUAAAAUGAGGAGGCAGUAACCAACUGGAUAAUUAAUGGACCAUGGUAACAAAAACAGACCAAAAGAUCAGCAAGACUGCCAUGUCCCUGACUGUCCAUUGAAGGGUUUGGUUUAGACACCUAUUUAUUUAAUUCUUAGCAAAGGCCAAGUGACUUGAUGGAACAUCCUCUUUUAAGUUCUUAACAGCAUUUCCUACCAUUAAACAAGAAUCUCUAUCUUGUCACAAAAUGAGACCAAUGUCAACUCAUCAACCUAUAUUUUCAAAUCUGUAGAAUUGCAAAAAUAAGGAAGUUAUCUUAUCCAAAUUCUCACCUACUGCCUCAACAACAUCAAUUGAAGAAAUACAAAAAAGAUACGAGUAAUUAUCUCUCCAUCCACAUGAUAACAGGCCUAUAUUUUCAAUCCCACUGAGAUGCCAAAAAGCUGCAAAUGUGGAUUCUACAACAUGUGAGAGAGAGAGAGAGAGAGAGAGAGAGAGAGAGGUGGGGCAUAAACAAAACUCGACCAACACAGCAAUCAAAGACUAAUGCAAACAUCCUCCUAAAUCUUAAGCUGAAAAGGUAAUUUGAACAUAUAUAAUUCAACCCCUUCAGAACAGAAUUAAAACACUCCAACAAGGUUAAAAAAAUCUAGAUAUAAUACUGACCUUCAAGCCAAGAUGCCUUCGCCUUAAGACACAACCUGACGAUCGAUAGAUUAAAAAUGACAUUACUGCUAUUGAAUCCUUGAAUGCAUAAAUGACUGCUUUCGAUUCCAUCCUGCGGGACAAUUAUAUAUAUGCGCAGUUGAUAAUUGAAGGAUCAAGGCAGAAUAAGCAUAUGUCGAACCAGAAGACAGAAAGAAGCAUAAUGCAUAUUACCAUUCUUGUAAUAUGCAAUUCUAUUAUGGCAUAGGACACAUUGCAACACCGAGGGAGGGAGGGAUUAUCAUUCUUGUAAUAUGCAAUUAAUUUUACACAUUUACUAACCUACCAGUACUAAAUAGAUUCUAGUAUGGUAAAUAAACUCUAUCACAUCACACGUUACACAGCUCUUCAAAUUCCAAUUGCAGUUUACCUAAACCACAUAUGUUUAUGCUAAACUAAAUGACACCGCACAACUCUGUUAGCAGAGUCAACUUUCACUUCGACCUUUUCUAUUAGUUGGAAAAACGAAAAAUAUUAGUGAUACUUAUGAAGUUAAGAGACAGUUUUGAAUAUAUAUUCGGACACUGCAAUAAGGAUCAAAUUACCAAAAUUUUGAUGGAUGAAUAAAAAGGGCUUAAAACUACUUGAAUUUCGUAGGAUGAACAACAGGGCCUAUAACUAGUGUGCACUGUUUUUGAUAGAAGCCCUAUACCAGACAAUCGUGCUGAUUCAAGUAUGAUUCUAAUUAUAAAGAUAUAAACUAUAUGGGUCUCUGUAUUGCUUUUUUUUGUUAGCUACCCAUACUUGAAGAUGCAAUUUCAAUCGUAAGUACAUGGUGCAGAUGGAAUACACUUUUAAACACCCGCAUCCCUAUGAAAAUGUUUGACAAACACAAACCCAAACACAUUGUUCUUGCCUCUUCGGUGUCUGCAAGUGGGCUCCCUUCUGUCUGCCAUGGACCUGUUUCAGGCAUAAAGGGUAAUAACCAUGGAACCAAAGGCUUAAGACAGAUUUAAAAAUAUUUAUCUUUGCAAAACUUUAUAUACCGAGCUAUACAUGUAACUGAAUUUACAUCAGUAUUGUCACAUUCUAGAACCACCGCCAUUCUAAAUCUGCUAUACAAAAUCAAUGCCACAUGUUAUGCAUAAGAGAAAUACUCGAUAUUGAAUUCAAGUUUACCCUAUUUUAAUUCUAACAUGCUCAAGGCAUGCCGCAACUGGUUAAAAUCUAAACAAUGCAGAUUACAGAGAAACAUGUAAAACAUCGAAGAACCCUAACAAAGAAUCGUAUGGAGAUUUGAGGUUCUCCAUAAUUAUAUUGGCGCAACAUAAUCACUGCAAACUCAUAUGAUUCAACAGAAUUGCAUUCUUAAGACAGCCAUGGCGACAAAAUUUUAAGCUAGAUUUGACAGCAAAAUCUUUCGAGCAAUGCUGUAGCAGAAUCACACAUCACCCGAAGUUCAAUUAGCUAAUCACCCAACAUAUCUUUCGCUCUAUGUAGUAUAUUACACCACGACUAAUAGAAGUCAUAUCAGGUUGACAACAUAUCAGUAAUGCUCUCGCAACCCAUUCGAUAUAAGUCACUUCAGAUCCGUAAGCUGCUCUUUUGGUUAUGUCUAACAAAUCGUGAUAUUGAGAAAGAGAAGGAACCUGAAUCAGAUUGUAUUGGGUUUCCGGCGAUGACUCAGAACUCCUGGCAAUAAGCUUCGUCGCUAAUCUCUCUGGGUUUCCGAUUCCAGAUCCGGAUUGUGUCUUCCAAUCCUUUAGAAAUGAUUCCACUCUUCUGUCUCAGCAACCUCUGCGUUAUUUGUGUCUAGAUGCAGAACUUCGAAUCGAUCGAAAUAGUUGACGAAGGAUAGAGACGCGGUUGGGGAUCGACCUCGGGCGAAUUCUCUGUUCUAUCUCUCAGUAAAGCAGUGAAAUCAGGCAGUUACCGUGACGAACAUAAAUUACUUAACUAUCCUUUGGUUAACGGCACCGUCUGGUGUACGGUACAUCGCCCGCAGUCCAGCUUUUGCCAACUUUCCACCCAAAAGACAAAAAAGAAAAAAAAAAAACUAACCCUAUGUGCGCGCGCCUCGACAAACACUCUCUCAGUCCUUCCAACCCCAAGCGCUCCUGGCUCUCCCCAAAGCGCGCGUCUCUCUCUCUCUCUCUCUCAUUCAUUCCCUCGCGCCUCUCAUCUCUCUUCGGUCUCUCCCGAAACACCCAGCUCUCUCUCUCCCAAAACACCCAACCUCUCUCUCCCAGAAAACUCCCGAGCCCUUAGCUCUCUCUGACUAUAUCCUCGCGAGCCCUCACUUAUCGAUCUCUCAUUCAGCCCUAGACCAUCUCAUUCUCAGCCAUCUCCCCCAAUUACAAAACCCUAAACCCAAAUUUCGAUUUCAGAUCAAUUCUGUCCUGGGAGAUGAUGAUGUCGCUGAUGUCAUCGCGGCAAUCUCAGAUCUGGAAAUUUCAGUCCGGCAAUGUCCUCGUCGUAUGUGUUUGUCAUCGUCAGAGAUCUGGUAAUUUUCCCGUCAUGGUCUCCUCAUUUUUAGUUCGUCAUAGGAUGAAGCCUAGAGCCAAAGGUUGCUGGCAUUGAUUGGACUUUUAACAGUUGGGGAGGUAGGCUUUAAGUUAUACAAAGUUCUUGUCCAUAUUGAAGUUGUACAGUUUUCUAUAGAUACCAUUUUAUGCUUAAUCUUUGAAGUAAUAGAACGGUAGUUAGAACCUUGAUGCUUUAAGGGUAAUUUGCACGGUUGCAUUUAAUGUUUAUUCAUGGUAUUUGUAGGAGUUGAUUAUGGUUGUUAUCCAGACUUAGGUUUGACCUCCUUGUGGCAGGGAAGGUGAGAAGAACUAAACAGAUAUGUUUUUGAUUUAUAGGUUGUUUGCUUUGUUUUAGAGACAUUGUGGGUGGAACUACUUCAACUUGGGUUAAAGCUCAGAUCUUUAACGUGUUCAACAUAAACUACUAGCUUGUGUCAAUAAAGAGCCAACCUUUUAGUUUAGUUUUGUUUGUUUGCUUCACGAUUUAAACAUUGUGAUCCUUAUUUGGAUUCACUUUCUUAUGUACUAUAGCUUCAUAAUUCUUUACCCAUAAUCCCAUAUCAUCGCAAAAGUAAAACUUUACUUUGAUUAUAUAUGCUUAUCUUCAAGGUUACAGAGCUCACUGAGUGCUUGUUGUUAUUUAAUUGUGUUGUUAUCAUGUGUAAGUUCAUGACAGGGGUGGAUUUAAACGGUGGGCUAUAUAGGCUCAAGCCUAUACAACAUUUUGGGGGAAAAUCUCCCAAGUAUGUGUAUAUAUACUUGGUUGGCUUCUUGUUAAUCCAUUAUAUUGUGCUCGAAUGUCAUACUUGAGUUGAUAGUUGGCUUAACUAUUAAUUGUUAGUUGAUAGUUCAUAGUUGUACAUAUACUGUAAAUUUCUUUUUGAUCGAAUGAUAGUUGCAGCUAGUGUUUUGUCUAAAAUAUAUACAUACGAUAAUCCUAAUACUGGUGUUGUAUCUAUGGUUGGGAGUAGGGAGUUCAUUCAAGGGGUGUCUGAAAAUCUUCUUGAGACUGCACUCCCAAAGACCUGGUGGACGGGUUCUUGUAUUGUUGGGAACUUGGCAAGCAUAGGAGGAUCUUCGGCAGUCCUGUUGAGAAUGAUUCUGAUAGGGAAACUGGUGUUCUUAUGAAUGCUGAUACUCAUGUCUUGCUCAAUGUGAAGCUUGAGCAUACUGGAGAUCCUAGCUAUCUUGGAUAUUGAUUCAUAUAUAUAGGUAACUCAAAGCAUAAUUCAGUUCUUUAUAUGCUUUGCCUUGCUAACUGAGAUUUUGACUAGUCUCUUGACUCAUGAUUUACUGACUGUACUCCUAUGUUGGAGACUUGGAAGUUUGGUUUGUUCACACACCAUGAGAAUAUUUUAGGUGUUUUCAUGUUGUUCUACUAGUUUGUUUCUUUACAGCUUUUUACUUUUUCAUUCAGGGUGACUGGAAUAGUGCGGGUGCUCACUACAGCUACAUGUAGCUCCCUGUUCAAUUUUAUUGUCAAAUUUGACUGCAAAUUGUGCUUAUAACUAGAGCCAGAGUGUUUUAUGACUGUAGAUCAUUAAAUUUUUGAACUUGUACAUAUCAGUACCAAGUCAAUGAGAAAUGAUGGUGGGUAUGAAGUAAUCAAGAAGGCUAUUGACAAAACUGAGCAAGCGAUAGAAGGAGCACAUUUGUGCUUAUGGAGAAGGCAACGAGAGGAGAGUGACCAGUCAACAUGAUACUAUUGAUAUCCACACUUUCUCUUUGGUAUGUUAAACAAUCUUAGUUAGCUAAAUCUAUUUUAACCUCUUUGCGGUGUGUAUCAAACUUGGCAGAAGUUUUCCAUAUAUUCUUAUUUAGUUACUAAUUUCAUGACAAUUCGUCCCAACAAAUCACAUGGAGUGGAAAUAGGGGAGCAUCCGUUUGUGUUGGUCGUGAUACUGAGAAAGAAGGGAAAUGUUAGAAUGUCUUUGUAUUUGUACAUGAUAUCUAGUAAUGAUCUAUAAUAUGCAUUAUAAUUAUUUUUCUCUUUACAAUAGAUGUGCUUACUGAUGAACAUUGGCAUGAGAGUGUCUUGGUGAAUUGUGUGGUUACAACUUACAAGUAAGUUGGUUCUUUGCGAUGCUGGAUAUCGUUCUUAUUUCAGACUACACUCAUGGUAAUCUUCUGCUCUUGCACUUUCAUAUCAAUCAAUCUAGCUAGCAUUGAUGAAUGAUGUUGCUCUUACACUUUACCAUAUCUGUUUCAGAAAGUUCCAACCAUUAGGAGUUGAAGUGCACAUUGUAAAGUGUGUUUUGUUGUGGACAUUUGGUCUGCAAGGUGGUGUUCUUUCCAUGCUGCAUCCUUUGUCCAUGCCAAUACAUAUUGUAUAAUGUUACCAAGAGCUUACCAAAGAGAAUAAUGCACAAGAACGCACAAUGUGAUGUUGAGAUAGGCAUUAUGUUUUACUUGUUUCGAGAGACACACAAUCAAGAUAGCUAGGAAAUAUAACAUAUGAAUUUUCAAUCUUUACCUUUGUAAUAGGUCAUCAACUUAUUGAACUCAGUUUCUAUACAGUGGAAUUGAAAUCAAUCUGUAGUCAAUGUUUAUUGUUAUUGUAUUUUUUUUUCUUUCUAAAUAUAAAACUGGAUUCUAGCAAUAAUAAUAUAUAUAUAUAUAUAUAAUUAAAAAGAAAUUAAGCUGAAAUUUUUCACUAAAACCGACUUAUGUGUCUAUAUCAGAUAACAGGUCUAAUAACAAUAAUUGUGUGAUUAGGUGUCACACAACUGUUACACAAAUUAACUGUGGUGUGAAUGUAUGUUAAUACGCUGUCGACAUGUGUUGACAUUUUAUGGCUGUCGACAACAAUCAGACACGUUUCUACAAUGCAUCAGAUGACACGUAAAAAAACAACGGUAACUUUAACAAUCAGACGAUGUUUUUUAGCCGUUGUCUGAUGCAAUUUUUGUGGUAAUGAAUACCCAACUCGAAUUCACAAAAAAAAGAAGAAUCAACAUCAGAGUCGAAGUGUUGAAUCCAAAACCCAACAGCCAUCUCUCUCUCUCUCUCUCUCUCUCGCAGAGGUCAAAGAUGCAUUGGUUGCUUUGAAAACCCAGAACCCAAUCAGAGAGAACUCAGAGAAGCAGUGAUGGGUUUCUGAGAACUUAAAGCAGAAAGAGUGAAAGACCCAAUCUCUUCUUCUCAUUCCUUUUAACACGUUUUGUCAAACGGGUGGGUUUGAGCGGGUAUUUAAUGGGCGGGUUUCGGGCGGGCUCGCAGCCCGCGGGCCAAAUUGCCAGGCCUAUUUAUGCAAACUGUUUACCAUUAUCACUUUAAACCGAUAAUUGAGAGAACCCCUGCGGUGCCGCGCCGACCAAACCGGGUUGAUAUCGAUUUUGCAGGUAUUUUUUUCCAGCUACUUUCUCUUCAGAUAAGUGAUUCUCUCUUCGUUUGUUGAAGAUUUUGUUAUGGAUUUGCUGAAGAUAUACAGCUAUCUCUACGAUUUGCUUCCUAAUGGUUGAAUCGAAGCUUUGGAAUUUGUAUUCUGAGCAUGUUAAUGGUGAUUUGUUGCUAAGAAAGCUGAUGCAAUUUGCUAGAUCUGAUUUUUUUUUCUCUGAAACCCUAGUUUUUCUACAGUCGUUCAACUCUGCCUUGCUGCCUUUCCCAAUCUCCUUUCUCUCUCACGCCUGCUUCUCUAUUCUUUAUCUUUGUUUUUUAUUUUAUUUUUUAUUCUCAAACCCUAGCUCCAUACUCGCUCAUAAUUCUGUAUCAUCAUAGCCUCUUCUAGCUCAACUGUCAUUGGGGCUGGAUGUUUGGUCCGGCUGGUUCUGAGUCGAUCCGAUCCGAAUAAGGUGGUUCGGAUGGGAUCAUGAUUAAUUAAAAUGUGGCUUCUCUUGUAUAAUGGAAGUUCGUAUUCUGAUCGGAUCCUGAAAAAAAAAAUGUAAACUGUUUGAUUGAACUAGAUCUAUAGUAGGUAGUCAGAUUGUUAGGGUAAUGAAAAGAUUAAACACAAAAUUGACUAAGAAUGUUACCCCGUUGGAUUGUUGGUGGUGUUUUGGAUGUUUGGAGCUGUUUGUUUACCUUGUUAUUGGCUUGUUGCAGCUUGUUAUUGUUGAGAAUUGCAGUAGUUUGCUUGAAAUUUGUCAAUACCUUGCUAAGUUUGAAACUUUGAAUUGCCUUGAUGCUUAAUGCUAUUUUGUGUCCAAGUUGGUAUGAACUUUUGGAUUUUUUUAUUUUUUAUUUUUUAAAUGGCUUGGAACCCAGCCUAGUUGGGAGGAUCCACUUAUUUUAUUAAAUAUAAUAUAUUGCUGCAAGGAGACAUAAAACCUCAACCCGGAGCUACAUUUAGAUAGAUAGCUAAUAUCCUCAUAGAGAACAUUGCAGGUGUCUUAUCUAACCAAACAUCAUCAAGGAACCCAAUACUAGCAAGGUGAGCUAACCUAUGGGCCGCACUAUUUGCUUCUCUGAAGAUGUGCUGAAUUUGGAUGGACUGAAAGGCUUGCAUAUAAGCCUUACAAUCCUCUAUCACUUGACCCACCUCCAACAAAUUCUGCUCCCUCCAACAAACCCUAAACCCUAAACCCUAAAACCGUAUACCCUAGGGCAGUAACUUAGAAUAUUGGAAAUAUGUUUAUUUAUUUUUUUUUUUUUAAACAUGAAAAUGGUUUGAGUUGAGACUUGAAAAAGUUGUAUGGAAAAUUGGAAUUGGUAUUAUGGAAUCGCAAAAAAAACCGAGAUCUAGGGAUGGCAAUAAUCCCUAGUGGGUAGGGUAGUUUGACCCUAAUGGGGGAGAUAUACGGGGGAUAAACAGGUAACAGGAUGGGGAUGCCCAGUAUUUGGAUUCUUAAAUCGGGUAGGGGGCGGGUAUGGUAUUUUGAUAUUCGUCCUCAUCCCCACCUAUUAAGGAUGGAAAUAUUAUUAUAUAUAAUUUAUUAAUAUAAAUAUAUAUUUAUGUAAAAAUCUUUUUUCUAAUUUUUUGUGUGAUUCUCUUCAUAAAUAUUUAAAGAAAUCUUUUUUUUAUAUAUUACUAGCCUUUUACUCGUGCAUCUCCGUGCAGAUACGUGGAUAUAUAAAAUGGGAGAAGUUUAACUUGAACUGCUCCACUUGAAAUGAAUAUGAUUAUCUUAUUUCUUAGAUAACUGCUCCACCAAAAGCGGGAACAGACCACAUCCUUUUUUCUCUCCAUAAAAGUCUAGUGGUGUUUUUCUCCAUAAAAGUCUAGUGUUUUUUUCCUCCCCGUCCUUUUUUGCUCCAUAAAAGUCUAGUGGUGUUUUCCCCAUAAUAGCUUAUGUUUAUUUUCUUUGAGAAUUUUCUAUUAUCUUGGUUUUCAGGUAAUUCAAAAAAAGGCUUCACCAUGACACCAAAGAGGGUGCCUGGCAUUCUAAUAGUAGAGAUUACUGGAUUGAAUCAUGAAACUUAUUUAUUUUGGUAUUUGAUAUUAAUUUCAUACUUCUAUAUUUCGUACUUUAUAAAUUAAUUUAUUACAUAAUUGUUGAUGGGGAUCAGGACGGGUAUGGAAACGUAAUCCCCAAAAGGUAUGGGGACGGGGAAUCCCACUAUUGGGGCAUGUAUGGGGAUGCGGAAUGAACUAGGGUAUGAUUAUGGUCUUUUAAUCCCCUGACCCUACCCUCCCCGUUGCCAUCCUUACGGCAAGAUCCGAACCGUUUUUUUUUUUUUAAUCUAGAUCCAUUCGGAUCAUGUGUUUAAAAAUACAUAAUCCGAACGGCAUAAAUUAAACGGUUCGAAUCAUGGAUCCUAUUUUUAGAAAAUGGAUCCGAUCCGAACACAGCCCUAUUAAUUGAUAUUAGCAGAACUAUCAUAUGUAGAGAGCAAAAGGUUCUAUGUUUGCAUGUGUUAUGAUUAUGUUUUGUGUAAUCAAACCUUGUUUUCUUGUCCCUUAUCCUUUUUGUUAACUAUGGCUUUUCAUCAUAUGUGCAGCUAAUGAAACUGCUUGAAGGUUUCGCUGACAUGGAAAAACAAAAUAAAGCUGUUUCUGAUGCUCUGGUGGUUGAAGAAGUUGAGUAUAAAAAGAAGAAAAUUGUACAAGAUGAAGUAUCUUGUGUGCUCAAUCUUCGUAUCCUGUUCAAACAUCCAAUCCAUCCAAUACCUCCCUCUGAGAUUUUAAUGGCUGCUUCUUCCUCCGAAAAUACAAAUACAGUUGACAGCAACACUGCUUCUUCAUUAUAUGAGCUAAUGGAACUGCUUGAAGGUAAACCUGAACUGAUUGAGGGGGAUGCAAGAAUCCAAGAUGUGCUUGUUAACAGUGAUGUGGGCAAUCCUGAGGUAGAAGUCAAAGCGGUGGGUGAUGCAAUAUCUAUUCAAAUUGAUGAAUUUGGCUCCCAGCAGGAACUCCAAAAUGGUGUUUCAGAAAAUAUGGAGAAGUUCUUUUGCUCCCAGGCAUCAGCUCAUGGAAUUGAAAUGGCCCGGAAUUUCUGCGCAAUAUCAUCAGAAUUUUAUACUACAGAGGAAGCUUGGCAAGGUGAGGGUGCUAGCAUGUCUGAACCGCUUGCUCAGCCUAAUUAUGAAGAGGAAGAUCAGGAACAGUCUGCAAAAGAUGUAUCUGGGUCGGCUACUGCCACAACCACGUCGCAACUACAAACACCAAAUGCAAAGUCAAGAAAACAGGAAUGGAAGAAUAUGCAAGCAUCAGGUCCAUCUUCCCCGUCAUUAGGUGUGCUCAACUCAGUAGAGUCCUUCAAUGAAGCAGGUGGGAGUUUGAGUCCCCCCUCUAGAGAAGCUGCAGUUCCUCAACGUACGGCCAUGCAUGAUCUGGUAAAACAGGUGGGCAUUUAAUUAUCUUGCACAUGUCUACUCACGUACCAAUUAUUUUCGGCUUAAGUUAGUAAAGCAGGCUUAGUAUCUUCUCCAAAAUUAUGCUACUGCCAUUUAAGUCGGUCUUCAAGUCAUUUAUUAUUUGGUGAACUGGUAUAUUAGUAUGUUAUUUUGUGUCUCAUUUCGCCUGCCUAUAUCAUGGGAUGAGCAAAAGGUUCUAUGUUUGCAUGUGUUGUGGUUGUGUUUUUUGUAAUCAAACCUUGUUUUCUUGUCCAGUAUCCUUUCUGUUAACCAUGGCUUUUCAUCAUAUGUGCAGCUAUGUGAUGAGGAAAGAGAAUACUUGCAAAAGCUGAGGGCAAAGGCGGCUACUGUCUUAGAUAGAAUAAAGAAGGAAGAAGCUGAAAAGAAGAAUAAAAUUGCAAAAGAUGAAGUAUCUAGUGUGCUCAAUCUUCCUAUCAUGUUCAAACAUCCAAUCCCUGGGGAUGCGAGAAUCCAAGAUGUGCUUGUUAACAGUGAUGUGGGUAAUCCUGAGGUAGAAGUCAAGGUUGUGGGUGAUGCAAGAUCUACUCAAAUUGAGGAAUUUGGCUGUCAGCAGGAACUCCAAAAUGCUGUUUCAGAAGAUACGAAGUUCUUUUGCUCCCAGGCAUCAGAUCUUGGAAUUGUAAUGGCCCGGAAUUUCCCUGCAAUAUCAUCAGAAAUUUGUAUUACAGAGGAAGCUCGGCAAGAUGAUGGUGCCAGCAUGUCUGAACCACUUGCUCAGCUUCAUUAUGUAGAGGAAGAUCAGGAACAGUCUGCAAAAGAUGAAUCUGGGUCGGCGACUGCCACAACCACGUCGCAACUACAAACACCAAAUGCAAAGUCAAGAAAACAGGAAUGGAAGAUUAUGCAAAUAUCAGGUCCAUCUUCCCCAUCAUUAGGUGUGCUCAACUCAGUAGAGUCUUUCAAUGAAGCAGGUGGGAGUUUGAGUCCCCCCUCAAGAGAAGCUGCAGUUCCUCGACGUACGGCCAUGCAUGAUCUGGUAAAACAGGUGGGCAUUUAAUUAUCUUGCACAUGUCUGCUCACGUACCAGUUAUUUUCGGCUUAAGUUAGUAAAGCAGGCUUAGUAUCUUCUCCAAAAUUAUGCUACUGCCAUUUAAGUUGGUCUUCAAGUCAUUUGUUAUUUGGUGAACUGGUAUAUUAGUAUGUUAAUUUGUGUCUCAUUCACCUGCCUUUAUCAUGGGAUGAGCAAAAGGUUCUAUGUUUGCAUGUGUUGUGGUUGUGUUUUGUGUAAUCAAGCCUUGUUUUCUUGUCCAGUAUCCUUUCUGUUAACUAUGGCUCCUCAUCAUAUGUGCAGCUAUGUGAUGAGGAAAAAGAAUACUUGCAAAAGCUGAGGGCAAGGGCGGCUACUGUCUUAGAUAGAAUAAAGAAGGAAGAAGCUGAAAAGAAGAAGAAAAUUGCAAAAGAUGAAGUAUCUAGUGUGCUCAAUCUUCCUAUCAUGUUCAAACGUCCAAUCCAUGGGGAUGCGAGAAUCCAAGAUGUGCUUGUUAACAGUGAUGUGGGUAAUCCUGAGGUAGAAGUCAAGGUUGUGGGUGAUGCAAGAUGUACUCAAAUUGAGGAAUUUGGCUGCCAGCAGGAACUCCAAAAUGCUGUUUCAGAAGAUAAGAAGUUCUUUUGCUCCCAGGCAUCAGACCUUGGAAUUGUAAUGGCCCGGAAUUUCCCUGCAAUAUCAUCAGAAUUUUGUAUUACAGAGGAAGCUUGGCAAGGUGAUGGUGCCAGCAUGUCUGAACCACUUGCUCAGCUUCAUUAUGUAGAGGAAGAUCAGGAACAGUCUGCAAAAGAUGAAUCUGGGUUGGCGACUGCCACAACCACAUUGCAACUACAAACACCAAAUGCAAAGUCAAGAAAACAGGAAUGGAAGAUUAUGCAAAUAUCAGGUCCAUCUUCCCUGUCAUUAGGUGUGCUCAACUCAGUAGAGUCCUUCAAUGAAGCAGGUGGGAGUUUGAGUCCCCCCUCAAGAGAAGCUGCAGUUCCUCAACGUACGGCCAUGCAUGAUCUGGUAAAACAGGUGGGCAUUUAAUUAUCUUGCACAUGUCUAUUCACGUACCAAUUAUUUUUGGCUUAAGUUAGUAAAGCAGUCUUAGUAUCUUCUCCAAAAUUAUGCUACUGCCAUUUAAGUCGGUCUUCAAGUCAUUUAUUAUUUGGUGAACUGGUAUAUUAGUAUGUUAUUUUGUGUCUCAUUUCACCUGCCUAUAUCUUGGGAUGAGCAAAAGGUUCUAUGUUUGCAUGUGUUGGGGUUGUGUUUUGUGUAACCAAACCUUGUUUUCUUGUCCAGUAUCCUUUCUGUUAACUAUGGUUUUUCAUCAUAUGUGCAGCUAUGUGAUAAGGAAAGAGAAUACUUGCAAAAGCUGAGGGCAAGGGCGGCUACUGUCUCAGAUAGAAUGAAGGAUGAAGAAGCUGAAAAGAAGAAGAAAAUUGCAAAAGAUGAAGUAUCUGGUGUGCUCAAUCCUCGGAUCAUGUUCAAACAUCCAACCCAUCCAAUAACUCCCUCUGAGAUUUUAAUGGGUGCUUCUCCCUCUGAGAGUACAAGUACAUGGGCAGCUAAUGGAACUGGUUGGUGGUAAACCUGAUCGAACUGCUUGAGGGGGAUGCGAGAAUCCAAGAUGUGCUUGUUAACAGUGGUGUGGGUAAUCCUGAGGUAGAAGUCAAAGUUGUGGGGAAGCAGGAUCUACCCAAAUUGAUGAAUAUGGCUCCCAACGGGAACUCCAAAAUGCUGGUUCAAAAGUUCUACGUUGUUUAUUAUUAACAAUUAUCCAAAGUACUAAUUUAUUGAUGACAGUUAAGAAUUUCUAGACCUUCAUGAUCAUUUACUUAUUGUUUGUAAUGACUGGAUGUAUUGAUUAGGUAUCUCGGGUGUAUUGUAGUAUUGUAUUGUAGUUUAGUAUUUAUAUUUUUUUUUUAUCAUAUAUUACAACUUCGUGAGUCGAAUUCAGUGUUCUAUUUAUUAAUAAGAAGAGAUUAUGCCGUUAGACCAAAUGGUAUUGGGUUAGUAAUCAGAUCUUUAGAUUUAAUGCUGUUAGAUCAAAUGGUACUGGGUUAAUAUUCAGAUCUUUUGAUUUAAUAAGAAAUGUUGUAUUUAUACAGAUUUAUAUAUUUUGGAUACUCAUAGAUUUUAAAACUUAAAUUUUUUAAGGAUUUUUAAAAACAAAUUAUAAACUAGCAUGGACUCAUGAAAUUCGAUAAACAUUUUAUGAUUCAUCAUUCAUCAAUAUAAACAUGCAACUUAAGUAGAUAAAAAACAGUAUAACAUGAAAACUUCUCAAAUUAAGCUCCGUAUUACAUAUUAUGGAAAAGAAAUAAAGGAUUCUUGUUGAUAUGAGAUCAUUUUAAAAAGCCCUCUGACCUUUCUUUUUUCUAUUUUUUAAUAAAAACAAUUUUAUCAUUUAUAAUCAAAUAGAGGUUACAAAGUGAUUCGAUCCGCAGUUUUGUGUUUAGAGGGUGAAUAUAUCAUUGGAGUCGCUAAUGGGUAUGACCCUCGUUACAAAAUUCUGCUGACAAGACUAAAGUGAAUAUGUUUUCAAAAAAGAAGAAUGGUGCUAGCAUGCCAUGUCCUUAACUUGCCCAAAUAUUUGGCAAGGGAAGGGGUGUAUCUGUGCCAUUCUAGCUUGAGUAUCAAUGAAAUUGAAGUAUGAUUUUACCUGUCAAAUUUGAAUAAAGGAUACAAAACAUAGAGAGCUAGAUUAUAUUUUCCAAAUGUUCAUUACAUAAAUUUGAAACAUAAACAAGCAAAUCCAGCAAAUGCCAUUGACCUAAUUGCUACAGAGCUCGGCAGCUUCCCCUUGUCCAUCCUUAGGUAUAGCGCUUCGUAUAACGGUUGGUUAAUGACAAUCAAAACCACACAUAGAAGAAUCUGCAAGAACAUUGCCUCAUAAACUUCUGCAAUGCCCUUUGUUCCAGUGAUUGCUUCCUUCACAAACCAGGCAAAGCAGUAUAAAUUGAGCAAUGCAAGUGUUGCAAGCACGACGAACAUUGGAGACGAGCUCCCGAAUUCCAUGAUCUCUUUCUCGUAUCGUUCGGACACAUCUUCAUCGGACACCUUCACUGUUAUUACAAAUCCUGAAUCAGUGUAUCCAAGGUUGUGUACAAUGGUGUCGAUGAAGGCAAAGAGAUAGGAGGUUGUUCUCUGGUAAAGCCAUAUACGUUGUUCGUUCCACCAACCUAAGCUCGUUCCUCCACACCACCGAUACUCCACGAAGCUCCCAACUGUUCUUAGUCAAUUAUAACAUACGCAAAUGGUAUGAUCCAUCGGCUUGAAAUCUAAUCCCACAAGACAAAACUUGUAAUCAGAAACAUGCAUGCAUGUAAAUUGUGACAAAUUAUAAUGAGAACUAUAUAUACCUGAGGAAACAAGGAUGUGCCUCUAAGGAGGCUAAGUGAAGGGAGAAUCGAGUAGAUUAGUGUUGCCCAACAAUUAGCUGCCCAUAGGUUGUAGCGAAGGUAUCCAAGUUGAUGGCCUAAACUAAUCUUUCCGUGGCCAUACCAUAAGACAUUGAACUUAGAGAGAGUAAUCUGAAGGUUCCCCUCAGACCAUCUCUUAUGCAUCACAAGUGCAUGAAGCAAUGUGGUUGGAGCUAAUCCUAAGAAAGCUUUUCUUGUUGGAUUGCAAUGCACUGAUUUCCAUCCUCGGCAUUGGAUCGAUAACCCCGUUAUCACAUCUUCGACGGGACUCCCAUAUUUCAAUCCCAUCUGCAGAACAUUAAGAUUUCUUUGCUCAAUUUUGAGUACUGCUACAUUUUGAAAAAUGUGUGUGGUACGUUAAUAGAGAGUGGGAUACCUCUUUUCCCCAUAUAGUGUUCUCUUCAAAUGUACAACUUGCAAGACUCUUUGAUGUUUCUUCUAAUUCAUGAAUGGCGAUUUCUUCUCUUCUUUCUUUAUCCCAUUUCAUCAUUUCACUCUUACAUCCCUCGAUACAUUUCUUCCCACAAAGAGUUUCUCUUCUGUGAAAGCAGCCACUUCCAAUAUAUAACAUCCCCCCAUAAUUAUCCAGACCAUGGCCUUCCACCUUCAUGCAGUAUAUACCAAAACAAUAAGAAGUCCAAUAAAUGAUAUGAUAUGAAACAGUUAAUCGAAAAUUUUGCUUAUAAUAUCUCCAUGAUCAUAUAUAUAACUCACCUCAUUAAGAACUCGUAAUGAAGCGUAUAAUUCAUUCUUAGUAAGGUUGUCGAAAUUCUGCGGGAACUGUACGUAUGCAAUCUCAUGGCCUUGUUCUUCAUCCAUCAAGAAGCAAAGUGCGUCCCUUAUGGCCAUGGAGUUGUUCGAAUACAUGUCACAGUCUACAUUAAGAAGUAACUUCCCAUUGCUAAUGCUCGAUGAUACCCUAAUCUGCAUAAUGAAUUGUCCUCUGUAUAUAUACAAAUUUGUGAUCGUUUAUUUGUAUGAUUGCAGUUGAAUUCCUCACCAGUGCAUUCAUAGCGCCAGCUUUGAAGUUAUGGUGAAAUUGGGGUCUCUUCUCGCGAGCUAAAUACACCAAAGUUGGCAACACACGCCCUUCGACAUCUCUUGCAUUUGGGUCUCUCCCAUCAAUUACUAUCUGCGAGAAAAGUUCAAUAUAUGAACUAAUUUAAAUAGGGAAGUGAAAUCCAUAUUCUUUAAAUUGUAAUCCACACUCGCACCUUCUAUUUUUUGUAACUUAAAUUUUGUUUAGUGACUUAAUUUUUAUCUUCUUAUGAAAAUAAUGACUAAAAAUAAAAAGUGGGAGUAUGGAUUAUAAUCUGGAGAGUGUGGAUUUCACAUCCCUUUAAACAUCUAGCACUAAAGUGAGUUAUUUAAUUAGUUAAUACUUGAUAUAAAUUAAAAUAUCAAAUUCUCAUACGUACUUGAAGAAUUGUGUCAUGGUCACGUUUUGAUGAAUAUGAGUCCCACUGAGAAAAACCAUUACGUUUUGAUCUUACUUCUUCCGGAAUCCGGCCUAGCUUCACUGCAUUUUCAAUUUUUGUUGCCAUGUCCUCGUAUAGUUUCUGCAUCAAUAUUAUUUGGUGACAUGAGAGCUUAAGUAUGUAGUAAGCAUUGUAAGACCAAAAGAAGAAGAAGAAAAAAAGUAGUUACAAAUGCAACACAAAAUAAAACAAGAUAUAACGGAGUAAGAAAUGUUUCUUGUAUGUUCUUUUGGUGUUACACUGCUUAAUCCAAUUUUGCAGUGUUUUGAACGUACUUCUUCUGAAACGUACGCGGCCUAGCUUUAGUGUGUUUUUGUCUUUUUGAUUCUAUUCUCCAUGUUCUCGUAUAAUUCCUACAAACAAUAAUUUGAUGACAAGAGAAGCUCAAUUUGUAAAUAUGAAUAGGGGUUCUCAAAAACAAUUUUCUAUAAAAACAAAAAAAACAAAAAGAAAAGAAAAAAGGAAGCUCAUCAAUUAUUCCACGACCAAAUAAUUAAGAGUACCAUGCAUGCAUGAGAGAAUCGAAAAAAAUGUGUGAGAACUGAGAAAUGGAGAUAAGCAAUAAUUAGCAGGUAACUCUAAGCUAGUUGAUUCAAAAGAAAUAACCAUGCAUCCUUCUCCAUUUUUCCACUCUGAUUAUGAUUAAUUACUAUUCCACAAAGACAUCCAUAUUAUAUUUAUAAACGUCAUAGUCAUAUGUUAAUUACUAUAUUUUGAUCAUGACCAAAUUGGAUCCGACCAACUUAUCUCAUUCUUCAUUUGCAUGAAUAAAAUACGAUAAAGAAAGUAUAACCUUGAUGAGAGCCAAAUCACCAGCCUGAUUCUGAUUUUGACCACCAACUGCAUCAGAAGCUGUUGAGACGAGACGAAAUAAGCAGCCGGCGACCUUGGUUCCACACUGUACUUCUUGCAAUAGGGUAUCCAGUGCUUAGCAAACUCAGCUGCUUCCAGUAGAGCAUAGUACGUUAGCUCUGAGCCGCCAUCAUCGGAGAGAUACACGCUGAGCUUCUCCGGUGGGUAGUCGUAAGCCAUGACGGACAAGACAGUGUUCAUCACCUUCAUCGGCGGCUCUAUGAUCGGAUCAGCUGUGCACACGAAUAUGUCCACCCCCGGCAACUCUUUCUCAUAUCUUAAUUUUCCAAUUUAAUUAACACACCCUCAUAAGAAAACCACCUUAAUUAUUACUUUGUAAACUCUGUGAAUCUUGGAAUUAAGUUGAUGCAUACCUUUGAGAAAGCCUGUCCUUGAAGGUGUGCCUGUAGACGAGGCUCCACCGAGCGGCCUGAGUGACGAACCAGUAAAAACUGAACCAUAACUCGGCAGCGAACAAGCACAUCCAGCCAAAUCUUCCAUCUUCUCCAGCUUUUGGUAUGUGAGUCGCUCUAUAUACCCAUAUCAAACAUAUACCAACAAAAACAGACACUGCAAAUAAUCUGUAUAGGAAUCUUCCCUUUGCUCUCGUUGUCUCAAACAGCGGAAAAUAUAUUUCCGGUUCCAUUUUUCAGCUCUAAUUGCUCGUCCUCUCUUUCUGUGUAUCUAGAAUGGUUUAGUAAUGGUGAACAAGUCCUUCAUAUUUUCGUUGUAGGUACCAAACCCAUCAAAUUUGCAACUUGUAGUCUUGAAUAUUUAUUAUUGUUUAGUAAUGGUGAACAAGUCUUUCGUAUAUUUAUAACAACGUUGAAAACUAAUAUUACUAUUUUAAAGACCAAUAUUACUAUUUUAAGGAUUCAUUUUACAACUUUAAGACAAAGUUAAUGCAUGACAUGCAUCAACACACCAUAGCCUUACCCCAAAGGCAUAUAGUCACGCUAAAUAUUUAAUAUUGACGCUUUAUCUUGAAUAUUUAUUAUUGUACUAUAAAAUUAUUCAACGUCAUAAAACAAUUGUUAAGGUACUAAGGUCAUUCAUUAUAUAUGCCUACCCUAUAAAUAUGAUGUAUUGUACUGUUCAUCAGUUAGUGAAGAAAUACAAGAUGUAGACUCUAAACCUCUUCUACGUUCUUUACUCUUAGUUUUGCACUUUCAAUUCAAUAAAUCGUGAAUCCUUUCAACAACGUGAUAAACAAAAAUACGGUUCGACUCAAAUGGUAGUUAUACCAAUUUUCCCCCUCUUAGAUCUUCUCCAUUUUUUUUUCGUUCUUAAUUGGAAAAUAGAUGUUGAUAAAUCUGUUUGGUUCUUAGUUAGUAUGAAUGUCACAUUUCAAGUUAGUAAACGUGUCAGAAAUUCAACUGUAUAUAUUAUAUCAAAACAACAACAUGAUAUGAAAACACGUACUCCAUUGGUUAGCAUAUAAUAUGUCCGUCCACGAACAUAUAUAGAUAACUUGUUAGUUACUUGAUCGUGAUGAAGCGAGUAAGCCAUUAUCUCUAAAAAUAAUUAUUAUGAAAUUCGUAGUUGUUUGAAAAUGCAGUCCUUGUCUAUACUUUAAUAACAAGAAAUUUGUGAUUCAUUACAUGAAUCAAGUAUAAUUAUCAGUUGGCAUGGAUCAAAAUUGAACAUCUCGAUCGGACGAAGAGAUCAUGACUCUUAUAUGUGUCCAGACGUACACCAGAGACUUUAUUUGACUUUUCUCCACUAUAUAUUCUCAAUACAUUCUCGUUGAAGCUGCCAAAAGCUUAAGCUUAAUUUCCACACACAACAUGAACGUCAUAGAUGACUUAAUUCGAUGUGGACGACUUUGAUCAAUGAUACACGCUGAUCGAGCUAGCUUCUCCAAAGCUUAAUGUAUCCAAAUCGAUGAUUUGCAGAUUUAGAGAUUGAAUUAAUGCAUGUGUACCCUAAAAAAUGAUCAAAAUAACAAAUCACAUAUAUAGUUAACAACAAAAAAGUAAUUAGCAGCUUCAUUAAUAUAAGCUAAUUGGUAAUUAACUCCUUAAUCCUAAUUAACAGACUUGGGACAUGAAUUGUGGAAUGUAUAGUACAAGGCAAAAUAGACUUUGCUAAUUAAUAAAAUUAACCUAGGGCUAAAGUUGACAUUGUGGUUGGCGGCAAAUAAUUAAGCACCAUGCACCGACAAAUCAGUGACGAAAUCGAUGAUGAUCGAUCCAUGUUAAGCCAUAAAAUAUCGUAAUCGGGUGUGUUUCUUAACUCUGACAUGAGGCCUCAGUUGAACUCAAGUGAAGACUCCUCGGCGGCUCUAAUAAUGUCCAUUUCUUUUUACCUCUCUCGCUCAUGGAUUACGUACAUAGUGAGAUUAGACUUGGCUAUGUUUUGUUCGACUCUAUUCAACCUUUGCAAGACUGCAAUUGCUAGCUACUAUAAAUACAACUUCGCUGCGAGUAGGAUUUCAUAACAAACCAUUCAGAGUUUCAGAGAUACUACUCGAUCGAUCACUACUUAGCUGAAAGAUAUGGGGAAUAAGGAAGGGUAUUCACCACUGUUGGAGACCAAGAGAGGAAAGGGAAGAGUGCUAUAUAGGCUGUUUGCUGCUUCUUUGUUUGCAGCUAUAUGCUUGGUUUGGGUUUAUAGAGCGAGUCACAUACCAAAGCCAGGAGAGGAUGGAAGGUUUGGCUGGAUAGGGCUGUUGGGUGCUGAGUUAUGGUUCGGGUUUUAUUGGAUCCUCACCCAGUCCUGCCGGUGGAAUCUUACCUAUAGGCAAACUUUCAAGGAUAGAUUAUCUCAAAGGUACGUAUAUAACUAUAUAUGUUACACAAUGCUCUCCUAUUCUUAUUGCCCUCUUGUUGCAACACAGAUAUAUAUAGCCAUUCCAUGUUUGCUAUAUAUAGCUAAUAUCUUCUUCUGCUCAUAUUGCAUGUAUUAAUUCAUUUGGGAAUUACAGAUUUGAGAAUGAGUUGCCGGGAGUGGACAUAUUUGUGACCACAGCAGAUCCAAUCAUAGAGCCACCAAUGAUGGUCAUGAACACCGUUCUGUCAGUCAUGGCUUAUGACUACCCUACGGAGAAGCUCAGCGUGUACUUAUCCGAUGACGGCGGUUCCGAGCUUACGUACUACGCUCUCUUGGAGGCUGCUGAGUUUGCUAAGCAGUGGAUACCGUAUUGCAAGAAGUACAGUGUGGAGCCGAGGUCACCAUCUGCAUAUUUUGUCUCGAUAGAUUCUGACGCAGUUGAUCGUGAUGAUAACAAGGCUAAUGACUUGGCUGUAAUUAAGAAAUCAUACAAGGACAUGGAGACUAAAGUCGAAAAUGCAGUCAAGUUAGGCUACAUUUCGGACGAAGUACGAUCACAACAGAAAGGGUUUUCUCAAUGGGACUCGCAUUCGUCUAAACGUGAUCACGAUACCUAUCUUCAAGUAAGAGAUACAACUUGCUGAACCUUGUAGUACUCGUGCUUCAUCUUCAUUGUCUUCUUUUUUUUCAUUAUGUUCGUAUAUAUGUUGUUACCGUAAUGCAUGCAUCUACUGUUUCUCAGGUUGUAAUUGAUGGAAGAGACCCAAAUGCAAUCGAUGUCGAAGGAAUUGCAUUGCCAACUUUGGUGUAUUUAGCUCGCGAGAAGAGACCACAGUAUCACCAUAACUACAAAGCUGGCUCUAUGAAUGCAUUGGUAAGUAUAUAACUGUACGUAUAAGGGAUUAGGGUAAAACAACCUUGUGCACACAAAUCAUUUACUUUAUUAAUUUGCUAAAAUUUCCAUUUAUUGGUUUUAUACAGAUUAGGGUUUCUUCAAAUAUUAGCAACGGGAAGGUCAUUCUAAAUGUAGACUGUGACAUGUAUUCGAACAAUUCCAUGGCCAUAAGAGAUGCACUUUGCUGCUUAAUGGAUGAAGAAAAAGGCCAUGAGGUUGCAUUCGUACAGUUCCCACAAAAAUUUGAAAAUCUUACCAAGAAUGAACUAUAUAUUGCAUUCAUGCGGACAAUCAGCGAGGUAAGUACAUGUAUUAUGUAUACAUAGAUAAUUUUAUCGAUCUCGCCUAAUCCUCAACUUUUCUAUAUAAUAUAUUUUAAUGAUGGAUCUAUCGUUAGAAGAUUGGAUUGAUCCAUCGUUAAUAUAUAUUUAACGACGGAUCCAUCCAACCUUUUCGAUAAAGGUUUUAGUUCAUUUUAUUGAAGUCAUAUGGGAAAUUGAAGGUGGAAAUGCAUGCUUUGGAUGGUUUUACUGGCCCAUUUUACGUUGGAAGUGGAUGCUUCCACAGAAGGGAUACUCUUUGUGGAAGGAAGUUCACCAAGGGAAGUAAGAGUGACUUGAAAUGGGAGAUCAGUAGAAAAAGAGAAGAAGCUACCAUUCAUGAAUUGGAAGAAGAUUCGAAAGCUCUUGCAAACUGUUCAUAUGAGCAAAACACCGAGUGGGGAAAAGAGGUCUCUCUCUCUCUCUCUCUCACAUAUAUGAUCAUAUAUCACAAUUGCGCACAUUGAGCUUUAAAGUUUGCGGCAGGUGGGUGUGAAAUACGGGUGUGCUAUUGAAGACGUGUUCACGGGGUUAUCGAUCCAAUGCCGUGGUUGGAAAUCGGUGUACUUGAACCCAACAAGGAAAGCUUUCCUAGGAGUAGCUCCAACCACAUUGCUUCAGAUGCUAGUGCAGCAAAAGAGAUGGUCGGAAGGUGGCCUCCAGAUUUUGCUUUCAAAGAACAAUCCGGUAUUGUCUGAUCAGAUCAGCUUUGGCCAAAAACUUGGAUACGCUUAUGUCGGAUCUUGGUCUAUCAAUUUCCUUCCAACCCUAUAUUACACAGUGAUCCCUUCACUCUACCUCCUCAAGGGCAUUUCCUUAUUCCCUCGGGUACAUUACUGUUUUCGAUUCUCAUACUUUUUCAUGUCAUAGUUACAUAAAACUCGUCCACUUUCUCCAUCCAUGUAUCUAAUGCAUUUUACGAAUUGGAUUCAGGUUUCAAGUCCAUGGAUCAUACCUUUUGCUUACGUGAUUAUUGCCAAGUACACUGUGAGCUUGCUGGAGUUUCUAUGGGCAGGUGGCUCAGCCUUAGGUUGGUGGAACGACCAAAGAAUGUGGCUAUACAAAAGAUCAAGCUCCUACAUAUUUUCCUUCAUCGACACCAUGCUGUACCUUCUGGGAUAUUCUGAUUCAGCAUUUGUAAUAACAGCCAAGACCUCGGAUGAAGAUGAGUCGCAACGAUACGAGAAAGAGAUAAUGGAAUUCGGAGCAUCUUCUCCAUUGUUUACAGUAUUGGCAACACUUGCAGUACUAAAUUUGUAUUGCUUCGCUGGUUUUGUGAAGGAAGCAAUCAGUCUGGGAUCACAGGGCAUUGCAGAAGUUUAUGACACAAUGGCAUUGCAAAUUCUUCUAUGUGGGAUUUUGAUUCUCAUCAACCUGCCUUUGUAUCAAGCCCUGUAUAUAAGAAAGGACAAGGGGAAGUUGCCGAGUUCCAUAGCGUUGAAGUCGAUGGCAGUUGGUGUCUUUGGUUUAGCCUGUCUCAAUUUUUCAGGCUAGCAAGCUAGGUUGUCCAAUAAAACUCAUCAAGUUAGUCAAUUUGUUCCCAUUUUAUUCAUCAUGUCGGAUAAAUAAAGCAGGAUCAUGCUUAGUUCGUGUCUUAAUUCUUGUAAUUUGUUAUCAAAAUGCUUUACUUUAAGGUUUCCGGUUGAUUUGAUUCACUUUUCAAGUAUAUAUGCAUGUGUGGAAAACUACCCAUCAGAAAGCCAUACUUGAACUCCCUCUUUCUAAUGGAGUCACUUUAUAUGUAAUAUAUCCUUUCUUCCAAUCCCAACUAGCUAGCUCCACUCAUCGUCUUAACCAGCUCUACAUCUCCUAAUGAAUAAUUGGUAUUGUUUAAGAUGGUAAAUGCUAUGAUGAUGAACAUCUAAACCUAUUAGGUCCCUGAAUCGCGAUGAACCUUUAACAUUUAGUAUCAAUAAACUCGAUGAUCCUAAUACCAUUUGAUUUAAAUUUUUUAUUUUUAAGAGUUCAAAUCAUACAAUAAUUAAGAAAAUAAAAUUUACACUCCUUCGACAUACUCCUUAUUUUCUUUCUUUGAUAACUUACAUUUUAAAGGAGAAGUGUGAAUUGUAAAUCGUGGAUCAAUCAAAUUAGUCUCGGACCACGGUAACAAGAUGGUAAAAAGUAAAUUAUAAGAACCAUGCUCUCGUGGAAAUCUAUGCCCGCGGUUAAUUACACCAACCCAACGACAAAAUCAAACGCUCUUGACAAGUCGUUUUUUGUCGAAGCUCAAAAAACAAAAUGCCUCCCGUGUAGUUUGCAGUCUCGUUAUGUCUCCCUGAGAUUCGAAACCUAAACAACACAAACUCUGUUCCUCUUCUUCUUCCUUAAAAUUCAACACUUUCUGUUCUCUUCUAUCCUUUCUGGGCUUUAAUCAAAUUCCAAGGUAAAUCUCAUUUUCCUCUAUAAAUUUUGAAUCUUUAUUUGCUUAUAUUUUCUUUCUCUUCGAUCCUUUCUGUUACUCUGCGUUUGGAACAAAGCUAAUACAAACGGUGAAAUUUGUUACCUUUCUUCAUGUUUAGAAUGAGGGUACCUCUAAUUUCCUUGCCCUUAUGCUCAAUCUCUUGAAAAAGAAAGCUUGCUUUGCAUGUAAAUUUCUGAAACAGAUUAUCGUGUAGUUUGUGGAAUAAUUAUCCUGCAGUAUCGGAAUUCUAUAUAUUUUUGUUUGUUUAUUUUGUGUUUAUGUUGUUGUAAUAGUUUCUGGGUGAUUCCUUAAGCAGGGGUUUGGUUUUUAAAGUUUGUGCCUUGAGUUCCUGACUGAAUUUUUGCAUGAAAAAUAAAUCAUAAGACAUGUGAUGUUAAUUGUUCUUUGAAAUUGAUUUUUAUGAAGUUUUGAAUGUUAUAUAAGGGUACUUUUAUAUGUUGUUAAGUUAACAAUUGUAUUUGAAUGUACAGAUGCAAAUUGGGUUUUCAAGCUGCGCUGCUGUUAUAUUGUUGGCAUUCUUGUUGAGCCUGCAAGGAGCUUUCAGCAUCAGAUUUGUGAUUGACAGAGACGAAUGCUUCUCUCAUAAUGUUUUGUAUGAAGGAGAUACUGUCCAUCUCUCUUUUGUUGUAAUUAAGGUUGAUGCAUCUUGGCAUUAUACUCAAGACGGUGUUGAUCUCAUGGUAAGUCCCAUGUUUUUCGCCUAAAUUGGGCGCAUAGUUUGCCAACUUUGCUAGGACCUUGCAAUUUAUUUUUAUAUGCAUAUAUCCAUGUUAUGUAGAGAGUGGUGACAUAGUAUUAUGUUCGUAGUCAACUGUGUACCAACCCAUGAUCUGUGCAAUUUCGAUGGCAUCUGUAGGUGAAGGGACCUUCUGGUGAGCAGAUACAUGAGUUUCGUGAUAAGACAAGCGAGAAAUAUGAGUUUGUCACUCGUCACAAAGGAAUCCAUCAGUUCUGCUUCACCAACAAGUCACCUUAUCAUGAAACAAUAGACUUUGACAUACAUGUCAGCCAUUUUACAUACUAUGAUCAGCAUGCAAAAGAUGGUGAGACGCGGUGCUUUGUGGAAAUUCUUUAUCUGAGUCUCUAAUAAGGUCUCUGAAAACUGUUGAGCUGGUUGGAAAAUGAGGUUGGACUUAUUAUAGUUUUGUGGUUUAUCUGCAGAGCAUUUUAACCCUUUGUUAGAGCAGAUAUCAAAGUUGGAGGAAGCUCUUUACAACAUUCAGUUUGAGCAGCAUUGGCUUGAGGCUCAGACUGAACGUCAGGCAAUAGGUAUCUGCUGAACUCUGAAUACCUUCUCAAGCAGCUUUAGUAGCUGAGGGAGUGUGGUCCUUUAUUUGAUGCUUGCAACCUUCCAUCCUUGAUAGACUUGAAGUUACCUCGUUUCACUAUCAUUAAUUGCAUCUUUGAUGUGUCUUUAGACUUAUAGAUGCUGAUAUAAGGUGUGACUGGUCAUUCCCUUUUCACUUUCGUAGUGUUUCCAUAAACAAAUGUUGCAUAUUUCAUCUCUCUUUUCUUUCUUAUAUGCAUAUGCCAUCUAAUUGUGAAACUUGUAAGCUUUGGAUUUGUCAAUCCUUUUGUACGUGAAUUGCUCAAUCGUUGAUGCAGUGAACGAAGCAAUGAGCCGGAGGGCGAUUCACAAGGCCUUUUUUGAAUCAGCAGGACUUGUUGGUGCUAGUGUUCUCCAAGUUUACCUUCUUCGCCGCCUCUUUGAACGGAAGCUUGGGAUGUCCAGAGUGUGACCUUUUUAUAGUCACCCCGGGGAUUUUGCACUUGACUGUCUUUUUUCUUUUUUGACAAGAUUGCACUUCGACUAUUUAGCAGUUAAUUUUACACAUUGUUUUUCCAUGCUUCUGCCCUGUUCUCUUUUCUAUUUUGUCCAGCAAGAAUAAAUCAUGUAUAGAAACCAUCAGUUUGGAAAUUCUAAUCUAAUCUCUUGUUUAUUGUGAAAUCCUUGAUCUUACACUUGAUAUUUGCUUCUGUUACAAAUACCAAUUACCAAGAGCUUAAAUAUUUCAGUCAUAAAGGCACAAGGCUAAUGGUAGUGAAGAAUUCAAGUGUUACUGUUAUGUCUGUUUACUAGCUGGCCUUGAUCAACUAUUCCAAUUUCCAAACCAUCUAUUUCUCGCACCAAAUUUUCCUCAGAUUAUAGCAUCGACAAAUUAUCUCAAGACGAUUGUUUAAAGAAGAUCAAGACAACAUCUCUCAUGGUUAAGCAAUUGACAGACUUAACGUUCAGGAGACGCUGCAUGUCUAGUCUUUCUAGGAUAGGCACUAUAACCUGUUAAAAAUUCGAAAGCAAUCAACUGAUCAAUCAUGAUCAGAGUUAAGAACGAACAGAAGUAUGGAUUUCAUGAUCGAGACGGAUCACAAAUGAUAUGAACAUUUUGAGUCGUUGACACUCGAAGCACUACAGCAAUUCUGCAAACCCCAAAGACCGUACCCUAAAUUCCAACUUCACAACCCAAAUAGAAAUCCAAGUCCGAAACAAGCCAACACCCAAAUGCCAUCUCCAAGCCCAUAUUCGUUGUACUUGAUUGAUAUCAAGUUAGAUGAGAGUUACAAAAUUAACUGUACUUUCACUCUUCUUUUAUUGUGUAGAGACAUCACUGAGAUGGGAAACAUUCUUACAGCCUCAAAAAGUGUUGUAGAAUAUUUCAAAAGAAAAAGAAAAUCAUUUCACAAACAAGACCCAGUUUGAUAAUACAAUGAGGGAAGAAAAGAAUGUCAUAAGCAAGGCUCUAAAGUGUGUAGCAUAGAUAAGACAAAGACGGAAACAGAUUGGCAUCUAAUAACAAUCACUUCAGACAAUAUAGAUACAAUAAGUAUUUGCCUUCUUUACUCCUCCCAUCACAAAGUUUUACGCCACACAAAUAAAUCCAUCACUGCUAUACAGCUCCCUAUCUUCUUUGGAAAAAUAUGGUGGAGCCAGUUACAGAACAACAUGCUCUUCUGUUGAAGGCACUUACAUGUAGGGGACCUUGUCAAGAUUGUGUGGGUGGUUGGGCCAUGCAGCAAAACCAUUUUUUCUGAGAGCCAGGGAUCAUCAACAUGAGUGAAACAAAAUCAAGACAAUUAGUCAAACUGAGAAUAAAAUAUAAUUACACACCAAUUAUUUUUUCUAUAUGGAGACAAAAAUAUAGACACUCAGAUUGAGAAAGACUAUAAUGCACCAAAGCAACGAGCAUAAAUGUGGUUAUAGGUUUAGAGGAAGAUAUAUGCACCAAUCUCUAGGGCCUCUACGGUUUUCUACUGAUACUUAACUGUACAAAUUAGAUUGAAUUCUGUCUAAAAGAAGAUGGAUUGAAUUUUUGAUGUUCCAGUCCUGCUCCAUGGAGCAAUAUGAUACUGAUAAUACAGCCAAACGUUCCUUUCUUUUUUUCUUUUUGCAAUAUCAUGGCACUAAAAUUACAAUUCCUUUUGUCUAUUCCCAACUAUAGUUCCAUAUAAGAAUUUAGCAACAUUGAUUUUAAAGCUAACAGGUGGGCUGGCUGGCUGAGUGUCAUUGAUAAGACAGUUUUAAAUGGCUAUGAAAUCUAUAUGGUUGUAGAUUGUACUGCCAUCACUUUAAAGCAAGAGCAUGUAGCUUAAGAACUAGGCAGAGUAGCAUAUAUCAGAUAAUUGAAACAUAAAUAAACAAAUAAUAUGAGAAAACAUCUUACAGAUGAUGGCCUUCCAGGAUCCACUCCAGGCCUGACAUUACUCUGAUCAGCCUUGCUUGGUGACUCAGGUUUGCCACCUGUCUUUUUUUCAUCCCUAGCCUUGUUAAAGAUCACAGUAAACCCUUCUGCUGAAGCAGGAUCAUUGACAUCCCAUUCACCAAAUUUUGGGAGAGGCCUGCCCUUGUCCUGUUAGAGACAGUAAAGUAUUCCCAUUAAUAUCCAGCACCAGCAUAAGACAGCCAAGUAAAUAAGUAACUGGUAUCUUUUCAAAGAUUGACUUCAACUGCUAUAAUUUCAAAUAGUAAGUAAACUUCAACUGGUAUCAUUAUAUGGACUUGGAUUCGAUAAGAUAACACUUUUGCAAGUGUUUAGUUGUCGUUUAUUUGUUGACCAUAUGUAAAUGUGAAUACUAAUACAAUAUAAUUUACAAAGUGAGAAGCUAGAACCACAGUCAAAGUGAUCUGAAAAAUGGAAUCAAACCGUAGAGCAAUGCAUAUCAGCUCAGAACUGUCAUUUCAAGGACUCACAACCCAAAGACCAGCUUUGUAGCAUAGUUGGAUUCCAACACAAGUCACCACUACGUAAUUAAUUACACUAAUUCAUGUAGCCUCUAGAACUCACCGUAUAUACAACUCUACAUUAUUAUCAUUCAUGAAACAACAAUGAUUCAUUAACAUAUGCAGCUGAUGAUUCACACGUGAAAAAAAAAAAUCCUCUAUAGUCUAUACUGCACAAAAAGCACAGCCAAACAUUGUGUUUCUAAUACCAUUGCAUCAACAAGACAGAAGAGACCACCAGAACCAAUGUCACCACCCCUAGACUUUUAGACGGCCUAAUGAACUCUCCCAACAGGAUCUUUUAAAGAAAAUCGAUAACUUGCUAUUUGGUUUUUAAAUGAAAAACUGCAAUUCAAUCUGAAAUCAUUUAAGCCUUUUCAUUAUUCCAAAAACACUCAGUAAGCCUCUCAAUCAGAAACUAAGAGCUUAUAUAUUUCUCAUCGGAAACAAAGAGUUAAUAACCUACCUACCACUAGCAUCCUGAACUUAAAUUCAGUGGUGUGCCUUUAGAACUGUCCUAGGAAAUGAGAAUCGAGAGGUAUUCCCAUGAUCAAAUUCAUAUAAUCAUUUAACUGAAUUAAAGGCCAAAAGAACUAUAUACUACAGAAAACAACAUGGUUUUCAGGAAGCAUUAAGCCCUUAGACACAAUGCAAUCAGCACGCAAAGAAGCUACUGUUCAACCAGAAACAUCACAACAGCAAAUCCAGCUGGCAGAAGAGGAAAAUGCUCAAAAACACCAAGUGAUUGCUGAAUCAACACAAAAAGCAAUCUAACAAAGAUAGCUCAACUCAUGCUCACGAAGUGCUGGACACUUUCGUAAGCACAACACAAUUCAUUGAAACUAAAAAGAUUGAUCAUUUCUCAACUUCUUCUAAUACACCAAUCUUUAUCUAUUCAAAAAUCGCGAAAAUCAUUCUCCUAAACAACGCAAUCAUAUGAAAACCUCUACAUCCAGCACCAAAAUCAUAAGAUAAAAUCCAUCAUUCGCAACUCGAUAAAACUAUACACAAUCAAUCACAACAGACUCAAACCAAUACGUCCUCUAAACAGAUUCCAGACUCAAAAAAAUCAAACUUAUUAAUUCCAAAACAAUCAUAAACCAAAUAAAAAAUUCACCAUUGAACCAAAACUAAGAAUCCAAAUCUGCUCCUCCAGAAAUGAAUGAACACCGUAAAACUCACAUACAAAUAAAUAUAAUUUAAACUCCAAAUUAACGCAAAAACAAAAUUAGAACAAAUGAUCCGAGCCGAUUUCAAUUAAACUAAUACAUAUUAACGAAGAAAUCCAAUAUAUUAUAGCUUAAAUCGAGCUGAUUUAGCAUCAGAGAGAUUAUAAUCAAAAUAAAAAAUAAAAAAAAAUAUAUAGGUUGGAUUUGAGAGAAGAAGACGAAAGCGAUUACGUACCGACAUGAAUUCGAUGAUCAAAAAAAAAGGGGAAGCUUUUUUUUCCGGGAAAGAGAGAAAUGAGUCGGAAAAGUAAUACCAGAAAACCAGAGAGAGAGAGAGAGAGAGAAUGAGAAUUUGGGCCAGAAAUGGGCCUAUUAUUGCAAAGCGGAUGGGAUGGUUUUAACGGUUUGUUUUCCUUAAAUAGACGGCGUUAAUGGGUUAACGGAGAGGAGGGAAGACUGUUAAGUGGAGCGUCAGCAGUGACGUGGGCUGGUGGGUGGGAGUAACGGAACGGAGUGGUGAGCUGGCAGACGGAGUGGAGGGAGUAGCUGUAGGGUUGCACGGAGGCAGAGAGCACACUGGAAUUAGCUGGCAAGUGUUUGCUUUUGAAUCGAUUAAUUUUCCUUCUAGUGAACCCUUAAAUUGAGGACUUGGUGAGAAUUUUUUUGUUUAUCCCACCUUUCGAUCUUAUAUCUACAUCUUAACCGUUCAGUUUAUAGGUAUUUAUGAAUAGAUCAUUUCUGCAAAUUUUCAGUCAUAUUGAAAAUCGUUAAGACAUUCAUAAGUGUGAUUUACCAAUUAUGAACUUGAACGGUUCAUGUUUAACAAAUUUGGUUCGUCCAUUAAUUUGAUCUAGUUUGUUACCUUAACGAUAACUAAUUUGGCUGAAAAUUUGUAGGGCUGAUCUACACAUAUAGACCUAAAAACUGAACGGAUAAGAUGUCAAAAUGUGAUCGAAAAUUGGGUCUUUUAAACCAUAAACCGAAAAGUCCUCACCAAGUCCUCAACUUAAGGGUCCUCACUAAAAGGGCUCCCUUAGGGAGUUUUCAGUGUCGUUUUUGAUGAAAAUGAUAGUGUAAUUUUUGGUUACGAAAAUGAUGGUGUCAUUUGGGAGAGGAAGUAAAUGAUUCUGUUAGCUAGUGCAAGUAUUUUACCAAAAGGACAAAGAUCGAUUAAAAAUGUAUGUUGUGUUUUACCGUGUUCGUCAGUUAAAAAUGUACGUCUGGAUUUUGAUUCUCGACUUAGAUCAUAUGUACUUUGAUCAAUGAUUCCCUACUUGGAUUAGAUGUACUUUGAUCAAUCACAGUCGUGUAUUACAAAUUCGGAUGACACCCCGAGAUUGGUGCGCCUUUGGAAUUGUAAUGCACGAAUAAAAGUCGAGCAACUCUGCUUUCUUUCAAGUUUUAAGCUAUGAACAUAUUUGUAAUACGAACCUUAGCUUAGCCUAGAGGAAUUGAUCUAAAACCAAAGCAAAUAGUGAGAAAAUGGGGAAAUGUGCACAUAUACAAAACAAUAUCACAGGUGCAUUUGUUAAUGCAAAGUCAACAAAUGCAAUAGCAUCUCUGUUAAAAAAAAUAAAAAUAAAUGCUAGAUUAUGUCUGCCAUGGCCAUGGCAUCAAAUUCCUUUGAGAAUUUGCGACGCAGACCAUUGCAAUGUAGUUUCUGUGCUUCCAUCACCAGGUGCAUAUUGCAGGUGUUGAUAUAGACACCCCAAUUCAUUUGGUUUCCUUGUAUCAUCAGCAUAUUCUGUUGCGAUAUCGUGUGUGCUGCCAUCAUCAAUGUGCAAGCUGCAGAUAUUUCUUGAGACACCCAAUUCGUUUGGUUCCCUCAUCAGUGGCCAACAUCUUUCUCUAUCAAAGAGCUGUUUCCUCCACAUUUAUUGGCAUGUGAGGUCUGUAUAAAAUUCUGAAUAAUGAAGAGUCGUGAGUCAUGAGUCAAGACUGCGUAGGAUGAUAUGUAUAAUUCAAUUACUAGAAUCAGAAAUAGGCAAUUUAGAGAUAAAAACAGGGAAAGCAUUGUGAAUGAGUUUCUAGGCAAAGCAAAACUUACAGAUUGGUUUUUAAGGCGUGACGCUGAUUACAGAUCCUAGCCUUCAAACCAUAGUGCUCAAGAAGAGUGGUGCAAGAAUGAGCUCGUAAUGGAUCAUCCAUUGUGCAGAGACCAAGAGGGAUAGAUUGUCUGUUAAUUAGUUACAACGAAACAAUGAAGUAAAACCAGACAUCAUACUAAAAGAAAGAACAAGCCGCCUAAAUGAAAUAUUAGCCUAAUACCUAUGAGGAACUCCAGUGCAUAAUAUGAGAGGGUCUUCAGCAACAACAGACGUACUCAUUGCUUGAGAGAAGCAUCAGCUACCUAAAGAGAACAAGGAGUUGAAUCAUAGAUUGAACCUUCAGAUAGCAAACACACAUAAAAGAAAUUGGGCAAACUUACAUAGCAUGUGGCAUGAUUCAUUUAGGCAAAUAUCAUCAAGUGUGAUACCCAAGCAUCAGGUGGAAUGCAUUUCAUCAAAACUAACAAAAAGCAGGUCACUCUAAGAUAUACGUGUCGUUAAAAAAUGCUAAAAGAACAAAUAAGGAAUUGAGAUACGGAAAUUGAACUGUAAUCUAUACCAUUAUGGUCAUGUUGCGUUAUGACUUGGAUAAGAAAUGAGAGCCCAUGGCAGUCUGAUCUCUCAAUAGACCUCAAGUAAAGAGCUCAUAUCCUUACUUGGGAGAGCCCAUCGCAGUCUCACAUACCGAUCAAUGAUGUUACUUCACAACCUAAAUCUAGUAUUAUUUCCAUUUAUUGCAACUCCAGGAGUUUAAUGUUCCCAUUGCAACAUUCAACUGCUCAUGCAGUGUUAAGGUCCUUCCAUCCAAAUUUCCACAUAUCAACCCCCUCUCCAAUAGAUCUACAAAAAUCUCUUCACCUUCAAUAAGAUUAUUACCAGAGAAUACAGCAGCAAGGAGAAGAGUGUAUGUUGUUGUGUUGGGAAAGAGACCACUUUGUUUCAUCUCCUUGUACAGCUCAAAUGCAGCCGCAACAUCACCAUUAGCACAAAAGCCUGAAAUGAGAACAUUAAAAGCAGUAACAUCAAGUGGCACACCACAAUGUUCCAUCACACCCCUCAAUUUUAGAGCCUCUGCAAGGUUGGCUUCUUUGCAGAACUUGUGCAUCAAAGUAGUAAAAGUAGCAGUUGUUGGAACAAGUUGCAUUCGAAGCAUGUGAUCCAGAACCAGCAUCGCUUCUUCAACCUUCCCACAUUUCGCAAGCCCUCUAACCAUAGCACUCUCAGCAAUGUCACGGGAAGUGACACCAAGAGCUUCCAUCUGAUCUUUUAGUUCAAAUGCUCCUUUUAUAUCUCCCACUCUACACAUACCAUUAAUUAUAGUGAAAUAAUGUGUAUACUUUGGAGUAUAACCUUUGGCCAACAUUUCAUACAGAAGACUUCGGGAUGCUCGGAAAGCUAAACUUCUGAACAGUCCGUUCAAGAUUGCAUCAUGGGUGUCUGUAUUAGCAGAAACUCCUAACAGAUUCAUGACACUAACUAGUUCAAAUGCCAUCCCCAUCUUCCCAAUCUCAGAAUACUUGCUGAUAAGCAAAUUGAAUGUUAAAAGAUCAGGUACAGCACCUUCUAUAAUCAUCUUAUGCAACAUUUUGUGGCCAAUAUCCACCUUACCUGACUCACAUAAUCCAAGAAUAAGAGAGUGACAUGUCAGUCUGUCGGGCAAUAAUUUGAUCCUGAUCAGGUUUUUGUACACCAUAGAGCAUGCCAAUAAAUCUUCUUUCUUUGAGUAUCCAUGCAAGAGAAUGUUAUAUGAAGCCAAAUUAGGGAAUAAUUUUCGGCUACCCAUACUUGAAAAGAGAUCAUUUGCCUUCAUCAUUUUUCCCAUCCUCGAGUAUCCAUCCAUCAUUACAUUAAGAGCAGUAGUAUCCGAGUUCAGACCUUUGUUCUCCAUCUCUUCAAACAGAUAUGAAGCGGCCUUAGAUUGGCCAAUCUUGAAAAGGCCAUCAACUAGACAGGUGUACAUUAUGGCAUUCGGUGAUAAAAUCCCUUUUUCCAUCACUCUUCCAAACAACAGGAUGGCAGUAACCAUUUUUCCCUUCCUGCAUAACCCAGCAAGAAGGCUACUGUACGUAUGUGUAUCGGGCAAGACAUUAUUCUCAACCAUCUGAUCAAGAAGGACAACAGCCUCAUGCAAAUUCCCAGACUUACAUGUCUCAGAAAGAAUUGUAUUGUACACAACAGUAUCAACAGCAUAUGGAAUGCUGUGGAGUUUCUUCAAAAAAUUCCUUGCCUCCUCCAAAUGACCACCCUGGCAUAGCCCUUUCAGUAUACUGCCAUAAGUAAAUGGACUUGGGUGAUGACCUAAUUCAAUCAUUUCAUCAAACACAGAAAAUGCUCCUAACGCAUUACCCAUGUUUGCAUACCCAUUUAUCAUACAAUCAAAAGAAAUGGAACUAGCAACCAGACCCAUGCUGCUCAUAUGACGCAUGAAAUUUUCUGCAGCACCAAGAUUCCCAGCUUCACAAAGCGCAGUAACCAAUAUGUUACAUAUGAAAUGGUCGGCACUGUGGCCAUUACGAUUCAUAACUGCAUAGAUCUUUAAUGCUUCCAUUACGUUGCCCAUCUUGCAACAGUUGUAGAUUAAGGUAGAAUAUAUUAUUUUAUUGGGGGCAAGGCCAGCUCUAUAUAGUUUACACAUUAUCUCUCCCACAUGUUUCAUCCUCCCAGCUCUGCAUAAUCCAUUUAUGAGCACUGAAAAUGCUACAAUAUCAGGAUUCACACCAUCCUGGAUCAUCACAUUAAGAAAAUGCACGGCUUCAUCAAGCAAACCAUUUUUGCAUAACCCAUCCAUGAAUGAUGUAUACAUAACGCAACCACUACCAAUCCCAUUCAGUCGCACUCUCUGCAAAGUACUUCUUGCUAAGUCAAACUUACCAUGCUUGCACAGCCCGUUUAAAACAGCACCAUAGCUGACUUCAUUAGGUCUUAGUCCCACUGCUUCCAUCAUGUCCAAGAGUCUGAAAGCUUCUUCAAGCUUACCCUUCUGACAGAGCCCGUCAAUCAGAGCAUUAUAAGUAACACAAUUUGGUGAAAGAUCAAACUUUGACAUCUCAUCAAAAACCUUGGUAGCAACACCAAUCUUCCCCUCCUUGACAAACCCAUUAAUAAGGAUAUUGUAUGUAACCUCACUAGGAGAUAACUUCUUCCUUCUCAUCUUCUUCAACAGUAAAUAACCUUUUGCACUACUACUGUUUCUACACAAAUCCUCAAUAAGCAUGUUAUAUGUACAAACAUCUGCUUCAAUACCCUUAGAACCCAUAAGAUCAAUAAGCUCAAAAGCUGCUUUAUACCUCCCCUUCUUGCAGUACCAAUUGAGCAAAGUAUUGUAAGUAACUACAUUAGGAACAUAACCACUCUUUUCCAUCUUCCUCAAAAGAUAACUAGCUUUACUAAGCUUUCCUUCAACACAUAAGACACUAAUCAAUAUAUUAAAAGUACUAACAUCAGGGCAAACAUUCUUAGCCAGCAUUUCUUUGAAAAAAGACCAUACCGAUGCAGCCCUCCGGUCCUUUGCCAGCGAAGCUAGGAUCAUAUUACAAGUACAACCCGACGGCCUAAACCCCCUUAAACCCAUCAAAUAAAAAGUCUCUACAGCACUACCAACCAUCCCUUCCUUCAAGUAAACUCUAAUCAGAAGGUCAAAUACUGAAGGGUUGGAAUUGCAAAGAGGGUAAGUAUCCAUCAAAGCAUCAAAAACGGACUUCGAACCAACACCCAUUUGUGCUAAAUGACCCAAAAUCAACCUGGCAGAGUCAUACAUUCUAGCUCUAGCAAGUAUAUGAGUUGUAACAGAGAGUACAUGAGUGAGAUGAUUGAGUUCCAAACCAGGCUGUUGAAUUACCCAGUUGAAGAAUUUCAGGGCCAAUCUUCCAUGCACUGGUCUCAGAGAAGCCAACCUGUACUCCAUGUGGUUCAGUGACUCCCAUCGGUCUAUAGUGAGAAUCGAGUAUAUGCUUUUCUCCAUUUCUGAACCUGUUUAUUCCCAAAAGGUUAAAACUCUGGCCAAAAAAUCAAACACCCUCUUCCCAAAAUUGAAACUUUAGCAUCGACACAAACACCCUCUUCCUAUAUUUGAAACUUUAGAAAUUAAAGAAACACUAUCUUCCCAAAGAUUGAAACUUUGUCCUCAAAAUCAAUCACCCUCUUCACAAAAUUGAAACUCUGGGCACAAAAACAAACACCCUCUACCCAAAAUUGAAACUUUAGCAUCAAAACAGAGAGAGUACUCAGAGUAGUAGAGAGGGGGACAUACCUGAGGUUUGAGCUCUGUUUCUGAACCCAUUUUCUUUGAGAUUGCUUCUGACAUUAUGAGAGGGACCAGCCUGAAAAGCUCUGAACUUUGAAAUUGUGUGGGAAAUUUGGCAGAGUUGUUUAGUCUUCGAAGGCAACAUUGAGUGUAGGUAUGCUUGUUUGUCAUGACAGGUCUGCACAGCAAAACAGAAACACCCAACUAUUGUUGGGCGCCGAUAAAGUACUGACAAUUAAAAGAUAAAUAAGUUUAGGAAGCUUUUGAAGAACCAAGGCCUGGAUACGAAGUAUGUUGUAUAAUGUACGGAUACGGAUAGAAACGUAAAGUUGUAUUACUUUUCUAUUAGGAAAGUAUUUCGGAACAUUGCACGCGGAGCGUAACCAUUACAUAUGCUUCAGGAACAUUGCACACGGAGCAUGACCAUUACAUAGUGCACGUAGAGACAAUAAAUGCAUCUCUCUCAGUUUUGAUUGUUCUGGCUCACACCCUUCCCAUCCAAACACAUAUUUUAAUUCCUUCAUCCAAUGUAAAUGUAGUUUCUCCAGAUUUGGUAGUCUCUGUACAAAUUUUGAUACACUCUUCAAGAUACAACAACUGUUCAUAUGCAAUAUCUUGAGAUUUGAGAGAGAACCAGGUGGUAGCUCAUGGUGGAUCAGAUCUAGCAGAUGCAACUCUUCCAAACUCUCAAACAUUGGUCCUGUUUCAACUCGUGUUGUUGUGUUCAUCAACUCCGUCAAGUACACAUAGGAAUGAAGAAAAUACCCAAAAACACUGAGAUGCUUGAGUUGAUGUAACGUCCCAUGGUCAAACAAGAUAUACGCUACAAAACCAUCUCAACUACGUGAAGACUUGCUCUGUCCGCUGAUAUCCUUAUAUAUUUAACAUAUUUCAGGGUAUAUUUUUGUGAAACCCAAAGAAACAAAGUAUUUAUUAAAUUUAAAAAAAUUAAAAUAAGGGGCCCAACAAAAUUUUUUCGCACCGGCUUCCGAUCUUUCAGGACCGCGCGCCCUGGCGCCGACCAAAGAGGAACCCAGGUUAUGUUGCGACUGGAAGUCUUUGGGUGGAAAUAUUGAGCCAAAACCCCAUCAAAGCUGAGAGUUGAUCGGAGAUAGUAGUCCCCUGCUGCACGUUCCUCCGUUGUGAAAGUAUAAUGUCCACCAUUCACUCGCAGAAUAUAGAAGUCACCUGAAGCAUUGAAAACCAACUGUCUACCUUCACUACCUGGAACAGUACCUGAGGUGGUUUUAGUUGAAUAGAAAGGUUUUUCAUCAGUGAACACAAGAUUCCCAUCGUCUUGAAAAUCUAGCUGGAAGCUUCCUCUCGAAUAGUCAGUCUCUGAUCUCCGUGAAGAAAGUUUUCCUCCUCUUUCAAGUAUUUGCCCAGGCAACAUGGUAUCAGUAGGAUUCUUGAACGUCUCCCAUAAAAUUUCUGACUUCUCGUCUUCCAGAACAAAGUUACCUGUAUCAUUCAUAACCGCAUGAGCAACAACGCCAGCUGUGGUUUGAUUGGAUUUCCAUAAUUGCUCACCCUGAGGACUUGUAAGAACUAGCCCACUGUUAGCAGUCAAAGUCACAUCUGAACCAUUAGGUGCAGGCUUAUCCCCAUUUGCAUACCAAACUAUGGUUCUGUCUGGUAUCUUGGCGAACCAUAUAGAAAGCAAGAAAAGGUCAUUGUUUUCAAGUUGUCGAAACCCAAAUGCAAAAUCACCAGAGGGAGAAAUCCAUGGGGAAUUUCCUGCUGUGGAGAGAGAAGCACCCACAGCUAUGCCGCCUAUGCGGAUAUUGUCUUUCCUCAUUAUCUCUUUAUACAAUCUAGAGGCUCUUCUCCUUUUUUUUGUCUGGGUGGAAGCUGGCGGCAGUGCUUGCUUAACCGGAUACACGGGAUUGGGAUCUCUUUCGCAUGCAACUAUUUCUGUUGAAUUCCCAUUUUUGCGUACUUCGCCCAUUCCGUAGACCCCUAUGGGAGUGACGUUGUCAUCUCUACGCUUCUUCACAACAAAGUCCACAAUUUUCUCCACAAGUUCUGUAUCAGUUCUACAAGGAAGGAAUAAUCAAGGGUCAAAUAACACAUCCAAAAGCGGUGAGCAUAACUCUCAGAUAACUGAAAUAGAGUAAUCUCAUCGAGGUACAUACUUAUAAAUCUUUGAAUCCCACCCAGAGAAACUGGCCACUUUGUUUAGAGCCUUUCUCCACUGCUGGACCUCCACUAAUCUAUGCCGCUGCGAGCUCUCGUAUUUGCUGAAAGCUACUUCAAAACUUCCCUUUUGAUAUCUUACAUCAGUAGGCUCGACAUUAUAAAAAAGUGGGAGAAUUCUUUUGUUUCCUUCCAUCCACUCACAGAUCUUUGCAAGUUCCUCCAAACACCAAGUAGAAGAGGCAUAGUUUGGAGAAAGGACAACAAUUGCAAACCAUGAUUCUUCAAUUGCUUUUAUUAGAGUGGGAGAUAUAGCAUCCCCUACUUCAAGAUUUUGAUCAUCCAUGAAUGUUGCUAUUCCUCUCUUGUUUUGCAACCCAUCAUAUAAUUGAGAAGUAAUUCCCCUCCGAGUGUCAAGACCCCUGAAACUCAAAAACACAUCAUACUUGCACGGACGAGCCGCUGAUGAUGAUGAUGAUUCAAUGGACGAAGGAAGAGAUGCAGAGGAGGCCAUUCACCAUUGAAACCAGCAAGAGAGAAACUGAUUUCUAGUGAGAAAAGCAAACAAGGGAGGAGACUAUGUGACUAGUGAAUACUAAUGUUUUAAAACGCUAAGGCGUAACCUAAGACGUUUUCUUGAGAGCCUUGAGCCCUGAGGCUUGAGAGGCUUGAGGCGCAUGAGACGUAAGCCUUACGGUAUAAAAAUUAAAUAAAUAAAAAUUAUUUAAACAAAUUUAUUACUUUUGUAAAUAGUUAAAUACAACAUAAAAAAAACCGAAAGAAUAACUAAAAAGAGCUAUUCAUGUCAGUAUUUUUUGCAUCACCAUUAUUCUUUGUUUUUUUCCAUAAUAUUGUUGUCUUCGACCUUCUUUCUUUUCGUCUUGAGUACAUUUCUUUUUUCUUUUAGCCAGAUAAUUGUUUUCCCUUCCAUUAGAUAUAUAUCGUCUUCUUCAAACAUUCACUUUAUUUAAGCUUUAUGGUUACAGUUUUGCAAAUGAUGUAAUUUUUUCGGUAUAAAAUAUAUAUAUAUUUUAAAAAGGGAAAAUGCACAAAAAUAUAGUUUUUAAAGCCCAUUUCAAUGACAAUAAAACUUUUGGACCCAAUUGAAUGAGAAAAAUUCUUAUUUGUGCCCAAAUACACAAAUAUUUACUAAAGUAAUAAUAAAAUAAUAUUUUGAAGACAUUUUUACCCCUGACUUUUGCACAUGUUUAGUGAGAGAAAGUGGAAGAGAGAGAAUGAAGACUUUGCCGGAAGCUCACCAACCACCACACUCUGGUCACCGGGAGCUGGAAUCUCGCCGGCCGCCGAAAUUUUCGUAGAUCGCCGGUCGUCGGAAUUUUCGUCGGUCGCCAGAAUCUUUCUAUUGAGAUUUUUACUGGGGUCAAUAAAAAAAAAUUACUGCCCCCAAUAAACUCGUUAUUUACCCUUAGUAUUGAAUUUAUUAGAGAUAGUAAAUUUUAAGAAAGAAUUUAUUAUCCCCAAUAAACUUGUUAUUGACUUUAGAACUGAAUUUAUUAGAGGUAGUAAAUUUUAAGAAAGAAUUUACUACCCCGAAUAAACUUGUUAUUGAUCUUAAAAUUGAAUUUACUAGGGGCUGUAAUGUUGAAAAGUAUUUUAUUAGAGGCAAUAAAUUUUAAAAUGUUCUAGGAUAUUCUCUAUGUGUGCCUUGGCCUUAUGUCAAUAGGAUAUGUAGUUAGACUAGAUCUAUGUAUUCAUAUCCUUACCAUAUUGGUAUUGUGUAAUUCCCUAUAUAAAGGGCUCCUAUCAAUGAAUAAGAUGAUGACUCUCUUGCUAUCUCUUUGUCUCUACACUUUAUCAUUUAUCACGUNNNNNNNNNNNNNNNNNNNNNNNNNNNNNNNNNNNNNNNNNNNNNNNNNNNNNNNNNNNNNNNNNNNNNNNNNNNNNNNNNNNNNNNNNNNNNNNNNNNNNNNNNNNNNNNNNNNNNNNNNNNNNNNNNNNNNNNNNNNNNNNNNNNNNNNNNNNNNNNNNNNNNNNNNNNNNNNNNNNNNNNNNNNNNNNNNNNNNNNNNNNNNNNNNNNNNNNNNNNNNNNNNNNNNNNNNNNNNNNNNNNNNNNNNNNNNNNNNNNNNNNNNNNNNNNNNNNNNNNNNNNNNNNNNNNNNNNNNNNNNNNNNNNNNNNNNNNNNNNNNNNNNNNNNNNNNNNNNNNNNNNNNNNNNNNNNNNNNNNNNNNNNNNNNNNNNNNNNNNNNNNNNNNNNNNNNNNNNNNNNNNNNNNNNNNNNNNNNNNNNNNNNNNNNNNNNNNNNNNNNNNNNNNNNNNNNNNNNNNNNNNNNNNNNNNNNNNNNNNNNNNNNNNNNNNNNNNNNNNNNNNNNNNNNNNNNNNNNNNNNNNNNNNNNNNNNNNNNNNNNNNNNNNNNNNNNNNNNNNNNNNNNNNNNNNNNNNNNNNNNNNNNNNNNNNNNNNNNNNNNNNNNNNNNNNNNNNNNNNNNNNNNNNNNNNNNNNNNNNNNNNNNNNNNNNNNNNNNNNNNNNNNNNNNNNNNNNNNNNNNNNNNNNNNNNNNNNNNNNNNNNNNNNNNNNNNNNNNNNNNNNNNNNNNNNNNNNNNNNNNNNNNNNNNNNNNNNNNNNNNNNNNNNNNNNNNNNNNNNNNNNNNNNNNNNNNNNNNNNNNNNNNNNNNNNNNNNNNNNNNNNNNNNNNNNNNNNNNNNNNNNNNNNNNNNNNNNNNNNNNNNNNNNNNNNNNNNNNNNNNNNNNNNNNNNNNNNNNNNNNNNNNNNNNNNNNNNNNNNNNNNNNNNNNNNNNNNNNNNNNNNNNNNNNNNNNNNNNNNNNNNNNNNNNNNNNNNNNNNNNNNNNNNNNNNNNNNNNNNNNNNNNNNNNNNNNNNNNNNNNNNNNNNNNNNNNNNNNNNGAUGUACACUUACAUCGUCCUUAGAAACAUGGCAUAUUGUGCCGAUUUUGGUCCCUUCCUUUGAAGGUGACUCAUGGCACUGCAUCCUCAAGGAGGAUCGCCCACGUGUUUCCGGUUAAGUCUUCUACCCUAUAACGGAUUUUUCAUCAUCAAUUGUUCAACUAGGCUCAUCCAAGCUCAGUGUGAUGUCUUAGAAUUAUUCGAAAUUAAGGAGAUAGUGGUUUUAAGUGUGCCUCGCACUACCGACCCUCCACGGACAUGCCUGGUCAUACUGACUUGGAGUUACCGAAAGCUUUUGAUUUUGGAUCCCCCUACGCUAUUAAACCAAUUGCCGUCUUGCAAAAGAAGUUGAAGACUUAUCAAAGCUGAAAAAUUAUCAUCAUAAUCGGAUCCUCUAGGUCCUCUGAGUUAGUUUAUGUUCAUGUCAAGGAGCUUUUGCUAACUAGUCGUGGAGUUUACGACCUUAGAACGAUCGAAAGGACUUGGUUUUGAUCAUACACAAGUCACUUUUGGCUAAGGCAAAAGCCUACACGCCACCUGCAAGCUUCACAGUUUCGCACAUGCCAAAUCUGCGAAAAACAGCAAUCUGUCCCUUCUGGACAAUCAAUUUCGUUUGAGCUUUGUGAACAGCUCCGGACGAACCAGACAGUGAGCUUUAUAUCAUUGGAAAGCUUUAUGAGUCUAGUUUUCAGAACUUUUCAAGGUUCAUCCAUAUCUAUUUUAACGAAGAAGUUAUGGCUGUUUUAGUGCGCAAAAGUCAUUCUGCGCGGAAAUUUUUAUGCACUCUCGGGAUUGCAGCUUUUCGUAGCUUCUUUCAAUCCUUCUAAAUGGUUCAAGUAGAACUAUUUACUCGCAUAUCUACUCCUUGUAGUUAUGUCUCAUAGAGACAUUGAGUGCUUCGCAGAUAGUGGAACUAUCCACAACAUUCUAAGGAACCAUGUUGAGCUUUAAAAACAUUCAUGCUAAUGGUUUUCAUUUGAAAACACAUUGUGAGAAUGAACAAGAAUUCUUUUGUGUAUACCUCCUCAUGAAUGCGAACUGAAGCGCAUCUUGGAGAAAUUCAUGAGUCAAUCUAGUGAACUGUAUGUCACUACGNNNNNNNNNNNNNNNNNNNNNNNNNNNNNNNNNNNNNNNNNNNNNNNNNNNNNNNNNNNNNNNNNNNNNNNNNNNNNNNNNNNNNNNNNNNNNNNNNNNNNNNNNNNNNNNNNNNNNNNNNNNNNNNNNNNNNNNNNNNNNNNNNNNNNNNNNNNNNNNNNNNNNNNNNNNNNNNNNNNNNNNNNNNNNNNNNNNNNNNNNNNNNNNNNNNNNNNNNNNNNNNNNNNNNNNNNNNNNNNNNNNNNNNNNNNNNNNNNNNNNNNNNNNNNNNNNNNNNNNNNNNNNNNNNNNNNNNNNNNNNNNNNNNNNNNNNNNNNNNNNNNNNNNNNNNNNNNNNNNNNNNNNNNNNNNNNNNNNNNNNNNNNNNNNNNNNNNNNNNNNNNNNNNNNNNNNNNNNNNNNNNNNNNNNNNNNNNNNNNNNNNNNNNNNNNNNNNNNNNNNNNNNNNNNNNNNNNNNNNNNNNNNNNNNNNNNNNNNNNNNNNGACUCAUAUAGGCUUUUUGACCAAAUUGGUCAACCUGGAAGAGAUAUAAUGGUCCAAAUUUUGAGGAAUUCUCAUGGACAUCCAUUCUUCCGCUCAAAACGAAGACAUUCGAGAUCUAGCAUCACCAUGAAGCAUGGUGGUGACCCGGGGGACAUUGACGUCACCCGAACACGACUCCAACUUCCUGGAGGUCGUCCGGUCAAUUCCUUAAGCAAUUGAGGUGCACCGGCCUUUCCUCGAUGUCGCAUUGGCCCCCUGCAAUGCUCAUUGCUCUUUUUGAAAGCCUAUUCUUUAGCUAAAUAAGGAGUGAGACCCUCCUACGCUAAAUAACACAAAAGUGAACAUUCUAUUCUUACAUCAAACUAUGUAGAUAGAUACAACCAACUUGCGGACACCUUUUUAUGUUUUAUGGUGUUGGUUGACGUGUUAACACACUGGUCACGUGUUACACUAUUAUCUACUGCUUAUCCUGCUUAUACUUCUACGGGCUCACUACCCAUUCUUUAAAGAAGUUUAUCGGGAUGUAAGUUGAAGUGUCCUGUACCCCAUGUUCACACGCAAUACGGUCUCACCGAGGCUACGACCAAGCAACUUUAGCUUGUCGCUCGAACAUUAUUGAUACGCACCACUCUUUCUAUUGCGUCUUGGGGCUAUGCAAUAUUUGCAUGCAGCUUUACUAUUCAUCUACGACCCACCAUCAUUGAAUUUUGUUGUACUACAGCUCGUGACUGUGCACCAGGAUUGACACGAAAUUGCAAUCCUUGAGCUCGGUAGGAUUGAAACGGAUCUCCAAUCCUUGAGCUCGGCUAGAUGUUAUUUCUAGGUGCCAAAUCGCAUUUCCACUGCGUACAAUGAUGGGUCAUUUGAGAUGAAUAAGUUUAGGUUGGAUAUGAACCUCCACCUAUAAUCCGCAUAUGUAGGAACCUUGUCAGGCGAUCUCAUUCACCGCUAAAUUGCGGAUUGUCACUUUGAUGAGACAAUAUUCCCGCUGUUAGGGGGAGAUAAGAACAUAAGUGUUCAAGUGGAACGACGUGAAUUGUCGUGGUUUGUCCCCACUAAGUCUCAUCUUGAUCCCAAAUGCUUAUAGUGUUAAAGUGACGAGAUCACAUGCUGCAAAUAUGUCUGCAAUGAUUAAUGUCAUACAAAAGGACAUGGCGCGACCAAAAAGUGUUGGUCUUGACGCCAUCACCAUGGAUGGUGAUAUGGUGACGCCAUAUAGUGGCAAAAUUGGUGUCACAAGGCCGUGUGGCUCCCUAAAAUGAGAGAGGCCCUUAGGUUCGAUAUUGUCUUGCACUAAAAAGAAAGCGAGCUUGGCACAACCUGAUCCAUUGAUCAGUGAUACUCAAAUCCGUCUCAUGAAGUCUGAAUUGUGAUUAUCGUUGGGGGAUGCCUCAAUGUCAAAUCCAAUCCAUAUAGAGAUCUCUACAAGUAUUACACUAGUGUACAUGAGGACGUGAGAUAAUGAGUCUACUAUCGAAUCACCCUUCGUUGAUGGAUAUCAACUUAGUUGAUUGGCCUAAUGGAAAGAUACGAUCCAACAUUAACAAAGAGAUAGGUCCUUGGGCAGGUGAUGCCGACACCGCAAGCUAAACCCUAUCAACUAUGCCUUUGUUAGAUAGCGUAGUGAGAGUAAGAGCUUAGACUCACCUUAUGGCGCAAGGUUUUUCACUAACACGCACUGGGAUCAACUACGAUGAGAUAUGCUCUCGUAAUGGAUGUCAUUGAACUCCACUACUUUAUCAGUUUGGUAGUUUCCGAAUAACUGAACAUGCAGCCUAUGAAUGUGGUCAUAAUAACAUCUCUAUGGGAUCAGAGAUAUACAUGAAGAUCUUAAACGGACUUCAUUCAUCUGAAUCAAGUGGCUCCAAACCAUAGGAGCAUGCGUUUGCUAAAUGUAUUGAAACGCACAUGGACUCUACUUGAUUUGGAAGGGAUAUGGUGAAUUAUGCCUUUGCGUGUUCAUUCCGGAUUUACAUGGACUCUUGAUGGAUCAAGAGAUGCCAAUAUGUAUCAACAUCCGAAAGAAAAAGAUCUUAGGGAAGACAUGGUCUCGAUAUGGCACUCGAUGAC